rnacentral:lncRNA from 1 species
AAAUGCUCAAUCAUAUUCAAAUUCAAUGUAAUUCAACAAUUAUCAUUGAGCUUGCUAUUGAUUAUUCAAUCUGGCUUGUGCUUAAAACUUGUAUUCUUUUAUCAAAUCACACUUUGGGCUUUCAUUUGUAAACACAUACAUUAUGUGAGGAAAUUUUCUUUGUAAACUUAAUUUCAAUAUCAUAAUUGAGUGAUUGUAAGUGUGGGAGACAAUUGGGAUAAGAGGUUUGGUAUUACCUCAAGUUUUAAAGGUUGAUUGACAACUUGGAAGUCAAUUGUAAAUCCUAAAGCCUUGGGUUGUAAAGGCUUGGAUAGUGGAAUCCUCAAGCUUGGUGAGCUUGGAGGCGUGAACGUAGGUGGAGUUUGUCUAGCCAUGUAAUAAUAUCAUUUUUAUCCUCUAUCUUCCCUUAUCUCUUUAAUUUUGUUUAUUGUUGUUAUUAUUAUCAUUGCUUUGAAUUAUUUUGUGAUUUUCAUUUGCUUAAGAUUUUAAAACCCAAUUCACCCCCUCUUGGAUUACAUAGUUAGUAUUUCACUAAGUACAGGAAGCAUAUAAUUAUACAAUACUUGUAAACUUCUUUCGAAUAUGUCAUAAAAUAUCAGUAGCACUUCAAAAUAGGCCAAGACACUUCAAACACUUCAAAAUACAUGUUACCUAUCUUCUCCUCUUUAUCAUCAAAAUUACUUCCCACUAUGCAAAUCCAUCAAAAACACUUUCACAAUUACUAACAAAGAAACCAACAAUGUACAACAAAUAAUUAAGGCACCCAAAACAAGAAUAAGUAUAAAACAUGAAUCCAUAAAUAUUAUCCAAUCAAAGUCAGAACAAAAGUAUCAAAUGCAUAUGAUAAUGUUGGUGCAUAAAAAUAGGCGACCAAGUAAAAAUAAAGCGAAAGAUAAAAGUCACUAAUUAAGAGGCUGAGAUGAUAAGGAUAAUGGCAGAAUCCCGAGAGCAGCAAAAAGUUGAUGCUGACCGUCAAGAAGCUGCUGUUGUUGAUAAAAAAGGCAUUACUGCUCAGUAAUAAUAUGAUCUUGAAAUACUGCAAACUGUGACCGAAGUUGGUUUUGUUGCUUGAAUUCAAACUUCACUCAAUAGCUGCUAUAUCAUAUUCCCAUGAGCUUUUAAAGAGGGGUAAGGAGGAGCUUCUAAAGUGGGAUGAAAAGGAGGUGGUUGUUGUGAGACACUGAUAAGGAGGAUUGUGAGCUUCUUUAAUAACAUAAAUUAAAGUCACAAAGUACCACACAUAGUACAAAGUGUGCUGUCCGGGUUUUUAUAUAUAUGAAAGAUGAAUUUAAAUGCUUUGGCUCAUUGUAUGCAACUAUUUUAUGUAGUUAUUCGAAUCUUGAUCGGAUUAUAUAUAUAUAUAGAUGUUUAGCACCACCACUUGAUUUUCUAUUUUGAUUUUACAAACAAUAUUCUGGUUUUGAUUCUGUUUCUAACAAGGUCAUUGGAAGUAUAGGUGCUACUAUGUGACAUGAGCUAACCUUUUUUUUAUUUUGUAUAUAUGAUAUACAAUUUGUUUUCAUGAUUAAUUGUGCUUUUGAUAUUCUAAAUCAAUUAUGAAAUUAUAUCUUUCUAUUAUAAAAUGCAUUUUGUAAACUUAAUGAUUUUUAAUAUAUGUUUUGAUAAGAAAAUGGCUUGCAAUAUUUUUUGGACCUGAUAACUAUAGUGAGUGGCAAUGGUUUUACUUACCAAGUUGACAGUGCACUCCUUGUCAUUACUUUUUGGAGAUUGAGUAACUUGUUGAGAGGUGCGCUUAUCUUUGGACCUAGAAAUUUAGUUAUUUUUGUUAGUAGAAUAAGAGGAGAAUGAACUUUUGUUUCCUUUAAGUUUGUUUAUCGUCCAAACUUGCAAUUGGAGAGUUUUGAGACUUUCUUAUAUUUUUGCCUUUGGAAAAAGGAAAAUGCUUAGUAUUAGGCUAGUGGAUUUGUUUGAAUAAACUUUGACACAUUUCUAUUUGAGGCCUUUGUGAAGGAUUAUGAUUUAUAAGUAACCUCCUUUACCACAUGCUCAACACAUGUUGGAUUUAAGGUAUUAAAAUUUGCUUCAAGUGAGGAUGUUGUUUGUGUAGUUUUCAUUGGUAACUUAUCAAUACUAGACUUAGAUAAAUCAUCAAUGAACUUAUAAAAUAGUAAAAGAGGAUAUAAAUAAGGUUAAAAUUCACAAAUUUGAAAUUAGUUCCUAUGACUUGAAAAUUGAACAAAUUAGCCAUAAAUUUGUUUCAAUUAUCCAAGAUAGGUUUAAUCAAAUUUUAAGUUCAACAAAACCUUGACCCAAAUGUUUAAGAAACUUAAUGGUAAUUUCCUAACUAUACAUUUUAUCAAGCUAAUGUAUUUUCCUUUCAUACACGAGCAAUAGUGCAUGAUUGUUCAUGGAAUACAUAGCCUAUUAAUAGUUUAUAUAUAGAGGUGGCAAAAUGGGUUAAUGGAUUGUGUUUAUGUCGUAUCAAAAUUUAAGCCUACUCAAACACGAUCUAUUUAAUAAUUGCAUCAAAUAAUCAAAAUUCUAGUUAACCUGAGAUGACUAUUAACUGGAUUUACAUCAGCAGGAUCAAUUUAAUAAUUAAAUCAAAUUUUAAUUAUGUAGAGUAAAUGAGUAAGAAAAUAAACAAGAUGAACUUGCAGGGGAAAAAACUCUGAAUGAAGUAGCCGUGGUAAGGUUGUCAAGGCAUAUAUUAGAAAGAGAGAGAAGUAAACACUAAUUAAGCUGAAAAUAUAGGCCCAAUCAACAUUUUUCCUUGUUCCAAUAGAAAUAUUCAGUCAAUAAUGAUUAAUUAAUAUAUUUUAUGACUGCCCAAUCCUUACCCUUUAAAUGAAAAAAAAUUAAUAUAUUUUAUGAAAUGUUAAAAUGAUCAACCGAUUGUAAGGUAAUAAGAAUAGAGUUAUCGAAUAUUUUAUUAUUAUUUCUUUUUGAAUGGGAAUAGUUGGACAUUUAAAGGCAUAUAAUUAUGAAAAAUAGUCUAAUAAAAUAAAUCGAUGUUUCUGACAAAUAAAACAAAUUUAUAAGUUUCAGAAUUGAAAUUAAGGGAAAAGGUUUUGUGGAGAAAAUGGUUUUAAGAAGAUCGUUCUCCAAUUUUUUUUUUAAAUACGUUUAGAGAGCAAUGAUGGUUCUAACUUCUAACUAUCUUUUAUUACCAACUAUUUUUAGUGACACUUGUAUGAAAGUUGGUUUUCUUCUUUUCCAAAAAAAUAUCUUUUAAAAUUGGUGUUUAUGUGAGAAUAAUCACAUUUUAACGAUUUUUAUGUUUCUUUGCAAGAAAAGGACAACUAAAAUUUUGUACUAAACACAUGACAAUUUCUGGCGUUUGUCCCAAGGAUCCUAAGGAAGCAGAAUUCGUAUACCUUAAAGCCUUUUUCGAUAAAUCUGGAGCAACAAAGAGCCCAAAUAAUUGUCUAUGCAAACCAUCAACUGGCAAGCAGCACAUCUGCCAUUGUCACAUUAUUUGCAAUCCACCACCACCUAAACAAACUUAAUUGUGGUGUCCAAUAGUAUGAAGAAUGGAGAUCACUGAAUCCACGAUAUCGAUAUUAACCUAUUGUUUAAUCAUAGAUAGAUAAUGAUACAGUGGUUUGUAAUAAUAAAUCAUAAUAUUUACUGAAGUAAUUAAUUGUUGUGGUUGAGAAACAUUUGUAUAUGAAACAAAGGGUAAUUUCAUUACAAUGUCGGAUUACUAAAAAGAAAAAUUACUUUUGUACUAAAAAGAAAUAUCACUGUUACAAGCGGCUAGCGGGAUAAAUAAAGCGGCUAACUGCUUAGUUGCGGGAAUUUGUCUAUAACGGCUAGUUUUCGGGCUUUAACUAUAAAAACUCAACUCCAACUUCAUUUUAAGGACUACUGCAAGCAUAAACAAGAUCAUAUAACAUAUAUUGAGUUUCCAUUUCGCAAAUCAUCAUUUAUUGAAUCAUCAAUGGGCUAUAAUUUGUUUAUCCACUCUUAAAGAGAGUUUUAUUGUUGUAAUUUUCAUUUCUCAUCAAAUUGUGAGUGUACUAUUGAGUGUUAGAAAAUACAUAUUUAUAAAGGAGAAAACUGUCAUUUUAUAUUUCAAGUCUUACUAACAACCUUUACUUUCAUGUGCUUUAGCUUCUUGUAAUUUAAUUAUGUGUCUUUUAUUUUAAUUAAGUAUUUUAUGUAUUUUAGGGACAUUAUAGUCAUUUCACAAUAAACGAGAGAUCAAAUGACAAAACGGACAUCACUUUUGAACUCAGGACGGUCGAAAACCUUAGGAGGAGCAUAAAAGGAAAAAUGGCACUGUUCACAUGUACGGUACUAUUCACAUAUACGGUACUGUCUACGUUACUGUUCACGACACUGUUCACAUAGACGGAUCGAUGACGUGGCAUUGACCAAUAAUGUGGCAUUAACUGAUGUGGUGUCACGAUCCUGUUGAACUAAAAUUCUUAUGCACUGUUGAUUGAUGACGUGGCAGCAUAUCAGUGGACCAAAAAUCUCACGUACGGUACAUGCAUUACACAAGAUUAUUUUCAACCAAACCGCGUCACUGUUCACACGAGUCAAACCGUGUUACUGUUCAUCCGCGUGGUCAAACCACAUACUAUUCACGCGUACUGUUGACUGAUGAUGUGGCGAAAUCCUGAGCGUCCAAACUGUUUUUAAUCCGAUGGGCACAAUUUACUCAAUGUAUCUAUAAAAAGGAGGCCUUCUCCCCCUAAUUUGAUAUCGCUGAAUCAAUUUUUGGGAUCCAUUUUCUGUAAUUUCUUCUCCAUCUUGUAUUUCCUACGUAUUUUAAUAAAUUCCCAUUUUGCCCCUAGUUCAAUUAUGAGUGGCUAAUUUUGCUUCAAGCUUGGGUUGAAAGUGAAGUCUCAACAUGUGUCAUGGGCUUUAUUUGGUAUUUUCUCUUCCCCUCUAAUUUUUGUGGAUGUUUUGACUUCUCGUCGACAAAUAAUACUAAUCUUGUCUAGUACCGCCUUGGUUUCACCGGCCCCCUAGUACAAGGUUAUUAUUAUUUGGCACGAUAAGCCCUUAGCACCAUAUUGAUUAGAACGUGGUUCAUGAGGUGUGGAUUCCCCCCUCAUGAUUUAAUUGGCAUUAAUAAGGAUUAUUUAGCCCAUGAUGCAUGUUGAUACGGAUCCAGAUACCCAAGUACGUCAUUUCAAUAGAAUUCUCUUCAAUUUAUUCUCGCCAUUUCAAUUCCAAUUUUAGAAUUUAUUCUCGCCAUUUUAAUUUAAGUUUUAGCAUAUUCCAAAUCAUUUCCACCACAAAUCCAACCACCCAUUUACAAAAUUAAUUCUACAUAUAAUUAAAAUCCACCUCCUCGCGGGAUCGACACUCGUCACCAUUGAUCUAUAUUACAAUAGAUUCGUGCACUUGUGAGUUCAAUAAAAUUUGCACAACAAGAUUUUGGCGCCGUUGCCGGGGAGGUAAGUAAUUUUAAUUCAUAGAAUUAAUUUUUGUGAAUAAUUUCUUUUAUUUGUUUUCUUGUAUUUUUUUAAUUAAAAAAAGAAAAAGAAAAAAAAGUGAAUCUACAUUUGAAGGUUAGUAUUUCUUUUCUUUUUCUCUUCCUUAAAAUUCUGUAAUUUAAUUUUCAAUUUAUUUUUCUUUGAAUUUUUUUUAUCUUAUUAAUUUAUUUUUAGUUAAUUUAUUUCACGUAUUUAUUUUUGUGUACUUUUAUAGAAAGGUUUUAAUAGCGCAAUAAGGUUAGUAUCGUAAUUUCUCCCUCUUAUUUAUUUUUAUUUGUUUUGUUCCCAUCUUUAUUUUCAUUUUAUUUAUUUUACAUGCAUGGUCGUAGGUCAUUAUUACCUAAUCUUGAACCUAUAGACCUUGAACUAGAAAAAACACUUUGCACACAGAAACAAAUUAAAAAUAAAAUGGAUUUGCAACCACAGGAGAGGCCAUUUAAGGACUACUUCAGUCCCUUAGCUAAUUUGAGCACAUCAUGCAUAAGAUACCCGUUGAGUGUUAGAAAAUGCAUAUUUAUAAAGGAGAAAACCGUCAUUUUACAUUUCAAGUCUUACUAACAACCUUUAGUUUUAUGUAUUUAACCUUCUUGUGAUUUAAUUACAUGUGUUUUAUUUUAAUUAAGUAUUUUAUGUAUUUUAGGAGCAUUAUAGUCAUUUCACAAUAAAGAAGAAAUCAGACGGCAAAACGGACAUCACUUUUGAACUCAGGACGGUCGAAAACCUUAGGAGGAGCAUAAAAGGAAAAAUAGCACUAUUCACAUGUACAGUACUAUAUACGUUACUGUUCACGACACUGUUUACAUAGACGGACGAUGACGUGGCAUUGACCGAUGAUGUGGCAUUGACUAAUGAGGUGUCACGAUCCUGUUGGGCUAAAAUUCUUAUGUACCGUUGACGGUGACGUGGCAGCAUAUCAGUGGACGAAAAAUCUCGCGUACGGUACAUGUAUCACACAGUAUUAUUUUCAACCAAACCGUGUUACUGUUCAUCCAGGUCAAACCGUGUUACUGUUCAUCCACGUGGUCAAACCGCGUACUAUUGACUGAUGACGUGGCGCAAUCCUGAGCGUCCAAACUGUUUUUAAUCCGAUGGCCAUGAUUUACUCCAUGUAUCUAUAAAAAGGGGGCCUCCCCCCCCCCCCCCUAAUUUGAUAUCUCUGAAUCCAUUUUUGGACUCUGUUUUCUGUAAUUCCUUCUCCAUCUUUUAUUUUCUUCGUAUUUUAAGAAAUUUCCAUUUUGCCCCUAGUUCAAUUAUGAGUGGCUAAUUUUCUUUCAAGCUUGGGUUGAAGGUGAAGUCUCAACAUGUGUCAUGGGCUUAAUUCGGUAAAUUUAUUUUCUCUUCCCCUCUAGUUUUUGUGGAUGUUUUGACUUCUCGUCGACAAAUAAUACUAAUCUUGUCUAGUACCGCCUUGGUUUCACCGGCCCUCUAGUACAAGGUUAUUAUUAUUUGGCACGAUAAGCCCUUAGCACCAUAUUGAUUAGAGCGUGGUUCAUGAGGUGUGGAUUCCCCCCUCAUGAUUUAAUUGACAUUAAUACGGAUUAUUUAGCCCAUGAUGCAUGUUGAUACGGAUCCAGAUACCCAAGUACGUCAUUUCAAUAGAUUUCUCUUCAAUUUAUUCUUGCCAUUUCAAUUCCAAUUUUAGAAUUUAUUCUCGCCAUUUUAAUUUAAGUUUUAGUAUAUUCCAAAUCAUUUCCACCACAAAUCCAAUCACCCAUUUACAAAAUUAAUUCUACAUAAUUAAAAUCCACCUCCUCGUGGGAUCGACACUCGUCACCAUUGAUCUAUACUACAAUAGAUUCGUGCGCUUGCGAGUACAUUAAAAUUUGCACAACAAGUUUUUGGCGCCGUUGCCGGGGAGGUAAGUAAUUUAAUUCAUAGAAUUAAUUUUUGUGAAUAAUUUCUUUAUUUGUUUUCUUGUAUUUUUUUAUUAAAAAAAAAGAAAAAGAAAAAAAAAGUGAAUCUACAUUUAAAGGUUAGUAUUUCUUUCAUUUUUCUCUUUUUUAAAAUUCUGUAAUUUAAUUUUUAAUUUAUUUUUCUUUGUAAUUUUUUUUAUUUUAUUAAUUUAAUUUUUAGUUAAUUUAUUUCACGUAUUUAUUUUUGUGUAUUUUUAUAGAAAGGUUUUAAUAGCGCAAUAAGGUUAGUAUCGUAAUUUCUCCCUCUUCUUUAUUUUUAUUUGUUUUGUUCCCAUCUUUAUUUUUAUUUUAUUUGUUUUGCAUGCAUGGUCGUAGGUCAUUAUUACCUAAUCUUGAACCUAUAGACCUUGAAUUAGAGAAAACACUUUGCACACACAAACAAAUUAAAAAUAAAAUGGAUUUGCAACCACAGGAGAGGCCAUUUAAGGACUACUUCAGUCCUUUAGCUAAUUUGAGCACAUCAUGUAUAAGAUACCCAAAUGUAGCUGCUAGGAGUUUUGAACUAAAACCUAGUGUGCUAAAUUGUCUCCCAACAUUCUAUGGCUUAGAAAAUGAGGACCCAUAUAAUCAUCUGAAUGAUUUUCAUGCUAUUUGUCAAACUUUUAAAUACGAGAAUUUUUCAAACGAUGAUGUUAAACUCAGAUUAUUCCCAUUUUCUUUAAAAGAUAGAGCUCGUUCAUGGCUUAAUACUUUGCCUGCUAAUAGCAUCACAUCAUGGGAACAAAUGGUUACAAAAUUUUUGAAUAAAUAUUUCCCAGUGCAUAAAACCAAUGCUAUUCGCUGGGAAAUCUCGGAGUUUACCUAGAGAGAGGACGAGCAAUUUUUCAAAACAUGGGAGCGAUUUAAUGGGCUACUCUUGAAGUGUCCACAUCAUGGGUACGAGAAAUGGCACCAAUGCCAAUACUUUUUGGAGGGAUUAUUGCCGAAUGUGCAAGAAUGGCUAAUGGUAACAAGUGGAGGAGAGCUAAUGUCAAAAAGUGCAUCAGAGAUUUGGGAAUUCUUCCAGCGACAAGCAGAUAAUUCCCAACAACGGAGUCGAUCGCUCAGGAAUACUAAAAGAAUUAAAGGAGUGAAUGAGGUUCACAUUGGCGAGUCAACUUCAGGAAUCAAAGAAGUCAAGGAGAUGGUUGAAGGUCUUGCUCGACAAAUAGCAUCGUUAUCGACUGCUAAAUCAACUGAACCACAUGACCUUGACUCAUACUCAGAUCAAGCCAAUGCCAUAGGUAUAAUGAGAAAACCAUCAAAUUACAACCCAUACUCCAACACAUAUAAUCCUGGAUGGAGAGACCACCCCAAUUUUUCAUGGUUUCAAGGAUUCCAACAGAAUGGACCAGCAGCUCCAGCUCCACCAAUGCAACAAAUUCCUCAAGUUCCUCAAGCCUCUCAGCCCCCAUUUAGACCAUACAAUCAGAACCAGAACUACUCUCAACCCAGACCAUGGGAGGAUGCGUUCCAAAAUUUCAAGAAUGUUACUCACUCCACAAUUGAGCAACAGAACCGCACCAUUGAUGGACUACGAAAUGAGUUGAGAGCAGGCUUCAAUUCACAAGCCCAAUCAGUUUCAAGCCUCGAGAAGAUGGUGGGACAACUUGCUUCUUCAGUUCAGACCUUGGCAAUGACCGUUUAGAAAGGUAAGUUUCCAAGUCAACCAGUGCCUAACCCUAAAGGAGUGCAUGAAGCAAGUACCAGUUCACCACAGCAGCAUGGAGAGGUCAAAGCAGUAAUGACCUUGUGAAAAGGAAAGGAACUCGACAACAAAGUGGAGAUGCCGGUGACAAAAGAAAAUCAAAUUGUACCUGUGAAUGUUGAGGACUCAUCACCGGAGGAGAAAGAAGAAACCAACCCAUGAGAAUACGUUCCCAAAGCUCCAUUCCCCCAAAGGUUAGCUAAAGGAAAGAAGGGAAAAUCCACAGGUGAGAUUCUCGAAAUCUUCAAACAGGUAAGUGUUAACAUCCCUCUACUUGAUGCUAUUAAACAAGUUCCAUCUUAUGCCAAGUUUCUUAAAGACCUUUGUACUAAAAAGAGAAAUAUGCAUGUUCAAAAGAAGACAUUUUUAACAGAAAACGUUAGUUCUAUACUCCAACAUAAAAUUCCUUUAAAAUGCAAAGACCCAGGCUCCCCCGCUAUCUCAUGUAGUAUAGGGAACCACACAAUUGAGAAUGCUUUGUUGGAUUUAGGAGCUAGUGUAAAUCUUUUUCCUUACUCUAUAUUCGUGAAACUUGGACUUGGAGAAUUACACCCAACUCCAGUGGUGUUACAACUUGCAGAUCGGUCCACAAAAAUACCUCGUGGUAUUGUGGAGGACGUGCUUUUCCUGUUGAUUUCAUUGUAAUUGACACUCAACCAAUACAAGAUUCAAGGAAGCACAUCCCCAUUAUUCUAGGCCAACCUUUCUUGGCAACUGCGGAUGCUUACAUUCAAUGCAGGAUUGGAAAUAUGCAGUUGUCUUUCGGCAACAUGACUAUGGAGCUAAACAUCUUCAACAUUGCCAAACAACCUCACAGUGCAGAUGAUGGAAUUGUUGAUGUGGAUUUAAUUAAAGCAUUAGUUGAUGAUACUUUUGUUUCAAACCUUAGUGAUGAUCCUUUACAAACAUGUUUAACUCACUUUGGUUUGAAUUUUGAUAUUGACAGAUCGGUCGAUGAGGUCAACGCCCUGCUUGACUCAGCACCAUCUAUGGACACUAAUAAAUGGAAGUCAAGAGUUGAACAACUAGCACCAUCAGAGAAGAAACUCAUCCCAUCAUCAGAAUCACCACCGAAACUCGAGCUCAAACCAUUACCCAACACUCUAGAAUAUGCAUUUUUGGGAGAAGAAAGUACUCUGCCGGUAAUCAUCUCAUCAUCCCUAAAUGACGAACAAAAAGGUAAGUUGUUGGAUGUUUUGAAAGAGCACAAAGGGGCAUUAGGAUGGACCAUAGCAGACAUAAAAGGUAUAAACCUAGUAGACUGCAUGCAUUACAUUCACCUUGAUGAAAAUGCUAAAUCUACUAGGGAAAUGCAACGUCGGUUAAAUCCUAACAUGAAAGAAGUUAUUAGAACUGAAGUCCUUAAGCUAUUAGACGCAGGUAUCAUUUACCCCAUUUAUGAUAGUUCAUGGGUCAGUCUUGUGCAAGUUGUCCCCAAAAAGUCAGGAGUCACAGUAGUUACGAAUGCUGAUAAUGAAUUGAUACCCACUAGAGUAACUACAGGAUGGCGUGUAUGUAUUGAUUAUAGGAAGUUGAAUUCUGUCACACGUAAAGACCAUUUUCCUUUACCAUUUAUUGAUCAAAUGCUUGAUAGAUUAACAGGCCAUGAAUUUUAUUACUUUCUAGAUGGCUAUUCAGGAUAUAAUCAGAUUCCCAUAGCACCAAAAGAUCAGGAGAAAACUACUUUCACUUGCCCUUUUGGCACAUUUGCAUAUAGGAGAAUACCAUUUGGAUUAUGUAAUGCACCUGCUACAUUUCAACGAUGCAUGUUGAGCAUUUUUUCUGAUAUGGUGGAACGAUUCCUUGAAGUCUUUAUGGAUGAUUUUUCUGUCUUUGGUGACUCGUUUGAUCAAUGUUUACAUCAUCUAACACUAGUUCUGCAGAGAUGUAUCGAGAAGAACUUGGUCUUAAAUUGGGAGAAAUGCCAUUUUAUGGUAAAACAAGGUAUUGUUCUCGGUCACAUCAUUUCGAGCAAAUGUAUUGAGGUUGACAAAGCCAAGGUGGAUCUCAUUUCUAAUCUUCCUCCACCCAAAACAGUCAGAGAAGUAAGAUCUUUCCUUGGGCAUGCUGGUUUCUAUAGACGUUUCAUUAAAGAUUUUAGCAAAGUUUCUAGACCCUUAUGCAAUUUACUUGCUAAGGAUGUACCUUUUAUCUUUAAUGAUUCAUGUCUUAUGGCGUUUGAAAAAUUAAAACAGUUGUUGACAUCAUCACCCAUCAUUCAGGCCCCAAACUGGAGCUUACCAUUUGAGCUAAUGUAUGAUGCAUCUGAUUAUACAGUAGGAGCAGUAUUAGGACAAAGAGUUGAUCGAGUUCCCCACGUUAUUUACUAUGCUAGUAUGACAUUAAAUGAUGCACAGUUGAACUAUUCAACUACUGAAAAAGAAAUGCUAGCAGUAGUGUUUGCAUUGGAAAAAUUUCGAUCAUAUCUCAUUGGUUGUAAAAUAAUUAUAUUCACAGAUCAUGCUGCUCUUAAAUAUCUUCUCAUAAAGAAAGAUGCAAAAGCUAGACUAAUUCGUUGGGUGUUACUUUUGCAGGAAUUUGAUUUGGAAUUCAAAGAUAAGAAAGGGACAGAAAAUGUUGUGGCGGACCACCUUUCUCGUCUCCAUUUUGACACAAUUACAGAGCCAUUAAUAUUGAAUGAGUCAUUUCCAGAUGAACAAUUAAUGAGUGCCGAAGCAUUGCCUUGGUAUGCUGAUAUAGUUAAUUAUCUUGUUACAAGUAAACUUCCAGAGCAUUGGACCAAGCAAGACAAGGCUAAAUUCUUUGCAGAAAUAAAGAAUUUCUUUUGAGAUGACCCGUAUUUGUUCAAGUAUUGUGUAGAUCAAAUUGUUAGACGAUGCGUCCCAGAAAGUGAAAUUUCGAAUAUCUUUUCAUUCUGCCAUGAACAAGCUUGUGGAGGCAAUUUCAGUGCUAAGAAAACAGCAACUAAAGUUUUACAAUGUGGUUUCUAUUGGCCAACUAUAUUUCGAGACGCUUACACUUUCUGUUCUUCAUGUGAUAGGUGUCAACGAAUGGGGAGCAUCACGCGAAGGAAUAUGAUGCCACUAAAUCUAAUUUUAGUGGUUGAGAUUUUUGAUGUAUGGGGUAUCGACUUCAUGGGACCCUUUCCCCCUUCUUUUGGCCAUCAAUACAUAUUGGUUACUGUUAACUACGUAUCGAAAUGGGUAAAAGCAAUUCCAUGUAGGACCAAUGAUCACAAGGUGGUGAUAGGAUUUUUGAAAAGCAAUAUUGUCUCACGCUUUGGAUUCCCUCGAGCAAUAAUCAGUGAUGGUGGUGCCCACUUUUGUAACAAAGCAUUCAAAGCUCUUUUGACAAAGUAUUCAAUCACUCACAAAGUGGUGACCCCAUAUGAUCCGCAAACCAGUGGCCAAGUUGAGAUCUCCAAUCGAAAAAUAAAGCACAUAUUAGAAAAGACGGUGAGGCCGGACAGAAAAGAUUGGUCAUUAAGACUUGAUGAUUCAUUAUGGGCAUAUAGAACGGCUUUCAAGACCCCGAUUGGGAUGUCACCCUACAGGCUAGUGUAUGGAAAAGCUUGCCAACUACCUGUGGAACUCGAGCAUCGUGCAUAUUGGGCCAUCAAGAAAUUCAACUUUGACAUGCAGCAAGCCAGCUCAGAAAGAAGAUUACAACUGGCAGAACUUGAAGAAAUUCGCAAUGAUGCAUACGAAAAUGCCAAGAUUUACAAGCAACGAAUGAAAGUCUUCCAUGAUAAGCAAAUUAUGAGAAAAUCGUUCACUCCAGGUCAGAAAGUGCUUUUAUUCAAUUCUCGCUUGCACCUAUUCCCAGGUAAGUUACGCUCUCGUUGGUCUGGCCCAUUUAUUGUUCAUACUGUUUUUCCACAUGGGGCAAUUGAAAUUAAGGACCCAAAGAACGGUGUCACGUUUAAAGUUAAUGGUCAAAGAUUAAAGCCAUAUCUAGAGUACCAACCACAUGGAGAAGACACCGAAAUAAAUUUGAGUGACCCACCAAAUUUGAAUUGAUUUUUUUCUUUUCGUUGAUUUGAUUUUUCUUUCUUUCUUUUUAUUAUUAUUCUCUUGCUAAUUGAAAUUGUUUUUGCAUAAGUGUGUUUAUUUUACCAUUAAGUUUUCUUUUAUCAUUUUUAAUCAUGAGUACCUUACUUAGACCGUUCCUUCUGAACAUUCUUAAAGCACUUCAACGUGUCAAAACUCAUCUCAAAAGGCAGAUUCAAUUUUGUAAAACACAUCGCAUUUGGGCUCUACAACCACCAGAGUUAGUAGCCUAUGUUGAGGGUUUAGAACGCCAACUUAGAGACAUUGAGAGAAGUGUUUACGACAUCCAGUUGGAGCUUGAGGUAAAUUCAAUAAGAGGACGAUUUUAAUUUUCUUUGUGUGUUUUAAUUUGUUUUUCUGUUUGUGUGCUUUAAUUUGUUACCCCGGUGAAAUGGCGGAUAACGGCACUCCAUGACAAUCAAAUCGGUUACUUCGGUUUCCCAUAAUAACUGAUAUUCUGAGGUGAAAGUAUGGACAGAAACGAGACUCUAGUGAAGCUUCACAAGCGAUUCCCUUCACUUCCUCAGAAUGCCCUCCUUACGAUCUAUAAAGCUUGGUCCGAACGCAUGAGAUUGCUCAUGAGGAAUAACAUACCUGCUGACAUCCGUUGGUUAAUCGAGGCUAAAGUACGAUCGGCAGGUGAGUUACCUCCAAAAUUUAUUGCAUACAUGCCUGGUUGUGGUAAAGGAAAUUAUGCAAGAAAACGACGAGCUCGAAGAAUUUCUAUUGCUUGUCAUAAGUGUGCCAGAAUGAGUUGUAAUAAAAACCCACGUUCUUUAGGAAUGGUGUCUGAUAACAGGGAAGAUAAGAUUCAAUUCAUUAGGGAUGGAUUGAAUAAGGAGUCAUUGGAUGAUAUCAUUUUGUCUCUUGAAACGCAUCCUAGUGGAUAUGUGCAAGGAGCGAUUCUCCAGUUAUGGCCAUUAUUCCAGAAAGAGCAUGCACGAUAUAGUCUCGGGAAUCUGACUAUAAACGACCCUAUUUGCCAGUUUAUAAGAAAACUGGAUGGGAAGCCUAUCCUCGACCCAUAGAGCGCGUUCAAGUCGUUUCUACAACUACCUGUAAAUAUCCUUUCACUUUACUGUUAUUUUAUUUCACUAUUGUUUUAUUAUGUGCAUUAUUAUCUUUAAUAAUUUUAUUACUGUUUGCUUUUUCCUUUUACUGUUUCUUUUUUUACUAGCGAGCCACGUGCUUUACGCGUUAUUUGACACUGACAUGUUACCUCAUACACAACUGUGAUCCACUGUCACCAAGAUUCUUAAAUGUGAUUUCUUUUUUGUCAAGCACUCACAAAUUAUUUUUGAGAAGUAUCACAAUGGCAGCUACUCCCAAUAGACAAUUUAAGAACAUUUGUGUGCUUUCUGGAUUUACAUAUGGCAAACAUAAAGAGUUUGUUGAGGCAGCCAUAGAUCUUGGUCGAAGCAUAGCAGCAAGAAAAUUACACUUGGUGUAUGGAGGAGGUAAUUGAUGGUUAUCAAAAAUGGUCUCAGAAGUAGCUUUUAUCAGAGGCAGCCAAGUGUUAGGCAUCAUCCCAAGAGUCCUAAAACCAUUGGGCAGUUCGUCUGACUCAUCAACUGGAGAAGAGUUAGUCGUCUCAGGUAUGCAAGAAAGAAUAACUGAAAUGCUUAAUCAUGCUGAUGCUUUUAUUUUCCUUCCAGGAGAUCUUGCAACACUAGAGGCACUUAUCACACUAGCAUCUUGGGCCCAUCUGCACAUCCACCAGAAACCCAUCGGUUUGUUAAAUGUCAAUAACUUUUAUGAUAACUUUAUCGCAUUUCUUAACCAUGCAAUAAAAAACUAUUUCAUUCCUUCUAUUGUGAAAAAACUUUUUAUUUGUGCCCACACUGCUAAUGAGCUACUUGAUAUGUUACAAGCUUAUAAACCGGAGCCAGACCCUUGGACCUUUGUGUUGGAGCGCCCAAAUAAUGAUGGUAACAGUAGCCACAGUAAGAAGUACAAAUUAGAUUUAACUCUCCGCUUGUAAAUAUUUUCUUAUGUGUUACACCACCCGGGUGAUGUCUUUUAAACUCUACUUCUUUCCUUUCAAACAUUGAGGACAAUGUUUCGUUCUGGCUAGGGGGAGGGAAUACUCGACAAUUGUGGAAUCUUGGUUAAGUUUUUACUGAUUUUUUGUUGUAGAAACUAAUUGUUGCUAACUUUUUGUGUUGAAGAUGGCUGAAUAUGGAGUGUAGUGACUCUAGAAACGCAUCUUCAUCGUUAAAAAAAUUAAAAAAAAAACAAAAAAAAAUUCAGACAUUUUCUUUUUCUUUAUUAUGUUUUGAUGUUUAUUUUUCUUCUUUUUAAUUUCUCCUUAUAAAUAUAUAUUUUCAAAUUUUUGACUUGAAGAUGGCUGAAUAUGGAGUGUAGUGCCUCUAGAAACGCAUCUUCUAAGUUAAAAAAAAAAAAUCAUUUUCGUUUUCUAUCAUUUUACAUGUAACUUUUCUAAUUAGUUUUUAUGCAUCAUUUUCACAUUUCUGCAUGUAUAUUUUCCUUUCAUGUUUAGAAUAGGUUGGGGGUAGAAUGCUGUUUAAAAAAAAAAUUGUGUGAUUUGUUUUGACAUUGGAUGACAUGAUUUAUUUCAAAUUUUAGUAUUUGUAUUGUCUUUGGUCUUAAGUGAUGUUACAUUAUGUUUGCUACUCUACAUGUUGAUGUCGGAGACAAAUAUGAGUUUCUUGAAGGAAUGAACAUGUCAUAAUAAGUACCAAGUGAGUUUUUGAGCCUAUCAUUUUUCUUGGAGAGUAACCCUUUUGCCCAUUCUUUAUACAGCUUAACAAUUUAUUAAUGUAUACACGAUCUCUAGAUUUCUUUUGAGUUAACCCUUAAAAAAAAUUAAAAAAAAUGUGUGUUGCUACAUUUGGAGGCCCAUCUAACUAGUAGAUAUGGAAGAUUAUUUAGAGCCCUAAAAGACAAUGAAAAGGCCAUCUUUGAUCCGUUUGAGCCUUUCUAGCCAUCGUUUUUUAUCAAAUAUCCAUAGUUAACCCUUUUGAGCCUUUAAAAAAAAAAUAUUUCUUUGUCAAACUUAUCAUCUUGACCCACUCCGAUUUGGAGUAUUACCCAAUGUCUUAUAAGUUCCAUCACCUAUUUAUGUUUGAGAAAAAUGUAAAUAAUUAUUUUGUUCAGUGACGUUGUGCCAAGCAAAAGCAAAAAAAAAAUGUUUCAAAAAAAAUAACAAUAAUAGGUGAAAUACACCUUGCAACUUCAAAAAAAAAAAUUUCUCUGCAUUUUUCUCAAACAUAUACUUUGUUUUCCUUAUUUCCCUUCUUUGUUAACCAUGUCCCUAGCCUAUGUUACGUCCUAAUAAAAGUCCUUCUUGAUUUUAGGGAACUAUAAUAUGAAGUAGAAGCUAGUUAUAUGGGCUAAAAAGAUGUAGUGAUGCAUGAAAAAAAUAAAAAAUAAAUAAAUAAAUUGGGUUGACUAGCAUUUUUAUUUGACUGGAGAUCGUAUUAUUUCUAAGCUGAGGGCAUAUUUCUUUCAUUUUGGUGAGAGCAUGUGAGAUCACUUCUUUAUUAUUUUCUCUCAAUUACCAUUCAUUGGAGUGACUAUUUUUAUUGGGUUUAACAUUUUUUUGUGAGAGUGUCACUAUUUCUAGUGAGAUUUUGGGGUUUGACAUGUCAUUCUUGAAAUUAGCUAUGACAAUCUACUAGGCUGAUUCAUGUGGAUGGUUGAUGUGGGUGUGAUAUUCCUUUAGACUGGAGAUAAUGCUUAUACAAUUAUUUGAUUGUUAUCAUUCGUCUGAUUGAAUAAACACGAGUGUUUAAAAAAAAACAUUUUGGAUUUAAAUUUUGUUUUCGCUUUAUUUGCUAGGGACUAGCAAUAAGCUGGUUGCAGGAUGUGUUGAGUGUUAGAAAAUACAUAUUUAUAAAGGAGAAAGCCGUCAUUUUAUAUUUCAAGUUUUACUAACAACCUUUACUUUUAUGUGUUUUAGCUUUUUGUAAUUUAAUUAUGUGUGUUUUAUUUUAAUUAAGUAUUUUAUGUAUUUUAGGGGCAUUAUAGUCAUUUCACAAUAAACGAGAGAUCAAAUGACAAAAUGGACAUCACUUUUGAACUCAGGACGGUCAAAAACCUUAGGAGGAGCAUAAAAGGAAAAAUGGCACUGUUCACAUGUACGGUACUAUUCACAUAUAUGGUAUUGUCUACGUUACUGUUCACGACACUGUUCACAUAAACGGAUCGAUGACGUGGCAUUGACCGAUGAUGUGGCAUUGACUGAUGAGGUUUCACGAUCCUGUUGGACUAAAAUUCUUAUGCACUGUUGAUUGAUGACGUGGCAGCAUAUCAGUGGAUAAAAAAUCUCGCGUAUAGUACAUGCAUUACACAGGAUUAUUUUCAACCAAACCGCGUCACUGUUCACCCGGGUAAAACCGUGUUAUUGUUCAUCCGCGUGGUCAAACUGCAUACUAUUCACGCGUACUGUUGACUGAUGAUAUGGCGAAAUCCUGAGCGUCCAAACUAUUUUUAAUCCGAUGACCACAAUUUACUCAAUGUAUCUAUAAAAAGGGGGCCUUCCCCCCCUAAUUUGAUAUCUCUGAAUCUAUUUUUGGGAUCCAUUUUCUGUAAUUUCUUCUUCAUCUUGUAUUUUCUAUGUAUUUUAAUAAAUUCUCAUUUUGCCCCUAGUUCAAUUAUGAGUGGUUAAUUUUCUUUCAAGCUUGGGUUGAAGGUGAAGUCUCAACAUGUGUCAUGGGCUUUAUUUGGUAAAUUUACUUUCUCUUCCCCUCUAAUUUUUGUGGAUGUUUUGACUUCUCGUCGACAAAUAAUACUAAUCUUGUCUAGUACUGCCUUGGUUUCACCGGCCCCCUAGUACAAGGUUAUUAUUAUUUGGCACGAUAAGCCCUUAGCACCAUAUUGAUUAGAGCGUGGUUCAUGAGGUGUGGAUUCCCCCCUCAUGAUUUAAUUGGCAUUAAUAAGGAUUAUUUAGCCCAUGAUGCAUGUUGAUACGGAUCCAGAUACCCAAGUACGUCAUUUCAAUAGAAUUCUCUUCAAUUUAUUCUCGCCAUUUCAAUUCCAAUUUUAGAAUUUAUUCUCACCAUUUUAAUUUAAGUUUUAGCAUAUUCCAAAUCAUUUCCACUACAAAUCCAACCACCCAUUUACAAAAUUAAUUCUACAUAUAAUUAAAAUCCACCUCCUCAUGGGAUCGACACUCGCCACCAUUGAUCUAUAAUACAAUAUAUUCGUGCACUUGCGAGUUCAAUAAAAUUUGCACAACAUGUACAAGUGUGAGAAACACUUGGGGUGAAGAGAUUGGGGAGAUAAUCUCUUGAUUGUAAAGGUCCAUUGACACCUUGAAAGUCAAUUGUAAACAUUUGAAGCCUUGGGAGGCUUGGAUAGUGAAAUCCUCAAGCCGGGUGAGCUUGAAGGCGUGGACGUAGGCGGGGUUGUCGAACCACGUAAAAAUUCUUGUGUUUGUUUUCUCUUCCCUUACUCUUUUAAUAUUGUGCUUGAUUGAAUUUAUUGUUUUUGAUUUGAUUAAGGCAAUAGAUUGAAUUGUUAUGUGGUUUGCUUAGCAUAAGUUUUAAAAACUCGAUUCGCCCCCUUUCUUGGGUUGCAUAACUUGCAUUUCAACUACCUUAUCUAAAGUGAAGCACUUUUUAACUGGUGGACCAAAUGUGUAGCAUAAAAGACCAGACAACAUCAUAAAAGCCCCACUUUGAUAAAACAUCAUGUAAAACCACACAACAAAGGAUUCUAAAUUCUCAACAAUAUUUACUAGUAAACCUUUCAACAUUUCAGUUUAAGAAUUAAUGAGCUAGCUACUAGAAAACUAGCAUAAACAAAACUCAAACAUACACAAAACAAUCUAGUGCUUUCUAGUUCAAGCAAAUUAAAAAACAAAAACAAAUCUAUGGAAGAUAUAAGAUUCACAAGCUUUGUGGAUUUAAUUCUAUAUGUCAACUAGACUAAGGCCAUUAAAGUAGAUGGCUUCUUUAAUAACAUACAUUAAAGUCACGAAGUACCACACAUAGUACAAAGUGUGAUGUCUAGGUUUUUAUAUAUAUGAAAGAUGAAUUUAAAUGCUUUGGUUCAUUGUCUACAGCUAGUUUCUGUAGCUAUUAUAAUCUUGAUCGUAUUUUACGAUAUAUAUAUAUAUAUAUAUGUAUAUAGAUGUUUAGCAGCACCACCACUGGAUUUCUAUUUGGAUUGUACACACAAUAUUCUGUUUCUGAUUAUGUUCUUAGCAGGGUCAUUGGAAGUAUAAGUGACACUAUGUGACAUGAGCUAACUUUUUUUUUUUUAUUGUGUAUAUAUGAUAUACAAUUUGUUUUCGUGAUUAAUUACGCUUUUGAAAUUCUAAAUAAAUUAUGAAUUUAUAUCUUUCUGUUAUAAAAUGCAUUUUGUAAAAUUUAUGAUUUUUAAUAUAUGUUUUGAUAAGAAAAGGGCUUGCAAUAUUUUUUGAACUUGAUAACUGUAGUGAGUGGCAAUGGUUUUACUUACCAAGUUGACAGCGCACUCCUUGUCAUUACUUUUUGGAGAUUGAGUAACUUGUUGAGAGAUGCGCUUAUCUUUGGACCUAGAAAUUUAUUUAUUUUUGUUAGUAGAAUAAGAGGAGAAUGAACUUUUGUUUCCUUUAAGUUUGUUUAUCUCCCGAACUUGCAAUUGGAGAGUUUUGAGACUUUGUUAUAUUUAUGGCUUUGGAAAAAGGAAAAUCCUUAGUAUUAGGCUAGUGGAUUUGUUUGAAUAACUUUGGCUCAUUUCUAAUUGAGGAUUUUGUGAAGGAUUAUUAUUUAUAAGUAACCUCCUUUACCACAUGCUCCACACGUGUUGGAUUAGGGUAUGACAAUUUACUUCAAGUGAGGAUGUUCUUUGUGUAGUUUUCAUUGGUAACUUAUCAAUACUAGACUUAAAUAAACCAAAGAUGAACUUAGAAAACGGUAAAAGAGGCUAUAAAUAAGGUUAAAAUUCUCAAAUUUGAAAUUAAUUCAUAUGACUUGAAAAUUGAACAAAUUAGCCAUAAAUUUGUUUCCACCAUCGAAGAUAGUUUUAAACAAAUUUUAAGUUCAACAAAACCUUGACCCAAUGUUUAAGAAACUUAAUGGUAAUUUCCUAACUGUACAUUUUAUCAAGCUAAUGUAUUUUCCUUUUAUAGACGAGCAAAGUGCAUGAUUGUUCAUGGAAUACAUAACCUAUUCAUAAUUUAUAUAGAGGUGGAAAAAUGGGUUAAUGGAUUGUGUUUAUGUCAUAUCAAAAUUUAAGCCUACUCAAACACAAUCUAUUUAAUAAUUGCAUCAAACAAUCAAAAUCCUAGUUAACCUGAGAUGACUAUUAACUGGAUUUACAUUAGCACGAUCAAUUUAAUAAUUAAAUCAAAUUUUAAUUGUGUCGAGUAAAUGAGUAAGAAAAUAAACAAGAUAAAAUUAGUGGGGAAAAAACUUUGAAUGAAGUAGCCGCGGUAAAGUUGUCAAGGCGUUUAUUAGAAAGAGAGAGAAGUAAAUAGUAAUUAAUCCAAAAAUAUAGGCCCAAUCAACAUUUUUCUUUGUUCGAAUAGAAAUAUUCAGUCAAUAAUGAUUUAUUAAUAUAGUUUAUGAUUGCCCAACCUUUACCCUUUAAAUGAAAAAAAAUAUUAACAUAUUUUACGAAAUGUUAAAAUGAUUAGCCAGCUGUAAGGUAAUAAGAAUAGAGUUAUUGAAUUUUUUAUUAUUAUUUCUUUUUUAAUGGGAAUAGUUGGACAUUUGAAGGCAUAUAAUUACGAAAAAUAGUCUAAUAAAACAAAUCGGAGUUUCUGAAAAAUAAAACAAAUUUAUAAGUUCAAGAAUUGAAAUUAAGGGAAAAGGUGUUGUAGAGCAAAUGAUUUUAAGAUCGUUCUCCAUUUUUUUUUAAAAAAAUUCUUUUAGAGAGCAAUGAUCGUUCUAACUUCUAACUACCUUUUGUUAUCAACUAUUUUUAGUGACACUUGUAUGAAAGUUGGUUUUCUUCAUUUCCAAAAAAAUGUCUUCUAAUUAGGGAAGUUAUAAAAUUUUUCCUUAAUUUAGUUUGUUUUUCCAUUAUAUAUAAGACAUAAUUGAAGGAAUAUGUAUAUUAAACAUUAUUUUAGCAAGAGAGAAGAGAAAAAGAGUAAUUAAAAUCAUGAAGAAGUUCAUUGUUCUCAUUCUUUUCUUCACUUUUUUUCUAUGUCUUAUGAAUCUUUCUCAAGGUAAAUAUAGUAUCCCAAAAAGUUAUUUUUAAAUUUGUUUUAAUAUGAGAAUACUCACAUUUUAACGAUUUUUAUGUUUCUUUGCAAGAAAAGGACAACUAAAAUUCUGUACUAAACACAUGACAAUUCCUGGCGUUUGUCCCAAGGAUCCUAAGGAAGCAGAAUUCGUGUGCCUUAAAGCCUUCUUCGAUAAAUAUGGAGCAACAAAGAGCCCAGAUAAUUGUCUAUGUAAACCAUCAACUGGCAACCAGCACAUCUGCCAAUGUGACAUUAUUUGCGAUCUACCACCACCUAAAAGAACUUAAUUAUGGUGCCCAAUAGUAUGAAGAAUGAAGAUCACUAAAUCCACGAUAUCGAUAUUAACCUAUUGUUAAAUCAUAGAUAGAUAAUGAUACGGUGGUUUGUAAUAAUAAAUCAUAAUAUUUACUUAAGCAAUUAAUCACUAUGGUUGAGAAACAUUUGUAUAUGAAACAAUGGGUAAUUUCAUUACAAUGUCGGAUUACUAAAAAGAAAAAUUGCUUUUAUACUAUUGAAUAUAAAUAAAUCCAGUCGAAUAAGUUUUCUUUUAAUCCUAAUAACCAUGUUAAAAACAAAACUUCUAAUUAAGAUAUAAAACUUUUUGUGUGCGCCUUUUUCUUCCCCCUUAAACAACUAAUAACUUAAGGCUAAAGUUUCAGUGUCGGGCCUCAAUGCCUAGCAUUGUGCCAAUUUUUAUUUGUAGCCAUUGGAUUCAAGUAAAAUGAGUCCAACGGUUGAGAUUAAAAUAAAAUAAAAAGUAACAGGUUACUUGUUAAACGGUUGCUGAAAUCCAUUACUUUUUCCCUCCUUCAAAUCUCAAACAUCUCUUUCACCUCUCUUACUAUCACUCUCUGAAAUACUGAUUUGUCUCUUGGAUUGUUUACUAAUCACAUAAAAUCGAAGCUACCGUGUAACACACAACGAACAACAAGUCGAAUCCAUCAAUUAGUUGGUGUCAUCUUGAGCUGUUCUCUUUCAUUUUUUAGUUAAAGACAAGGUAAUGAUGAUUCUUGUGUUUUUGUGGUGACUAUUGAAAAUGAUAUGUGAAAGAAUUAGGGGUUUAUGUGUUAUAUUAAAUUUUUGAUGAUAUGUGAAAUAAUUAGGGAUUUAUAGGCUGAUAGGUAGUGAGAAUUAUGAUGAUGACUUUAAGUUUCUCUUUUCUUUGCCUCUUCUAAGAACUGUAUUAUAUCCCACAAGUGUCACUUACAUCAAUACGAUGUACCUCCAUAUCCUGAAAGGUAGUAUGAAGAAUGAAGAUCACUAAAUCCACGAUAUCUAUAUUAACCUAUUGUUAAAUCAUAGAUAGAUACUAAUAUGGUGGUUUGUAAUAAUAAAUCAUAAUAUUUACUUACUAUGGUCGAGAAAUAUUUAACUAAUUAGUUACUGGGGUUGAGAAAUAUAUGUAUAUGAAACAUGGGUAAGUUCAUUACUAUGUCGGAUUACUAAAAAAGAAAAAUUACUUAUACACUAUUGAAUAAAUCUGGUUGAAUAAUUUUCCUUUUAACCCUAAUAAUGAUGUUAAAAAAGAAAAAAAGAAAAACAAAUACUUCUAAUUAAGAUUUAGAACUAGUGUGUGCACUUUUUUUUUAACAAUCAAUAACUUCAUUAUAAUCAAAGUGCGAACAAACGUUCUAAAAAGUCAUCCAGCCAAAUAACAGAAUUUAAAAGAGCUAACUUGGCUAGUACAUGGCUUGAGCUAUUUAAAAUUACAUGAAAUAUGAUGCAUUUGAAAAGCAUAUCGUCGUUCCAUGGGUUGUAAAAUAUUAGCAAUAACUUAGAAAAUACUAACUGCGAAAAUAGUAGCAACCCUGACAUACCCAUGACAAUCACACAUCACCGCACCUAAACCCAUGACAUUAUGCGCACAAUCAACAAUGAUGAUGCCAGCCUCACAGUGAAACUUUGAGACCCACGUUCAGUUUAAGGUUUCAAUUUCCCAACAUAGUUUUUUUUCCCUUUUUUAAAAGAGGAUCAUUGGAUUUCACCCCAUUCCACAUAUUAAAUAUGCUUGCUAUAUUCCUACCAAUAUACGUAGUAAUCUCUAAGUACCUAUGACUGGACAAAUCCCUAAUGCAAGGAAUAAAUAAAUAACAAUAUUAUUGACGUACUGAUGUAAUAAUAAAAGCCCUAACAUUUUUUUCUUUUGAAAAAGUUUAGUUGUUUGAUCACAUGAAAUUUAUAAUAUAUAUAAGUUUGCAAAAUGAUAGAGUCUAAAGAGAAAAAUCUUAUGUACUUUUUAGUAUUUUUGUACAAGAUAAAAUUGGAAUCAUUAAUAGGGUUUGGUGAGAUAAAAUGAGAUAAUCAAAUAUCAAUACUCUAAAAGAGAUAAUUAGAUUCUUAGGCUUUCAUAGUUUUUUCUUUUUUAAUACACUAGGCUUUUAUAGUUGGAACAUCUAAAUCAAAAGUAGAUGCAAAACUUGGCCAUAGAAAUUAGAACAUCCUUAAUUCAAAAGCCAAUACAAAGAUGUAUUCCUAGUAAGACAAAAACUUUUAAAGUGAUUAAAUUAGGGAAGCAUUGUGAUAUCCAAUUUUAGUAGGCGUACAAAGUUUAAUGAAAAUUUAAUUAAACAAAUAAUGAGUAGAAAUAAAAUGCGUAAAAGUAAAGCACACAAGAAGAUUUUUACGUUAUUCAUAACAUCCAUGGAGCCACGCUCAAAUAUCGAGUAAUUUACCAGGCUUAAGGGAUUACAACUUGUUGAAACCUUACACAAUAUGAGACUCCAUCUUAGUGAUUGCCACCAACUUAUUAUAAACUCACCAAGUGUUGAUAGGUGGCUUUUUAUCUAAAUUAAACCAUUAUUGGUGGUUUGUUGAUCUUGGAAUUGAGUUGAUAGCUCCACACUAUAAGAAAAUAGGCAAUAGAUAACAGUAAAUAACUGUCAUAAAAGGGGAUGUAUGACAGACAACUUAUUUGUCAUCUAUGUCAUUGUCAUUAAUUCAUGACAUAAAAUUUUCCAUCAUGAAUUCAUGAUGAUUUUUCACAGUUAUAUAUUUGUCACGCAAUAUUUUAAUGAGAAAUUAAAAUUAUUUAAAUUUUUGGCAUUUUUAAACUUUUUGGCUGGAAAUUGGUAUUAUCUCAAUAUUAAAAUUACUUAAAAGCAUUAAUUUUGAAUUGUAUUGUUAUUAUUAUUUGUGCUGAAUUAUUAUUAUUAUUAGAAUUCUCAAAUUCUGCAAAUUUGUUUUUAGAAUAAAUUUAUAAAUCUAAAAUAUAUACAAAAUAUGAUACAAAAAAUUAAAGAAUCCAAUUAAUAAAACUUGGAUAUCCAUUUAACCAUACAAUCCAGAUCAUUGAGGUAUUCAAGCAACAACAACCCAAAAUUUCACACAAUAUCCUAAACAGCCUCUCCAUUCUUUUGCCAUGCCCUCAAUUGUUGGCAUUAGAACACUAGUCCCGUAACUCCGCAUCUUAUUCCUGUUCAAGAAAAGAAUUAGAGCAAUAAUUAGUUUAACUAUGAGCGAACAUGCAUACCUUAAUAAUAGUUUACAGUCUAAUAAUUGCGCAUAGCUAUUUUUUUAUAAGUUGAAUUAUCCAAUGAAAAUAUCUAUCAUAGCCCCAAAGAAAAAAAGAACACAGACGCUAAAAGAAAGCAAAAUUGACAAUUUAAUUGCCUAAUUUAAUAAAAGGAGAAAAGAGUUCAUCACAUGUUUCUAUAUUGCCAAUAAAUGUACAUGUUACUAUAUUGCUAAUAAAUGUAAUCAUCACAUUUUCUUAAGAACUCUAUCUCCGCUAUAUUUUAACAAUAGUAAUUUUACCGCAAGCCAACACAGAAAAAUCACAAAACCAUUUUCACAAAUAAAGUAUUUGUAACAACACUCAAAUUUUAUCAGAUGCAAUAGGGGUAUCCAUCUCAAAACUAGUUCUAAAAUAGAAGAAAGCAAGGCAUUAGAAAGAUUAUAAUUCAAUGAAACACAUAAAAACAUCAAGCAAUUAUAAUUAAACAUCAAAUAAAAAUUCAUAGAGUUUAAGCAAAAGACGGAUAUCUAAACAUUUAUUCAAAUACCUGAUUAAGAAUUUCUAAAGUAAUCCAAUUCAGUCGCCUUGAACAAAAUCAUUAAUGGCACUACUGUUAGCCUAAAGGGCUACACAUUAUGUAAUUUUGAUGAUAACAAACAUGUGUCUUAAGUGAUUUUAUAAAUAUUGUAUUUCACAUUUCACUAGUUCUUGCAGGAUAAUAUUUAUGAUGAGGUGAAUCGCGUGAAAUCAAGCUCAAGACACUCAACGGACAAUUGCGCGAUGAAGAAUAAAGUUUAGAGCUCAACGAACUAAUUAUUGCAACAAAUUCUUGUAAACCCGGUAUGAUUUAAAUGAAAAGUUUUGCAAUCUUUGAUUUUAAUAAGUAUUAUGUUGAAUUUCAGAGUUGGACCUUUUUCCAAACAUUUGAAAUGUUUUGGGCCAUACUAUAAUUUAUGAAUAUUUUGGACUAAAGUCAAAGGUUUUGAGAACUUUGAAAAAUAUGGGUAUUAUGUUAACAUUUUGAAAAAGGACCUCUUUGAAAAAUAAUAAUAUAUUUGGGGUCAUAUCAUAAUUUCAAAAUUUUUUGAAAUUACAGUCAUUAUUUAGAAAUUCUAAAAUUGGACCAAUUUGUAAAGUUUUAUAACAUUUUGGGCUAUAAUAUAAUUAUAGAAAGUUUUGGAUAAAAGUGUAAUUUUAGUGAACAAUGUUACUGUAGCAAAAUUCAAAAAUAACGGUAAUAUCACUGUUACAAGCGGCUAGCGGGAUAAAUAAGGCAACUAACUGCUUGGUUGCGGGAAUUUAUCUAUAACGGCUAGUUUUCGGGCUUUAACUAUAAAAACUCAACUCCAACUUUAUUUUAAGGACUACUGCAAGCAUAAACAAGAUCAUAUAACAUAUAUUGAGCUUCCAUUUCACAAAUCAUCAUUUAUUGAAUCAUCAUUGAGCUAUAAUUUUUUUAUCCACUCUUAAAGAGAGUUUUAUUGUUGUAAUUUUCAUUUCUCAUCAAAUUGUGAGUGUACAAGUGUGAGAAACACUUGGGAUAAAGAGAUUGGGGAGAUAAUCUCUUGAUUGUAAAGGUCCAUUAACACCUUGAAAGUCAAUUGUAAACAUUUAAAGCCGUUGGAGGCUUGGAUAGUGAAAUCCUCAAGCUGGGUGAGCUUAGAGGCGUGGAUGUAGGCAGGGUUGCCGAACCACAUAAAAAUCCUUGUGUUUGUUUUCUCUUCCCCUUACUCUUUUAAUAUUGUGCUUGAUUGAAUUUAUUGUUUUUGAUUUGAUUAAGCAAUAGAUUGAAUUGUUGUGUGGUUUGCUUAGCAUAAGUUUUAAAAACCCAAUUCACCCCCUCUUGGGUUGCAUAACUUGCAUUUCAUUUUGUAUCAGAGCGAGGUGCUCUUAUGUAGACUUAACCGUUUAGAGUUAAAUAUCCAUGGCAACCCAUAAUAACUUAAACUUUUGGGGAAGGACAAUCAACAAUUAGACCGCUGUUCUUUGAUGGUAAUGACUACCCAUAUUGGAAAACUAGGAUGAUAAUUUAUUUACAAGUUUUAGAUUAUGAAAUUUGGGAAAUUGUUUGUGAUGGUCAAUUUAUGCCUUCAACUAAAAACGAAGUUGGGGAAGAUAUUCCAAAACCUUCACGGGAAUAGAAUGAAUUGGAAAAGAGAAAAGCUUCUCUAAAUUCCAAAGCUAUAAAUGCCUUGUUUUGUGCACUAGAUAAGAAAGAGUUUCAUAAAAUAUCUAGUUGUGAAAGUGCUAAUGAAAUUUGGCACAAACUUGAAGUUGUUUAUGAAGGCACGAAUCAAGUGAAAGAAUCUAAAAUUAGUUGGUACACUCGACAAUAUGAAUUGUUCCACAUGGAACAAAAUGAGAGUGUGUAUUCUAUGUAUACUAGAUUUACGGACAUAGUGAACACUCUAGGAGCCCUAGGAAAGACCUUUUCAAAUAGCGAGAAACUUAAAAAAAUCCUUAGGUCGCUACCUAAGGAAUGGAGACCAAAAAGGACUGCCAUUGAGGAAGCCAAAGAUUUAAAUAUCUUACCUAUUGAUGAUUUAAUUGGUUCUCUUAUUUCUUAUGAGGAAGACUUGGCAGCCGAAAAAGGCAAUGAGGAGAAGAAGAAAAGCAUUGCUCUCAAAGUCUCAAAAUAUGAGAGUGAUGAGGAGAGCGAGCUGGAUGAGGAGGAGAUGUUACUAUAUUGCCAAUAAAUGUAAUCAACACAUUUUCUUAAGAACUCUAUAUCCGCUAUAUUUUAACAUUAGUAAUUUUACCGCAAGCCAACACAUAAAAAUUACAAAACCAUAUUAACAAAUAAAGUAUUUGUAACAACACUCAAAUUUUUUCAGAUGCAAUAGGGGUAUCCAUCUCAGAAGAAAGCAAGGCAUUAUAAAGAUUAUAACUCAAUGAAACACAUAAAAACAUCAAGAAAUUAUAAUUAAACAUCAAAUAAAAAUUCAUAGAGUUCAAGCAAAAGACAGAUAUCUAAACAUUUAUUCAAAUACAUGAUUAAGAAAUUCUAAAGUAAUCCAAUUCGAUCGUCUUGAACAAAAUCAUUAAUGGCACUACCUUAUCUAAAGUGAAGCACUUUUUAACUGGUGGACCAAAUGUAUAGCAUAAAAGACCAGACAACAUCACAAAAGCCCCACUUUGAUAAAACAUCAUUAAAAACCACACAACAAAGGAUUCUAAAUUCUCAACAAUAUUUACUAAUAAAUCUUUCAACAUUUCAGUUUAAGAAUUAAUGAGCUACCUACUAGAAAACUAGCGUAAACAAAACUCAAACAUACACAAAACAAUCUAGUUCUUUCUAGUUCAAGCAAAUUAAAAAAAAAACUAUGAAAGAUAUAAGAUUCACCAACUUUGUGGAUUUAAUUCUAUAUGUCAACUAGACUAAGGCCAUUAAAGUGGGAUGGCUUCUUUAAUAACAUACAUUAAAGUCACGAAGUACCACACAUAGUACAAAGUGUAAUGUCUAGGUUUUUAUAUAUAUGAAAGAUGAAUUUAAAUGUUUUGGCUCAUUGUCUGCAGCUAUUUUUUGUAGCUAUUAUAAUCUUGAUCGUAUUUUACGAUAUAUAUAUAUAUAUAUAUGUUUAGCACUACCAUUGGAUUUCUAUUUUGAUUGUGCACACAAUAUUCUGGUUCUGAUUAUGUUCUUAGCAAGGUCAUUGGAAGUAUAGGUGACACUAUGUGACAUGAGUUAACUUUCUUUUUAUUGUGUAUAUAUGAUAUACAAUUUGUUUUCGUGAUUAAUUACGCUUUUGAAAUUCUAAAUAAAUUAUGAAUUUAUAUCUUUCUGUUAUAAAUUUAUGAUUUUUAAUAUAUGUUUUGAUAAGAAAAGGGCUUGCAAUAUUUUUUGAACUUGAUAACUAUAGUGAGUGGCAAUGGUUUUACUUACCAAGUUGACAGCGCACUACUCGUCAUUACUUUUUGGAGAUUGAGUAACUUAUUGAGAGGUGCGCUUAUCUUUGGACCUGGAAAUUUAUUUAUUUUUGUUAGUAGAAUAAGAGGAGAAUGAACUUUUGUUUCCUUUAAGUUUGUUUAUCUUCCGAACUUGCUGUUGUGCAAAUUUUAUUGAACUCGCAAGCGCAUGAAUCUAUUGUAGAAUAGAUCAAUGGUGACGAGUGUCAAUCUCACGAGGAGGUGGAUUUUAAUUAUGCGUAGAAUUAAUUUUCUAUGUGGGUGGUUGGAUUUGUGGUGAAAAUGAUUGGGACUAUCCUAAAAUUUGAAUUAAAAUGGGGAGAAUAAAUUGAAGAGAAAUCUACUUAAAUGAAGCACUUGGGUAUCUGGAUUUGCAUCAACAUGCACCAUGGGCUAAAUAUUCCUUAUUAGUGCCAAUUAAAUCAUGAGGGGGGAAUCCACACCUCAUGAACCACACUCUAAUCAAUACGUUGCUAAGGGCUUAUCGUGCCAAAUAAUAAUAACCUUGUACUAGGGAGCUGGUGAAACCAGGGUGGUAUCUAGACAAGAUUAUUACUAUUUGUCGAUGAAAUGUCAAAACAUCCACAAAUUUUAGAAGGGAAGAGAAAAUAAAUUUACCAAAUAAAGCCCAUGGCACAUGUUGAAACUUCACCUUCAACCCAAGCUUAAAAGAAAAUUAGCUACUCAUAAUUGAACUAAGGGCAAAAUAGAAAUUUAUUAAAAUACGUAGAAAAUACAAGAUGGAGAAGGAAUUACAAAAAAAUUGAACUAAAAAAUGAAUUCAAGGAUACCAAAUUAUGGGGGGAGAGCCCUCUUUUUAUAGAUACAUUGAGUAAAUCAUGGCCAUUGGAUUAAGAACAUUUCGGACGCUCAGGAUUGCGCCACGUCAUCAGUCAACAGUACGCGGUUUGACCACACGGUUUGAACAGUGACGUGGUUUGAACAGUAAUGCGGUUUGGUUGUAAGAUAUCCUGUGUAUAUGCAUGUACCGUACACAUAAUUUUUGGUCCACUGAUAUACUCUCACGUCACCGAUCAACAGUACAUAAGAAUUUUAGUGCAAUAGAAUCGUGACACCUCAUCAGUCAAUGCCACAUCAUCGGUCAAUGCCACGUCAUCGAUCCAUCUAUGUGAAUAGUGUCAUGAACAGUAACGUAGACAGUAUCAUACAUGUGAAUAGUACUGUACAUGUGAACAAUGCCAUUUUUCUUUUUAUGCUCCUCUUAAAGUUUUCGACUAUCCUGAGUUCAAAAGUGAUGUCCGUUUUGCUGUCUGAUCUCUCGUCCAGUGUGAAAUGACCAUGAUGCCCCUAAAAUCCAUAAAAUACUUAAUUAAAAUAAAACACACAUAAUUAAAUCACAAGAAGCUUAAAUACAUAAAAGUAAGUAUGUUAGUAAGACUUGAAAUGUAAAAUGACGAUUUUCUCCUUUAUAAAUAUACAUUUUCUAACACUCAACACGCCCCCCAACCUGCUUAUUGCUAGUCCCUAGCAAAUAAAGCGAAAACAAAAUUCAAACCCAAAAUGUUUUUUUCUUUUUUAAAAAACACUCUUGUUUAUUCAGUCAAACCAAUGAUAGCAAACAAAUAAAAGUAUAAGUAUUAUCUCCAGUCUAAAGAAACAUCACACCCACAUCAACCAUCCACAUGAAUCACCCUAGUAGACUUUUUCACAGCUACUUUCAAGAAUGAUAUGUCAAACCCCAAAAUCUCACUGCAAGUAGUGACACUCUCACAAGAAAAUUAAACCCAAUAAAAAUAGUCAUUCCAAUGAAUACUAAAUUUGAGAGAAAAUAAUAUAGAAGUAAUAUCACACGCUCUUACCAAGAUGAAAGAAAUUUGCCCAUAGCUUAAAAAUAACACAAUCUGAAGUCAAAAUGCUAGUCAACCCAAUGUAUUCAUUUUUUUUUUACUUUUUAUUUUUAUUUUUAUUUUUUUAUACAUCACUACAUCUUUUUAACCCAUAAAACUAGCUUUUACUUCAGAUUAUAGAUCCCUAAAGUCAAGAAGGACUUUUAUUGGGACGUAACGUAGGGUAAUGACAUGGCUAACAAAGGAAGAAAAAUAGGAAAAAACAAAUAUAUGUUCGAGAAAAAGUAGAGAUCUUUUGGAACUUGCAAGGUGGAUUUCGGCUAUUAUUGUUUUUUUGCUUUUUUUUAAACAACAAUUUUUUUUUGUUUUCUUUUGUUUGGCACAACUUCACUGAACAAAAUAAUUAUUUACAUUUUUCUCAAACAUAAAUAGGUGAUGGAACUUGUAAGAUAUCGGGUAAUACUCUAAAUCAGAGUGGGUCAAGAUGAUAAGUUUGACAAAGAAAAUUUUUUUUUUAAGGGCUCAAAAGGGUUAACUAUAGAUUUUUCACAAAAGGGAUGACUAGAAAGGCUCAAACGGGUCAAAGGUGGUCUUUUCAUCGUCUUUUAGGGCUCUAAAUAAUCUUCCAUAUCUACUAGUUAGAUGGACCUCAAGAUAUAGCAACACACAUUUUUUUUCUUUUUUUUUUAUCUUGCAAUUUGUUUUUCUUUUUAGAGGGUUGACUCAAACGAAAUAUAGAGAUCGUAUAUAAAAUAGUAAACUGCUAAGUUGUUGAAGAAUGGGCAAAAGGGGUUACUCUCCAAGAAAAAUGACAGGCUAAAAAACUCACUUGGUAUUUAUUAUGACAUGUGCAUUCCUUCUAGUAACUCAUAUUUGUCUCCGAUAUCAACAUAUAGAAUAGCAAACAUAGCAUAACAUCACUUAAGACCAAAGAUAGUACAAAUACUAAAAUUUAAAAGUCAUCAUGUCAUCCAAUAUAAAAAAAAAUCACACAAUUUUUUUAAAAAAAAAAGACAGUCUACCCCCCAACCUAUUCUAAACAUGAAAAGAAAAUAUGCAUGCAGAAAGGUGAAAAAUGAUCUAGAAAAGCUAAUUAGAAAAGUUACACUUAAAAUGAUAAAAAAAGAAAAUACUUUUUUUUAACUAAGAAGAUGCGUUUCUAGAGGCACUACACUCCAUAUUCAGCCAUCUUUGAUUCAAAAAUUUGAAAGUGUAUAUUUAUAAAGGAGAAAUUAAAAAGAAGAAGUUAAAAAAAAAUUGUCAAAGCUUAAUAAAGAAAAAGAAAAUGUCUGGAAUUUUUUUUGUUUUUUUUAAACGAAAAAGAUGCAUUUCUAGAGUAACUACACUCCAUAUUCAGCCAUCUUCAACACAAAAAGUUAAGCCACGGUUAGUCUCUAGAAUAAAAAAUUUGUAAAAACUUAACCAAGAUUCCACAAUUGUCAACUAUUCCCUCCCCCCAACUAGAAUGAAACAUUGUCCUCAAUAUUUUAAAGGAAAGAAGUAGAGUUUAAAAGACAUCACCUGGGUCCUGGGGUCUGGCUCUGAUGUAUAAGACAACACAGAAGAAAAUAUUUACAAGUGGAGAGUUAAAUCUAAUUUGUACUUCUUACUGUGGCUACUGUUACCAUCAUUAUUUGGAAACUCUAACACCAAGGUCCUGGGGUCUGGCUCUGGUGUAUAAGCUUGUAACAUAUCAAGUAGCUCCUUAGCAGUGUGAGCACAAAUAAAAAGUUUUUUCGUUGUGGAAGGAAUGAAAUAAUUUUUUAUUGCAUGGUUAAGAAAUGCGAUGAAACCAUCAUAAAAGUUAUUGACAUUUAACAAACCGAUGGAUUUCUGGUGAAUGUGCAGAUGGGCCCAAGAUGCUAAUGUGAUAAGUGCCUCUAGAGUUGCAAGAUCUCUUGGUAGGAAAAUAAAAGCAUCAACAUGAUUAAGCAUUUUAGGUAUUCUUUCUUGCAUACCUGAGACGACUAACUCUUUUCCAGUUGGUGAGUCAGACAAACUGCCCAAAGGUUUUAGGGCUCUUGGGAUGAUGCCUAACACUUGGCUUCCUCUGACAAAAGCAGCUUCUGAGACCAAUUUUGAUAACCCUUAGUUACCUCCUCCAUACACCAAGUGUAAUUUUUCCUCUGUUAUACUUCGACCAAGAUCUAUGGCUGCUUCAACGAACUCUUUAUGUUUGCCAUAGUUAAAUCCAGAAAGUACACAAAUGUUCUUGAAUUGUUUAUUGGGAGUAGCUGCCAUUGGAAUACUUCUAAAAAAUAAUUUGUGAGUGCUUAACAAAAAGUCAUUUUUAAGAAUUUUGGUGACAAUGGGUCACAACUGUGUAUGAAGUAGCAUGUCAGUGUCAAUUAACGCGUAAAACACAUGGCUCACGAGUCAAAAAGGAAAAAGUAAAAAGAGAAAGAAACAAUGAUAAAAUAAAAUUAUUAAAGACAAUAAUGCAAAUGAUAAAACAAUAGUGAAAUAAAAUAACAGUAAAGUAAAAGGAUAUUUACAAGUAGUUGCGACUGUGGCCCACAUCUUCCUCUAGUUUUACGUUCAGAAACAGCUUGAACGCCCUCUAUGGGUUGAGGAUAGGCUUCCCAUCUAGUUUUCUUAUAAACUGGCAAAUAGGGUCGUUUAUAGUCAGAUUCUCGAGACUAUAUCGUGUAUGCUCUUUCUGGAAUAAAGGCCAUAACCAGAGAAUCGUUCCUUGUACAUAUCCACUUGGAUGCAUUUCAAGAGACAAAAGGAUAUCAUCCAAUGACUCCUUAUUCAAGCCAUCCCUAAUGAAUUGAAUUUUAUCUUCUCUGUUACCAGACACCAUUCCUAAAGAACAUGGUUUUUUAUCGCAUCUCAUUCUGGCACACUUAUGAAAAGCAACAAAAAUUCUUUAAGCUCGUCGUUUUCUUGCAUAAUUUCCUUUACCACAACUAGGUAUGUAUGCAAUAAAUUUUGGAGGCAACUCACCUGCCAACCGUACUUUAGCCUCGAUUAACCAGUGAAUGUCACUAGGUAUGUUAUUCCUCAUAAGCAAUCGCAUGCGUUUGAACCGAGCUUUAUGGAUUGUAAGGAGGGCAUUCUAAGGAAGUGAAGGGAAUCGAUUGUGAAGCAUUGCUAAAAUCUCGUUUCGAUCCCUACCAUCGCCUCAAAAUAUCAGUUAUUAUGGGAAACUGAAAUAACCAACUUGAUUGUCACGGAGUACCGUUAUCCACCACUUCACCGGGGUAACAAACAAAAGCACACAAACAAAGAAAAACAAACUAAAACACAUAAAGAAAAUUACAAUCGACCUCUUAUUGAAUUUACCUCAAGCUCCAACUGGAUGUUGUAGACACCUCUCUCAAUGUCUCUGAGUUGGCUUUCUAAAUCCUCAACAUGGGAUACUAACUCUGGUGGUUGCAGAGCCCAAAUAUGAUGUGUUUUAUAAAAUCGAAUCUGCCUUUUGAGAUGAGAUUUUACACGUUGAAGUGGUCUAAGAAUUUUCAGGAGGAACUAUUUAGCUAUGACACUCAUGAUUAACAAUGAUAAGAGAAAACUUAAUGGUUAAACAAACACGCUUAUGUAAAAAUAAUUUCAAUUAGCAAAAGAAUAGUAAAAAGAAAACAAAAAAUCAAAUCACCGAAAAGAAAGAAAAAUCUCAAUUCAAAUUUGGUGGGUCACUCAAAUUUAUUUCAGUAUCCUCUCCAUGUGGUUGGUACUCUAGAUAUGGCUUUAAUCUUUGACCAUUAAAUUUAAGCGUGACACCGUUCUUUGGGUCUUUAAUUUCAAUUGCCCUAUGUGGAAAAACAGUGUGAACAAUAAAAGGGCCAGACCAUCGAGAGCGUAACUUACUUGGGAAUAAGUGCAAGCGAGAAUUGAAUAAAAGCACUUUCUGACCUGGAGUGAAAGAUUUUCUUAUAAUUUGUUUGUCAUGAAAGAUUUUCAUUCGCUGCUUGUAAAUCUUGGCAUUUUUGUAUGCAUCAUUGCGAAUUUCUUCAAGUUCUGCCAGUUGUAAUAUUCUUUCUGAGCUAGCUUACAACAUGUCAAAGUUGAAUUUCUUAAUGGCCCAGUACGCACGAUGCUCGAGUUCCACAGGUACGUGGCAAGCUUUUCCAUACACUAGCAUGUAGGGUGACAUUCUAAUUGGGGUCUUGAAAGCCGUUCUAUAUGCCCAUAAUGCAUCAUCGAGUCUUAAUGACCAAUAUUUUUUGUCCGGCCUCACCAUUUUUUCUAAUAUAUGCUUAUUUCUCGAUUGGAGAUCUCAACUUGGCCACUGGUUUGCGGAUGAUAUGGGGUCGCCACUUUAUGAGUGGUGUAAUACUUUGUCAAAAAAGAUUUGAAUGCUUUUUUACAAAAGUGGGCACUACCAUCACUGAUUAUUUCUCGAGGGAAUCUAAAGCGUGAAACAAUGUUACUUUUCAAAAACCCUAUCACUACCUUGUGAUCAUUGGUUCUACAUGGAAUUGCUUCUACCAAUUUUGAUACGUAGUCAACAGCAACCAAUAUGUAUUGAUGGCCAAAAGAAGAGGGAAAAUGUCCCAUUAAGUCGAUGCCCCAUACAUCAAAAAUCUCAACCACUAAAAUUAGAUUUAGUGGCAUCAUAUUCCUUCGUGUAAUGCUACCCAUUCAUUAACACCUAUCACAUGAAGCACAGAAAGUGUAAGCUUCUUAAAAUAUAGUUGGCCAAUAGAAACCACAUUGUAAAACUUUAGUAGCUGUUUUCUUAGCACUGAAAUGGCCUCCACAAGUUUGGUCAUGGCAUAAUGAAAUAAUAUUAUGAAUUUCAUUCUCUGGGACACAUCGUCUAAUAAUUUGAUCUGCAUAAUACUUGAACAGAUAAGGGUCAUACAAAAAGAAAUUCUUUAUUUCUGUAAAAAAAUUGGCUUUGUCCUGUUUGGUCCAAUGCUCUGAAAGUUGACCUGUAACAAGAUAAUUAAUGAUAUCAGCAUAUCAUGGUAAUACUUCCACACUCGUCAAUUGUUCAUCUGGAAAUGACUCAUUCAAUGUUAAUGGUUCUGUAAUUGUGUCAAAAUAGAGACGAGAGAGAUGGUCUGCCACAACAUUUUCUGUGCCUUUCUUAUCUUUGAAUUCCAAAUCAAAUUCCUGCAAAAGUAACACCCAACGAAUUAGCAUAGCUUUUGCAUCUUUCUUUGUGAGAAGAUAUUUAAGAGCAGCAUGAUCUGUGAAUACAAUUAUUUUACAACCAAUUAGAUAAGAUCGAAAUUUCUCUAUUGCAAACACUAUUGCUAGCAUUUCUUUUUCAGUAGUUGAAUAGUUCAACUGUGCAUCAUUCAAUGUCAUAUUAGCAUAGUAAAUAAUAUGGGGAAUUCGAUCAACUCUUUGUCCUAAUACUGCUCCUACUGCAUAAUCAGAUGCAUCACACAUAAACUCAAAUGGUAAGUUCCAGUUUGGAAGCUGAAUGAUGGGUGAUGAUGUUAAUAACUGUUUUAAUUUUUCAAAUGCCACAAGACAUGAAUCAUCAAAGACAAAAGGAAUAUUUCUUAGCAAGUAGAUUGCAUAAGGGUCUAGAAACGUUGCUAAAAUCUUUAAUGAAACGUCUAUGAAAACCAGCAUGCCCAAAGAAAGAUCUUACUUUACAGACUUUUUUAGGUGAAGGAAGAUUGAAAAUGAGAUCCACCUUGGCUUUGUCAACCUCAAUACCUUUGCUCGAAAUGAUGUGACCGAGAACAAUACCUUAUUUUACCAUAAAAUGACACUUCUCCCAAUUUAAAACUAAGCUCUUCUUGAUACAUCUCUGCAGAACUAGUGUUAGAUGAUGUAAACAUUGAUCAAAUGUGUCACCAAAAAUAGAAAAGUCAUCCAUAAAGACUUUAAGGAAUCGUUCAACCAUAUCAGAAAAAAUGCUCAACAUGUAUCGUUGAAAUGUAGCAGGCGCAUUACAUAAUCCAAAUGGCAUUCUCCUAUAUGCAACAGUGCCAAAAGGGCAAGUGAAAAUAAUUUUCUCUUGAUCUUUUGGUGCUAUGGGAAUCUGAUUAUACCCUGAGUAGCCAUCUAGAAAGCAAUAAAAUUCAUGGCCUGCUAAUCUAUCAAGCAUUUGAUCAAUAAAUGGUAAAGAAAAAUGGUCUUUAUGUGUGACAGAAUUCAACUUUCUAUAAUCAAUGCAUACACGCCAUCCUGUAGUCACUCUAAUGGGUAUCAAUUCAUUAUCAGCAUUGGUAACUACUGUGACUCCUAACUUUUUGGGGACAACUUAUACAGGACUAACCUAUGAACUAUCAGAAAUUGGGUAAGUGAUACCUGCAUCUAAUAGCUUAAGGACUUUAGUUCUAACAACUUCUUUCAUAUUAGGAUUUAACCGACGUUGCAUUUCCCUAGUAUGUUUAGCAUUUUCAUCAAGGUGAAUGUAAUGUAUGCAGUUUACUGGGUUUAUACAUUUUAUAUCGGCUAUGGUCCAUCCUAAUGCUCCUUUGUGCUCUUUUAAAACAUCCAACAACUUACCUUUUUGUUCGUCAUUUAGGGAUGAUGAGAUGAUUACCGGCAGAGUACUUUCUUCUCCUAAAAAUGCAUAUUUCAGAGUGUUGGGUAAUGGUUUGAGCUCGAGUUUUGGUGGUGAUUCUGAUGAUGGGAUGAGUUUAUUCUCUGAUGGUGCUAGUUAUUCAACUCUUGACUUCCAUUUAUUAGUGUCCAUGGAUGGUGCUUAGUCAAGUAGGGCGUUGACCUCAUCAACCGAUCUGUCAAUAUCAAAAUCAAAACCAAAGUGAGUUAAACAUGUUUGUAAAGGAUCAUCACUAAGGUUUGAAAGAAAAGUAUCAUCAACCAAUGCUUUUAUUAAAUCCACAUUAACAAUUCCAUCAUCUGCAUUGCGAGGUUGUUUGGCAAUAUUGAAAAGGUUUAGUUCCAUAGUCAUGUUGCCAAAAGACAACUGCAUAUUUUCAGUCCUACAUUGAAUGUGAGCAUCCGCAGUUGCCAAGAAAGGUCGGCAUAGGAUAAUAAGGAUGUGUUUCCUUGAAUCCUGGAUUGGUUGAGUGUUAAUUACAAUGAAAUCAACAGGAAAAUAAAACUUGUCUACCUGGAUAAGCACGUCCUCCACAAUACCACGAGAUAUUUUUAUGGACUGAUCUGCAAGCUGUAACACUACUAGAGUUGGGUGUAAUUCUCCCAGUCCAAGUUUCACAAAUACUGAAUAAGGCAUUCUCAAUUGUGUGGUUCCCUAUGCUACAUGAGAUAGUGGGGGAGCCUGGGUCUUGGUAUUUUAGAGGAAUUUUGUGUUGUGGUAUAGAACUGACAUUUUUUGUUAAAAAGGCCUUCUUUUGAACAUGAAUGUUUCUCUUUUUAGUACAAAGGUUGUUAAGAAACUUGGCAUAAGAUAAAACUUAUUUUAUAGAAUUAAGUAAAGGGAUGUUAACACUUACCUGUUUGAAGAUUUCAAGAAUCUCACAUGUGAAUUUUCCUUUCUUUCCUUUAGCUAACCUCUGAGGAAAUGGAGCUUUGGGAACAUAUUCUUGUGGGUUGGUUUCUUCUUUCUCUUCCGAUGGUAAGUCCUCAACAUUCACAGGUACAAUUUGAUUUUGUUUUGUCACCGGCAUCUCCACUUUAUUGUCGACUUCUUUUCCUUUUCACAAGGUCAUGACAACUUUGACCUCUCCGUGCUGCUGUGGUGAACUGGUACUUACUUCAUGCACUCCUUUAGGAUUAGGCACUGGUUGACUUGGAAAUUUGCCUUUCUCAACAAUUAUUGCCAAGGUUUGAACUGAAGAAGCAAGUUGUCGCACCAGCUUCUCGAGGUUUGAAACUGAUUGGGCUUGUGAGUUGAAGCCUACUCUCAUCUCAUUUCGUAUUUCAUCAAUGGUGCAGUUCUGUUGCUCAAUCAUGGAGUGAGUAACAUUCCUGAAAUUUUGGAAUGCAUCCUCUCAUGGUCUGGGUUGAGAGUAGUUCUGGUUCUGAUUGUAUGGUCUAAAUGGUGGCUGAGAGGCUUGAGAAAUUUGAGGAAUUGGUUGCAUUAGUGGAGCUGGAGCUGCUGGUCCAUUAUAUUGGAAUCCUUGAGACCAUGAAACAUUGGGGUGGUCUCUCCAUUCAGGGUUAAAUGUGUUGGAGUAUGUGUUGUAAUUAGAUGGUUUUCUCAUUACACCUAUGGCAUUGGCUUGAUCUGAGUAUAAGUCAUUGUCAUGUGGUUCUGUUGAUUUAGCUGUCGUUAACGAUGCUAUUUGUCGGGAAAGACCUUCAACCAUCUCUUUGACUUCUUUAAUUCCUGAACUUGACUCGCCAAUGUGAACCUCAUUUACUCCCUUAAUUCUUUUAGUAUUUCUGAGUCAUCAACUCCGUUGUUGGGAAUUAUCCGCUUGUCGCUAGAAGAAUUCCCAAAUCUCUGAUGCACUUUUUGACAUUAGCUCUCCUCCACUUGUUGCCAUUAGCCAUUCUUAGACAUGUGGCAAUAAUCCCUCCAAAAGGUAUUGGCAUUGGUACCAUUUCUCAUACCCAUGAUGUGGACACUUCAAGAGUAGCCCAUUGAAUCGCUCUCAUGUUUCGAAAAACUGUUCGUCUUCUCUCUGGGUAAACUCUAAAAUUUCCCUGCGAAUAGCAUUGGUUUUAUGCACUGGAAGAAAAUGAGAAUAGUUAAAGUUUAACAUCAUCGUGUGAAAAAUUUUCAUAUUUAAAAGUUUGACAAGCAGCAUGAAAAUCAUUCAGAUGAUUAUAUGGGUCCUCAUUUCUAGUCCAUAGAAUGUUGGAAGACAAUUUAUCACACUGGAUUUUAGUUCAAAACUCCUAACAACUACAUUUGAGUAUCUUAUGCAUGAUGUGCUCAAAUUAGCUAAGGGACUGAAGUAGUCCUUAAAUGGCCUCUCCUGUGGUGGUGGUUGUUGUUGUAAAUCCAUUUCAGUUUUAUCUUUAAUUACAACUUGUUUGUGUGUGCGAAGUGUUUUUUCAAGUUUAAGGUCUAUAGGCUCAAGAUUAGGUUAUAAUGACAUUCGACCGUGCAUGCAAAGAACACAAAACAAUUAAAAAUAAAGAAAGAUAAAUUAUAAUAUUACCUUUAUCGCGCUGUUACAACCUUUCUGUAAAAACACACUAAAAAAUAAUACAUGAAAUAAAUUAAAAAUAAAUUAAUAAGAUAAACAAAAAAAAUUACAAAGAAAAAAAGAUUAACUUGAAAAUUAAAUUACAGAAUUUUAAAGAAGAGAAAAAGAAAAGAAAUUCUUACAUCUAAAUGCAUAUUCACUUUUUAAAAAAAAUUACAAGAAAAUAAUUAAAAGAAAUUAUUUACAAAAAUUAAGUCUAUGAAUUAAAAUAAUUUACCUCCCCGACAACGGCGCCAAAAACUUGUUGUGCCAAUUUUAUUGAACUUGCAAGCGCACGAAUCUAUUGUAGAAUAGAUCAAUGGUGACGAGUGUCGAUCCCACGAGGAGGUGGAUUUUAAUUAUGCGUAGAAUUAAUUUUCUAUAUGGGUGGUUGGAUUUGUGGUGAAAAUGAUUUGGACUAUCCUAAAAUUUGAAUUAAAAUGACGAGAAUAAAUUGAAGAGAAAUCUAUUUAAAAGAAGCGCUUGGGUAUCUGGAUUUGCAUCAACAUGCACCAUGAGCUAAAUAUUCCUUAUUAGUGCCAAUUAAAUCAUGAGGGGGGAAUCCACACCUCAUGAACCACACUCUAAUCAAUAUGGUGCUAAGGGCUUAUCGUGCCAAAUAAUAAUAACUUUGUACUAGGGAGCCGGUGAAACCAAGGCGGUAUCUGGAUGUUGAAACUUCACCUUCAACCUAAGCUUAAAAGAAAAUUAGCUACUCAUAAUUGAACUAGGGGCAAAAUAUAAAUUUAUUAAAAUACAUAGAAAAUACAAGAUGGAGAAGGAAUUACAAAAAAUUGAACUAAAAAAUGAAUUAAGGGAUACCAAAUUAGGGGGGGAGAGCCCCCUUUUUAUAGAUACAUUGAGUAAAUCAUGGCCAUCGGAUUAAGAAUAUUUCGGACGCUUAGGAUUGCGCCACGUCAUCAGUCAACAGUACGCGAUUUGACCACACAGUUUGAACAGUGACGCGAUUUGAAUGGUAACGCGGUUUGGUUGUAAGUUAUCCUGUGUAUAUGCAUGUACCGUACGCAUAAUUUUUGGUCCACUGAUAUGCUGCCAUGUCACCGAUCAACCGUACAUAAGAAUUUUAGUCCAAUAGAAUCGUGACACCUCAUCAGUCAAUGCCACAUUAUCGGUCAAUGCCACAUCAUCGAUCCAUCUAUGUGAAUAGUGUCGUGAACAGUAACGUAGACAGUACCGUAUAUGUGAAUAGUAUCGUACAUGUGAACAAUGCCAAUUUUCCUUUUAUGCUCCUCUUAGGGUCUACGACUCUCCUGAGUUCAAAAGUGAUGUAUGUUUUGCUGUCUGAUCUCUCAUUCAUUGUGAAAUGACCAUGAUGCCCCUAAAUCACAAGAAGUUUAAAUACAUAAAAGUAAGGAUGUUAAUAAGACUUGAAAUGUAAAAUUACGAUUUUUUCCUUUAUAAAUAUACAUUUUCUAACACAACACUUACAAUUGGAGAGUUUUGAGAUUUUGUUAUAUUUAUGGCUUUGGAAAAAGGAAAAUCCUUAGUAUUAGGCUAGUGGAUUUGUUUGAAUAAACUUUGGCUCAGUUCUAAUUGAGGCUUUUGUGAAGGAUUAUUAUUUAUAAGUAACUUCCUUUACCACAUGCUCCACGCGUGUUGGAUUUAGGGUAUUACAAUUUGCUUCAAGUGAGGAUGUUGUUUUUGUAGUUUUUAUUGGUAACUUAUCAAUACUAGACUUAAAUAAAUCAAAGAUGAACUUAGAAAAUGGUAAAAGAGGCUAUAAAUAAGGUUAAAAUUCUCAAAUUUGAAAUUAAUUCAUAUGACUUGAAAAUUGAACAAAUUAGCCAUAAAUUUGUUUCAACCAUCCAAGAUAGUUUUAAACAAAUUUUAAGUUCAACAAAACCUUGACCCAAUGUUUAAGAAACUUAAUGGUAAUUUCCUAACUGUACAUUUUAUCAAGCUAAUGUAUUUUCCUUUUAUACACGAGCAAAGUACAUGAUUGUUCAUGGAAUACAUAACCUAUUCAUAAUUUAAAUAGAGGUGGAAAAUGGGUUAAUGGAUUGUGUUUAUGUUGUAUCAAAAUUUAAGCCUACUUAAACACAGUCUAUUUAAUAAUUGCAUCAAACAAUCAAAAUCCUAGUUAACCUGAGAUGACUAUUAACUGGAUUUACAUUAGCACGAUCAAUUUAAUAAUUAAAUCAAAUUUUAAUUGUGUCGAGUAAAUGAGUAAGAAAAUAAACAAGAUAAAAUUACUGGGGAAAAGAACAUUGAAUGAAGUAGCGCGGUAAAGUUGUCAAGGCGUUUAUUAGAAAGAGAGAGAAGUAAAUAGUAAUUAAUCAAAAAAUAUAGGCCCAAUCAAAAUUUUUCUUUGUUCCAAUAGAAAUAUUCAGUCAAUAAUAAUUUAUUAAUAUAGUUUAUGAUUUCCCAACCCUUACCCUUUAAAUGAAAAAAAAAUUAACAUAUUUUAUGAAAUGUUAAAAUGAUUAGCCAGCUGCAAGGUAAUAAGAAUAGAGUUAUCGAAUUUUUAUUAUUAUUUCUUUUUGAAUGGGAAUAGUUGGACAUUUGAAGGCAUAUAAUUACGAAAAAUAGUCUAAUAAAACAAAUCGGAGUUUCUGACAAAUAAAACAAAUUUAUAAGUUUAAGAAUUGAAAUUAAGGGAAAAGGUUUUGUUGACCAAAUGAUUUUAAGAUCGUUCUCCAUUUUUUCAAAACAAAUACUUUUAGAGAGCAAUGAUGGUUCUAACUUCUAACUACCUUCUGUUAUCAACUAUUUUUAGUGACACUUGUAUGAAAGUUGGUUUUCUUCAUUUCCAAAAAAAUGUCUUUUAAUUAGGGAAGUUAUAAAAUUUUUCCUUAAUUUAGUUUGUUUUUCCAUUAUAUAUAAGACAUAAUUAAAGGAAUAUGUAUAUUAAACAUUAUUUUAGCAAGAGAGAAGAGAAAAAGAGUAAUUAAAAUCAUGAAGAAGUUCAUUGUUCUCAUUCUUUUCUUCACUUUUUUUCAAUGUCUUAUGAAUCUUUCUCAAGGUAAAUAUAGUAUCCCAAAAAGUUAUUUUUAAAUUUGUUUUAAUAUGAGAAUACUCACAUUUUAACGAUUUUUAUGUUUCUUUACAAGAAAAGGACAACUAAAAUUCUGUACUAAACACAUGACAAUUCCUGGCAUUUGUCCCAAGGAUCCUAGGGAAGCAGAAUUCGUGUGCCUUAAAGCCUUCUUCGAUAAAUAUGGAGCAACAAAGAGCCCAGAUAAUUGUCUAUGCAAACCAUCAACUGGCAACCAGCACAUCUGCCAGUGUGACAUUAUUUGCGAUCCACCACCACCUAAACGAACUUAAUUAUGGUGCCCAAUAGUAUGAAGAAUGAAGAUCACUAAAUCCACGAUAUCGAUAUUAACCUAUUGUUAAAUCAUAGAUAAAUAAUGAUACGGUGGUUUGUAAUAAUAAAUAAUAAUAUUUACUUAAGUAAUUAAUCACUAUGGUUGAGAAACAUUUGUAUAUGAAACAAUGGGUAAUUUCAUUACAAUGUCGGAUUAGUAAAAAGAAAAAUUGCUUUUAUACUAUUGAAUAUAAAUAAAUCCAGUCGAAUAAGUUUUCUUUUAAUCCUAAUAACCAUGUUAAAAACAAAACUUCUAAUUAAGAUAUAAAACUUUUUGUUUGUGCCUUUUUCUUCCCCCUUAAACAACUAAUAACUUAAGGCUAAAGUUUCAGUGUCGGGCCUCAAUGCCUAGCAUUGUGCCAAUUUUUAUUUGUAGCCGUUGGAUUCAAGUAAAAUGAGUCCAGUGGUUGAGAUUAAAUUAAAAAUAAAAAGUAACGGGUUACUUGUUAAACGGUUGCUUAAAUCCAUUACAUUUUCCCUCCUUCAAAUCUCAAACAUCUCUUUCACCUCUCUUACUAUCACUCUCUGAAACACUGAUUUGUAUCUUGGAUUGUUUACUAAUCACAUAAAAUUGAAGCUACCGUGUAACACACAGCGAACAACAAGUCGAAUCCAUCAAUCAGUUGGUGUCAUCUUGAGCUGUUCUCUUUCAUUUUUUUAGUUAAAGACAAGGUAAUGAUGAUUCUUGUGUUUUUUUGGUGACUAUUGAAAAUGAUAUGUGAAAGAAUUACGGGUUUAUGCGCUAUAUUAAAUUGUUGAUGAUAUGUGAAAUAAUUAGGGAUUUAUAGGCUAAUAGGUAGUGAGAAUUAUGAUCAUGACUUUAAGUUCCUCUUUUCUUUGCCUCUUCUAAGAACUGUAUUAUAUCCCACAAGUGCCACUUACAUCAAUAUGAUGUACCUCCAUGUCCUGAAAGGUAGUAUGAAGAAUGAAGAUCACUAAAUCCACGAUAUCUAUAUUAACCUACUGUUAAAUCAUAGAUAGAUACUAAUACGGUGGUUUGUAAUAAUAAAUCAUAAUAUUUACUUACUAUGGUCGAGAAAUAUUUAACUAAUUAGUUAUUGGGGUUGAGAAAUAUUUGUAUAUGAAACAUGGGUAAGUUCAUUACUAUGUCGGAUUACUAAAAAAGAAAAAUUACUUAUACACUAUUGAAUAAAUCCGGUCGAAUAAUUUUUCUUUUAACCCUAAUAAUGAUGUUCAAAAAGAAAAAAAGAAAAACAAAUACUUCUAAUUAAGAUUUAUAACUUGUGUGUGCACUUUUUUUUUUAACAAUCAAUAACUUCAUUAUAAUUAAAGUGCGAACAAACGUUCUAAAAGGUCAUCCACCCAAAUAACAGAAUUUAAAAGAGCUAACUUGGCUAGUACAUGGCUUGAGCUAUUUAAAAUUACAUGAAAUAUGAUGCAUUGGAAAAGCAUAUCGUCGUUCCACAGGUUGUAAAAUAUUAGCAAUAACUUAGAAAAUACUAACUGUGAAAAUAGUAGCAACCCUAACAUACCCAUGACAAUCACACAUCACCGCACCUAAACCCAUGACAUUAUGCACACAAUCAACAGUGAUGAUGCCAGCCUCAUAGUGAAACUUUGAGACCCACGUUCAAUUUAAGGUUUCAAUUUCCCAACAUAUGUUUUUUCCUUUUUUAAAAGAGGAUCAUUGGAUUUCACCCCAUUCCACAUAUUAAAUGUAAUUGCUAUAUUCCUACCAAUAUACGUAGUAAUCUCUAAGUACCUAUGACUAGACAAAUCCCUAAUGCAAGGAAUAAAUAAAUAACAAUAUUAUUGACGCACUGAUGUAAUAAUAAAAGCCCUAACAUUUUGUUAGUUGCAAUAAAAAUGCCUCGACAAAAAAGGAAAAAAUCCUCAAUUUCACGUUAUUUGUUUCAGCAAUCUGAGAAAGCAAAAAUCACUUGUUGAAAAAGCUUAAUUGCUCACUUUUAGUAAUUUUAAUCUUUUGCAUUUGCUAAUUGGUCAAUCUCCAUAAUGUUCUUUCUCAUGUUAAAAGCUAUCAAGGGAAUGAUUUUAGCAAUCCAAGCGAUGGAUAGACCUUUCUAAACUUGCUCAUUUAUUUGGUUUUGGAUAUGGAAUUGAUUUUGUUUGCUGCCAAUGAAGAGAUUUGAUCAAAUUGUUUCUAGAAGAAUAAAAUUGUUAUUUUUUUCUUUUGAAAAAGUUUAGUUGUUUGAUCACAUGAAAUUUAUAAUAUAUAUAAGUUUGCAAAAUGAUAGAGUCUAAAGAGAAAAAUCUUAUGUACUUUUUAGUAUUUUUGUACAAGAUAAAAUUGGAAUCAUUAAUAGUGUUUGGUGAGGUAAAAUGAGAUAAUCAAAUAUCAAUACUCUAAACGAGAUAAUUAGAUUCUUAGGCUUUCAUAGUUUUUUCUUUUUUAAUAUACUAGGCUUUUAUAGUUGGAACAUCUAAAUCAAAAGCAGAUGCAAAACUUGGCCAUAGAAAUUAGAAAAUCCUUAAUUCAAAAGCCAAUACAAAGAUGUAUUCCUAGUAAGAUAGAAACUUUUAAAGUGAUGAAAUUAGAGAAGCAUUGUGAUAUCCAAUUUUAGUAGGCGUACCAAGUUUAAUGAAAAUUUAAUUAAACAAAUAAUGAGUAAAAAUAAAAUGCGUAAAAGUAAAGCACACAAGAAGAUUUUUACGUUAUUCACUACAUCCAUGGAGCCACGCUCAAAUAUCGAGUAAUUUGCUAGGCUCAAGAGAUUACAACCUCUUGAAACCUUACACAAUAUGAGACUCCAUCUUAGUGAUUGCCACCAACUUAUUAUAAACUUACCAAGUGUUGAUAGGUGGCUUUUUAUCAAAAUUAAAUCAUUAUUGGUGGUUUGUUGAUCUUGGAAUUGAGUUGAUAGCUCCACACUACAAGAAAAUAGGCAAUAGAUGACAGUAAAUAACUGUCAUAAAAGGGGUUGUAUGACAGACAACUUAUCUGUGAUUUAUGUCACUGUCAUUAAUUCAUGACAGAAUAUUUUCCGUCAUGAAUUCAUGAUGAUUUUUCACAGUCACAUAUCUGUCACACAAUAUUUUAAUGAGAAAUUAAAAUUAUUUAAUUUUUGGCAUUUUUAAAAUUUUUGGCUGUAAAUUGGUAUUAUCUGAAUAUUAAAAUUACUUAAAAGCAUUAUUUUUUGAAUUGUAUUGUUAUUAUUAUUUGUGUUGAAUUAUUAUUAUUAUUAGAAUUCUCAAAUUCUGCAAAUUUAUUAUUAGAAUAAAUUUAAAAUCUAAAAUAAAUACAAAAUAUGAUACAAAAAAUUGAAGAAUCCAAUUAAUAAAACCUGGAUAUCCAUUUAACCAUACAACCCAUAUCAUUGAGGUAUUCAAGGAACAUCAACCCAAAAUUGCACAACAUAUCCUAAACAACCUCUCCAUUCUUUUGCCAUGCCCUCAAUUGUUGGCCUUAGAAUACUAGUCCCGUAACUCCACAUAUUAUUCAUGUUCAAGAAAAGAAUUAGAGCAAUAAUUAGUUUAACUAUGAACGAACAUGCAUACCUUAAUAAUAGUUUACAGUCUAAUAAUUGUGCAUAGCUAUUUUUUUAUAAGUUGAACUAUCCAAUGAAAAUAUCUAUCGUAGCCCCAAAGAAAAAAAGAACACAAAAGCUAAAAGAAAACAAAAUUGACAAUUUAAUUGCCUAAUUUAAUAAAAGGAGAAAAAAGUUCAUCACUUGUUACUAUAUUGCCAAUAAAUGUAAUCAACACAUUUUCUUAAGAACUCUAUCUCCGCUAUAUUUUAACAUUAGUAAUUUUACCGCAAGCCAACACAUAAAAAUUACAAAACCAUAUUCACAAAUAAAGUAUUUGUAACAACACUCAUAUUUUGUUAGAUGCAAUAGGGGUAUCCAUCUUAAAACUAGCUCUAAAAUAGAAGAAAGCAAGGUAUUAGAAAGAUUAUAACUCAAUGAAACACAUAAAAACAUCAAGAAAUUAUAAUUAAACAUCAAAUAAAAAUUCAUAGAGUUCAAGCAAAAGACAGAUAUCUAAACAUUUAUUCAAAUACCUGAUUAAGAAAUUCUAAAGUAAUCCAAUUCGGUUGUCUUGAACAAAAUCAUUAAUGGCACUACCUUAUCUAAAGUGAAGCACUUUUUAACUGGUGGACCAAAUGUGUAGCAUAAAAGACCAGACAACAUCACAAAAGCCCCACUUUGAUAAAACAUCAUUAAAAACCACACAACAAACGAAUCUAAAUUCUCGACAAUAUUUACUAAUAAUCCUUUCAACAUUUCAGUUUAAGAAUUAAUGAGCUACCUACUAGAAAACUAGCAUAAACAAAACUCAAUCAUACGCAAAACAAUCUAGUUCUUUCUAGUUCAAGCAAAUUAAAAAAUAAAAAACUAUGGAAGAUAUAAGAUUCACAAGCUUUGUGGAUUUAAUUAUGUAUGUCAACUAGACUAAGGCCAUUAAAGUGGGAUGGCUUCUUUAAUAACAUACAUUAAAGUCACGAAGUACCACACAUAGUACAAAGUGUGAUGUCCAGGUUUUUAUAUAUAUGAAAGAUGAAUUUAAAUAUUUUGGCUCAUUGUCUGCGGCUAUUUUCUGUAGCUAUUAUAAUCUUGAUCGUAUUUUACGAUAUAUAUAUAUAUAUAUAUAUAUAUAUAUAGAUGUUUAGCACCACCAGUGGAUUUCUAUUUUUAUUGUGCACACAAUAUUCUGGUUCUGAUUAUGUUCUUAGCAGGGUCAUUGGAAGUAUAGGUGACACUAUGUGACAUGUAGCUAACCUUCCUCUAUUGUGACCAACGAUAUAUUACCCCUCUUUCGUGAUAAAUCCCCCUCUGAAUUUCCAUUUACCCCAUGAAUCCCCCUUUUNNNNNNNNNNNNNNNNNNNNNNNNNNNNNNNNNNNNNNNNNNNNNNNNNNNNNNNNNNNNNNNNNNNNNNNNNNNNNNNNNNNNNNNNNNNNNNNNNNNNNNNNNNNNNNNNNNNNNNNNNNNNNNNNNNNNNNNNNNNNNNNNNNNNNNNNNNNNNNNNNNNNNNNNNNNNNNNNNNNNNNNNNNNNNNNNNNNNNNNNNNNNNNNNNNNNNNNNNNNNNNNNNNNNNNNNNNNNNNNNNNNNNNNNNNNNNNNNNNNNNNNNNNNNNNNNNNNNNNNNNNNNNNNNNNNNNNNNNNNNNNNNNNNNNNNNNNNNNNNNNNNNNNNNNNNNNNNNNNNNNNNNNNNNNNNNGGCAAUGUUUUACUUACCAAGUGACAGCGCAUCCUGUCAUACAUUUGGAGAUGAGUAACUUAUGAGAGUGCGCUAUCUUUGGACUAGAAAUUUAUUACUUUGUUAGUAGAAUAAGAGAGAAUGAACUUUUGUUUCGAUUAAGAUUGUUAUUCUUCUGAACUUGUUGUUGUGCAAAUUUUAUGAACUCAGAAGCGCACGAAUCUAUUAUAGAAUAGAUCAAUGGUGACGAGUGUCAAUCCCACGAGGAGGUGGAUUUUAAUUAUGCGUAGAAUUAAUUUUCUAUGUGGGUGGUUGGAUUUGUGGUGAAAAAUGAUUUGGACUAUCCGAAAAUUUGAAUUAAAAUGGCGAGAAUAAAUUGAAGAGAAAUCUAUUUAAAUGAAGCGCUUGGGUAUCUGGAUAUGCAUCAACAUGCACCAUGGGCUAAAUAUUCUUUAUUAGUGCCAAUUAAAUCAUGAAGGGGGAAUCCACACCUCAUGAACCACACUCUAAUCAAUAUGUUGCUAAGGGCUUAUCGUGUCAAAUAAUAAUAACCUUGUACUAGGGAGUCGGUGAAACCAGGGCGGUAUUUAGACAAGAUUAUUACUAUUUGUCGACGAAAAGUCAAAACAUCCACAAAAAUUAGAAGGGAAGAGAAAAUAAAUUUACCAAAUAAAGCCCAUGGCAUAUGUUGAAACUUCACCUUCAACCCAAGCUUAAAAGAAAAUUAGCUACUCAUAAUUGAACUAGGGGCAAAAUGGAAAUUUAUUAAAAUACGUAGAAAAUACAAAAUGGAGAAGGAAUUACAAAAAAUUGAACUAAAAAAUGAAUUCAGGGAUACCAAAUUAGGGGGGAGAGCCCCUUUUUAUAGAUACAUUGAGUAAAUCAUGGCCAUCGGAUAAAGAACAUUUUGGAUGCUUAGGAUUGCGCCACGUCAUCAGUCAACAGUCAACAGUGCACAGUUUGACCACAUGGUUUGAACAGUGACGCGAUUUGAACAGUAACGCGGUUUGGUUGUAAGUUAUCCUGUGUAUAUACAAGUACCGUACGCAUAAUUUUUGGUCCACUGAUAUGCUGCCACGUCACCGAUCAACAGUACAUAAGAAUUUUAGUCCAAUAGAAUUGUGACACCUCAUCAGUCAAUGCCACAUCAUGGUCAAUGCCACAUCAUCGAUCCAUCUAUGUGAAUAGUAUCAUGAACAGUAACGUUGACAAUAUCGUACAUGUGAAUAGUAUUGUACAUGUGAACAGUGUCAUUUUUCCUUUUAUGCUCCUCCUAAGGUUUUCGACUGUCUUGCUUUCAAAAGUGAUGUCUGUUUUGCUGUCUAAUCUCUCGUCCAUUGUGAAAUGACCAUGAUGCCCCUAAAAUACAUAAAAUACUUAAUUAAAAUAAAACACACCUAAUUAAAUCACAAGAAUCUUAAAUACAUAAAAGUUAGGAUGUUAGUAAGACUUGAAAUGUAAAAUGACGAUUUUCUCCUUUAUAAAUAUACAUUUUCUAACACUGAACACCCCCCCCAACCUGCUUAUUGCUAGUCCCUAGCAAAUAAAGCGAAAACAAAAUUCAAACCCAAAAUGCUUUUUUCUUUUCUUAAAAACACUAUUGUUUAUUCAAUCAGACUAAUGAUAGCAAACAAAUAAAAGUAUAAGCAUUAUCCCCAGUCUAAAGAAACAUCACACCCACAUCAACCAUCCACAUGACUCAACCUAGUAGAGUUUGUCACAACUAUUUUAAAGAAUGACAUGUCAAACCCCAAAAUCUCACUGCAAGUAGUGACACUCUCACAAGAAAAUUAAACCCAAUAAAAAUAGUCACUCCAAUGAAUGCUAAAUUUGAGAGAAAAUAAUAUAGAAGUAAUAUCACACGCUCUUACCAGGAUGAAAGAAACUUGCCCACAGCGUAGAAAUAACAUGAUCUGAAGUCAAAAUGCUAGUCAACCCAAUGUAUUCAUUUUUUUUACUUUUUAUUUUUAUUUUAUUUUUAUUUUUUUUAUGCAUCACUACAUCUUUUUAGCCCAUAAAACUAGCUUCUACUUCAGAUUAUAGAUCCCUAAAAUCAAGAAGGACUUUUAUUAGGACGUAACGUAGGCUAAGGACAUGGCUAACAAAAAAAGAAAAAUAGGAAAAAAUAAAAUAUAUGUUUGAGAAAAAGUAGAGAUCUUUUGGAAAUUACAAGGUGGAUUUCGCCUAUCAUUGUUUUUUUUCUUUUUUUUUUUUAAACAACAAUUUUUUUUUCUUUUGUUUGGCACAACUUCACUAAACAAAAUAAUUAUUUACAUUUUUCUCAAACAUAAAUAAGUGAUGGAACUUGUAAGAUAUCGGGUAAUACUCCAAAUCGGAAUGGGUCAAGAUGAUAAGUUUGACAAAGAAAAGUUUUUUUUUAAGGCUCAAAAGGGUUAACUAUGGAUUUUUCACAAAAGGGAUGGCUAGAAAGGCUCAAACGGGUCAAAGAUGGUCUUUUCAUCGUCUUUUAGGGCUUUAAAUAAUAUUCCAUAUCUACUAGUUAGAUGGACCUCAAGAUGUAGCAACACAAAUUUUUUUUCUUUUUUUUUACCUUACAAAUUGUUUUUCUUUUUAGAGGGUUGACUCAAACGAAAUCUAGAGAUCGUAUAUAAAAUAAUAAACUACUAAGUUGUUGAAGAAUGGGCAAAAUGGGUUACUCUCCAAGAAAAAUGACAGGCUCAAAAACUCACUUGGUAUUUGUUAUGACAUGUGCAUUCCUUCAAGUAACUCAUAUUUGUCUCCGAUAUCAACAUAUAGAAUAAAAAACAUAGCAUAACAUCACUUAAGACCAAAGAUAGUACAAAUACUAAAAUUUGAAAGUCAUCAUGUCAUCCAAUAUAAAAAAAAAUCACACAAUUUUUUAUUUUAAAACGACAGUCUACCCCCCAAUCUAUUCUAAACAUGAAAAGAAAAUAUGCAUGCAGAAAGGUGAAAAAUGAUGCAGAAAAGCUAAUUAGAAAAGUUACACUUAAAAUGAUAGAAAAAGUAAAUAAUUUUUUUUUAACUAAGAAGAUGGGUUUAUAGAGGCACUACACUCCAUAUUCAACCAUCUUUGACUCAAAAAUUUGAAAGUGUAUAUUUAUAAAGGAGAAAUUAAAAAGAAGAAUUUUAAAAAAAUUGUUAAAGCUUAAUAAAGAAAAAGAAAAUGUCUGAAUUUUUUUUUUGUUUUUUUUAAACGAAAAAGAUGCGUUUCUAGAGUAACUACACUCUAUAUUCAGCCAUCUUCAACACAAAAUGUUAGCCAUGGUUAGUCUCUACAACAAAAAAUCAGUAAAAACUUAACCAAGAUUCCAUAACUGUCAACUAUUCCCUCCCCCCAACUAGAACGAAACAUUGUCCUCAAUGUUUUAAAGGAAAGAAGUAGAGUUUAAAAGACAUCACCUGGGUGGUGCAACACAGAAAAAAAUAUUUACAAGCGGAGAGUUAAAUCUAAUUUGUACUUCUUACUGUGGCUACUGUUACCAUCAUUAUUUGGAUACUCCAACACCAAGGUCCUGGGGUCUGGCUUUGGUCUAUAAGCUUGUAAUAUAUCAAGUAGCUCCUUAGCAGUGUGAGCACAAAUAAAAAGUUAUUGACAUUUAAUAAACUGAUGGGUUUCUGGUGAAUGUGCAGAUGGGCCCAAGAUGCUAAUGUGAUAAGUGCCUCUAGAGUUGCAAGAUCUCUUUGUAGGAAAAUAAAAGCAUCAGCAUGAUUAAGCAUUUCAGUUAUUCUUUCUUGCAUACAUGAGACGACUAACUCUUCUCCAGUUGGUGAGUCAGACAAACUGCCCAAAGGUUUUAGGGCUUUUGGGAUGAUGCCUAACACUUGGCUUCCUCUGAAAAAAACAGUUUUUGAGACAAAUUUUGAUAAUCCUCAAUUACCUCCUCCAUACACCAAGUGUAAUUUUCUCUCUGCUAUACUUCGACCAAGAUCUAUGGCUGCUUCAACGAACUCUUUAUGUUUGUCAUAGUUAAAUCCAGAAAGUACACAAAUGUUCUUGAAUUGUUUAUUGGGAGUAGUUGCCAUUGGGAUACUUCUCAAAAAUAAUUUGUGAGUGCUUAAUAAAAAGUCAUUUUUAAGAAUCUUGGUGACAGUAGGUCACAGCUGUGUAUGAGGUAGCAUGUCAGUGUCAAUUAACGCGUAAAGCAUAUGGCUCGCGAGUUAAAAAGGAAAUAGUAAAAAGAAAAAGAAACAAUGAUAAAAUAAAAUUAUUAAAGACAAUAAUGCAAAUGAUAAAACAAUAGUAAAGUAAAAUGAUAUUUAUAGGUAGUUGUGAUUGUGGCUCACAUCUUCCUCUGGUUUUACGUUCAGAAAUGACUUGAACACCCUCUAUGGGUCGAGGAUAGGCUUCCCAUCCAGUUUUCUUAUAAACUGGCAAAUAGAGUCGUUUAUAGUCAGAUUCCCUAGACUAUAUCGUGCAUGCUCUUUCUGGAAUAAAGGCCAUAACCAGAGAAUCGUUUCUUGUAUAUAUCCACUGGGAUGCGUUUCAAGAGACAAAAUGAUAUCAUCUAAUGACUCCUUAUUCAACCCAUCCCUAAUGAAUUGAAUCUUAUCUUCCCUGUUAUCAGACAUCAUUCCUAAAGAACAUUGUUUUUUAUCGCUCUCAUUCUGGCACACUUAUGACAAGCAACAGAAAUUCUUCGAGCUCGUCAUUUUCUUGCAUAAUUUCCUUUACCAUAACCAGGCAUGUAUGCAAUAAAUUUUGGAGGCAACUCACCUGCCAACCGUACUUUGGCCUCGAUUAACCAACGAAUGUCAGUAGGUAUGUUAUUCCUCAUAAGAAAUCGCAUGCGUUCGGACCGAGCUUUAUGGAUUGUAAGGAGGGCAUUCUGAGGAAGUGAAGGGAAUCGAUUGUGAAGCAUUACUAAAAUCUCGUUUCUAUCCAUACCUUCGCCUCAAAAUAUCAGUUAUUAUAAGAAACUGAAAUAACCGACUUGAUUGUCACAUAAUACAGUUAUCUGCCACUUCACCAGGGUAACAAACUAAAGCACACAUAUAAAGAAAAACAAACUAAAACACAUAAAGAAAAUUACAAUCGUCCUCUUAUUGAAUUUACCUCAAGCCCCAACUGGAUGUUAUAGACACCUCUCUCAAUAUCUCUGAGUUGGCUUUCUAAAUCCUCAACAUGAGAUACUAACUCGAGUGGUUGCAGAGCCCAAAUAUGAUGUGUUUUACAAAAUCAAAUCUGCCUUUUGAGAUGAGAUUUUACACGUUGAAGUGGUCUAAGAAUUUCCAAGAGGAACUGUUAAAUGGUUAAACAAACACACUUAUGUAAAAAUAAUUUCAAUUAGCAAAAGAAUAGUAAAAAGAAAGCAAAAAAUCAAAUCACCAAAAAGAAAGAGAAAUCUCAAUUCAAAUCUGGUGGGUCACUCAAAUUUAUUUCAGUAUCCUCUCAAUGUGGUUGGUACUCUAAAUAUUGCUUUAAUCUUUGACCAUUAACUUUAAACAUGACACCAUUCUUUGGGUCCUUAAUUGCAAUUGCCCCAUAUGGAAAAACAGUGUGAACAAUAAAAAGGGCCAGACCAUCGAGGGCGUAACUUACCUGGGAAUAGGUGCAAGCGAGAAUUGAAUAAAAGCACUUUCUGACCUGGAGUGAAAGAUUUUCUCAUAAUUUGCUUGUAAUGAAAGACUUUCAUUCGCUGCUUGUAAAUCUUGGCAUUUUUGUAUGCAUCAUUGCGAAUUUCUUCAAGUUCUGCCGGCUGUAAUCUUCUUUCUGGGCUAGCUUACAACAUGUCAAAGUUGAAUUUCUUGAUGGCUAAGUACACACGAUGCUCGAGUUCCACAGGUACGUGGCAAGCUUUUCCAUACACUAGCCUGUAGGGUGACAUUCCAAUCGGGGUCUUGAAAGUCGUUCUAUAUGCCCAUAAUGAAUUAUCGAGUCUUAAUGACCAAUCUUUUUUGUCCGGUCUCACUGUUUUUUCUAAUAUGUGCUUAUUUCUCGAUUGGAGAUCUCAACUUGGCCACUGGUUUGCGGAUAAUAUGGGGUCGCCACUUUGUGAGUGAUGGAAUACUUUGUCAAAAGAGCUUUGAAUGCUUUUUUACAAAAGUGGGCACCACCAUCACUGAUUAUUGCUCGAGGGAAUCCAAAGUGUGAAACAAUGUUACUUUUCAAAAACCCUAUCACCACCUUGUGAUCAUUGGUUCUACAUGGAAUUGCUUCUAUCUAUUUUGAUACGUAGUCAACAGCAACCAAUAUGUAUUGAUGGCCAAAAAAGGAGGGAAAAUGUCCCAUGAAGUCGAUGCCCCAUACAUAAAAAAUCUCAACCACUAAAAUUAGAUUUAGUGGCAUCAUAUUCCUUCGUGUAAUGCUACCCAUUCGUUGACACCUCUCACAUGAAGAACAAAAAGUGUAAGCUUCUUGAAAUAUAGUUGGCCAAUAGAAACCACAUUGUAAAACUUUAGUAGCUGUUUUCUUAGCACUGAAAUGGCCUCCACAAGUUUGUUCAUGGCAUAAUGACAGAAUAUUCUGAAUUUCAUUCUUUGGGACAUAUCGUCAAAUAAUUUGAUCUGCACAAUACUUGAACAGAUAAGGAUUAUACCAAAAGAAAUUCUUUAUUUCGGUAAAAAAAUUGGCUUUGUCCUACUUGGUCCAAUGCUCUGGAAGUUGACCUGCAAUAAGAUAAUUAACGAUAUCAGCAUACUAUGGUAAUACUUCCACACUCAUCAAUUGUUCAUCUGGAAAUGACUCAUUCAAUGUUAAUGGUUCUGUAAUUGUGUCAAAAUGGAGACGAGAGAGAUGGUCUGCCACAAUAUUUUCUGUGCCUUUCUUAUCUUUGAAUUCCAAAUCAAAUUCCUGCAAAAGUAACACCCAAUAAAUUAGCCUAGCUUUUGCUCUUUCUUUGUGAGAAGAUAUUUAAGAGCAGCAUAAUCUGUGAAUACAAUUAUUUUACAACCAAUUAGAUAAGAUCGAAAUUUCUCUAAUGCAAACACUAUUGCUAGCAUUUCUUUUUCAGUAGUUGAAUAGUUCAACUGUGCAUCAUUCAAUGUCAUAUUAGCAUAGUAAAUAACAUGGGGAAUUCAAUCAACUCUUUAUCCUAAUACUGCUCCUAUUGCAUAAUCAGAUGCAUCACACAUAAGCUCAAAUGAUAAGUUCCAGUUUGGGAGCUGAAUGAUGGGGGAUGAUGUCAACAACUGCUUUAAUUUUUCAAAUGCCACAAGACAUGAAUCAUCAAAGACAAAAGGUACAUCCUUAGCAAGUAGAUUGCAUAAGGGUCUAGAAACGUUGCUAAAAUCUUUAAUGAAAUGUCUAUAAAACCCAGCAUGCCCAAGGAAGGAUCAACCUCAAUACCUUUGCUCGAAAUGAUUUGACCGAGAACAAUACCUUGUUUUACCAUAAAAUGACACUUCUCCCAAUUUAAAACUAAGUUAUUCUCCAUACAUCUCUGUAGAGCUAGUGUUAGAUGAUGUAAAUAUUGAUCAAAUGUGUCACUAAAAACAGAAAAGUCAUCCAUAAAGACUUCAAGGAAUCGUUUAACCAUAUUAGAAAAAAUGCUCAACAUGUAUCGUUGAAAUGUAGCAGGCGCAUUACAUAAUCUAAAUGACAUUCUCCUAUAUGCAAAAGUGCCAAAAGGGUAAGUGAAAAUAGUUUUCUCUUGAUCUUUUGGUGCUAUGAGAAUCUGAUUAUAUCUUGAGUAGCCAUAUACAAAGUAAUAAAAUUCAUGGCCUGCUAAUCUAUCAAGCAUUUAAUCGAUAAAUCGUAAAGAAAAAUGGUCUUUAUGUGUGACAUAAUUCAACUUUCUAUAAUCAAUGCAUACAAGCAAUCCUGUAGUCACUCUAAUGGGUAUCAAUUCAUUAUCAGCAUUGGUAACUACUUUGACUCCUAACUUUUUGGGGACAACUUGUACAGGACUAACCCAUGAACUAUCAGAAAUUGGGUAAAUGAUACCUGCAUCUAAUAACUUAAGGACUUCAGUUCUAACAACUUCUUUUAUAUUAGGAUUUAACCGACGUUGCAUUUCCCUAGUAGGUUUAGCAUUUUCAUCAAGGUGAAUGUAAUGUAUACAGUCUACUGGGUUUAUACAUUUUAUAUCGGCUAUGGUCCAUUCUAAUGCUCCUUUGUGCUCUUUUAAAACAUCCAACAACUUACCCUUUUGUUCGUCAUUUAGGGAUGCUGAGAUAAUUACCGGCAGAGUACUUUCUUCUCCCAAAAAAUGCAUAUUCCAAAGUGUUGGGUAAUGGUUUGAGCUCGAGUUUCGAUGGUGAUUCUGAUGAUGGGAUGAGUUUCUUAUCUGAUGGUACUAGUUGUUCAACUCUUGACUUCCAUUUAUUAGUGUCCAUGGAUGGUGCUUAGUCAAGUAGGGCGUUGACCUCAUCGACCGAUCUGUCAAUAUCAAAAUCAAAACCAAAGUGUGUUAAAUAUGUUUGUAAAGGAUCAUCACUAAGGUUUGAAAGAAAAGUAUCAUCAAUUAAUGCUUCUAUUAAAUCCACAUCAAUAAUUCCAUCAUCUGCAUUGCAAGGUUGUUUGACAAUAUUGAAAAUGUUUAGUUCCAUAGUCAUGUUGCCAAAAGACAACUGCAUAUUUUCAGUCCUACAUUGAAUGUGAGCAUCCGCAGUUGCCAAGAAAGGUCGGCCUAGGAUAAUGGGGAUGUGUUUCCUUGAAUCCUGGAUUAGUUGAGUGUCAAUUACAAUAAAAUCAACAGGAAAAUAAAAUUUGUCUACCUAGAUAAGCACAUCCUCCACAAUACCACGAGGUAUUUUCAUGGACCGAUCUGCAAGCUGUAACACUACUAGAGUUGGGUGUAAUUCUCCCAAUCCAAGUUUCACAAAUCCUAAAUAAGGCAAUAGAUUUAAACUAGCUCCUAAAUCCAACAAAGCAUUCUCAAUUGUGUGGUUCCCUAUGCUACAUGAGAUAGUGAGGGAGCCUGGGUCUUAGCAUUUUAGAGGAAUUUUGUGUUGCGGUAUAGAACUAAUGUUUUCUGUUAAAAAGGCCUUCUUUUGAACGUGAAUGUUUCUCUUUUUACUACAAAGGUCGUUAAGAAACUUGGCAUAAGAUGGAACUUGUUUUAUAGCAUUAAGUAAAGGGAUGUUAACACUUACCUGUUUGAAGAUUUCAAAAAUCUCACCUGUGGAUUUUCCUUUCGUUCUUUUAGCUAACCUCUGAGGAAAUGGAGCUUUGGGAACAUAUUCUCGUGGGUUGGUUUCUUCUUCUCAUCCGAUGGUGAGUUCUCAACAUUCACAGGUAUAAUUUUAUUUUGUUUUAUCACUGGCAUCUCCAUUUUGUUGUCGACGUCUUUUUCUUUUCGCAAGGUCAUGACAGCUUUGACCUCUCCAUGCUGCUGUGGUGAACUGGUACUUACUUCAUGCACUCCUUUAGGAUUUGGCACUAGUUGACUUGGAAAUUUACCUUUCCCAAUAGUCAUUGCCAAGGUUUGAACUGAAGAAGCGAGUUGUCCCACCAGCUUCUCGAGGUUUGAAACUGAUUGGGCUUGUGAGUUGAAGCCUGCUCUCAUCUCAUUUUGUAUUUCAUCAAUGGUGUAGUUAUAUUGCUCAAUCGUGGAGUGAGUAACAUUCCUGAAAUUUUGGAAUGCAUCCUCCCAUGGUCUGGGUUGAGAGUAGUUCUGGUUCUGAUUGUGUGGUCUAAAUGGUGGCUGAGAGGCUUGAAGAACUUGAGGAAUUGGUUUCAUUGGUGGAACUGGAGCUGUUGGUCCAUUUUGUUGGAAUCCUUGAGACCAUGAAAAAUUGGAGUGGUCUCUCCAUUCAGGGUUAUAUGUGUUGGAGUAUGGGUUGUAAUUAGAUGGUUUUCUCAUUACACCUAUGGCAUUGGCUUGAUCUAAGUAUGAGUCAUUGUCAUGUGGUUUUGUUGAUUUAGCAGUCGUUAACGAUGUUAUUUGUCGAGAAAGACCUUCAACCAUCUCUUUGACUUCUUUAAUUCCUGAACUUGACUCGCCAAUGUGAACCUCAUUUACUCCCUUAAUUCUUUUAGUAUUCCUGAGUGAUCGACUCCGUUGUUGGGAAUUAUCUACUUGUCGCUGGAAGAAUUCCUAGAUCUCUGAUGCACUUUUUGACAUUAGCUCUCCUCCACUUAUUGCCAUUAGUCAUUCUUGGACAUGUGGCAAUAAUCCCUCCAAAGGUAUUGGCAUUGGUACUAUUUUUCGUACCCAUGAUGUAGACACUUCAAAAGUAGCCCAUUGAAUCACUCCCAUGUUUCAAAAAACUGCUCGUCUUCUCUCUUGGUAAACUCUGAAAUUUCCCUACGAAUAGCAUUGGUUUUAUGCACUGGGAAAUAUUUAUUCAAAAAUUUCGUACCAUUUAUUCCCAUGAUAUAAUGCUAAUAGCAGGCAAUGUAUUGAGCCAUGAACGAGCUCUAUCCUUUAAAGAAAAUGGGAAUAGUCAAAGUUUAACAUCAUCGUCUGAAAAAUUAUCAUAUUUAAAAGUUUGACAAACGGCAUGAAAAUUAUUCAGAUGAUUAUAUGGGUCCUCAUUUUCUAGGCCAUAGAAUGUUGGGAGACAAUUUAGCACACUAGGUUUUAGUUCAAAACUCGUAACAGCUACAUUUGAGUAUCUUAUACAUGAUGUGCUCAAAUUAGCUAAGGGACUGAAGUAGUCCUUAAAUGACCUCUCCUGUGGUGGUGGUUGUUGUUGCAAAUCCAUUUCAGUUUUAUCUUUAAUUACAAUGUGUUUGUGUGUGCGAAGUGUUUUUUUCAAGUUCAAGGUCUAUAGGCUCAAGAUUAGGUAAUAAUGGCAUUCGACUAUGCAUGCAAAGAACACAAAACAAUUAAAAAUAAAUAAGGAGAAAUUAUGAUACUAACCUUAUCACGCUGUUACAAACUUUCUAUAAAAACACACUAAAAAAUAAUUCGUGAAAUAAAUUAAUAAGACAAACAAAAAAAUUACAAAGAAAAAAAAUUAACUUGAAAAUUAAAUUACAGAAUUUUAAAGAAGAGAAAAAGAAAAGAAAUUCUUACCUCUAAAUGCAUAUUCACUUUUUUUUAAAAAAAAUUACAAGAAAACAAUUAAAAGAAAUUAUUUACAAAAUUUAAUUCUACGAAUUAAAAUAACUUACCUCCCUGGUAACGGCGCCAAAAACUUGUUGUGCAAAUUUUAUUGAACUCGCAAGCGCACGAAUCUGUUAUAGAAUAGAUCAAUGGUGACGAGUGUCGAUCCCAGGAGGAGGUGGAUUUUAAUUAUGCGUAGAAUUAAUUUUCUAUGUUGGUAGUUGGAUUUGUGGUGAAAAUGAUUUGGACUAUCCUAAAAUUUGGAUUAAAAUGGCGAGAAUAAAUUGAAGACAAACAUAUUGAAAUGAAGUGCUUGGGUAUCUGGAUCUGCAUCAACAUGCACCAUGGGCUAAAUAUUCCUUAUUAGUGCCAAUUAAAUCAUGAGGGGGGAAUCCACACCUCACAAACCACACUCUAAUCAAUAUGGUGCUAAGGGCUUAUCAUGCCAAAUAAUAAUAACCUUGUACUAGGGAGCCGGUGAAACCAGGGUGGUAUCUAGAGCAGAUUAUUACUAUUUAUAGACAAAAAGUCAAAACAUCCACAAAAAUUUGAAGGGAAGAGAAAAUAAAUUUACCAAAUAAAGCCCAUGGCACAUGUUGAGACUUCACCUUCACCCCAAGCUUAAAAGAAAAUUAGCUACUCAUAAUUGAACUAGGGGCAAAAUGGAAAUUUAUUAAAAUACAUAGAAAAUACAAGAUGGAGAAGGAAUUACAGAAAAUUGAACUAAAAAAUGAAUUCAGGGAUACCAAAUUAGGGGGGAGAGCCCCUUUUAAUAGAUACAUUAAGUAAAUCAUGGCCAUCAGAUUAAGAACAUUUCGGACGCUUAGGAUUGCGCCACGUCAUCAGUCAAUAGUACGCGGUUUGACCACAUGGUUUGAACAGUAACGUGGUUUGGUUGUAAGUUAUCCUGUGUAUAUGCAUGUACCGUACGCACAAUUUUUGGUCCACUGAUAUGCUGCCACAUCACAAAUCAACAGUACAUAAGAAUUUUAGUCCAAUAGAAUCGUGACACCUCAUCGGUCAAUGCCAUGUCAUCGAUCCGUUUAUAUGAAUAGUAUCAUGAAUAGUAACGUUGAUAGUACUGUACAUGUAAAUAGUAUCACACAUGUGAACAGUGUCAUUUUUCCUUUUAUGGUCCUCCUAAGGUUUUCGACUGUCCUGAGUUCAAAAGUGAUGUUUAGUUUGCUGUCUGAUCUCUCGUUCAUUGUGAAAUGACCAUGACGCCCCUAAAUCACAAAAAGCUUAAAUACAUAAAAGUAAGGAUGUUAGUAAGACUUGAAAUGUAAAAUGACGAUUUUCUCCUUUAUAAAUAUACAUUUUCUAACACGCAACACACCCCUCAACCAGCUUAUUGCUAGUCCCUAGCAAAUAAAGCGAAAACAAAAUUCAAACCCAAAAUGAUUUUUUUUAAACACUCGUGUUUAUUUUAUCAGACUAAUGAUAGUAAUCAAAUAAAAAUAUAAGCAUUAUCUCCAGUCCACAGAAACUUCACACCCACAUCAACUAUCCACAUAAAUCAGCCCAGUAGACUUUGUCACAACUACUUUAAAAAAUGACAUGUCAAAUCCCAAAAUCUCACUAGAAGUAGUGACACUCUUACAAGGAAAUUAAACCCAAUAAAAAUAGUCACUUCAGUGAAUGCUAAAUUUGAGAGAAAAUAAUAAAGAAAUGAUAUCACACACUCUCACCAAAAUGAAAGAAAUAUGCCCACAGCUUAGAAAUAACAUGAUCUUAAGUCAAACAAAAAUGCUAGUCAACCCAAUUUAUUUAUUUUUUCUUCUUUUUUUUAUGCACCACUACAUCUUUUUAGCCCAUAUAACUAGCUUCUACUUCAGACUAUAGCUCCCUAAAAUCAGGAAAGACUUUUAUUAGGAUGUAACGUAGGCUAAGGACAUGGCUAACAAAUGAAGGAAAAUAGGAAAAAACAAAAUAUAUGUUUAAGGAAAAGUAGAAAUCUUUUGGAAAUUACAAGGUGGAUUUCACCUAUUAUUUUUUUUCUUUUUNNNNNNNNNNNNNNNNNNNNNNNNNNNNNNNNNNNNNNNNNNNNNNNNNNNNNNNNNNNNNNNNNNNNNNNNNNNNNNNNNNNNNNNNNNNNNNNNNNNNNNNNNNNNNNNNNNNNNNNNNNNNNNNNNNNNNNNNNNNNNNAUAGGUUUGAGAAAGAAAUUUUUUUUUUAAAGGCUCAAAAGGGUUAACUAUGGAUUUUUCACAAAUGGGAUGGCUAGAAAGGCUCAAACGGGUCAAAGAUGGCUUUUCCAUCGUCUUUUAGGGCUCCAAAUAAUCUUUCAUAUCUACUAGUUAGAUGGACCUCAAGAUGUAGUAACACAUUUUUUUCUUCUUUUUUUUUCUUUCUUUUUUUUUUCUUUUUAGAGGGUUGACUUAAAAGAAAUCUAGAGAUCGUAUAUAAAAUAGUAAACUGCUAAGCUGUAUGAAGAAUGGGUAAAAUGAGUUAUUCUCCAAGAAAAAUGACAAGCUCAAAAACUCACUUGGUAUUUAUUAUGAUAUGUGCAUUCCUUCAAGUAACUCAUAUUUGUCUCCGACAUCAACAUAUAGAAUAGCAAACAUAGCAUAACAUUACUUAAGACUAAAGAUAAUACAAAUACUAAAAUUUGGAAGUCAUCAUAUCAUCCAAUAAAAAAAAAUCACACAAUGUUUUUUUUUAAAAUGACAGUCUACCCCCCAACCUAUUCUAAACAUGAAAAGAAAAUAUGCAUGCAGAAAUGUGAAAAAUGAUGCCGAAAAGCUAAUUAGAAAAGUUACACUUAAAAUGAUAGAAAAAGAAAAUGGUUUUUUUUUUUUAACGAAGAUGCGUUUCUAGAGGCACUACACUCCAUAUUCAGCCAUCUUCGACUCAAAAAUUUGAAAGUGUAUAUUUAUAAAGGAGAAAUUAAACAGAAGAACAAAAAUGAUUGUCAAAACUUAAUAAAUAAAAAGAAAAUGUCUGGAAUUUUUUUUGUUUUAUUUAUUUAUUUAUUUUUUAUUUUUUUUUCAAACGAAGAAGAUGCGUUUCUAGAGUCACUACACUCCAUAUUCAGUCAUCUUCAACACAAAAAAGCUAGCCACGGUUAGUCACUACAGCAAAAAAUUAGUAAAAACUUAACCAAGAUUCCACAAUUGUCGACUAUUCCCUCCCCCCAACCAGAACGAAACAUUGUCCUCAAUGUUUUAAAGGAAAGAAGUAGAGUUUAGAAGACAUCACCUGGCUGGUGUAACACAGAAGAAAAUAUUUACAAGCGGAGAGUUAAAUCUAAUUUGUACUUCUUACUGCGGCUACUGUUACCAUCAUUAUUUGGACGCUCUAACAUAAAGGUCUAGGGGUCUGGCUUCGAUCUAUAAGCUUGUAACAGAUCAAGUAACUCAUUAGCAGUAUGAGCACAAAUAAAAAGCUUUUUCCCUGUGGAAUGAAUGAAAUAGGUUUUUAUUGCAUGGUUAAGAAAUGCGAUGAAACCAUCAUAAAAGUUAUUGACAUUUAGCAAACCAAUGAGUUUCUGGUGAAUGUGCAGAUAGGCCUAAGAUGCUAAUGUGAUAAGUGCCUCUAGAGUUGUAAGAUCUCCUGGUAAGAAAAUAAAAGCAUCAACAUGAUUAAGCAUUUAAAUUAUUCUUUCUUACAUACCUGAGACGACUAACUCUUCUCCAGUCGGUGAGUCAGACAAACUGCCCAAAGGUUUUAAGGCUCUUGGAAUAAUGCCUAACACUUGGCUUCCUCUGAUAAAGGCAGCUUCUGAGACCAAUUUUGAUAACCCUUAGUUACCUCCUCCAUACACCAAGUGUAAUUUUCUCUCUGCUAUACUUUAACCAAGAUCUAUGGCUGCUUCAACGAACUCUUUAUGUUUGCCAUAGUUAAAUCCAAAAAGCACACAAAUAUUCUUGAAUUAUUUAUUGGGAGUAGCUGCUAUUGGAAUACUUCUCAAAAACAAUUUGUGAGUGCUUAACAAAACAAAUCAUAUUUAAAAAUCUUUGUGACAGUGGGUCACAGUUGUGUAUGAGGAAGUAUGUUAGUGUCAAUUAACGCGUAAAGCACAUGGCUCGAGAGUAAAAAAGGAAAUAGUAAAAAGGAACAAGUAAAUAGUGAUAAAAUAAAAUUAUUAAAGACAAUAAUGCAAAUGAUAAAACAACAAUAAAGUAAAAGGAUAUUUACAGGUAGUUAUGACUGUGGCUCACAUCUUCCUCUGAUUUUACGUCCAGAAGCGGCUUGAACGCCCUCUAUGGGUCGAGGAUGGGCUUCCUAUCUAGUUUUCUUAUAAACUGGCAAACAGGGUCGUUUAUAGUCAGAUUCCCGAGACUAUAUCGUGCAUGCUCUUUCUGGAAUAAUGGCCAUAACUGGAGAAUCGUUCUUUGUACAUAUCCACUGUGAUGCGUUUCAAGAGACAAAAGGAUAUCAUUCAAUGACUCCUUAUUCAAGCAAUCCUUAAUGAAUUGAAUCUUAUCUUCCCUGUUAUCAGACACCAUUCCUAAAGAAUAUGGUUUUUUAUCGCAUCUCAUUCUGACACACUUAUGACAAGCAAUAAAAAUUCUUCGAGCUCUUCGUUUUCUUGCAUAAUUUCCUUUACCACAACUAGGCAUGUAUGCAAUAAAUUUUGAAGGUAACUCACCAACCAAUUGCACUUUGGCCUUGAUUAACUAGCGGAUGUCAGCAAGUAUGUUAUUCCUCAUGAGCAAUCACAUACGUUCGGACCGAGCUUUAUAGAUUGUAAAGAGGGCAUUCUGAGGAAGUGAAGGGAAUCGAUUGUGAAGCUUUGGUAAAAUCUCGUUUCUGUCCAUACCUUCGCCUCGGAAUAUUAGUUAUUACGGGAAACUGAAGUAACCGACUUGAUUGUCACGGAGUACCGUUAUCUGCCACUUUACCGGGGUAACAAACUAAAGCACACAAACAAAGAAAAACAAACUUAAAACACAUAAAGAAACUUACAAUCGUCCUCUUAUUGAAUUUACCUCAAUCUCCAACUGGAUGUUGUAGACACCUCUCUCAAUGUCUCUCAUUUGGCUUUCUAAAUCCUCAACAUGGGAUACUAACUCUGGUGGUUGCAGAGCCCAAAUAUGAUGUGUUUUACAAAAUCGAAUCCGCCUUUUGAGAUGAGAUUUUACACGUUGAAGUCGUUUAAGAAUGUCUAGGAGGAACUGUUUAGCUAUGACACUCAUGAUUAACAAUGAUAAGAGAAAACUUAAUGUUUAAAGAAAUACACUUAUGCAAAAAUAAUUUCAAUUAGCAAAAGAAUAGUAAAAAAAAAAAUCAAAUCAUCAAAAAGAAAGAAAAAAAACUCAAUUCAAAUAUGGUGGGUCGCUCAAAUUUAUUUCGGUGUCUUCUCCAUGUGGUUGGUACUCUAGAUAUGGCUUUAAUCUUUGACCAUUAACUUUAAACGUGACACCGUUCUUUGGGUCCUUAAUUUCAAUUGCCCCAUAUGGAAAAAUAGUGUGAACAAUAAAGGGGCCAAACCAUCGAGAGCGUAACUUACCUAGGAAUAGAUGCAAGCGAGAAUUGAAUAAAAGCACUUUCUGACCUGGAGUGAAAGAUUUUCUCAUAAUUUACUUGUCAUGAAAGACUUUCAUUUGCUGCUUGUAAAUUUUGGCAUUUUCGUAUGCAUCAUUGCGAAUUUCUUUAAGUUCUGCCAGCUGUAAUCUUCUUUUUGAGCUAGCUUGCCUCAUGUAAAAGUUGAAUUUCUUGAUGGCCGAGUAUGCACGAUGCUCGAGUUCCACAGGUAGGUAGCAAGCUUUUCCAUACACUAGCCUGUAGGGUGACAUCCCAAUCGGGGUCUUGAAAGUUGUUCUAUACACCCAUAAUGCAUCAUCGAGUCUUAAUGACCAAUCUUUUAUGUCUGACCUCACCGCCUUUUCUCAUAUGUGCUUUAUUUCUCGAUUGGAGAUCUCAACUUGGCCACUGGUUUGCGGAUGACAUGGGGUCGCCACUUUAUGAGUGAUGGAGUAUUUUGUCAAAAGUGCUUUGAAUGCUUUGUUACAAAAGUGAGCACCACCAUCACUGAUUAUUGCUUGAGGGAAUCCAAAGCGUGAAACAAUGUUGCUUUUCAAAAAUUCUAUCACCACCUUGUGAUCAUUGGUUCUACACGGAAUUGCUUCUACCCAUUUCGAUACGUAGUCAACAACAACCAAUAUGUAUUGAUGGCCAAAAGAAGGGGGAAAGGGUCCCAUGAAGUCAAUACCCCAUACAUAAAAAAUCUCAACCACUAAAAUUGGAUUUAGUGACAUCAUAUUCCUUCGUGUAAUGCUCUCCAUUCGUUGACACUUAUUACAUGAAGACAGAAAGUGUAAGCGUUUAGUUGCUGUUUUCUUAGCACUGAAAUGGCCUCCACAAGCUUGUUCAUGGCAGAAUGAAAAAAUAUUCUGAAUUUCUCUUUCUGGGACACAUCGUCUAACAAUUUGAUCUGCACAAUACUUGAACAAAUAAGGGUCAUCCCAAAGGAAAUUCUUUAUUUCUGCAAAAAAAUUGGCCUUGUCUUGCUUGGUCCAAUGCUCUAGAAGUUGACCUGUAAUGAGAUAAUUAACUAUAUCAGCAUACCAAGGUAAUACUUCCACACUCAUUAAUUGUUCAUCUGGAAAUGACUCAUUCAAUGUUAAUGGCUCUGUAAUUAUGCCAAAAUGGAGACGAGAGAGAUAGUCAGCCACAACAUUUUCUGUGCCUUUUUUAUCUUUAAAUUCCAAAUCGAAUCUCUGCAAAAGUAACACCCAACGAAUUAGCCUAACUUUUGCAUCUUUCUUUGUGAGAAGAUAUUUAAGAGUAGCAUGAUCUGUGAAUACAAUUAUUUUACAACCAAUGAGAUAAGAUCGAAAAUUUUCUAAUGCAAACACUACUGCUAGCAUUUCUUUUUCAGUAGUUAAAUAGUUCAACUGUGCAUCAUUCAAUGUCAUACUAGCAUAGUAAACAUAGGGAAUUCGAUCAACCCUUUGUCUUAAUACUGCUCCUACUGCAUAAUCAGAUGCAUCACACAUAAGCUCAAAUGGUAACCUCCAGUUUGGGGGCUGAAUGAUGGGUGAUGUCAACAACUACUUUAAUUUUUCAAAUGCCACAAGACAUGAAUCAUCAAAGAUAAAAGGUACAUCCUUAGCAAGUAGAUUGCAUAAGGGUCUAGAAACUUUGCUAAAAUAUUUAAUGAAACGUCUAUAAAAACCAGCAUGCCCAAGGAAAGAUCUUACUUCUCUGACUGUUUUAGGUGGAGGAAGAUUGGAAAUGAGAUCUACCUUUGCUUUGUCAACCUCAAUACAUUUGCUUGAAAUGAUGUGACCGAGAACAAUACAUUGUUUUACCAUAAAAUGACACUUCUCCCAAUUUAAGACUAAGUUCUUCUCGAUACAUCUCUGCAGAACUAGUGUUAGAUGAAAUGAAGCGCUUGAGUAUCUGGAUCUGCAUCAACAUGCACCAUGGGCUAAAUAUUCCUUAUUAGUGCCAAUUAAAUCAUGAGGGGGGAAUCCACACCUCACAAACUACACUCUAAUCAAUAUGGUGCUAAGGGCUUAUCAUGCCAAAUAAUAAUAACCUUGUACUAGGGAGCCGGUGAAACCAGGGCGGUAUCUAGACAAGAUUAUUACUAUUUAUAGACAAAAAGUCAAAACAUCCAUAAAAAUUUGAAGGGAAGAGAAAAUACAUUUACUAAAUAAAGCCCAUGGCACAUGUUGAGACUUCACCUUCACCCCAAGCUUAAAAGAAAAUUAGCUACUCAUAAUUGAACUAGGGGCAAAAUGGAAAUUUAUUAAAAUACAUAGAAAAUACAAGAUGGAGAAGGAAUUACAGAAAAUUGAACUCAAAAAUGAAUUCAGGGAUACCAAAUUAGGGGGGAGAGCCCCCUUUUUAUAGAUACAUUGAGUAAAUCAUAGCCAUCGGAUUAAGAACAUUUCGGACGCUCAGGAUUGUGCCACAUCAUCAGUCAAUAGUACGAGGUUUGACCACACAGUUUGAACAGUAACGCGGUUUGGUUGUAAGUUAUCCUGUGUAUAUGCAUGUAAUAUACGCACAAUUUUUGGUCCACUGAUAUGCUGCCACGUCACAGAUCAACAGUACGUAAGAAUUUUAGUCCAAUAGAAUCGUGACACCUCAUCAGUCAAUGCCACAUCAUCGGUCAAUGCCAUUUCAUUGAUCCGUCUAUGUGAAUAGUGUCGUGAACAGUAACGUAGACAGUACCGUACAUGUGAAUAGUAUCACACAUGUGAACAGUGUCAUUUUUCCUUUUAUGGUCCUCCUAAGGUUUUCGACUGUCCUGAGUUCAAAAGUGAUGUCUGUUUUGCUGUCUGAUCUCUCGUUCAUUGUGAAAUGACCAUGAUGCCCCUAAAUCACAAGAAGCUUAAAUAGAUAAAAGUAAGGAUGUUAGUAAGACUUGAAAUGUAAAAUGACGAUUUUCUCCUUUAUAAAUAUAUAUUUUCUAACACAACACUUGCAAUUGGAGAGUUUUGAGACUUUGUUAUAUUUAUGGCUUUGGAAAAAGGAAAAUCCUUAGUAUUAGGCUAGUGGAUUUGUUUGAAUAAACUUUGGCUCAGUUCUAAUUGAGGCUUUUGUGAAGGAUUAUUAUUUAUAAGUAACCUCCUUUACCGUAUGCUCCACACGUGUUGGAUUUAGGGUAUUACAAUUUGAGAAAAAGAGUAAUUAAAAUCAUGAAGAAGUUCAUUGUUCUCAUUCUUUUCUUCACUUUUUUUCUAUGUCUUAUGAAUCUUUCUCAAGGUAAUAUAGUAUCCCAAAGAGUUAUUUUUAAAUUUGUUUUAAUUUGAGAAUACUCACAUUUUAACGAUUUUUAUGUUUCUUUGCAAGAAAAGGACAACUAAAAUUCUAUACUAAACACAUGACAAUUCCUGGCGUUUGUCCCAAGGAUCCUAAGGUAGCAGAAUUCGUGUGCCUUAAAGCCUUCUUCGAUAAAUAUGGAGCAACAAAGAGCCUAGAUAAUUGUCUAUGCAAACCAUCAACUGUCAACCAGCCCAUCUGCCAGUGUGACAUUUUUGCGAUCCACCACCACCUAAACGAACUUAAUUAUGGUGUCCAAUAGUAUGAAGAAUGAAGAUCACUAAAUCCACGAUAUCGAUAUUAACCUAUUGUUAAAUCAUAGAUAGAUAAUGAUACGGUGGUUUGUAAUAAUAAAUCAUAAUAUUUACUUAAGUAAUUAAUCGCUAUGGUUGAGAAACAUUUGUAUAUGAAACAAUGGGUAAUUUCAUUACAAUGUCGGAUUAGUAAAAAGAAAAAUUGCUUUUAUACUAUUGAAUAUAAAUAAAUCCAGUCGAAUAAGUUUUCUUUUAAUCCUAAUAACCAUGUUAAAAACAAAACUUUUAAUUAAGAUAUAAAACUUUUUGUGUGCGCCUUUUUCUUCCCCUUAAACAACUAAUAACUUAAGGCUAAAGUUUCAGUGUCGGGCCUCAAUGCCUAGCAUUGUGCCAAUUUUUAUUUGUAGCCGUUGGAUUCAAGUAAAAUGAGUCCAACGAUUGAGAUUAAAAUAAAAAUAAAAAGUAACGGGUUACUUGUUAAACGGUUGCUGAAAUCCAUUACGUUUUCCCUCCUUCAAAUCUCAAACAUCUCUUUCACCUCUCUUACUAUCACUCUUUGAAAUACUGAUUUGUCUCUUGGAUUGUUUACUAAUCACAUAAAAUCGAAGCUACCGUGUAACACACAGCGAACAACAAGUCGAAUCCAUCAAUUAGUUGGUGUCAUCUUGAGCUGUUCUCUUUCAUUUUUUAGUUAAAGACAAGGUAAUGAUGAUUCUUGUGUUUUUGUGGUGACUAUUGAAAAUGAUAUGUGAAAGAAUUAGGGGUUUACGUGUUAUAUUAAAAUUUUGAUGAUAUGUGAAAUAAUUAGGGAUUUAUAGGCUGAUAGGUAGUGAGAAUUAUGAUGAUGACUUUAAGUUCCUCUUUUCUUUGCCUCUGAACUGUAUUAUAUCCCACAAGUGCCACUUACAUCAAUACGAUGUACCUCCAUGUCUUGAAAGGUAGUAUGACGAAUGAAGAUCACUAAAUCCAUGAUAUCUAUACUAACCUAUUGUUAAAUCAUAGAUAGAUACUAAUACGGUGGUUGGUAAUAAUAAAUCAUAAUAUUUUACUUACUAUGGUCGAGAAAUAUUUAACUAAUUAGUUAUUGGCUUGAGAAAUAUAUGUAUAUAAAACAUGGGUAAGUUCAUUACUAUCUCGGAUUACUAAAAAAGAAAAAUUACUUAUACACUAUUGACUAAAUCCGGUCGAAUAAUUUUUCUUUUAACCCUAAUAAUGAUGUUAAAAAAGAAAAAAAGAUAAACAAAUACUUCUAAUUAAGAUUUAGAACUAGUGUGUGCGAUUUUUUUUAACAAUCAAUAACUUCAUUAUAAUUAAAGUGCGCACAAACAUUCUAAAAAGUCAUCCAGCCAAAUAACAAAAUUUAAAAGAGCUAACUUGGCUAGUACAUGGCUUGAGCUAUUUAAAAUUACACGAAAUAUGAUGAAUUUGAAAAGCGUAUCGUCGUUCCAUGGGUUGUAAAAUAUUAGCAAUAACUUAGAAAAUACUAACUGCGAAAAUAGUAGCAACCCUAACAUACCCAUGACAAUCACACAUCACCGCACCUAAACCCAUGACAUUAUGCGCACAAUCAACAAUGAUGAUGCCAGCCUCACAGUGAAACUUUGAGACCCAUGUUCAAUUUAAGGUUUCAAUUUCCCAACAUAUUUUUUUUUUCCUUUUUUAAAAGAGGAUCAUUGGAUUUCACCCCAUUCCACAUAUUAAAUAUACUUGCUAUAUUCCUACCAUUAUAUGAAGUAAUCUCUAAGUACCUAUGACUAGACAAAUCCCUAAUGCAAGGAAUAAAUAAAUAACAAUAUUAUUGACGCACUGAUGUAAUAAUAAAGCCCUAACAUUUUGUCAGUUGCAAUUAAAAUGCCUAGACAAAAAAGAAAAAAAUCAUCAAUUUCAUGUUAUUUGUUUCAGCAAUCUGAGAAAGCAAAAAUCACUUGUUGAAAAAGCUUAAUUGCUCACUUUUAGUAAUUUUAAUCUUUUGCAUUUGCUAAUUGCUCAAUCUCCAUAAUGUUCUUUCGCUUGUUAAAAGCUAUCAAGGGAACGAUUUUAGCAAUCCAAGUGAUGGAUAGACCUUUCUAAACUUGCUCAUUUAUUUGGUUUUGGAUAUGGAAUUGAUGUUGUUUGCUGCCAAUGAAGAGAUUUGAUCAAAUUGUUUCUAAAAGAAUAAAAUUGUUAUUUUUUUCUUUUGAAAAAGUUUAGUUGUUUGAUCACAUGAAAUUUAUAAUAUAUAUAAGUUUGCAAAAUGAUAGUCUAAAGAGAAAAAUCUUAUGUACUUUUAGUAUUUUUGUACAAGAUAAAAUUGGAAUCAUUAAUAGGGUUUGGUGAGAUAAAAUGAGAUAAUCAAAUAUCAAUCCUCUAAACGAGAUAAUUAGAUUCUUAGGCUUUCAUAGUUUUUUCUUUUUUAAUACACUAGGCUUUUAUAGUUGGAACAUCUAAAUCAAAAGCAGAUGCAAAACUUGGCCAUAGAAAUUAGAACAUCCUUAAUUCAAAAGCCAAUACAAAGCUGCAUUCCUAGUAAGACAAAAACUUUUAAAGUGAUUAAAUUAGAGAAGCAUUGUGAUAUCCAAUUUUAGUAGGCGUACCAAGUUUAAUUAAAAUUUAAUUAAACAAACAAUGAGUAAAAAUAAAAUGCGUAAAAGUAAAGCACACAAGAAGAUUUUUACGUUAUUCACUACAUCCAUGGAGGCACGCUCAAAUAUCGAGUAAUUUGCUAGGCUCAAGAGAUUACAACUUGUUGAAACCUUACAGAAUAUGAGACUCCAUUUUAGUGAUUGCCACCAACUUAUUAUAAACUCACCAAGUGUUGAUAGGUGGCUUUUUAUCUAAAUUAAACCAUUAUUGGUGGUUUGUUGAUCUUGGAAUUGAGUUGAUAGCUCCACACUACAAGAAAAUAGGCAAUAGAUAACAGUAAAUAACUGUCAUAAAAGGGGAUGUAUGACAGACAACUUAUCUGUCAUCUAUGUCACUGUCAUUAAUUCAUGACAGAAUAUUUUCCGUCAUGAAUUCAUGAUGAUUUUUCACAGUCACGUAUCUGUCACACAAUAUUUUAAUGAAAAAUUAAAAUUAUUUAAAUUUUUGGCAUUUUAAAACUUUUUGGCUGUAAAUUGGUAUUAUCUGAAUAUUAAAAUUACUUAAAAAGCAUUAUUUUUUGAAUAUUAUUAUUUGUGUUGAAUUAUUAUUAUUAUUAGAAUUCUCAGCAAAUUUGUUUUUAGAAUAAAUUUAUAAAUCUAAAAUAAAUACAAAUACAAAACAUGAUAAAAAAAAUUAAAUCUAAAAUAAUCCAAUUAAUACAACCUGGAUAUCCAUUUAACCAUACAACCCAUUGGAUUGUGCACACAAUAUUCUGGUUCUGAUUAUGUUCUUAGCAGGGUCAUUGGAAGUAUAGGUGACACUAUGUGACAUGAGCUAACUUUCUUUUUAUUGUGUAUAUAUGAUAUACAAUUUAUUUUCGUGAUUAAUUACGCUUUUGAAAUUCUAAAUAAAUUAUCAAUUUGUAUAUUUCUGUUACAAAUUUAUGAUUUUUAAUAUAUGUUUUGAUAAGAAAAGGGCUUGCAAUAUUUUUUGAACCUGAUAACUGUAGUGAGUGGCAAUGGUUUUACUUACCAAGUUGACAGCGCACUCCUCGUCAUUACUUUUUGGAGAUUGAGUAACUUAUUGAGAUGUGUGCUUAUCUUUGGACCUAGAAAUUUAUUUAUUUUUGUUAGUAGAAUAAGAGGAGAAUGAACUUUUGUUUCCUUUAAGUUUGUUUAUCUUCCGAACUUGCUGUUGUGCAAAUUUCAUUGAACUCGCAAGUGCACGAAUCUAUUGUAGAAUAGAUCAAUGAUGACGAGUGUCGAUCCCACGAGGAGGUGGAUUUUAAUUAUGCGUAGAAUUAAUUUCCUAUGUGGGUGGUUGGAUUUGUGGUAAAAAUGAUUUGGACUAUCCUAAAAUUUGAAUUAAAAUGGUGAGAAUAAAUUGAAGAGAAAUCUAUUGAAAUGAAGCGCUUGGGUAUCUAGAUCUGAAUCAACAUGCACCAUGGGCUAAAUAUUCCUUAUUAGUGCCAAUUAAAUCAUGAGGGGGGAAUCCACACCUCAUGAACCAUACUCUAAUCAAUAUGGUGCUAAGGGCUUAUCGUGCCAAAUAAUAAUAACCUUGUACUAGGGAGCCGGUGAAACCAGGGCGGUAUCUAGACAAGAUUAUUAUUAUUUGUCGAUGAAAAGUCAAAACAUCCACAAAAAUUAGAAGGGAAGAGAAAAUAAAUUUACCAAAUAAAGCCCAUGGCACAUGUUGAAACUUCACCUUUAACCCAAGCUUAAAAGAAAAUUAGCUGCUCAUAAUUGAACUAGGGGCAAAAUAGAAAUUUAUUAAAAUAUGUAGAAAAUACAAGAUAAAAAAUGAAUUACAGAAAAUUGAACUAAAAAAUGAAUUCAAGGAUACCAAAUUCGGGGGGGGGGGAGAGCCCCCUUUUUAUAGAUACAUUGAGUAAAUCAUGGCCAUCGAAUUAAGAACAUUUCGGACGCUCAGGAUGGCGCCACAUCAUCAGUCAAUAGUACGCGGUUUGACCACACAGUUUGAACAGUGACGCAGUUUGAACAUUAACGCGGUUUGGUUGUAAGAUAUCUUGUGUAUAUGCAUGUACCGUACGCACAAUUUUUAGUCCACUGAUAUGCUGCCAUGUCACCGAUCAACAGUACAUAAGAAUUUUAGUCCAAUAGAAUCGUGACAUCUCAUCAGUCAAUACCACAUCAUCGCUCAAUGCCACGUCAUCGAUCCAUCUAUGUGAAUAGUAUCGUGAACAGUAACGUAGACAGUAUCGUACAUGUGAAUAGUACCGUACAUGUGAACAAUGUCAUUUUUCGUUUUAUGGUCCUCCUAAGGUUUUCGACUGUCCUGAGUUCAAAAGUGAUGUCCAUUUUACUGUCUGAUCUCUUGUCCAUUGUGAAAUGGCCAUGAUGUCCCUAAAAUACAUAAAAUACUUAAUUAAAAUAAAACACACAUAAUUAAAUCACAAGAAGCUUAAAUACAUAAAAGUAAGGAUGUUAGUAAGACUUGAAAUGUAAAAUGAUGAUUUUCUCCUUUGUAAAUAUACAUUUUCUAACACUCAACACACCCCCCAACCUGCUUAUUGCUAGUCCCUAGCAAAUAAAGCGAAAACAAAAUUCAAACCCAAAAUAUUUUUUUCUUUUUUUAAAAACACUUUUGUUUAUUCAAUCAGACCAAUAAUAGCAAACAAAUAAAAGUAUAAGUAUUAUCUCCAGUUUAAAGAAACAUCACACCCACAUCAACCAUCCACAUGAAUAAGCCUAGUAGAUUUUCUCACAGCUACUUUCAAGAAUAACAUGUCAAACCCCAAAAUCUCACUGCAAGCAGUGACACUUUCACAAGAAAAUUAAACCCAAUAAAAAUAGUCACUCCAAUGAAUGCUAAAUUUGAGAGAAAAUAAUAUAGAAGUAAUAUCACACACUCUCACCAAGAUGAAAGAAAUUUUCUCACAGCUUAAAAAUAACACGAUCUAAAGUCAAAAUUCUAGUCAACCCAAUGUAUUCAUUUUUUUUUACUUUUUACUUUUAUUUUUAUUUUUUUUAUGCAUCACUACAUCUUUUUAGCCCAUAAAACUAGCUUCUACUUCAGAUUAUAGAUCCCUAAAGUCAAGAAAGACUUUUAUUGGGACGUAACAUAGGCUAAGGACAUAAUGUCAAUUAAUGCGUAAAGCACAUGGCUCGCGAGUCAAAAAGGAAAAAGUAAAAAGAAAAAGAAACAAUGAUAAAAUAAAAUUGUUAAAGACAAUAAUGCAAAUGAUAAAACAAUAGUGAAAUAAAAUAAUAGUAAAGUAAAAAGAUAUUUACAGGUAGUUGCGACUGUGGCUCACACCUUCCUCUGGUUUUACGUUCAGAAACAGCUUGAACGUCCUCUAUGGGUUGAGGCUAGGUUUCCCAUCCAGUUUUCUUAUAAACUGGCAAAUAGGGUCAUUUAUAGUUAGAUUCCCGAGACUAUGUCGUGCAUGCUCUUUCUGGAAUAAAGGUCAUAACCAGAGAAUCAUUCCUUGUACAUAUCCACUGGGAUGCGUUUCAAGAGAUAAAAUGAUAUCAUCCAACGACUCCUUAUUCAAGCCAUCCCUAAUGAAUUGAAUCUUAUCUUCCUUGUUAUCAGACACCAUUCCUAAAGAACAUGAUUUUUUAUCGCAUCUCAUUUUGGUACACUUAUGACAAGCAACAUAAAUUCUUCGAGCUCGUCGUUUUCUUGCAUAAUUUCCUUUACCACAACCAGGCAUGUAUGCAAUAAAUUUUGGAGGCAACUCACCUGCCAACCGUACUUUGGCCUCGAUUAACCAGCGAAUGUCAGUAGGUAUGUUAUUCCUCAUAAGCAAUCGCAUGCGUUCGAACCGAGCUUUAUGGAUUGUAAGGAGGGUAUUCUAAGAAAGUGAAGGGAAUCGAUUGUGAAGCAUUGCUAAAAUCUCGUUUCUAUCCAUACCUUCACCUAAAAAUAUCAGUUAUUAUGGAAAACUGAAAUAACCGACUUGAUUGUCACGGAGUACCAUUAUCCACCACUUCACCAGGGUAACAAACUAAAGCACACAAACAAAGAAAAACAAACUAAAACACAUAAAGAAAAUUACAAUCGUCCUCUUAUUAAAUUUACCUCAAGCUCCAACUGGAUGUUGUAGACACCUCUCUCAAUGUCUCUGAGUUGGCUUUCUAAAUCCUCAACAUGCGAUACUAACUUUGGUGGUUGCAGAGCCCAAAUAUGAUGUGUUUUAUAAAAUCAAAUCUGCCUUUUGAGAUGAGAUUUCACACGUUGAAGUGGUCUAAGAAUUUCCAGGAGGAACUGUUUACCUAUGGCACUCAUAGUAAAUAACAUGGGGAAUUCGAUCAACUCUUUAUCCUAAUACUGCUCCUACUGCAUAAUCAGAUGCAUCACACAUAAGCUCAAACAGUAAGUUCCAGUUUGCGAGCUGAAUGAUGAGUGAUGAUCUCAACAACUGUUUUAAUUUUUCAAAUGCCACAAGACAUGAAUCAUCAAGGUUUGAACUGAAGAAGCAAGUUGUUCAACCAGCUUCUCGAGGUUUGAAACUGAUUGGGCUUGUGAGUUGAAGGCUGCUCUCAUCUCAUUUCGUAUUUCAUCAAUGGUGCGAUUCUGUUGCUCAAUCAUGGAGUAAGUAACAUUCCUGAAAUUUUGGAAUGCAUCUUCCCAUGGUCUGGGUUGAGAGUAGUUCUGGUUCUGAUUGUGUGGUCUAAAUGGUGGCUGAGAGACUUGAAGAACUUGAGGAAUUGGUUGCAUUGGUGGAGCUGGAGCUGGAGUUGUUGGUCCAUUCUGUUGGAAUCCUUGAAACCAUGAAACAUUGGGGUGGUCUCUCCAUUAAGGGUUAUAUGUGUUGGAGUAUGGGUUGUAAUUAGAUGGUUUUCUCAUUACACCUAUGGCAUUGGCUUGAUCUGAGUAUGAGUCAUUGUCAUGUGGUUCUGUUGAUUUAGCACUCGAUAACGAUGCUAUUUGUCAGGAAAGAUCUUCAACCAUCUCUUUGACUUCUUUAAUUCCUGAACUUGACUCACCAAUGUGAACCUCAUUUACUCCCUUAAUUCUUUUAGUAUUCCUGAGUGAUCGACUCCAUUAUUAGGAAUUAUCCGCUUGUCGCUAGAAGAAUUCCCAAAUCUCUAAUGCACUUUUUGACAUUAGCUCUCCUCCACUUAUUGCCAUUAGCCAUUCUUGGACAUGUGGCAAUAAUCCCUCUAAAAGGUAUUGGCAUUGGUACUAUUUCCCGUACCCAUGAUGUGGACACUUCAAGAGUAACCCAUUGAAUCGCUCCCAUGUUUCGAAAAACUGCUCGUCUUCUCUCUGGGUAAACUUUGAAAUUUCCCUGCGAAUAGCAUUGGUUUUAUGCACUGGAAAAUAUUUAUUCAAAAAUUUCGUUACCAUUUGUUCCCAUGAUGUAAUGCUAUUAGCAGGCAAUGUAUUGAGCCAUGAACAAGCUCUAUCCUUUAAGGAAAAUGGGAAUAGUCAAAGUUUAACAUCAUCGUCUGAAAAAUUUUCAUAUUUAAAAGUUUGACAAACAGCAUGAAAAUCAUUCAGAUGAUUAUAUGGGUCCUCAUUUUCUAGGCCAUAGAAUGUUGGGAGACAAUUUAGCACACUAGGUUUUAGUUCAAAACUCCUAAUAGCUACGUUUGAGUAUCUUAUGCAUGAUGUGCUCAAAUUAGCUAAGGGACUAAAGUAGUCCUUAAAUAGCAUCUCCUGUGGUGGUGGUUGUUGUUGCAAAUCCAUUUCAGUUUUACCUUUAAUUACAACGUGUUUGUGUGUGCGAAGUGUUUUUUCAAGUUUAAGGUCUAUAGGCUCAAGAUUAGGUAAUAAUGACAUUCGACCGUCCAUGCAAAGAACACAAAACAAUUAAAAAUAAAGAAGGAGAAAUUAUGAUAUUAACCUUAUCGCGAUGUUACAACCUUUCUAUAAAAACACACUAAAAAAUAAUACAUGAAAUAAAUUAAAAAUAAAUUAAUAAGAUAAACAAAAAAAAUUACCAAGAAAAAAAAUUAACUUAAAAAUUAAAUUACAGAAUUUUAAAGAAGAGAAAAAGAAAAGAAAUUCUUACAUCUAAAUGCAUAUUCACUUUUAAAAAAAUUACAAUAAAACAAUUAAAAGAAAUUAUUUACAAAAAUUAAUUCUACGAAUUAAAAUAACUUACCUCCCCAGCAAAGGCGCCAAAAACUUGGUGUGCCAAUUUUAUUGAACUCGUAAGCGCAUGAAUCUAUUGUAGAAUAGAUUAAUGGUGACGAGUGUCGAUCCCACGAGGAGGUGAAUUUUAAUUAUGCAUAGAAUUAAUUUUCUAUGUGGAUUGUUGGAUUUGUGGUGAAAAUGAUUUGAACUAUCCUAAAAUUUAAAUUAAAAUAGCGAGAAUAAAUUGAAGAGAAAUCUAUUGAAAUGAAGCUCUUGGGUAUCUAGAUCUGCAUCAACAUGCACCAUGGGCUAAAUAUUCCUUAUUAGUGCCAAUUAAAUCAUGAGGGGGGAAUCCACACCUCAUGAACCACACUCUAAUCAAUAUCGUGCUAAGGGCUUAUCGUGCCAAAUAAUAAUAACCUUGUACUAGGGAGCCGGUGAAAUCAGGGCGGUAUCUAGAAGAGAUUAUUACUAUUUGUCGACGAAAAGUCAAAACAUCCACAAAAAUUAGAAGGGAAGAGAAAAUAAAUUUACCAAAUAAAGUCCAUGACACAUGUUGAGACUUCAUCUUCAACCCAAGCUUAAAAGAAAAUUAGAUACUCAUAAUUGAACUAGGGGCAAAAUGGAAAUUUAUUAAAAUACGUAGAAAAUACAAGAUGGAGAAGGAAUUACAAAACAUUGAACUCAAAAAUGAAUUUAGGGAUACCAAAUUAAGGGGGGAGAGCCCCUUUUUAUAGAUACAUUGAGUAAAUCAUGGCCAUCGGAUUAAGAACGUUUCGGACGCUCAGGAUUGCGCCACGUCAUCAGUCAAUAGUAUGCGGUUUAACCACACGGUUUGAACAGUAACACGGUUUGGUUGUAAGUUAUCCUGUGUAUAUGCAUGUACUGUACGCACAAUUUUUGGUCCACUGAUAUGCUGCCACGUCACCGAUCAACAGUACAUAAGAAUUUUAGUCCUAUGGAAUCGUGACACCUCAUCUAUGUUGCCACAUCAUCGAUCCGUCUAUGUGAACAGUGUCGUGAACAGUAACGUAGACAAUACCGUACACGUGAAUAGUAUCGUACAUGUGAAUAGUAUCAUUUUUCGUUUUAUGGUCCUCUUAAGGUUUUCGACUGUCCUGAGUUCAAAAGUGAUGUCUGUUUUGCUGUCUGAUCUCUCGUUCAUUGUGAAAUGACCAUGAUGCCCCUAAAUCACAAGAAGCUUAAAUACAUAAAAGUCAGGAUGUUAGUAAGACUUGAAAUGUAAAAUGACGAUUUUCUCCUUUAUAAAUAUACAUUUUCUAACACAACACUUGCAAUUGGAGAGUUUUGAGACUUUGUUAUAUUUAUGGCUUUGGAAAAAGGAAAAUCCUUAGUAUUAGGCUAGUGGAUUUGUUUGAAUAAACUUUGGCUCAGUUCUAAUUGAGGCUUUUGUGAAGGAUUAUUAUUUAUAAGUAACCUCCUUUACCACAUGCUCCACACGUGUUGGAUUUAGGGUAUUACAAUUUGCUUCAAGUGAGGAUGUUGUUUUUGUAGUUUUCAUUGGUAACUUAUCAAUACUAGACUUAAAUAAAUCAAAGAUGAACUUAGAAAACGGUAAAAGAGGCUAUAAAUAAGAUUAAAAUUCUUAAAUUUGAAAUUAAUUUGUAUGACUUGAAAAUUGAACAAAUUAGCCAUAAUUUGUUUCAACCAUCCAAUAUAGUUUUAAACAAAUUUUAAGUUCAACAAAACCUUGACCCAAUGUUUAAGAAACUUAAUGGUAAUUUCCUAACUGUACAUUUUAUCAAGCUAAUGUAUUUUCCUUUUAUACACGAGCAACGUGCAUGAUUGUUCAUGGAAUACAUAACCUAUUCAUAAUUUAAAUAGAGGUUGAAAAAUGGGUUAAUGGAUUGUAUUUAUGUCGUAUCAAAAUUUAAGCCUACUCAAACACAAUCUAUUUAAUAAUUGCAUCAAACAAUCAAAAUCCUAGUUAACCUGAGAUGACUAUUAACUGGAUUUACAUUAGCACGAUUAAUUGAAUAAUUAAAUCAAAUUUUAAUUGUGUCUAGUAAAUGAGUAAGAAAAUAAACAAGAUAAAAUUAUUGGGGAAAAAAACUUUGAAUGAAGUAGCUGCGGUAAAGUUGUCAAGGCAUUUAUUAGAAAGAGAGAGAAGUAAAUAGUAAUUAAUCCAAAAAUAUAGGCCCAAUCAACAUUUUUCUUUGUUCUAAUAGAAAUAUUCAGUCAAUAAUGAUUUAUUAAUAUAGUUUAUGAUUGCCCAACCCUUACCCUUUAAAUGAAAAAACAAUUAACAUAUUUUACGAAAUGUUAAAAUGAUUAGCCAGCUGUAUGGUAAUAAGAAUAGAGUUAUCGAAUUUUUUAUUAUUAUUUCUUUUUGAAUGGGAAUAGUUAGACAUUUGAAGGCAUAUAAUUACGAAAAAUAGUCUAAUAAAACAAAUCAAAGUUUCUGACAAAUAAAACAAAUUUAUAAGUCUAAGAAUUGAAAUUAAGGGAAAAGGUUUUGUGGAGCAAAUGGUUUUAAGAUCGUUCUCUAUUUUUUAAAAAAAAUACUUUUAGAGAGCAAUGAUGGUUCUAACUUCUAACUACCUUUUGUUAUCAACUAUUUUUAGUGACACUUGUAUGAAAGUUGGUUUUCUUCAUUUCCAAAACAAUGUCUUUUAAUUAGGGAAGUUAUAAAAUUUUUCCUUAAUUUAGUUUGUUUUUCCAUUAUAUAUAAGACAUAAUUGAAGGAAUAUGUAUAUUAAACAUUAUUUUAGCAAGAGAGAAGAGAAAAAGAGUAAUCAAAAUCAUGAAGAAGUUCAUUGUUCUCAUGCUUUUCUUCACUUUUUUUCUCUGUCUUAUGAAUCUUUCUCAAGGUAAAUAUAGUAUCCCAAAGAGUUAUUUUUAAAUUUGUUUUAAUAUGAGAAUACUCACAUUUUAACGAUUUUUAUGUUUCUUUGCAAGAAAAGGACAACUAAAAUUCUGUACUAAACACAUGACAAUUCCUGGCGUUUGUCCCAAGGAUCCUAAGGAAGCAGAAUUCGUGUGCCUUAAAGCCUUCUUCGAUAAAUAUGGAGCAACAAAGAGCCCAGAUAAUUGUCUAUGCAAACCAUCAACUGGCAACCAGCACAUCUGCCAGUGUGACAUUAUUUGCGAUCCACCACCACCUAAACGAACUUAAUUAUGGUGUCCAAUAGUAUAAAGAAUGAAGAUCACUAAAUCUACGAUAUCGAUAUUAACCUAUUGUUAAAUCAUAGAUAGAUAAUGAUACGGUGGUUUGUAAUAAUAAAUCAUAAUAUUUACUUAAGUAAUUAAUCGCUAUGGUUGAGAAACAUUUGUAUAUGAAACAAUGGGUAAUUUCAUUACAAUGUCAGAUUAGUAAAAAGAAAAAUUGCUUUUACACUAUUGAAUAUAAAUAAAUCUAGUCGAAUAAGUUUUCUUUUAAUCCUAAUAACCAUGUUAAAAACAAAACUUCUAAUUAAGAUAUAAAACUUUUUGUGUGCGCCUUUUUCUUCCCCUUAAACAACUAAUAACUUAAGGCUAAAGUUUUAGUGUCGGGCCUCAAUGCCUAGCAUUGUGCCAAUUUUUAUUUGUAGCUGUUGGAUUCAAGUAAAAUGAGUCCAACGGUUGAGAUUAAAUUAAAAAUAAAAAGUAACGGGUUACUUGUUAAAUGGUUGCUGAAAUCCAUUACGUUUUCCCUCCUUCAAAUCUCAAACAUCUCUUUUACCUCUCUUACUAUCACUCUCUGAAAUAUUGAUUUGUCUCUUGGAUUGUUUACUAAUCACAUAAAAUUGAAGCUACCAUGUAACACACGGAGAACAACAAGUCAAAUCCAUCAAUCAGUUGGUGUCAUCUUGAACUGUUCUCUUUCAUUUUUUAGUUAAAGACAAGGUAAUGAUGAUUCUUGUGUUUUUGUGGUGACUAUUGAAAAUGAUAUGUGAGAGAAUUACGGGUUUAUGUGUUAUAUUAAAUUGUUGAUGAUAUGUGAAAUAAUUAGGGAUUUAUAGGCUGAUAGGUAGUGAGAAUUAUGAUGAUGACUUUAAGUUCCUCUUUUCUUUGCCUCUUCUAAGAACUGUAUUAUAUCCCACAAGUGCCACUUACAUCAAUACGAUGUACCUCCAUGUCCUGAAAGGUAGUAUGAAGAAUGAAGAUCACUAAAUCCACGAUAUCUAUAUUAACCUAUUGUUAAAUCAUAGAUAGAUACUAAUACGGUGGUUUGUAAUAAUAAAUCUUAAUAUUUACUUACUAUGGUAGAGAAAUAUUUAACUAAUUAGUUACUGGGGUUGAGAAAUAUAUGUAUAUGAAACAUGGGUAAGUUCAUUACUACGUUGGAUUACUAAAAAAGAAAAAUUACUUAUACACUAUUGAAUAAAUCUGGUCGAAUAAUUUUUCUUUUAACCCUAAUAAUGAUGUUAAAAAAGAAAAAAAGAAAAACAAAUACUUCUAAUUAAGAUUUAGAACUUUUGUGUGUGCUUUUUUUUUAACAAUCAAUAACUUCAUUAUAAUUAAAGUGCGCACAAACGUUCUAAAAAGUUAUCCAGCUAAAUAACAGAAUUUAAAAGAGCUAACUUGGCUAGUACAUGGCUUGAGCUAUUUAAAAUUACACAAAAUAUGAUGAAUUUGAAAAGCGUAUCGUCGUUCCAUGGGUUGUAAAAUAUUAGCAAUAACUUAGAAAAUACUAAUUGCGAAAAUAGUAGCAACCCUAACAUACCCAUGACAAUCACACAUCACAACACCUAAACCCAUGACAUCAUCCGCACAAUCAACAGUGAUGAUGCCAGCCUCACAAUGAAACUUUGAGACCGACGUUCAGUUUAAAGUUUCAAUUUCCCAACAUAGUGUUUUUCCUUUUUUAAAAGAGGAUCAUUGGAUUUCACCCCAUUCCACAUAUUAAAUAUACUUGCUAUAUUCCUACCAAUAGACAUAGUAAUCUCUAAGUACCUAUGACUAGACAAAUCCUUAAUGCAAGGAAUAAAUAAAUAACAAUAUUAUUGACGCACAUAUGUAAUGAUAAAAGUCCUAACAUUUUGUCAGUUGCAAUAAAAAUGCUUAGACAAAAAAGAAAAAAAAUCCUCAGUUUCACGUUAUUUGUUUCAGCAAUCUGAGAAAGCAAAAAUCACUUGUUGAAAAAGCUUAAUUGCUCACUUUUAGUAAUUUUAAUCUUUUGCAUUUGCUAAUUGGUCAAUCUCCAUAAUGUUCUUUCUCUUGUUAAAAGCUUGGAAAAGCUAUCAAGGGAACGAUUUUAGCAAUCCAAGCGAUGGAUAGACCUUUCUAAACUUGCUCAUUUAUUUGGUUUUGGAUAUGGAAUUGAUGUUGUUUGCUGCCAAUGAAGAGAUUUGAUCAAAUUGUUUCUAAAAGAAUAAAAUUGUUUCUAAUAGAUGACAGUAAAUAACUGUCAUAAAAGGGGAUGUAUGAUAAACUUAUCUGUCAUCUUUAUCACUGUCAUUAAUUCAUGACAGAAUAUUUUCCGUCAUGAAUUCAUGAUGAUUUUUCACAGUCACAUAUCUGUCACACAAUAUUUUAAUGAGAAAUUAAAAUUAUUUAAAUUUUUGGCAUUUUUAAACUUUUUGGCUGUAAAUUGGUAUUAUCUGAAUAUUAAAAUUACUUAAAAGCAUUAUUUUUUAAUUGUAUUGUUAUUAUUAUUUGUGUUGAAUUAUUAUUAUUAUUAGAAUUCUCAAAUUCUGCAAAUUUGUUUUUAGAAUAAAUUUAUAAAUCUAAAAUAAAUACAAAAUAUGAUACAAAAAAUUAAAGAAUCCAAUUAAUAAAACCUGGAUAUCCAUUUAACCAUAUAAUCCAUAUCAUUGAGGUAUUCAAGCAACAACAACCCAAAAUUUCAGAAAAUAUCCUAAACAGCCUCUCCAUUCUUUUGCCAUGCCCUCAAUUGUUGGCCUUAGAAUACUAGUCCCGUAACUCUGCAUCUUAUUCCUGUUCAAGAAAAGAAUUAGAGCAAUAAUCAGUUUAACUAUGAACGAACAUGCAUACCUUAAUAAUAGUUUACAGUCUAAUAAUUGUGCAUAGCUAUUUUUUUAUAAGUUUAACUAUCCAAUGAAAAUAUCUAUCGUAGCCCCAAAGAAAAAAAGAACACAGAAGGUAAAAGAAAGCAAAAUUGACAAUUUAAUUGGCUAAUUUAAUAAAAGGAGAAAAAAGUUCAUCACAUGUUACUAUAUUGCCAAUAAAUGUAAUUAACACAUUUUCUUAAGAACUCUAUCUCCGCUAUAUUUUAACAUUAGUAAUUUUACCGCAAGCCAACACAUAAAAAUUACAAAACCAUAUUCACAAAUAAAGUAUUUGUAACAACACUCAAAUUUUGUCAGAUGCAAUAGGGGUAUCCAUCUCAAAACUAGUUCUAAAAUAGAAGAAAGCAAGGCAUUAGAAAGAUUAUAACUCAAUGAAACACAUAAAAACUUCAAGAAAUUAUAAUUAAACAUCAAAUACAAAUUCCACUACUACAGUAAGUGAGAUAGAUGACAUUCAAUAGACGACUCACAUCUAAACAAUUGUUAUCUUUUCUUUUAGAUGACUUUUUCUAUAGUUAGAGAGUCAUCUAUGAUAAUUUUAAUUGGAUAGGAAGUUAAAAGAUGACUCGUUAUACAAAAACACGUCAUAUUUUAUAAGGUAAAGAUAUGACUCAUAAUUUAAAAAACGUCAUUUUUAUAUAGAUGUAUAAAUAAAAAAAUCACCCUAAGUUCCCUCAAAUCCCUAAUUUCUUCGAGUUGUAUCUCUCUCUCUCUCUCUCUCUUUCGUUUUUCUCUUCUCAAAAUUCCUUCUCAAAACUUAUCACUAAAAAUACCACCCAAAAUACCACCCUUUUGCAACUGUCCCCAAAUAAUCAACCCUAAUUUCAUCUCUUCUACAGUUACUAUUCUAAAUUUACAGCCGCCACUCUUGAAGAGUGAAGAAACGCAAAGUGGGAGUGAAGAGAGAGAAAAUGGUGAAGUAAAUCUCAAUCAAGAACCGUGAAGAACAAGUCAAAAAUUGAAGAUUUGGAAGUUUGGGUUCACAUCUUCCAGAAAAGGAAUAAAGCAUUUGACACUUUUGUUUUUAAAAAGCUUGGAUCUUUACAAUGAGGUGUUUUCUAUUUCUUUAAUUUGUUUAAUUCAUUGAAAAAUAAUGAUGAUUCGGUUAUUUAGGGAUAGUCACGUGAAUGAGAUCUUUGUUUUUCCUUUUUUCAUAAUUCAUGUUUGAAUGUUAGAUCUAGAAUCAAUACAGUGAAAAAGAAAUAGUAGAUUUUGAAAAUUUGAGUAAAUGUCGGGUAUUUCAAGGAUGGGGUUUUUCAUUUAUUAUUAUUGUUAUUGUUGUUGCUAUAAUUAUUAUUAUUUAGAUUGAUUGAAAUUUGGAUAUAUAUUUAAAGGGAAAGGAGAAAAUUGGAUAUUUAGAUAUUUAUUAUACUGUAGUAAAAAUUGAUUAAUUGUUUAUAAAUUAUAACAAUCAAUAUGAUGAUUCUUUAGUGUAAGUAGUCAUAGUUUCAUAAAAAUGAAAUCUACUUUGAUUUAGUACAUGAUUUGUGACUCUCGAGAUGAUGAAAUCCUUGCUAAGAAUAGUUUUAUCAUGCCAUUGUUAUCACUUAAGUUGAAAAGAGAAACAAAAAUUAUGAGACUAGUUGAAUAACUAACUUCACAAUACUAGAAAAAAUUAAGUUCAGGUUACUAAUGAUUAUCGGAUUUGGUAAGUCUAGUCUCUAAGAGGUAAAAGCAAGAAAUCGCAUUAUAACAAUAUCAAGUUUAUUAUUUGAUUAAUUAUGCUUAGCAUUUAAAUUUUUGUUAUAAAGAAAUGCUAUUAUGUUUUGACAUAUAUAGUGCACAUCUCUUUAUGAACUUAACCAAUGUUUGAAGAACUUUGUAUUACUGUAAGUUCUAAUCAUCCCUUCUUCUUUUUUUAAUAAUUCUAUUGUUAAUCGUAAUGCACGUUUAUGUAUAUUGUACAUGGUUGGAUAAGGUAUUUAUUUAAAAUGUUUUGAAAACUUUAAUAGUGUUGUGUCCAUUGAUAUUGGCUAUUUUGCAUAUGGUAGUUGGUUGGAUAAGAUGCUUGCACCUCAAGACAAUGUUAAUAAAGUCAACAGUAACUUAACGAGCAAAGUAGAUAUAGAAGAAUAGUUUUGCCUAAAUUCAACAGAUAGUUCAAUGAGUUUGGCAAGAUAUGUAUAUAAAUUAUAAGUAAUUUUUAUUUAUUUGCAUCUUUCAUAUUGGUUAUGUGCACACAUAAUUCUUGCAUUAUUUUUAACUAUUUUAAUUUAGUAUUGCAGUAUUGUUGCUGGAUUAAGAAUGUUGAUAGUUGCCUCGGAGAUGGAGUUUUGAUGCUUGUGAAGAAUGUCAUUUUCUUUGUAAAUAAUUUUUUUUUAAUGUACAAUGUAAUGGAUACCCAAUUUGGGAUGUGUCAAAAUGAUAGACUUUUUAUUGUGAUACAGGAAUUAUUAGUAAUUUGAAUUUUAAAUACUAUUUGUUGUACAAUAAAUUUAUGUACUUCUCCAGAGGCUUGAUAAUGCAGUUUUUGCUAAUCCAUAUUAGCUUAAUACGAAAAUUAGGCAGUAGAUUCAGAUAUUUCAAAAUAUUUUCUAAUUUAAAAUGACAUUAAUUAAUUUAAAAAUAUUACCUUUAUUAUUCAAAGAUGACUCCCAAUACAAAAGCUAGUCAUUUGUUCAAAUAAAGUUGACAGCUGCUAAAAAAAAGUCAUCUCUUUAGGAAUUAUGGAGUACAAAUAUAUUAUUUGAUGACUGCUAUUUUAUAAUAUGAGUCAUCUAUAAAGCAAUAUAGAUAACUCGUAAAAGACGUCAUCUAUUAUUACCCACUUUCGAUGACUAUUACAAAGAUGACUUUUUUUAUCACGUCAUUUAAUACUUAUUUUAAGAGUCAUCUUUAUCGUUUAUUGUAGUAGUGUUCAUAGAGUUCAAGCAAAAGACAGAUAUCUAAAUAUUUAUUCAAAUACUUGAUUAAGAAUUUCUAAAGUAAUCCAAUUCGUUCGCCUUGAACAAAAUCAUUAAUGGCACUACCUUAUCUAAAGUUAAGCACUUUUUAACUGGUGGACCAAAUGAGUAGCAUAAAGACCAGACAACAUCACAAAAGCCCCGAUUUGAUAAAACAUCAUGAAAAACAACACAACAACGGAUUCUAAAUUCUCAACAAUAUUUACUAAUAAACCUUUCAACAUUUCAGUUUAAGAAUUAAUGAGCUACCUACUAGAAAACUAGCAUAAACAACACUCAAACAUACACAAAACAAUCUAGUUCUUUCUAGUUCAAGCAAAUUAAAAAAAAAACUAUGGAAGAUAUAAGAUUCCCAAGCUUUGUGGAUUUAAUUCUAUAUGUCAACUGGACUAAGGCCAUUAAAGUGGGAUGGCUUCUUUAAUAACAUACAUUAAAGUCAAGAAGUACCACACAUAGUACAAAGUGUGAUGUCCAGGCUUUUAUAUGUAUGAAAGAUGAAUUUAAAUGCUUUGGCUCAUUGUCUGCGGCUAUUUUCUGUAGCUAUUAUAAUCUUGAUCGUAUUUUACGAUAUAUAUAUAUAUAUAUAUAUAUGUAUGUAUGUGUGUGUGUGUGUGUGUGUGUGUGUGUGUGUGUUUAGCACUACCACUGGAUUUCUAUUUUGAUUGUGCACACAAUAUUCUGGUUCUAAUUAUGUUCUUAGCAGGGUCAUUGGAAGUAUAGUUGACACUAUGUCACAUGAGCUAACUUUUUUUUUAUUUUGUAUAUAUGAUAUACAAUUUGUUUUCGCGAUUAAUUACGCUUUUGAAAUUCUAAAUAAAUUAUGAAUUUAUAUUCUGCUAUAAAAUGCAUUCUAUAAAAUUUAUGAUUUUUAAUACAUGUUUUGAUAAGAAAAGGGCUUGCAAUAUUUUUUGAACUUGAUAACUGUAGUGAGUAGCAAUGGUUUUACUUACCAAGUUGACAGCGCACUCCUCGUCAUUACUUUUUGGAGAUUGAGUAACUUGUUGAGAGGUGUGCUUAUCUUUGGACCUAUAAAUUUAUUUAUUUUUGUUAGUAGAAUAAGAGAAGAAUGAAUGUUUGUUUCCUUUAAGUUUGUUUAUCUUCUGAACUUGCAAUUGGAGAGUUUUGAGACUUUGUUAUAUUUAUGGCUUUGGAAAAAGGAAAAUCCUUAGUAUUAGGCUAGCUGUUGUGCAAAUUUUAUUGAACUUGCAAGCGCACGAAUCUAUUGUAGAAUACAUUAAUGGUGACGAGUGUCGAUCCUACGAGGAGGUGGAUUUUAAUUAUAUGUAGAAUUAACUUUCUAUGAGGGUGAUUGGAUUUGUGGUGAAAAUGAUUUGGAAUAUUCUAAAAUUAAAAUUAAAAUGACGAGAAUAAAUUGAAGAGGAAACUAUUAUAAUUGAAGCACUUGGGUAUCUGGAUCCGCAACAACAUGCACCAUGGGUUAAAUAUUUCUUAUUAAUACCAAUUAAAUCAUGAAGGAGAUUUCCACUCCUCAUAAACCACACUCUAAUUAAUAUGGUGGUAAGGGCUUAUCGUGUCAAAUAAUAAUAACCUUGUACUAGGGAGCCGGUGAAACCAAAGCGGUAUCUAGACAAGAUUAUUACUAUUUGUCGACGAAAAGUCAAAACAUCCACAAAAAUUAAAGGGGAAGAGAAAAUAAAUUCACCAAAUAAAGGCCAUGGCACAUGUUGAGACUUCACCUUCAACCCAAGUUUGAAAGAAAAUUAGCUACUCAUAAUUGAACUAGGGGUAAAAUGGAAAUUUAUUAAAAUACAUAGAAAAUACAAGAUGGAGAAGGAAUUACAGAAAAUGGAGCUCAACAAUGAAUUCAGAGAUACCAAAUUCGGGGGAGAGAGCCCCCUUUUUAUAGAUACACUGAGUAAAUCAUGACCAUCGAAUAAAAAACAUUUUAGACACUCAGGAUUGCGCCACGUCAUCAGUCAACAGUACGCGGUUUGACCAAGUGGUUUGAAUAGUGACACGGUUUGACCACGCGGUUUGAAUAUUAACGAAGUUUGAACAAUGACGCAGUUUGGUUGAAAAUAAUCCUGUGUAUAUGCAUGUACCAUACGUACGAUUUUUGGUCCACUAACAUGCUGCCACGUCACCGAUCAACAGUGCAUAAGAAUUUUAUUCAAUAGAAUCAUGACAGCUCAUCAGUCAAUGCCACAUCAUCGGUCAAUGCCACGUCAUCAUUCCGUAUAUGUGAACAGUGUCGUGAACAGUAACAUGGACAAUACCGUACAUGUGAAUAGUACCGUACAUGUGAACAGUGACAUUUUUUCUUUUAUGCUCCUCAUAAGGUGUUCGACUGUCCUGAGUUCAAAAGUGAUGUCUGUUUUGUUGUCUGAUCUCUCGUUCAUUGUGAAAUGAUCAUAAUGCCCCUAAAAUACAUAAAAUACUUAAUUAAAAUAAAACACACAUAAUUAAAUCACAAGAGGUUUAAAUACAUAAAAGUAAGAGUGUUAGUAAGACUUGAAAUGUAAAAUGACGAUUUUCUCCUUUAUAAAUAUACAUUUUCUAACACUCAACAUACCCCUCAACCAGCUUAUUGCUAGUCCCUAGCAAAUAAAGCAAAAACAAAAUUCAAACCCAAAAUGAUUGUUUUUUAAACACUCGUGUUUAUUUUAUCAGACUAAUGAUAGUAAUCAAAAUAAAAGUAUAAGCAUUAUCUCCAGUCUACAUAAACUUCACACCCACAUCAACCAUCCACAUGAAUCAGCCCAGUAGACUUUGUCACAACUACUUUCAAAAAUGAUAUGUCAAAUCCCAAAAUCUCACUAGAAGUAGUGACACUCUUACAAGGAAAUUAAACCCAAUAAAAAUAGUCACUUCAAUGAAUGCUAAAUUUGAGAGAAAAUAAUAAAGAAAUGAUAUCACACACUCUCACCAAGAUGAAAGAAAUAUGCCCACAGCUUAGAAAUAAUACGAUUUUAAGUCAAACAAAAAUGCUAGUCAACCCAAUUUAUUUAUUUUUUCUUCUUUUUUUCUUUUUUUUUAUGCACCACUACAUCUUUUUAGCCCAUAUAACUAGCUUCUACUUCAGACUAUAGCUCCCUAAAAUCAGGAAAAACUUUUAUUAGAAUGUAACGUAGGCUAAGGACAUGGCUAACAAAUGAAGGAAAAUAGGAAAAAAUAAAAUAUAUGUUUAAGGAAAAGUAGAAAUCUUUUGGAAAUUACAAGGUGGAUUUCACCUAUUAUUUUUUUUCUUUUUUUUUAAACAACAAUUUUUUUUAAUUUUUUUUCUUUUGUUUGGCACAAUUUCACUAAACAAAAUAAUUAUUUACAUUUUUCACAAACAUAAAUAGGUGAUGGAACUUGUAAGAUAUCGGGUAAUACUCCAAAUUGGAGUGGGUCAAGAUGAUAAGUUUGACAAAGAAAUUUUUUUUUUAAAGGCUCAAAAGGGUUAACUAUGGAUUUUUCACAAAUGGGAUGGCUAGAAAGGCUCAAACGGGUCAAAGAUGGCUUUUCCAUCGUCUUUUAGGGCUCCAAAUAAUCUUCCAUAUCUACUAGUUAGAUGGACCUCAAGAUGUAGCAACACACAUUUUUUUCUUCUUUUUUUUUCUUUUUUUCUAUCUUAACUUUUUUUUCUUUUUAGAGGGUUGACUCAAAAGAAAUCUAGAGAUCAUAUAUAAAAUAGUAAACUGCUAAGUUGUAUGAAGAAUGGGCAAAAUGAGUUACUCUCCAAGAAAAAUGACAGGCUCAAAAACUCACUUGGUAUUUAUUAUGAUAUGUGCAUUCCUUCAAGUAACUCAUAUUUGUCUUCGACAUCAACAUAUAGAAUAGCAAACAUAGCAUAACAUUACUUAAGACCAAAGAUAAUACAAAUACUAAAAUUUGAAAGUCAUCAUAUCAUCCAAUAUAAAAAAAAUCACACAAUUUUUUUUUUAAAUGACAAUCUACCCCCAACCUAUUCUAAACAUGAAAAGAAAAUAUGCAUGCAGAAAGGUGAAAAAUGAUGCCGAAAAGCUAAUUAGAAAAGUUACACUUAAAAUGAUAGAAAAAGAAAAUGGUUUUUUUUUAACGAAGAUGCGUUUCUAGAGGCACUACACUCCAUAAUCAACCAUCUUCGACUCAAAAAUUUGAAAGUGUAUAUUUAUAAAGGAGAAAUUAAACAGAAGAACAAAAAUUAUUGUCAAAACUUAAUAAAGAAAAAGAAAAUGUCUGGAAUUUUAUUUAUUUAUUUAUUUUUUCAAACAAAGAAGAUGCGUUUCUAGAGUCACUACACUCUAUAUUCAGUCAUCUUCAACACAAAAAAGUUAGCCACGGUUAGUCUCUACAGCAAAAAUUUAGUAAAAACUUAACCAAGAUUCCACAAUUGUCGACUAUUCCCUCCCCCAACCAGAAUGAAACAUUGUCCUCAAUGUUUUAAAAGAAAGAAGUAGAGUUUAGAAGACAUCACUUGACUGGUGUAACACAGAAGAAAAUAUUUACAAGCGGAGAGUUAAAUCUAAUUUGUACUUCUUACUGUGGCUACUGUUACCAUCAUUAUUUGGACUCUCCAACACAAAGGUCCAAGGGUUUGGCUUCGAUCUAUAAGCUUGUAACAGAUCAAGUAACUCAUUAGCAGUAUAAGCACAAAUAAAAAGCUUUUUCGCUGCCGAAGGAAUGAAAUCGUUUUUUAUUGCAUGGUUAAGAAAUGCGAUGAAACCAUCAUAAAAGUUAUUGACAUUUAGCAAGCCAAUGGGUUUCUGGUGAAUGUGCAGAUAGGCCCAAGAUGCUAAUGUGAUAAGUGUCUCUAGAGUUGCAAGAUCUCCUGGUAAGAAAAUAAAAGCAUCAGCAUGAUUAAGCAUUUCAAUUAUUCUUUCUUGCAUACCUGAAACGACUAACUCUUCUCCAGUCGGUGAGUCAGACAAACUGCCCAAAGGUUUUAGGGCUCUUGGAACGAUGCCUAACACUUGGCUUCCUCUGAUAAAAGCAGCUUCUGAGACCAAUUUUGAUAACCCUCAGUUACCUCCUCCAUACACCAAGUGUAAUUUUCUCUUUGCUAUACUUCGACCAAGAUCUAUGGCUGCUUCAACGAACUCUUUAUGUUUGCCAUAGUUAAAUCCAAAAAGCACACAAAUAUUCUUGAAUUGUUUAUUGAGAGUAGCUGCCAUUGGAAUACUUCUCAAAAACAAUUUGUGAGUACUUAACAAAACAAAUCAUAUUUAAAAAUCUUUGUGACAGUGGGUCACAGCUGUGUAUAAGGAAGUAUGUCAGUGUCAAUUAAUGCGUAAAGCACAUGGCUCGAGAGUCAAAAAGGAAAUAGUAAAAAGAAAAAAGUAAAUAGUGAUAAAAUAAAAUUAUUAAAGACAAUAAUGCAAAUGAUAAAACAACAAUGAAGUAAAAGGAUAUUUACAGGUAGUUGCGACUGUGGCUCACAUCUUCCUCUGAUUUUACGUCCAGAAACGGCUUGAACGCCCGCUAUGGGUCGAUGAUGGGCUUCCCAUCCAGUUUUCUUAUAAACUGGCAAACAGAGUUGUCUAUAGUCAGAUUCCCGAGACUAUAUCAUUCAUGCUCUUUCUGGAAUAAUGGCCAUAACUAGAGAAUCGUUCUUUGUACAUAUCCACUAUGAUGUGUUUCAAGAGACAAAAGGAUAUCAUUCAAUGACUCCUUAUUCAAGUCAUCCCUAAUGAAUUGAAUCUUAUCUUCCCUGUUAUCAGACACCAUUCCUAAAGAACAUGGUUUUUUAUCGCAUCUCAUUCUGGCACGCUUGUGACAAGCAACAAAAAUUCUUCGAGCUCUUCGUUUUCUUGCAUAAUUUCCUUUACCACAACCAGGCAUGUAUGCAAUAAAUUUUGAAGGUAACUCACCUGCCAAUUGCACUUUGGCCUUGAUUAACCAGCGGAUAUCAGCAGGUAUGUUAUUCCUCAUGAGCAAUCGCAUACGUUCGGACCGAGCUUUAUAGAUUAUAAAGAGGGCAUUCUGAGGAAGUAAAGGGAAUCGAUUGUGAAGCUUUGGUAAAAUCUCGUUUCUGUCCAUACCUUCGCCUCAGAAUAUUAGUUAUUAUGGGAAACUGAAGUAACCGACUUGAUUGUCACGGAGUACCGUUAUCUGCCACUUUACCGGGGUAACAAACUAAAGCACAUAAACAAAGAAAAACAAACUUAAAACACAUAAAUAAACUUACAAUCGUCCUCUUAUUGAAUUUACCUCAAGCUCCAACUAGAUGUUGUAGACACCUCUCUCAAUGUCUCUCAGUCGCCUUUCUAAAUCCUAAACAUGGGAUACUAACUCUGGUGGUUGCAGAGCCCAAAUAUGAUGUGUUUUACAAAAUUGAAUCUGCCUUUUGAGAUGAGAUAUUACACGUUGAAGUCAUUUAAGAAUGUCUAAGAGGAACUGUUUAGCUAUGACGCUCAUGAUUAACAAUGAUAAGAGAAAACUUAAUGGUUAAACAAACACACUUAUGCAAAAAUAAUUUCAAUUAGCAAAAGAAUAGUAAAAGAAAGAAAAAAAUCAAAUCACCAAAAAGAAAGAAAAAAAACUCAAUUCAAAUAUAGUGGGUCACUCAAAUUUAUUUCGGUGUCCUCUCCAUGUGGUUGGUACUCUAGAUAUGGCUUUAAUCUUUAACCAUUAACUUUAAACGUGACACCGUUCUUUGGGUUCUUAAUUUCAAUUGCCCCACGUGGAAAAACAGUGUGAACAAUAAAGGGGCCAGACCAUCGAGAGCGUAACUUACCUAGGAAUAGAUGCAAGUGAGAAUUGAAUAAAGCACUUUCUGACCUGGAGUGAAAGAUUUUCUCAUAAUUUACUUGUCAUGAAAGACUUUCAUUUGCUGCUUGUAAAUUUUGGCAUUUUCGUAUGCAUCAUUGCGAAUUUCUUUAAGUUAUGCCAGUUGUAAUCUUCUUUUUUAGCUAGCUUGCCUCAUGUAAAAGUUGAAUUUCUUGAUGGCCCAGUAUGCACGAUGCUCGAGUUCCACAAGUAGGUAGCAAGCUUUUCCAUACACUAGCCUGUAGGGUGACAUCCCAAUCGGGGUCUUGAAAGUUGUUCUAUACACCCAUAAUGCAUCAUCGAGUCUUAAUGACCAAUCUUUUAUGUCUGACAUCACCGUCUUUUCUCAUAUGUGCUUUAUUUCUCGAUUGGAGAUCUCAACUUGGCCACUGGUUUGCGGAUGAUAUAGGAUCGCCACUUUAUGAGUGAUGGAGUAUUUUGUCAAAAGUGCUUUGAAUGCUUUGUUACAAAAGUGAGCACCACCAUCACUGAUUAUUGCUUGAGGGAAUCCAAAGCGUGAAACAAUGUUGCUUUUCAAAAAUUCUAUCACCACCUUGUGAUAAUUGGUUCUACACGGAAUUGCUUCUACCCAUUUCGAUACGUAGUCAACAACAACCAAUAUGUAUUGAUGGCCAAAAGAAGGGGGAAAGGGUCCCAUGAAGUCGAUAACCCAUACAUAAAAAAUCUCAACCACUAAAAUUGGAUUUAGUGACAUCAUAUUCCUUCGUGUAAUGCUCUCCAUUCGUUGACACUUAUCACAUGAAGAACAGAAAGUUUAAGCGUUUAGUUGCUAUUUUCUUAGCACUGAAAUGGCCUCCACAAGCUUGUUCAUGGCAGAAUGAAAAAAUAUUCUGAAUUUCUCUUUCUGGGACACAUCGUCUAACAAUUUGAUCUGCACAAUACUUGAAUAAAUAAGGGUCAUCCCAAAGGAAAUUCUUUAUUUCUGCCAAAAAAUUGGCCUUGUCUUGCUUGGUCCAAUGCUCUAGAAGUUGACCUAUAACAAGAUAAUUAACUAUAUCAGCAUACCAAGGUAAUACUUCCACACUCAUUAAUUGUUCAUCUGGAAAGUACUCAUUCAAUGUUAAUGGCUCUGUAAUUGUGUCAAAAUGAAGACGAGAGAGAUGGUCAGCCACAACAUUUUCUGUGCCUUUUUUAUCUUUAAAUUCCAAAUCGAAUUCUUGCAAAAGUAACACCCAACGAAUUAGCCUAGCUUUUGCAUCUUUCUUUGUGAGAAGAUAUUUAAGAGCAGCAUGAUCUGUGAAUACAAUUAUUUUACAACCAAUGAGAUAGGAGUCAAAGUGCAGGGUAUCCGGUUAUAUAUAGUGAUUCAGAAAAAUAAUGAUUUAGAACGUAAAAAAAAAAAAAAAAAUGUCAUACUAGCAUAGUAAACAUAGAGAAUUCGAUCAACCCUUUGUCCUAAUACUGCCCCUACUGCAUAAUCAGAUGCAUCACACAUAAGCUCAAAUGGUAAGCUCCAGUUUGGGGGCUGAAUGAUGGGUGAUGUCAACAACUACUUUAAUUUUUCAAAUGCCACAAGACAUGAAUCAUCAAAGAUAAAAUGUACAUCCUUAGCAAGUAGAUUGCAUAAGGGUUUAGAAACUUUGCUAAAAUAUUUAAUGAAACGUCUAUAAAAACCAGCAUGCCCAAUGAAAGAUCUUACUUCUCUGACUGUUUUAGGUGGAGGAAGAUUGGAAAUGAGAUCUACCUUUGCUUUGUCAACCUCAAUACAUUUGCUUGAAAUAAUGUGACCGAGAAUAAUACAUUGUUUUACCAUAAAAUGACACUUCUCCCAAUUUAAGACUAAGUUCUUCUCGAUACAUCUCUGCAGAACUAGUGUUAGAUGAAAUGAAGUGCUUGGGUAUCUGGAUUUGCAUCAACAUGCACCAUGGGCUAAAUAUUCCUUAUUAGUGCCAAUUAAAUCAUGAGGGGGGAAUCCACACCUCACAAACUACACUCUAAUCAAUAUGGUGCUAAGGGCUUAUCAUGCCAAAUAAUAAUAACCUUGUACUAGGAGCCGGUGAAAUCAGGGCGGUAUCUAGACAAGAUUAUUACUAUUUAUCGACAAAAAGUCAAAACAUCCACAAAAAUUUGAAGGGAAGAGAAAAUACAUUUACUAAAUAAAGCCCAUGGCACAUGUUGAGACUUCACCUUCACCCCAAGCUUAAAAGAAAAUUAGCUACUCAUAAUUGAACUAGGGGCAAAAUGAAAAUUUAUUAAAAUACGUAGAAAAUACAAGAUGGAGAAGGAAUUACAAAAAAUUGAACUAAAAAAUGAAUUCAGGGAUACCAAAUUAGGGGGGAGAGCCCUCUUUUUAUAGAUACAUUGAGUAAAUCAUGGCCAUCGAAUUAAGAACAUUUCAAACGCUCAGGAUUGCGCCACGUCAUCAGUCAAUAGUACGCGGUUUGACCACAUGGUUUGAACAGUAACGCGGUUUGGUUGUAAGUUAUCCUGUGUAUAUGCAUGUACCGUACGCACAAUUUUUAGUCCAUUGAUAUGCUGCUACGUCACAGAUCAACAGUACAUAAGAAUUUUAGUCCAAUAGAAUCGUGACACCUCAUCAGUCAAUGCCAUGUCAUCGAUCUGUCUAUGUGAAUAGUAUCGUGAACAGUAACAUAGACAGUACCGUACAUGUGAAUAGUAUCACACAUGUGAACAGUAUCAUUUUUCCUUUUAUGGUCCUCUUGAGGUUUUCGACUGUCCUGAGUUCAAAAGUGAUGUCUAUUUUGCUAUCUAAUCUCUCGUUCAUUGUGAAAUGACCAUGAUGCCCCUAAAUCAUAAGAAGCUUAAAUACAUAAAAGUAAGGAUGUUACUAAGACUUGAAAUGUAAAAUGAUGAUUUUCUCCUUUAUAAAUAUACAUUUUCUAACACAACACUUGCAAUUGGAAAGUUUUGAGACUUUGUUAUAUUUAUGGAUUUGGAAAAAGGAAAAUCCUUAGUAUUAGGCUAGUGGAUUUGUUUGAAUAAACUUUGGCUCAGUUCUAAUUGAGGCUUUUGUGAAGGAUUAUUAUUUAUAAGUAACCUCCUUUACCACAUGCUCCACACGUGUUGGAUUUAGGGUAUUACAAUUUGAGAAAAGGAGUAAUCAAAAUCAUGAAGAAGUUCAUUGUUCUCAUUCUUUUCUUCACUUUUUUUUCUAUGUCUUAUGAAUCUUUCUCAAGGUAAAUAUAGUAUCCCAAAGAGUUAUUUUUAAAUUUGUUUUAAUAUGAGAAUACUCACAUUUUAACGAUUUUUAUGUUUCUUUGCAAGAAAAGGACAACUAAAAUUCUAUACUAAACACAUGACAAUUCCUGGCGUUUGUCCUAAGGAUCCUAAGGAAGCAGAAUUCGUGUGCCUUAAAGCCUUCUUCGAUAAAUAUGGAGCAACAAAGAGCCCAGAUAAUUGUCUAUGCAAACCAUCAACUGUCAACCAGCACAUCUGCCAGUGUGACAUUAUUUACGAUCCACCACCACCUAAACAAACUUAAUUAUGGUGUCCAAUAGUAUGAAGAAUGAAGAUUGUUGUGCAAAUUUUAUUGAACUCACAAGCGCACGAAUCUAUUGUAAUAUAGAUCAAUGGUGACGAGUGUCGAUCCUACGAGGAGGUGGAUUUUAAUUGUGUGUAGAAUUAAUUUUGUAAAUGGGUGAUUGGAUUUGUGGUGGAAAUGAUUUGGAAUAUGCUAAAACUUAAAUUAAAAUGGCGAGAAUAAAUUCUAAAAUUGGAAUUGAAAUGGUGAGAACAAAUUGAAAAGAAUUCUAUUGAAAUGACGUACUUGGGUAUUUGGAUCCGUAUCAACAUGCAUCAUGGGCUAAAUAAUCCGUAUUAAUACCAAUUAAAUCAUGAGGAGGGAAUCCACACAUCAUGAACCGUGCUCUAAUCGAUAUAGUGCUAAGGGCUUAUCGUGCCAAAUAAUAGUAACCUUGUACUAGAGAGCUGGUGUAACCAAAGCGGUAUCUAGACAAGACUAUUAUUAUUUGUCAACGAGAAGUCAAAACAUCCACAAAAUUAGAGGGGAAGUUAAAAUAAAUUUACCAAAUUAAGCCCAUGACACAUGUUGAGACUUCACCUUCAACCCAAGCUUGAAAGAAAAUUAGCCACUCAUAAUUAAACUAGGGGCAAAAUGGAAAUUUAUUAAAAUACGUAGAAAAUACAAGAUGGAGAGAGAAUUACAGAAAAUGGAGUCCAAAAAUGGAUUCAGAGAUAUCAAAUUAGGGGGGAGAGGCCCCCUUUUUAUAGAUACAUCGAGUAAAUCAUGGCCAUCGGAUUAAAAACAGUUUGGACGCUCAGGAUUGCGCCACGUCAUCAGUCAACAGUACGCCGUUUUACCACGCGGAUAUACAGUAACACGGUUUGACCCGGGUGAACAGUGACGCGAUUUGGUUUAAAAUAAUCCUGUGUGAUGCAUGUACUGUACGCGAGAUUUUUGGUCCACUGAUAUGCUGCCACGUCACCAUCAACAGUACAUAAGAAUUUUAGUCCAACAGGAUCGUGACACUUCAUCAGUCAAUGUCACAUCAUCAGUCAAUGCCACGUCAUCGUCUGUCUAUGUGAACAGUGCCGUGAACAGUAACGUAUACCGUACUGUACACGUGAAUAGUACCGUAUAUGUGAACAGUGUCAUUUUUCCUUUUAUACUCCUCUUAAGGUUUUCGACCGUCCUGAGUUCAAAAGUGAUGUCCGUUUUGCCAUCUGAUCUCUCGUGUAUUGCGAAAUGACUACGAUGCCCCUAAAACACAUAAAAUACUUAAUUAAAAUAAAACACACAGAAUUAAAUCAAAAGAAGGUUAAAUUCAUAAAAGUAAAGGUGUUAGUAAAACUUGUAGUGUAAAAUGACGAUUUUCUCCUUUAUAAAUAUACAUUUUCUAACACUCAACACACCCUCCAACUAGCUUAUUGCUAGUCUCUAGCAAAUAAAGCGAAAACAAAAUUCAAAACCAAAAUGAUUUUUAUUUUAUUUUAUUUAGAAACACUCGUGUUUAUUAAAUUAGAUUAAUGAUAGCAAUCAAAUAAAAAUAUAAGCAUUAUCUCCAGUCUAAAGCAACAUCACACCCACAUCAACCAUCCACAUGAAUCAGCCCAGUAGACUUUGUUAUACCUACUUUCAAUAAUGACAUGUCAAACCCCAAAAUCUCACUGGAACUAGUGACACUCUCACAAAGAAAUUAAACCCAAUAAAAAUAAUCACUCCAAUGAAUGGUAAUUUAGAGAAAAUAAUAAAGAAGUGAUAUCACAUGCUCUCACGAAGAUGAAAUAAAUAUGCCCUCGGCUUAAAAAUAAUACGAUCUCAAGUCAAACAAAAAUGCUAGUCAACCCAAUUUAUUUAUCUUUUUUUUUCUUUUAUUUAUUUAUUUUUUUUAUGCACCACUGCAUCUUUUUAGCCCAUAUAACUAGCUUCUACUUCAAACUAUAGUUCCUUAAAAUCAAGGACUUUUAUUAGGACGUAACGUAGGCUAGGGACAUGGCUAACAAAGAAGGGAAAUAGGAAAAACAAAGUUUAUGUUUGAGAAAAAUGCAGAGAAAUUUUUUUUUUUUGGAAGUUGCAAGGUGGAUUUCACCUAUUAUUGUUAUUUUUAUUCUUCUGAAACAACAACUUUUGUUUUGUUUUUUUUUUGGCAUAACUUCACUAAACAAAAUAAUUAUUUACAUUUUCUCAAACAUAAAUAGGUGAUGGAACUUAUAAGACAUUGGGUAAUACUCUAAAUCGGAGUAGGUCAAGAUGAUAAGUUGACAAAGAAAAGGUUUUUGUUUUUUUUUUAAAGGCUUAAAAGGGUUAACUAUGGAUAUUUAAUAAAAGGGAUGGCUAGAAAGGCUCAAACGGAUCAAAGAUGGCCUUUCCAUAGUCUUUUAGGGCUCUAAAUAAUCAUCCAUAUCUACUAGUUAGAUGGGCCUCCCAAUGUAGCAACACAUUUUUUUUCUUCUUUUUUUUUAAUUUUACCAUUUUUUUAAGGGUUAACUCAAAAGAAAUCUAGAGAUCGUGUAUAAAAUAAUAAACUGCUAAGCUGUAUAGAGAAUGGGUAAAAGGGUUACUCUCCAAGAAAAUGAUAGGCUCAACAACUCACUUGGUACUUAUUUAUGACAUGUUCAUUCCUUCAAGCAACUCAUAUUUGUCUCCGACAUCAACAUCUAAAGUAGCAAACAUAGCGUAACAUCACUUAAGACCAAAGAUAAUACAAACACUAAAAUUUGAAAUUAAUCAUGUCAUCCAAUGUUAAAACAAAUCACACAAUUUUUUUUUAAACAACAUUCUACCCCCCAACCUAUUCUAAACAUGAAAGGAAAAUAUGCAUGCAGAAAUGUGAAAAUGAUGCAUAAAAACUAAUUAGAAAAGUUACACUUAAAAUGAUAGAAAACGAAAAUGGUUUUUUUUUUUUUUACUUAGAAGAUGCGUUUCUAGAGGCACUACACUCCAUAUUCAGCCAUCUUUGACUCAAAAAUUUGAAAAUAUAUAUUUAUAAGGAGAAAUUAAAAAGAAGAAGAAAAAUGAACAUAAAAACAUAAUAAAGAAAAAGAAAAUGUCUGAAUUUUUUUUUUGUUUUUUUUUAAUUUUUUUUUAACGAUGAAGAUGCGUUUCUAGAGUUACUACACUCCAUAUUCAGCCAUCUUCAACACAAAGAGUUAGCAACAGUUAGUUUCUAUAACAAAAAAUUAACCAAAAUUCCACAAUUGUCGACUAUUCUCUCCCCCCAACCAAAACGAAACAUUGUCCUCAAUGUUUGAAAGGAAAGAAGUAGAGUUUAAAAAACAUCACCUGGGAAGUGCAACACAAAAGAAAAUAUUUACAAGCGGAGAGUUAAAUCUAAUUUGUACUUCUUACUGCGGCUAUUGUUACCAUCAUUAUUUGGGCGCUCCAACACAAAGGUCCAGGGGUCUGGCUCCGGUUUAUAAGCUUGUAACAGAUCAAGUAGCUCAUUAGCAGUGUGAGCACAAAUAAAAAGGUUUUUCACAUUAGAAGGAAUGAAAUAGUUUUUUAUUGCAUGGUUAAGAAAUGCGAUAAAGCCAUCAUAAAAGUUAUUGACAUUUGACAAACCGACGGGUUUUUUGUGGAUGUGCAGAUGGGCCCAAGAUGUUAGUGUGAUAAGUGCCUCUAGUAUUACAAGAUCUCCUGGAAAGAAAAUAAAAGUAUCAGCAUGAUUAAGCAUUUUAGUUAUUCUUUCUUGCAUACCUGAGACGACUAACUCUUCUCCAGUUGAUGAGUCAGACGAACUGCCCAAUGGUUUUAAGACUCUUGGGAUGAUGCCUAACACUUGACUUCCUCUGAUAAAAGCUGCUUCUGAGACCAUUUUUGAUAACCCUCGGUUACCUCCGCCAUACAUCAAGUGUAAUUUUCUCACUGCUAUGCUUCGACCAAGAUCUAUGGCUGCCUCAACGAACUCUUUAUGUUUGCCAUAUGUAAAUCCAGAAAGCACACAAAUGUUCUUGAAUUGUCUAUUUGAAGUAGCUGCCAUUGGGAUACUUCUCAAAAAAAAAUUUGUGAGUGCUUGACAAAAAAAAUCACAUUUAAGAGUCUUGGUGACAGUGGGUCACAGUUGUGUAUGAGGUAACAUGUCAGUGUCAAAUAACGCGUAAAGCACGUGGCUCGCGAGUCAAAACGGAAAUAGUAAAAAGGAAAAACAAACAGUAAUAAGGAAAAAGCAAACAGUAAUAAAAUUAUUAAAGACAAUAAUGCACACAAUAAAACAAUAGUGAAAUAAAAUAAUAGUAAAGUAAAAGGAUAUUUACAGGUAGUUGCGACUGUGGCUCACAUCUUCCUCUGGUUUUACAUCCAGAAAUGGCUUGAACGCCCUCUAUGGGUCGAGGAUAGGCUUCCUAUCCAGUUUUCUUAUAAACUGGUAAACAAGGUCGUUUAUAGUCAGAUUCCUGAGACUAUAUCGUGCAUGCUCUUUCUGGAAUAAUGGCCAUAACUGGAGAAUCGCUCCUUGCACAUAUCCACUGGGAUGCGUUUCAAGAGACAAAAGGAUAUCAUCCAAUGACUCCUUAUUCAAGCCAUCCCUAAUGAAUUGAAUCUUAUCUUCCCUGUUAUCAGACACCAUUCCUAAAAAAUAUGGGUUUUUAUUGCAACUCAUUCUGGCACACUUAUGACAAGCAAUAUAAAUUCGUCGAGCUCAUCGUUUUCUUGCAUAAUUUCCUUUACCACAACCAGGCAUGUAUGCAAUAAAUUUUGGAGGUAACUCACCUGCCGAUCGUACUUUAGCCUCGAUUAACCAACGGAUGUCAGCAGGUAUGUUAUUCCUCAUGAGUAAUCGCAUGCGUUCGGACCGAGCUUUAUAGAUCGUAAGGAGGGCAUUCUGAGAAAGCAAAGGGAAUCGCCUGUGAAGCUUCACUAGAAUCUCGUUUCUGUCUAUACCUUCACCUCAGAAUAUCAGUUAUUAUGGGAAACUGAAGUAACCGACUUGAUUGUCACGGAGUACCGUUAUCUGCCACUUCACCGGGGUAACAAACUAAAGCACACAAACAGAAAAACAAAUUAAAACACACAAAGAAAAUUAAAAUUGUCCUCUUAUUGAAUUUACCUCAAGCUCCAACUGGAUGUCGUAAACACUUCUCUCAAUGUCUCUGAGUUGGCGUUCUAAACCCUCAACAUAGGCUACUAACUCUGGUGGUUGUAGAGCCCAAAUGCGAUGUGUUUUACAAAAUUGAAUCUUCCUUUUGAGAUGAGUUUUGACACGUUGAAGUGGUUUAAGAAUGUUCAGAAGGAACGGUCUAAGUAAGGUACUCAUGAUUAAAAAUGAUAAAAGAAAACUUAAUAGUUAAACAAACACACUUAUGCAAAAAUAAUUUAAAUUAGCAGAAGAAUAAUAUAAAGUAAGAAAAAAAUUAAAUCAACGAAAAGAAAAAAAAUCAAUUCAAAUAUGGUGGGUCACUCAAAUUUAUUUCGAUGUCUUCUCCGGGUGGUUGGUACUCUAGAUAUGGCUUUAAUCUUUGACCAUUAACUUUAAACGUGACACAAUAAAUGGGCCAGACCAACGAGAGCGUAACUUACCUGGGAAUAGGUGCAAGCGAGAAUUGAAUAAAAGCACUUUCUGACUUGGAGUGAAAGAUUUUCUCAUAAUUUGCUUGUCAUGGAAGACUUUCAUUCAUUGCUUGUAAAUCUUGGCAUUUUCGUAUGCGUCAUUGCGAAUUUCUUCAAGUUCUGCCAGUUGUAAUCUUCUUUCUGAGUUGGCUUGCUGCAUGUCAAAGUUAAAUUUCUUGAUGGCCCAAUACGCACGAUGCUCGAGUUCCAGAGGUAGGUGGCAAGCUUUUCCAUACACUAGCCUGUAGGGUGACAUCCCAAUCGGAGUCUUGAAAGUCGUUCUGUAUGCCCAUAAUGCAUCAUCAAGUCUUAAUGACCAAUCUUUCCUGUCUGGCCUCACCAUUUUUUCUAAUACGUGCUUUAUUUCUCGAUUGGAUAUCUCAACUUGGCCACUGGUUUGCGGAUGAUACGGAGUCGCCACUUUGUGUGUGAUUGAAUACUUUGUCAAAAGAGCUUUGAAUGCUUAUUACAAAAGUGGGCACCACCAUCACUGAUUAUUGCUCGAGGGAAUCCAAAGCGUGAAACAAUGUUGCUUUUCAAAAAUGUGAUCAUUGGUCCUACAUGGAAUUGCUUCUACCCAUUUCGAUACGUAGUCAACAGCAACCAAUAUGUAUUGAUGGCCAAAAGAAAGGGGAAAGGGUCCCAUGAAGUCGAUACUCCAUACAUCAAAAAUCUCAACCACUAAAAUUGGAUUUAGUGGCAUCAUAUUCCUUCGCGUAAUGCUCCCCAUUCGUUGACACCUAUCACAUGAAGAACAGAAAGUGUGAGUGUCUCGAAAUAUAGUUGGCCAAUAGAAACCACAUUGUAAAACUUUAGUUGUUGUUUUCUUAGCAUUGAAAUGGCCUCCACAAGCUUGUAAAUCAAUUCCAAAUUUAUUUUUAAUGUGCCUGUGUGUGAGAAGUGUUUUUUUUCUAAUUCAAGGUCUAUAGGUUCAAGAUUAGGUAAUAAUGACCUACAACCAUGCAAGAAAAACAAAUAAAAUAAAAAUAAAGAUGGGAACAAAAAAAAUAAAAAUAAAGAAAAUGGAGAAAUUACGAUACUAACCUUAUUGCGCUAUUACAACCUUUCUAUAAAAAUAUACAAAAAUAAAUACGUGAAAUAAAUUAACUAAAAAUUAAAUUAAUAAAAUAAAAAAAUUACAAAGAAAAAUAAAUUGAAAAUUAAAUUACAGAAUUUUAAAGAAGAGAAAAAGAAAAGAAAUACUAACCUUUAAAUGUAGAUUCACUUUUUUUUCUUUUUCUUCUUUUUUUUAAUAAAAGAAAUACAAGAAAAUAAAUAAAAGAAAUUAUUCACAAAAAUUAAUUGUAUGAAUUAAAAUUACUUACCUCCCCGGCAACGGCGCCAAAAACUUAUUGUGCAAGUUUUAUUGAACUCGCAAGCGCACGAAUCUAUUGUAAUAUAGAUCAAUGGUGACGAGUGUCGAUCCGACAAGGAGGUGGAUUUUAAUUGUGUGUAGAAUUAAUUUUGUAAAUGGGUGAUUGGAUUUGUGGUGGAAAUGAUUUGGAAUAUGCUAAAACUUAAAUUAAAAUGGCGAGAAUAAAUUCUAAAAUUGGAAUUGAAAUGGUAAGAAUAAAUUGAAAAGAAUUCUAUUGAAAUGACGUACUUGGGUAUCUGGAUCCGUAUCAACAUGCAUCAUGGGCUAAAUAAUCCGUAUUAAUGCCAAUUAAAUCAUGAGGGGGGAAUCCACACAUCAUGAACCGCGCUCUAAUCGAUAUGGUGCUAAGGGCUUAUCAUGCCAAAUAAUAAUAACCUUGUACUAGAGAGCCGGUGUAACCAAGGCGGUAUCUAGACAAGACUAUUAUUAUUUGUCGACGAGAAGUCAAAACAUCCACAAAAAUUAGAGGGGAAGAGAAAAUAAAUUUCCCAAAUUAAGCCUGUGACACAUGUUGAGACUUCACCUUCAACCUAAGCUUGAAAGAAAAUUAGUCACUCAUAAUUAAACUAGGGGCAAAAUGGAAAUUUAUUAAAAUACGUAGAAAAUACAUGAUGGAGAGAGAAUUGCAGAAAAUGGAGUCCAAAAAUGGAUUCAGAGAUAUCAAAUUAGGGGGGAGAGGCCCCCUUUUUUAUAAAUACAUGGAGUAAAUCAUGGCCAUCGGAUUAAAAAUAGUUUGGACCCUCAGGAUUGCGCCACGUCAUCAAGCAAUAGUACGCGGUUUGACCACGUGGAUGAACAGUAACACGGUUUGACCCAGGUGAACAGUGACGCGGUUUGGUUGAAAAUAAUCAUAUGCGAUGAAUGUACCGUACGCGAAUUUUUGGUCCACUAAUAUGCUGCCAUGUCACCAUCAAUAGUACAUAAGAAUUUUAGUCCAACAAGAUCGUGACACUUCAUCAGUCAAUGCCACAUCAUCGGUCAAUGCCACGUCAUCGUCCGUCUAUGUGAACAGUGCCGUGAACAGUAACGUAUACAGUACCGUACACGUGAAUAGUACCGUACAUGUAAAUAGUGUCAUUUUUCCUUUUAUGCUCCUCCUAAGGUUUUCGACCGUCCUGAGUUCAAAAAUGAUGUCCGUUUUUCCGUCUGAUCUCUCGCUUAUUGUGAAAUGACUACGAUGCCCCUAAAAUACUUAAUUAAAAUAAAACACACGGAAUUAAAUCAAAAUAAGGUUAAAUUCAUAAAAGUAAAGGUGUUAGCUACUCAUAAUUGAACUAGGGACAAAAUGAGAAUUUAUUAAAAUAUGUAGAAAAUAAAAAAUGGAGAAGGAAUUACAGAAAAUGGAUCCCAAAAAUGGAUUCAGAGCUAUCAAAUUAGGGGGGAAAGGCCCCCUUUUUAUAGAUACAUGGAGUAAAUCAUGGCCAUCGGAUUAAAAACAGUUUGGAUGCUCAAGAUUGCGCAACGUCAUCAGUCAACAGUAUGUGGUUUGACCACGCGGAUGACCAGCAACACGGUUUGACCCGGGUUGAACAGUGAUGCGGUUUGGUUGAAAAUAAUCUUGUGUGAUGCAUGUACCGUACGCGAGAUUUUUCGUCCACUGAUAUACUGCCACGUCACCAUCAACAGUACAUAAGAAUUUUAGUCCAACAGGAUCAUGACACCUCAUCAGUCAAUGCCACAUCACCGGUCAAUGCCACAUCAUCGAUCCGUCUAUGUGAACAGUGUCGUGAAUAGUAAUGUUGACAGUACCGUACACGUGAAUAGUACCGUACAUGUGAACAGUGUCGUGAACAGUAAUGUUGACAGUACCGUACACGUGAAUAGUACCGUACAUGUGAACAGUGCCAUUUUUCCUUUUAUGCUCCUCCUAAGGUUUUCGACCGUCCUAAGUUCAAAAAUGAUGUCCGUUUUUCCGUCUGAUCUCUCGCUUAUUGUGAAAUGACUAUGAUGCCCCUAAAAUACAUAAAAUACUUAAUUAAAAUAAAACAUACGGAAUUAAAUCAAAAGAAGGUUAGAUACAUAAAAGUAAGGGUUGUUAGUAAGACUUGAAAUGUAAAAUGAUGGUUUUCUCCUUUAUAAAUAUACAUUUUCUAACACUCAACACUUAGCAUAAGUUUUAAAAACUCAAUUCACCCCCCUUCUUGGGUUGCAUAACUUGCAUUUCAACUUCCUUAUCUAAAGUGAAGCACUUUUUAACUGGUGGACCAAAUGUGUGGCAUAAAAGACCAGACAACAUCACAAAAGCCCCACUUUGAUAAAACAUCAUGAAAAACCACACAACAAAGGAUUCUAAAUUCUCAACAAUAUUUACUAAUAAACCUUUCAACAUUUUAGUUUAAGAAUUAAUGAGCUACCUACUAGAAAACUAGCAUAAACAAAACUCAAACAUACACAAAACAAUCUAGUGCUUUCUAGUUCAAGCAAAUUAAAAAAAAAAAAACUAUGGAAGAUAUAAGAUUCACAAGCUUUGUGGAUUUAAUUCUAUAUGUCAACUAGACUAAGGCCAUUAAAGUGGGAUGGCUUCUUUAAUAACAUACAUUAAAGUCACGAAGUACCACACAUAGUACAAAGUGUGAUGUCCAGGUUUUUAUAUAUAUGAAAGAUGAAUUUAAAUGCUUUGGCUCAUUGUCUGCAGCUAUUUUCUGUAGCUAUUAUAAUCUUGAUCGUAUUUUACGAUAUAUAUAUAUAUAUAUAUAUAUAUAGAUAGAUAUAUAUAUAUAUAUAUAGAUAGAUAGAUAGAUAGAUAUUUAGCACCACCACUGGAUUUCUAUUUUGAUUGUGCACACAAUAUUCUGGUUCUGAUUAUGUUCUUAGCAGGGUCAUUGGAAGUAUAGGUGACACUAUGUGACAUGAGCAAACUUUUUUUUAUUGUGUAUAUAUGAUAUAAAAUUUGUUUUCGUGAUUAAUUACGCUUUUGAAAUUCUAAAUAAAUUAUGAAUUUAUAUCUUUCUGUUAUAAAAUGCAUUUGAUAAAAUUUAUGAUUUUUAAUAUAUGUUUUGAUAAGAAAAGGGCUUGCAAUAUUUUUUGAACUUGAUAACUAUAGUGAGUGGCACUGGUUUUACUUACCAAGUUGAUAGCGCACUCCUCGUCAUUACUUUUUGGAGAUUGAGUAACUUGUUGAGAGGUGCACUUAUCUUUGGACCUAGAAAUUUAUUUAUUUUUGUUAGUAGAAUAAGAGGAGAAUGAACUUUUGUUUCCUUUAAGUUUGUUUGUCUUCCAAACUUGCAAUUGGAGUUUUGAGACUUUGUUAUAUUUAUGGCUUUGGUAAAAGGAAAAUCCUUAGUAUUAGGCUAGUGGAUUUGUUUGAAUAAACUUUGGCUCAUUUCUAAUUGAGGCUUUUGUGAAGGAUUAUUAUUUAUAAGUAACCUUCUUUACCACAUGCUCCACACGUGUUGGAUUUAGGGUAUUACAAUUUGCUUCAAGUGAGGAUGUUGUUUGUGUAGUUUUCAUUGGUAACUUAUCAAUACUAGACUUAAAUAAAUCAAAGAUGAACUUAGAAAACGGUAAAAGAGGCUAUAAAUAAGGUUAAAAUUCUCAAAUUUGAAAUUAAUUUGUAUGACUUGAAAAUUGAACAAAUCAGCCAUAAAUUUGUUUCAACCAUCAAAGAUAGUUUUAAACAAAUUUUAAGUUCAACAAAACCUUGACCCAAUGUUUAAGAAACUUAAUGGUAAUUCCUAACUGUACAUUUUAUCAAGCUAAUGUAUUUUCCUUUUAUAUAUGAGCAAAGUGCAUAAUUGUUCAUGGAAUACAUAACCUAUUCAUAAUUUAUAUAGAGGUGGAAAAAUGGGUUAAUGGAUUGUGUUUAUGUCAUAUCAAAAUUUAAGACUACUCAAACACAGUCUAUUUAAUAAUUGCAUCAAACAAUCAAAAUCCUAGUUAACCUGAGAUGACUAUUAACUGGAUUUACAUUAGCAAGAUCAAUUUAAUAAUUAAAUCAAAUUUUAAUUGUGUCGAGUAAAUGAGUAAGAAAAUAAACAAGAUAAAAUUACUGGGGAAAAAUACUUUGAAUGAAGUAGCCGCGGUAAAGUUGUCAAGGCGUUUAUUAGAAAGAGAGAGAAGUAAAUAGUAAUUAAUCCAAAAAUAUAGGCCCAAUCAACAUUUUUCUUUGUUCCAAUAGAAAUAUUCAGUCAAUAAUGAUUUAUUAUUAUAGCUUAUGAUUGCCCAACCCUUACCCUUUAAAUGAAAAAAAAAAUUAACAUAUUUUACGAAAUGUUAAAAUGAUUAGCCAGCUGUAAGGUAAUAAGAAUAGAGUUAUCAAAUUUUUUAUUAUUAUUUCUUUUUGAAUGGGAAUAGUUCGACAUUUGAAGGCAUAUAAUUACGAAAAAUAGUCUAAUAAAACAAAUCGGAGUUUCUGACAAAUAAAACAAAUUUAUAAGUUUAAGAAUUGAAAUUAAGGUAAAAGGUUUUGUGGAGCAAAUGAUUUUAAGACCGUUCUCCAUUUUUUCAAAAAAAUAUACUUUUAGAGAGCAAUGAUGGUUCUAACUUCUAACUACCUUUUGUUAUCAACUAUUUUUAGUGACACUUGUAUGAAAGUUGGUUUUCUUCAUUUCCAAAAAAAUGUCUUUUAAUUAGGGAAGUUAUAAAAUUUUUCAUUAAUUUAGUUUGUUUUUCCAUUAUGUAUAAGACAUAAUUGAAGGAAUAUGUAUAUUAAACAUUAUUUUAGCAAGGGAGAAGAGAAAAAGAGUAAUUAAAAUCAUGAAGAAGUUCAUUGUUCUCAUUCUUUUCUUCACUUUUUUUCUAUGUCUUAUGAAUCUUUCUCAAGGUAAAUAUAGUAUCCCCAAAAGUUAUUUUUAAAUUUGUUUUAAUAUGAGAAUACUCACAUUUUAACGAUUUUUAUGUUUCUUUGCAAGAAAAGGACAACUAAAAUUCUGUACUAAACACAUGACAAUUCCUGGCGUUUGUCCCAAGGAUCCUAAGGAAGAAGAAUUCGUGUGCCUUAAAGCCUUCUUCGAUAAAUAUGGGGCAACAAAGAGCCCAGAUAAUUGUCUAUGCAAACCAUCAACUGGCAACCAGCACAUCUGCCAGUGUGACAUUAUUUGCGAUCCACCACCACCUAAACGAACUUAAUUAUGGUGUCCAAUAGUAUGAAGAAUGAAGAUCACUAAAUCUACGAUAUCGAUAUUAACCUAUUGUUAAAUCAUAGAUAGAUAAUGAUACGGUGGUUUGUAAUAAUAAAUCAUAAUAUUUACUUAAGUAAUUAAUCGCUAUGGUUGAGAAACAUUUGUAUAUCAAACAAUGGGUAAUUUCAUUACAAUGUCAGAUUACUAAAAAGAAAAAUUGCUUUUACACUAUUGAAUAUAAAUAAAUCUAGUCGAAUAAGUUUUCUGUUAAUCCUAAUAACCAUGUUAAAAACAAAACUUCUAAUUAAGAUAUAAAACUUUUUGUGUGCGCCUUUUUCUUCCCCCUUAAACAACUAAUAACUUAAGGCUAAAGUUUCAGUGUCAGGCCUCAAUGCCUAGCAUUGUGCCAAUUUUUAUUUGAAACCGUUGGAUUCAAUUAAAAUGAGUCCAACGGUUGAGAUUAAAUUAAAAAUAAAAAGUAACGGGUUACUUGUUAAACGGUUGCUGAAAUCCAUUACAUUUUCCCUCCUUCAAAUCUCAAACAUCUCUUUCACCCCUCUUACUAUCACUCUCUGAAAUACUGAUUUGUCUCUUGGAUUGUUUACUAAUCACAUAAAAUUGAAGCUACCGUGUAACUCACAGUGAACAACAAGUCGAAUCCAUCAAUCAGUUGGUGUCAUCUUGAGUUGUUCUCUUUAAUUUUUUAGUUAAAGACAAGGUAAUGAUGAUUCUUGUGUUUUUGUGGUGACUAUUGAAAAUGAUAUGUGAAAGAAUUACGGGUUUAUGUGCUAUAUUAAAUUGUUGAUGAUAUGUGAAAUAAUUAGGGAUUUAUAAGCUGAUAGGUAGUGAGAAUUAUGAUGAUGACUUUAAGUUCCUCUUUUCUUUGCCUCUUCUAAGAACUAUAUUAUAUCCCACAAGUGCCACUUACAUCAAUACGAUGUACCUCCAUGUGCUGAAAGGUAGUAUGAUGAAUAAAGAUCACUAAAUCCACGAUAUCUAUAUUAGCCUACUGUUAAAUCAUAGAUAGAUACUAAUACGGUGGUUUGUAAUAAUAAAUCAUAAUAUUUACUUACUAUGGUUGAGAAAUAUUUCACUAAUUAGUUACUGGGUUGAGAAAUUUUUGUAUAGGAAACAUGGGUAAGUUCAUUACUAUGUCGGAUUACUAAAAAAGAAAAAUUACUUAUACACUAUUGAAUAAAUCUGGUCGACAAUCAAUGACUUCAAUAUAAUUAAAGUGCGCACAAACGUUCUAAAAGGUCAUCCAGCCAAAUAACAGAAUUUAAAAGAGCUAACUUGGCUAGUACAUGGCUUGAGCUAUUUAAAAUUACACGAAAUAUGAUGAAUUUGAAAAGCAUAUCGUCGUUCCAUGGGUUGUAAAAUAUUAGCAAUAACUUAGAAAAUAGUAACUGCGAAAAUAGUAGCAACCCUAACAUACCCAUGACAAUCACACAUCACCGCACCUAAACCCAUGACAUUAUGCGCACAAUCAACAGUGAUGAUGCCAGCCUCACAGUCAAACUUUGAGACCCACGUUCAGUUUAAGGUUUGAAUUUCCCAACAUAGUUUUUUUUCCUUUUUUAAAAGAGGAUCAUUGGAUUUCACCCCAUUCCACAUAUUAAAUAUACUUACUAUAUUCCUACCAAUAUAUGUAGUAAUCUCUAAGUACCUAUGACUAGACAAAUACCUAAUGCAAGGAAUAAAUAAAUAACAUUAUUAUUGAUGCACUGAUGUAAUAAUAAAGCCCUAACAUUUUGUCAAUUGCAAUAAAAAUUCCUAGACAAAAAAGAAAAAUCCUCAAUUUUACGUUAUUUGUUUCAGCAAUCUGAGAAAGCAAAAAUCACUUGUUGAAAAAGCUUAAUUGCUCACUUUUAGUAAUUUUAAUCUUUUACAUUUGCUAAUUGCUCAAUCUCGAUAAUGUUCUUUCUCUUGUUAAAAGCUAUCAAGGGAACGAUUUUAGCAAUCCAAGUGAUGGAUAGACCUUUCUAAACUUGCUCAUUUAUUUGGUUUUGAAUAUGGAAUUGAUGUUGUUUGCUGCCAAUGAAGAGAUUUGAUCAAAUUGUUUCUAAAGAAUAAAAUUGUUAUUUUUUUCUUUUGAAAAAGUUUAGUUGUUUGAUCACAUGAUAUUUAUAAUAUAUAUAAGUUUGCAAAAUGAUAGAGUCUAAAGAGAAAAAUCUUAUGUAGUUUUUAGUAUUUUUGUACAAGAUAAAAUUGGAAUCAUUAAUAGGGUUUGGUGAGAUAAAAUGAGAUAAUCAAAUAUCAAUACUCUAAACGAGAUAAUUAGAUUCUUAGGCUUUCAUAGAUUUUUCUUUUUUAAUACACUGGGCUUUUAUAGUUGGAACAUCUAAAUCAAAAGCAGAUGCAAAACUUGGCCAUAGAAAUUAGAACAUCCUUAAUUCAAAAGCCAAUACAAAGAUGCAUUCCUAGUAAGACAAAAACUUUUAAAGUGAUGAAAUUAGAGAAGCAUUGUGAUAUCCAAUUUUAGUAGGCGUACCAAGUUUAACUAAAAUUUAAUUAAAAAAAUAAUGAGUAAAAAUAAAAUGCGUAAAAGUAAAGCACACAAGAAGAUUUUUACGUUACUCACUACAUCCAUGGAGCCACGCUCAAAUAUUGAGUAAUUUGCUAGGCUCAAGAGAUUACAACCUCUUGAAACCUUACACAAUAUGAGACUCCAUCUUAGUGAUUGCCACCAACUUAUUAUAAACUCACCAAGUGUUGAUAGGUAGCUUUUUAUCUAAAUUAAACCAUUAUUGGUGGUUUGUUGAUCUUGGAAUUGAGUUGAUAGCUCCACACUACAAGAAAAUAGGCAAUAGAUGACAGUAAAUAACUGUCAUAAAAGGGGAUGUAUGACAGACAACUUAUCUGUCAUUUAUGUCACUGUCAUUAAUUCAUGACAGAAUAUUUUCCGUCAUGAAUUCAUGAUGAUUUUUCACAGUCACAUAUAUGUCACACAAUAUUUUAAUGAGAAAUUAAAAUUAUUUAAUUUUUUGGCAUUUUUAAACUUUUUGGCUGUAAAUUAGUAUUAUAUGAAUAUUAAAAUUACUUAAAGCAUUAUUUUUUUAAUUGUAUUUUUAUUAUUAUUUGUGUUGAAUUAUUAUUAAUAUUAGAAUUCUCAGCAAAUUUGUUUUUAGAAUAAAUUUAUAAACUAAAAUAAAUACAAAAUAUGAUACAAACAAUUAAAGAAUCCAAUUAAUAAAACCUGGAUAUCCAUUUAACCAUACAACCCAUUGGAUUUCUAUUUUGAUUGUGCACACAAUAUUCUGGUUCUGAUUAUGUUCUUAGCAGGGUCAUUGGAAGUAUAGGUGACACUAUGUGACAUGAGCUAACUUUCUUUUUAUUGUGUAUAUAUGAUAUACAAUUUAUUUUCGUGAUUAAUUACGCUUUUGAAAUUCUAAAUAAAUUAUGAAUUUGUAUCUUUCUGUUAUAAAUUUAUGAUUUUUAAUAUAUGUUUUAAUAAGAAAAGGGAUUGCAAUAUUUUUUGAACUUGAUAACUGUAGUGAGUGGCAAUGGUUUUACUUACCAAGUUGACAGCGCACUCCUCGUCAUUACUUUUUGGAGAUUGAGUAACUUAUUGAGAGGUGUGCUUAUCUUUGGACCUAGAAAUUUAUUUAUUUUUGUUAGUAGAAUAAGAGGAGAAUGAACUUUUGUUUCCUUUAAGUUUGUUUAUCUUCCGAACUUGUUGUUGUGCAAAUUUCAUUGAACUCGCAGGCGCACGAAUCUAUUGUAGAAUAGAUCAAUGAUGACGAGUGUCGAUCCCACGAGGAGGUGGAUUUUAAUUAUGCGUAGAAUUAAUUUUCUAUAUGGGUGGUUGGAUUUGUGGUAAAAAUGACUUGGACUAUCAUAAAAUUUGAAUUAAAAUGGUGAGAAUAAAUUGAAGAGAAAUCUAUUGAAAUGAAGCGCUUGGGUAUCUGGAUCUGCAUCAACAUGCACCAUGGGCUAAAUAUUCCUUAUUAGUGCCAAUUAAAUCAUGAGGGAGGAAUCCACACCUCAUGAACCACACUCUAAUCAAUAUGGUGCUAAGGGCUUAUUGUGCCAAAUAAUAAUAACCUUGUACUAGGGAGCCGGUGAAACCAGAGCGGUAUCUAGACAAGAUUAUUAUUAUUUGUCGACGAAAAGUCAAAACAUCCACAAAAAUUAGAAGGGAAGAGAAAAUAAAUUUACCAAAUAAAGCCCAUGGCACAUGUUGAAACUUCACCUUCAACACAAGCUUAAAAGAAAAUUAGCUACUCAUAAUUGAACUAGGGGCAAAAUAGAAAUUUAUUAAAAUAUGUAGAAAAUACAAGAUGGAGAAUGAAUUACAGAAAAUUGAACUAAAAAAUGAAUUCAAGGAUACCAAAUUAGGGGGGGAGAGCCCCCUUUUUAUAGAUACAUUGAGUAAAUCAUGGCCAUCGGAUUAAGAACAUUUCGGACGCUCAAGAUGGCGCCACAUCAUCAGUCAACAGUACGCGGUUUGACCACACGGUUUGAACAGUGACGUGGUUUGAACAGUAACGCGGUUUGUUGUAAGAUAUCCUGUGUAUAUGCAUGUACCGUACGCACAAUUUUUGGUCCACUGAUAUGCUGCCACGUCACCGAUCAACAGUACAUAAGAAUUUUAGUCCAAUAGAAUCGUGACACCUCAUCAGUCAAUACCACAUCAUCGGUCAAUGCCAUGUCAUCGAUCCAUCUAUGUGAAUAGUAUCAUGAACAGUAACGUAGACAGUAUCGUACAUGUGAAUAGUACCGUACAUGUGAACAAUGCCAUUUUUCCUUUUAUGCUUCUCCUAAGGUUUUCGACUGUCCUAAGUUCAAAAGUGAUGUCCAUUUUACUGUCUGAUCUCUUGUCAAUUGUGAAAUAACCAUGAUGCCCCUAAAAUACAUAAAAUACUUAAUUACAAUAAAACACACAUAAUUAAAUCACAAGAAGCUUAAAUACAUAAAAGUAAGGAUGUUAGUAAGAUUUGAAAUGUAAAAUGACGAUUUUCUCCUUUGUAAAUAUACAUUUUCUAACACUCAACACACCCCCAACCUGCUUAUUGCUAGUCCCUAGCAAAUAAAGCGAAAACAAAAUUCAAACCCAAAAUAUUUUUUUCUUUUUUUAAAAAUAUUUUUGUUUAUUCAAUCAGACCAAUGAUAGCAAACAAAUAAAAGUAUAAGUAUUAUCUCCAGUCUAAAGAAACAUCACACCCACAUCAACCAUCCACAUGAAUAAGCCUAGUAGACUUUGUCACAGCUACUUUCAAGAAUGACAUGUCAAACCCCAAAAUCUCACUGCAAGUAGUGACACUCUCACAAGAAAAUUAAAUCCAAUAAAAAUAGUCACUCCAACGAAUGCUAAAUUUGAGAGAAAAUAAUAUAGAAGUAAUAUCACACACUCUCACCAAGAUGAAAGAAAUUUUCCCACAGCUUAAAAAUAACAUGAUCUGAAGUCAAAAUGCCAGUCAACCCAAUGUAUUCAUUGUUUUUUACUUUUUACUUUUUUUUUUAUUUAUCACUACAUCUUUUUAGCCCAUAAAACUAGCUUCUACUUCAAAUUAUAGAUCCCUAAAGUCAAGAAAGACUUUUAUUGGGACAUAACGUAGGCUAAGGACAUGGCUAACAAAGGAGGAAAAAUAGGAAAAAACAAAAUAUAUGUUUAAAAAAAAGUAGAGAUCUUUUGGAAAUUACAAGGUGGAUUUUGCCUAUUAUUUUUUUUUCUUUUUUUUUGAAACAACAAUUUUUUUUUGUUUUUCUUUUGUUUGUCACAACUUCACUUAAAAAAAUAAUUAUUUACAUUUUUCCCAAACAUAAAUAGGUGACGGAACUUGUAAGAUAUCGGGUAAUACUCCAAAUCGGAGUAGGUCAAGAUGAUAAGUUUGACAAAGAAAAGUUUUUUUUUAAAGACUCAAAAGGGUUUAACUAUAGAUUUUUCACAAAAGGGAUGGCUAGAAAAGCUCAAACGGGUCAAAGAUGGUCUUUCCAUCGUCUUUUAGGGCUCUAAAUAAUCUUCCAUAUCUACUAGUUAGAUGGACCUCAAGAUGUAGCAACACAUAUUUUUUUUUAUCUUACAAUUUGUUUUUCUUUUUAGAGGGUUAACUCAAACGAAAUCUAGAGAUCGUAUAUAAAAUAAUAAACUGCUAAGUUGUUGAAGAAUGGGCAAAAGGGGUUACUCUCCAAGAAAAAUAACAGGCUCAAAAACUCACUUGGUAUUUAUUACGACAUGUGCAUUCCUUCAAGUAACUCAUAUUUGUCUCCGAUAUCAACACAUAGAAUAGCAAACAUAGCAUAACAUCACUUAAGACCAAAGAUAGUACAAAUACUAAAAUUUGAAAGUCAUCAUGUCAUCCAAUAUAAAACAAAUCACACAAUUUGUUUUUAAAAAAAAACGACAGUCCACCCCCCAACCUACUCUAAACAUGAAAAGAAAAUAUGCAGGCAGAAAGGUGAAAAAUGAUGCAGAAAAACUAAUUAAAAAAGUUACACUUAAAACGAUAGAAAAAGAAAAUAGUUUUUUUUUAAAUUAAGAAGAUGCAUUUCUAGAGGCACUACACUCCAUAUUCAGCCAUCUUUGACUCAAAAAUUUGAAAGUGUAAAUUUAUAAAGGAGAAAUUAAAAAGAAAAAGUUAAAAAAAUUGUCAAAACUUAAUAAAGAAAAAGAAAAUGUUUGGAUUUUUUUUGUUUUUUUUAAACGAAAAUGAUGCGUUUCUAGAGUAACUACACUUCAUAUUCAGCCAUCUUCAACACAAAAAGUUAGCCACAAUUAGUCUCUACAAUAAAAAAUCAGUAAAAACUUAACCAAGAUUCCACAAUUGUCAACUAUUCCCUCUCCCCAACUGGAACGAAACAUUGUCCUCAAUAUUUUAAAGGAAAGAAAUAGAGUUUAUAAGACAUCACCUAGGUAGUGCAAUACAUAAGAAAAUAUUUACAAGCAGAGAGUUAAACCUAAUUUGUGCUUCUUACUGUGGCUAAUGUUACCAUCAUUAUUUGGAUACUCUAACACCAAGGUCCUGGGGUCUGGCUCUGGUCUAUAAGCUUGUAACAAAUCAAGUAGCUCCUUAGCAGUGAGCACAAAUAAAAAUUUUUUUCGCUGUGGAAGGAAUGAAAUAGUUUUUGAUUGCAUGGUUAAGAAAUGCGAUGAAACCAUCAUAAAAGUUAUUGACAUUUAACAAACCGAUGGAUUUCUGGUGAAUGUGCAGAUGGGCCCAAGAUGCUAAUGUGAUAAGUGCCUCUAGAGUUGCAAGAUCUCUUGGUAGGAAAAUAAAAGCAUCAGCAUGAUUAAGCAUUUCAGUUAUUCUUUCUUGCAUACCUAAGACGACUAACUCUUCUCCAAUUGGUGAGUCAGAAAAACUGCCCAAAGGUUUUAGGGCUCUUAGGAUGAUGCCUAACACUUGGCUUCCUCUGAUAAAAGCAGCUUCUGAGACCAAUUUUGAUAACCCUCAGUUACGUCCUCCAUACACCAAGUGUAAUUUUCUCUCUGCUAUACUUCGACCAAGAUCUAUGGUUGCUUCAACGAACUCUUUAUGUUUGCCAUAGUUAAAUCCAUAAAGUACACAAAUGUUCUUGAAUUGUUUAUUGAGAGUAGCUGCCAUUGGGAUACUUCUCAAAAACAAUUUGUGAGUGCUUAACAAAAAGUCAUUUUUAAGAAUCUUGGUGACAGUGGGUCACAGCUAUAUCAGUUAUUAUGGAAAACUGAAAUAACCGACUUGAUUGUCACAGAGUACCGUUAUCCGCCACUUCACCGGGGUAACAAACUAAAGCACACAAACAAAGAAAAACAAAUUAAAACACAUAAAGAAAAUUACAAUCGUCCUCUUAUUGAAUUUACCUCAAGCCCCAACUCGAUGUUGUAGACAUCUCUCUCAAUGUCUCUGAGUUGGCUUUCUAAAUCCUCAACAUGGGAUACUAACUCUUCUGGUUGCAGAGCCCAAAUAUGAUGUGUUUUACAAAAUCGAAUCUACCUUUUAAGAUGAGAUUUUACACAUUGAAGUGGUCUAAGAAUUUCCAAGAGGAACUGUUAAAUAGUUAAACAAACACACUUAUGUAAAAAUAAUUUCAAUUAGCGAAAGAAUAGUAAAAAGAAAGCAAAAAAUCAAAUCACCGAAAAGAAAGAAAAAUCUCAAUUCAAAUCUAGUGGGUCACUCAAAUUUAUUUCAGUAUCCUCUCCAUAUGGUUGGUACUCUAGAUAUGGCUUUAAUCUUUGACCAUUAACUUUAAACGUGACGCCGUUCUUUGGGUCUUUAAUUUCAAUUGCCCCAUAUGGAAAAACAGUGUGAACAAUAAAAGGGCCAGACCAUUGAGAGCGUAACUUACCUGGGAAUAGGUGCAAGUGAGAAUUGAAUAAAAGCACUUUCUGACCUGGAGUGAAAGAUUUUCUCAUAAUUUGCUUGUCAUGAAAGACUUUCAUUCGCUGUUUGUAAAUCUGCCAGCCGUAAUCUUCUUUCUGAGCUAGCUUACAACAUGUCAAAGUUGAAUUUCUUGAUGGCCCAGUACGCACGAUGCUUGAGUUCUACAGGUAGGUGGCAAGCUUUCCAUACACUAGCCUGUAGGGUGACAUUCCAAUCGGGGUUUUGAAAGCCGUUCUAUAUGCCCAUAAUGCAUCAUCGAGUCUUAAUGACCAAUCUUUUUUGUCCGGCCUCACCGUUUUUCUAAUAUGUGCUUUAUUUCUCGAUUGGAGAUCUCAACUUGGCCACUAGUUUGCGGAUGAUAUGGGGUCGCCACUUUGUGAGUGAUGGAAUACUUUGUCAAAAGAGCUUUGAAUGCUUUGUUACAAAAGUGGGCACCACCAUCACUGAUUAUUGCUCGAGGGAAUCCAAAGCAUGAAACAAUGUUACUUUUCAAAAACCUUAUCACCACCUUGUGAUCAUUGGUUCUACAUGGAAUUGCUUCUACCCAUUUUGAUACGUAGUCAACAAUAACCAAUAUGUAUUGAUGGCUAAAAGAAGGGGAAAAAUGUCCUAUGAAGUCGAUGCCCCAUACAUAAAAAAUCUCAACCACUAAAAUUAGAUUUAGUGAGGCAUCAUAUUCCUUCGUGUAAUGCUACCCAUUCGUUGACACCUAUCACAUGAAAAACAGAAAGUGUAAGCUUUUUGAAAUAUAGUUGGCCAAUAGGAACCACAUUGUAAAACGUUAGUAGCUGUUUUCUUAGCACUGAAAUGGCCUCCACAAGUUUGUUCAUGGCAGAAUGAAAGAAUAUUAUGAAUUUUCUUCUUUGGGACACAUCGUCUAAUUUGAUCUACACAAUACUUGAACAGAUAAAGGUCAUCCCAAAAGAAAUUCUUUAUUUCCGUAAAAAAAUUGGCUUUAUCCUGCUUGGUCCAAUGCUCUGGAAGUUGACCUGUAACAAGAUAAUUAACGAUAUCAGCAUACCACGAUAAUACUUCCACACUCAUCAAUUGUUCAUCUGGAAAUGACUCAUUCAAUGUUAAUAGUUAUGUAAUUGUGUCAAAAUGGAGACGAGAGAGAUGGUCUGCCACAAUAUUUUCUGUGCCUUUCUUAUCUUUGAAUUCCAAAUCAAAUUCCUGCAAAAGUAACACCCAAUGAAUUAGCCUAGCUUUUGCAUCUUUCUUUGUGUGAAGAUAUUUAAGAGCAGCAUGAUCUGUGAAUACAAUUAUUUUACAACCAAUUAGAUAAGAUCAAAAUUUCUCUAAUGCAAACACUAUUGCUAGCAUUUCUUUUUCAGUAGUUGAAUAGUUCAACUGUGCAUCAUUCAAUGUCAUACUAGCAUAGUAAAUAACAUGAGGAAUUUGAUCAACUCUUUGUCCUAAUACUGCUCCUACUGCAUAAUCAGAUGCAUCACACAUAAGCUCAAAUGGUAAGCUCUAGUUUGGGGCCUGAAUGAUGGGUGAUGAUGUCAACAAUUGCUUUAGUUUUUCAAACGCCACAAGACAUGAAUCAGUAAAGAUAAAAGGUACAUCUUUAGCAAGUAGAUUGCAUAAGGGUCUAGAAACUUUGCUAAAAUCUUUAAUGAAACGUCUAUAGAAACCAGCAUGCCCAAGGAAAGAUCUUACUUCUCUGACUUUUUUAGGUGGAGGAAGAUUAAAAAUGAGAUCCACCUUGGCUUUGUCAACCUCAAUACCUUUGCUCGAAAUGAUGUGACCGAGAAAAAUACCUUAUUUUACCAUAAAAUGACACUUCUCCCAAUUUAAGACUAAGUUCUUCUCAAUACAUCUCUGCAGAACUAGUGUUAGAUAAUGUAAACAUUGAUCAAAUGUGUCACCAAAAACAGAAAAGUCAUCCAUAAAGACUUCAAGGAAUCAUUCAACCAUAUCAGAAAAAAUGCUCAACAUAUAUCGUUGAAAUGUAGCAGACGCAUUACAUAAUCCAAAUGACAUUUUCCUAUAUGCAAAAGUGCCAAAAGGGCAAGCGAAAGUAGUUUUCUCUUGAUCUUUUGGUGCUAUGAGAAUCUGAUUAUAUCCUGAGUAGCCAUCUAGAAAGCAAUAAAAUUCAUUGCCUGCUAAUCUAUCAAGCAUUUGAUCGAUAAUUGGUAAAGGAAAAUGGUCUUUACGUGUGACAUAAUUCAACUUUCUAUAAUCAAUGCAUACACGCCAUCCUGUAGUCACUCUAGUGGGUAUCAAUUCAUUAUCAGCAUUGGUAACUACUGUAACUCCUGACUUUUUGGGGAUAACUUGUACAGGACUGACCCAUGAACUAUCAGAAAUUAGGUAAAUGAUACCUGCAUCUAAUAGCUUAAGGACUUCAGUUCUAACAACUUCUUUCAUAUUAGGAUUUAACCGACGUUGCAUUUAGUAGGUUUAGCAUUUUCAUCAAGGUGAAUAUAAUAUAUGCAGUCUACUGGGUUAUACCUUUUAUAUUGGCUAUGGUCCAUCCUAAUGCUCCUUUGUACUCUUUUAAAACAUCCAACAACUUAUCUUUUUGUUCGUCAUUUAGGGAUGAUGAGAUGAUUACCUGCAUAGUACUUUCUUCUCCCAAAAAUGUAUAUUCCAGAGUGUUGGGUAAUGGUUUGAGCUCGAGUUUCGGUGGUUAUUCUGAUGAUGGGAUGAUUUUCUUCUCUGAUGGUGCUAGUUGUUCAACUCUUGACUUCCAUUUAUUAGUGUCCAUGGAUGGUGCUGAGUCAAGUAGGGCGUUGACCUCAUUGACCGAUCUGUCAAUAUCAAAAUCAAAACCAAAGUGAGUUAAUCAUGUUUGUAAAGGAUCAUCACGAAGGUUUGAAAGAAAAAUGCCAUAAACUAAUGCUUCAAUUAAAUCCACAUCAACAAUUCUAUCAUCUGCAUUGUGAGGUUGUUUGGCAAUGUUGAAGAUGUUCAGCUCCAUAGUCAUGUUGCCAAAAGACAACUGCAUAUUUUCAGUCCUACAUUGAAUGUGAGCAUCCGCAGUUGCCAAGAAAGGUCGGCCUAAGAUAAUGAGGAUGUGUUUCCUUGAAUCCUGGAUUGGUUGAGUGUCAAUUACAAUGAAAUCAACAGGAAAAUAAAACUUGUCUAACUGGAUAAGUACGUCCUCUACAAUACCACGAGGUAUUUUCAUGGACCGAUCUACAAGCUGUAACACUACUGGAGUUGGGUGUAAUUCUCCCAGUCCAAGUUUCACAAAUACUGAAUAAGGCAACAGAUUUACACUAGCUCCUAAAUCCAACAAAGCAUUCUCAAUUGUGUGGUUCCCUAUGCUACAUGAGAUAGUGGGGGAGCCUGGGUCUUGGCAUUUUAGAGGAAUUUUGUGUUGCGGUAUAGAACUAACGUUUUCUGUUAAAAAGGCCUUCUUUUGAAUGUGAAUGUUUCUAUUUUUAGUACAAAGGUCGUUAAGAAACUUGGCAUAAGAUGAAACUUGUUUUAUAGCAUCAAGUAAAGGGAUGUUAACACUUACCUGUUUGAAGAUUUCAAAAAUCUCACCUGUGGAUUUUCUUUUCUUUCUUUUAGCUAACCUCUGAGGAAAUGGAGCUUUGGGAAUAUAUUCUCGUGGGUUGGUUUCUUCUUUCUCUUUCGAUGGUAAGUCCUCAACAUUCACAGGUAUAAUUUGAUUUUGUUUUGUCACUGGCAUCUCCACUUUGUUGUCGACUUUUUUUCCUUUUCGCAAGGUCAUGACAGCUUUGACCUCUCCGUGCUGCUGUGGUGAACUGGUACUUACUCAUGCACUCCUUUAGGAUUAGGCACUGGUUGACUUGGAAAUUUGCCUUUCUCAACAGUCAUUGGCAAGGUUUGAACUGAAGAAGUAAGUUGUCCCACCAGCUUCUCGAGGCUUGAAACUGAUUGGGCUUAUAAGUUGAAGCCUGCUUUCAUCUCAUUUCGUAUUUCAUCAAUAGUUCGGUUCUGUUGCUCAAUUGUGGAGUGAGUAACAUUCUUGAAAUUUUGGAAUGCAUCCUCCCAUGGUCUGGGUUGAGAGUAGUUCUGGUUCUGAUUGUAUGGUCUACAUGGUGGCUGAGAGGCUUGAAGAACUUGAGGAAUUAGUUGCAUUCGUGGAACUGGAGCUGUUGGUCCAUUCUGUUGGAAUUCUUGAGACCAUGAAAAAUUGGGGUGGUCUCUUCAUUCAGGGUUAUAUGUGUUGGAGUAUGGGUUGUAAUUAGAUGGUUUUCUCAUUACACCUAUGGCAUUGGCUUGAUCUGAGUAUGAGUCAUUGUCAUGUGGUUCUGUUGAUUUAGCAGUCGAUAACGAUGCUAUUUGUCGAGCAAGACCUUCAACCCUCUCCUUGACUUCUUUGAUUCCCGAAGUUGACUCGCCAAUGUGAACCUCAUUUACUCCCUUAAUUCUUCUAGUAUUCCUGAGUGAUCGACUCCGUUGUUGGGAAUUAUCCGCUUGUCGCUGGAAGAAUUCCCAAAUCUCUGAUGCACUUUUUGACAUUAGCUCUCCUCCACUUGUUGCCAUUAGCCAUUCUUGAACAUUCGGUAAUAAUCCCUCCAAAAGGUAUUGGCAUUGGUACCAUUUCUCGUACCCUGAUGUGGACACUUCAAGAGUAGCCCAUUGAAUCGCUCCCAUGUUUCGAAAAACUGCUCGUCUUCUCUUUGUGUAAACUCUGAAAUUUCCCUACGAAUAGCAUUGGUUUUAUGCACUAGGAAAUAUUUAUUCAAAAAUUUCGUUACCAUUUGUUCCCAUGAUGAAAUGCUAUUAGCAGGUAAAGUAUUUAACCAUGAAUGAGCUCUAUCUUUUAAAGAAAAUGGGAAUAAUCUGAGUUUAACAUCAUCAUUUGAAAAAUUUUCAUAUUUAAAAGUUUGACAAAUGGCAUGAAAAUCAUUCAGAUGAUUUUAUGGGUUCUCAUUUUCUAGGCCAUAGAAUGUUGGGAGACAAUUUAGCACACUAGGUUUUAGUUCAAAACUCCUAACAGCUACAUUUGAGUAUCUUAUGCAUGAUGUGCUCAAAUUAGCUAAGGGAUUGAAGUAGUCCUUAAAUGACCUCUCCUGUGGUGGUGGUUGUUGUUGCAAAUCCAUUUCAAUUUUAUCUUUAAUUACAACGUGUUUGUGUGUGCGAAGUGUUUUUUCAAGUUCAAGGUUUAUAGGCUCAAGAUUAGGUAAUAAUGACAUUCGACCAUGCAUGCAAAGAACACCAAACAAUUAAAAAUAAAGAAGGAGAAAUUAUGAUACUAAUCUUAUCGUACUGUUACAACCUUUCUAUAAAAACACACUAAAUCAUAAUACAUGAAAUAAAUUAAAAAUAAAUUAAUAAGAUAAACAAAAAAAUUACAAAGAAAAAAAAAUUAACUUGAAAAUUAAAUUACAGAAUUUUAAAGAAGAGAAAAAGAAAAGAAAUUCUUACCUCUAAAUUCAUAUUCACUUUUUUAAAAAAAAUUACAAGAAAACAAUUAAAAGAAAUUAUUUAUAAAAUUUAAUUCUACGAAUUAAAAUAACUUCCCUCCCUGGCAACGACGCCAAAAACUUGUUGUACAAAUUUUAUUGAACUCGCAAGGGCACGAAUCUAUUGUAGAAUAGAUCAAUUGUAACGAGUGUCGAUCCCACGAGGAGGUGGAUUUUAAUUAUGCGUAGAAUUAAUUUUCUAUGUGGGUGGUUGGAUUUGUGGUGAAAAUGAUUUGGACUAUCCUAAAAUUUGAAUUAAAAUGGCGAGAAUAAAUCGAAGAGAAAUCUAUUAAAUGAAGCGCUUGGGUAUCUGGAUCUGCAUCAACAUGGACCAUGGGCUAAAUAUUCCUUAUUAGUGCCAAUUAAAUCAUGAGGGGGGAAUCCACACCUCAUGAACCACACUCUAAUCAAUAUGGUGCUAAGGGCUUAUCGUGCCAAAUAAUAAUAACCUUGUACUAGGGAGCCGGUGAAAUUAGGGCGGUAUCUAGAAGAGAUUAUUACUAUUUGUCGACGAAAAGUCGAAACAUCCACAAAAAUUAGAAGGGAAGAGAAAAUACAUUUACCAAAUAAAGCCCAUGGCACAUGUUGAGACUUCAUCUUCACCCCAAGCUUAAAAGAAAAUUAGCUACUCAUAAUUGAACUAGGGGCAAAAUGAAAAUUUAUUUAAAUACGUAGAAAAUACAAUAUGGAGAAGGAAUUACAGAAAAUUGAACUCAAAAAUGAAUUCAGGGAUACCAAAUUAGGGGCAGAGCCCCUUUUUUAUAGAUACAUUGAGUAAAUCAUGGCCAUCGGAUUAAGAAUAUUUUGGACGCUCAGGAUUGCGCCACGUCAUCAGUCAAUAGUACACAGUUUGACCACACGGUUUGAACAGUAACGCGGUUUGGUUGUAAGUUAUCCUGUGUAUAUGCAUGUACCGUACGCACAAUUUUUGGUCCAUUGAUAUGCUGCCACGUCACCGAUCAACAGUACAUAAGAAUUUUAGUCCUAUAGAAUCGUGACACCUCAUCAGUCAAUGCCACAUCAUCGGUCAAUGCCACAUCAUCGAUCCGUCUCAUCAUCGAUCCGUCUAUGUGAAUAGUGUCGUGAACAGUAACGUAGACAAUACCGUACAUGUGAACAGUGUCAUUUUUCGUUUUAUGGUCCUCCUAAGGUUUUCGACUGUCCUGAGUUCAAAAGUGAUGUCUGUUUUGCUGUCUAAUCUCUCGUUCAUUGUGAAAUGACCAUGAUGCCCCUAAAUCACAAGAAGCUUAAAUACAUAAAAGUCAGGAUGUUAGUAAGACUUGAAAUGUAAAAUGACAAUUUUCUCCUUUAUAAAUAUACAUUUUCUAACACAACACUUGCAAUUGGAGAGUUUUGAGACUUUGUUAUAUUUAUGGCUUUGGAAAAAGGAAAAUCCUUACUAUUAGGCUAGUGGAUUUAUUUGAAUAAACUUUGGUUCAGUUCUAAUUGAGGCUUUUGUGAAGGAUUAUUAUUUAUAAGUAACCUCCUUUACCACAUGCUCCACACGUGUUGGAUUUAGGGUAUUACAAUUUGCUUCAAGUGAGGAUGUUGUUUUUGUAGUUUUCAUUGGUAACUUAUCAAUACUAGACUUAAAUAAAUCAAAGAUGAACUUAGAAAACGGUAAAAGAGGCUAUCAAUAAGGUUAAAAUUCUCAAAUUUGAAAUUAAUUUGUAUGACUUGAAAAUUGAACAAAUUAGCCAUAUAUUUGUUUCAACCAUCCAAGAUAGUUUUAAACAAAUUUUAAGUUCAACAAAACCUUGACCCAAUAUUUAAGAAACUUAAUGGUAAUUUCCUAACUGUACAUUUUAUCAAGCUAAUGUAUUUUCCUUUUAUACACGAGCAACGUGCAUGAUUGUUCAUGGAAUACAUAACCUAUUAAUAAUUUAAAUAGAGGUUGAAAAAUGGGUUAAUGGAUUGUGUUUAUGUCGUAUCAAAAUUUAAGCCUACUCAAACACAAUCUAUUUAAUAAUUGCAUCAAACAAUCAAAAUCCUAGUUAACUUGAGAUGACUAUUAACUAGAUUUACAUUAGCACGAUUAAUUGAAUAAUUAAAUCAAAUUUUAAUUGUGUCAAGUAAAUGAGUAAGAAAAUAAACAAGAUAAAAUUACUGGGGAAAAAAACUUUGAAUGAAGCAGCUGCGGUAAAGCUGUCAAGGCCUUUAUUAGAAAGAGAGAGAAGUAAAUAGUAAUUAAUCCAAAAAUAUAGGCCCAAUCAACAUUUUUCUUUGUUCUAAUAGAAAUAUUCAGUGAAUAAUGAUUUAUUAAUAUAGUUUAUGAUUGCCCAACCCUUACCCUUUAAAUGAAAAAAAAAUUAACAUAUUUUACGAAAUGUUAAAAUGAUUAGCCAGCUGUAAGGUAAUAAGAAUAGAGUUAUUGAUUUUUUUUUAUUAUUUCUUUUUGAAUGGGAAUAGUUGGACAUUUGAAGGCAUAUAAUUACGAAAUAUAGUCUAAUAAAACAAAUCAAAGUUUCUGACAAAUAAAACAAAUUUAUAAGUUUAAGAAUUGAAAUUAAGGGAAAAGGUUUUGUGGAGCAAAUGGUUUUAAGAUCGUUCUCCAUUUUUGAAAAAAAAAAACUUUUACAGAGCAAUGAUGGUUCUAACUUCUAACUACCUUUUGUUAUCAACUAUUUUUAGUGACACUUGUAUGAAAGUUGGUUUUCUUCAUUUCCAAAAAAAUGUCUUUUAAUUAGGGAAGUUAUAAAAUUUUUCCUUAAUUUAGUUUGUUUUUCCAUAAUUUAGUUUGUUUUUCCAUUAUAUAUAAGACAUAAUUGAAGGAAUAUGUAUAUUAAACAUUAUUUUAGCAAGAGAGAAGAGAAAAAGAGUAAUCAAAAUCAUGAAGAAGUUCAUUGUUCUCAUUCUUUUCUUCACUUUUUUUCUCUGUCUUAUGAAUCUUUCUCAAGGUAAAUAUAGUAUCCCAAAGAGUUAUUUUUAAAUUUGUUUUAAUAUGAGAAUACUCACAUUUUAACGAUUUUUAUGUUUCUUUGCAAGAAAAGGACAACUAAAAUUCUGUACUAAACACAUGACAAUUCCUGGCGUUUGUCCCAAGGAUCCAAAGGAAGCAGAAUUCGUGUGCCUUAAAGCCUUCUUCGAUAAAUAUGGAGCAACAAAGAGCCCAGAUAAUUGUCUAUGCAAACCAUCAACUGGCAACCAGCACAUCUGCCAGUGUGACAUUAUUUGCGAUCCACCACCACCUAAACGAACUUAAUUAUGGUGUCCAAUAGUAUGAAGAAUGAAGAUCACUAAAUCCACGAUAUCGAUAUUAACCUAUUGUUAAAUCAUAGAUAGAUAAUGAUACGGUGAUUUGUAAUAAUAAAUCAUAAUAUUUACUUAAGUAAUUAAUCGCUAUGGUUGAGAAACAUUUGUAAAUGAAACAAUGGGUAAUUUCAUUACAAUGUCGGAUUAGUAAAAAGAAAAAUUGCUUUUAUACUAUUGAAUAUAAAUAAAUCUAGUCGAAUAAGUUUUCUGUUAAUCCUAAUUACCAUGUUAAAAUCAAAACUUCUAAUUAAGAUAUGAAACUUUUUGUGUAUGCCUUUUUCUUCCCCCUUAAACAACUAUUAACUUAAGGCUAAAGUUUCAGUGUCGGGCCUCAAUGCCUAGCAUUGUGCCAAUUUUUAUUUGUAGCCGUUGGAUUCAAGUAAAAUGAGUCCAACGGUUGAGAUUAAAUUAAAAAUAAAAAGUAACGGGUUACUUGUUAAAUGGUUGCUGAAAUCCAUUACGUUUUCCCUCCUUCAAAUCUCAAACAUCUCUUUCACCUCUCUUACUAUCACUCUCUGAAAUAUUGAUUUGUCUCUUAGAUUGUUUACUAAUCACAUAAAAUCGAAGCUACCAUGUAACACACAGCGAAUAACAAGUUGAAUCCAUCAAUCAGUUAGUGUCAUCUUGAGCUGUUCUCUUUCAUUUUUUAGUUAAAGACAAGGUAAUGAUGAUUCUUGUGUUUUUGUGGUGACUAUUGAAAAUGACAUGUGAAAGAAUUACGAGUUUAUGUGUUAUAUUAAAUUGUUGAUGAUAUGUGAAAUAAUUAGGGAUUUAUAGGCUGAUAGGUAGUGAGAAUUAUGAUGAUGACUUUAAGUUCCUCUUUUCUUUGCCUCUUCUAAGAACUGUAUUAUAUCCCACAAGUGCCACUUACAUCAAUACGAUGUACCUCCAUGUCCUGAAAGGUAGUAUGAAGAAUGAAGAUCACUAAAUCCACGAUAUCUAUAUUAACCUAUUGUUAAAUCAUAGAUAGAUACUAAUACGGUGGUUUGUAAUAAUAAAUCAUAAUAUUUACUUACUAUGUUCGAGAAAUAUUUAACUAAUUAGUUACUAGGGUUGAGAAAUAUAUGUAUAUGAAACAUGGGUAAGUUCAUUACUAUGUCGGAUUACUAAAAGAGAAAAAUUACUUAUACACUAUUGAAUAAAUCCGGUCGAAUAAAUUUUCUUUUAACCCUAAUAAUGAUGUUAUAAAGGAAAAAAAGAAAAACAAAUACUUCUAAUUAAGAUUUAGAACUUUUGUGUGCGCUUUUUUUUUAGCAAUCAAUAACUUCAUUAUAAUUAAAGUGCGCACAAACGUUCUAAAAAGUUAUCCAGCUAAAUAACAGAAUUUAAAAGAGCUAACUUGGCUAGUACAUGGCUUGAGCUAUUUAAAAUUACACAAAAUAUGAUGAAUUUGAAAAGCUUAUCGUUGUUCCAUGGGUUGUAAAAUAUUAGCAAUAACUUAGAAAAUACUAAUUGCAAAAAUAGUAGCAACCCUAACAUACCCAUGACAAUCACACAUCACAACACCUAAACCCAUGGCAUCAUCCGCACAAUCAACAGUGAUGAUGCCAGCCUCACAGUGAAACUUUGAGACCGACGUUCAGUUUAAAGUUUCAAUUUCCCAACAUAGCGUUUUUCCUUUUUUAAAAGAGGAUCAUUGGAUUUCACCCCAUUCCACAUAUUAAAUAUACUUGCUAUAUUCCUACCCAUAGACAUAGUAAUCUCUAAGUACCUAUGACAAGACAAAUCCCUAAUGCAAGGAACAAAUAAAUAACAAUAUUAUUGACGCACUGAUGUAAUGAUAAAAGUCCUAACAUUUUGGUAGUUGCAAUAAAAAUGCUUAGACAAAAAAGAAAAAAAUCCUCAGUUUCACGUUAUUUGUUUCAGCAAUAUGAGAAAGCAAAAAUCACAUGUUGAAAAAGCUUAAUUGCUCACUUUUAGUAAUUUUAAUCUUUUGCAUUUGCUAAUUGGUCAAUCUCCAUAAUGUUCUUUCUCUUGUUAAAAGCUAUCAAGGGAAUGAUUUUAGCAAUCCAAGCGAUGGAUAGACCUUUCUAAACUUGAUCAUUUAUUUGGUUUUGGAUAUGGAAUUGAUUUUGUUUGCUGCCAAUGAAGAGAUUUGAUCAAAUUGUUUCUAAAAGAAUAAAAUUGUUAUUUUUUUCUUUUGAAAUAGUUUAGUUGUUUGGUGACAUGAAAUUUAUAAUAUAUAUAAGUUUGCGAAAUGAUAGAGUCUAAAGAGAAAAAUCUUAUGUACUUUUUAGUAUUUUUGUACAAGAUAAAAUUGGAAUCAUUAAUAGGGUUUGGUGAGAUAAAAUGAGAUAAUCAAAUAUCAAUACUCUAAACGAGAUAAUUAGAUUCUUAGGCCUUCAUAGUUUUUUCUUUUUUAAUACACUAGGCUUUUAUAGUUGGAACAUCUAAAUCAAAAGCAGAUGCAAAACUUGGCCAUAGAAAUUAGAACAUCCUUAAUUCAAAAGCCAAUACAAAGAUGUAUUCCUAGUAAGACAAAAACUUUUAAAGUACACAAGAAGAUUUUUACGUUAUUCACUGCAUCCAUGGAGCCACACUCAAAUAUUGAGUAAUUUGCUAGGCUCAAGAGAUUACAACAUGUUGAAACCUUACACAAUAUGAGACUCCAUCUUAGUGAUUGCCACCAACUUAUUAUAAACUCACCAAGUGUUGAUAGGUGGUUUUUUUAUCUAAAUUAAACCAUUAUUAGGUGGUUUGUUGAUCUUGGAAUUGAGUUGAUAGCUCCACACUACAAGAAAAUAGGCAAUAGAUGACAGUAAAUAAUUGUCAUAUAAGGGGAUGUAUGACAGACAAAUUAUCUGUCAUUUUUGUCACUGUCAUUAAUUCAUGACAGAAUAUUUUCCAUCAUGAAUUCAUGAUGAUUUUUCACAGUCACAUAUCUGUCACACAAUAUUUUAAUGAGAAAUUAAAAUUAUUAAAAUUUUUGGCAUUUUUAAACUUUUUGGCUGUAAAUUGGUAUUAUCUGAAUAUUAAAAUUGCUUAAAAGCAUUAUUUUUGAAUUGUAUUGUUAUUAUUAUUUGUGUUGAAUUAUUAUUAUUAUUAGAAUUCUCAGAAAAUUUGUUUUUAGAAUAAAUUUAUAAAUCUAAAAUAAAUACAAAAUAUGAUACAAAAAAUUAAAGAAUCCAAUUAAUAAAACAUGGAUAUCCAUUUAACCAUAUAAUCCAUAUCAUUGAGGUAUUCAAGCAACAACAACCCAAAAUUUCACAAAAUAUCCUAAACAGCCUCUCCAUUCUUUUGCCAUGCCCUCAAUUGUUGGCCUUAGAAUACUAGUCCCGUAACUCUGCAUCUUAUUCAUGUUCAAGAAAAGAAUUAGAGCAAUAAUCAAUUUAACUAUGAACGAACAUGCAUACCUUAAUAAUAGUUUACAGUCUAAUAAUUGUGCAUAGCUAUUUUUUUAUAAGUUGAACUAUCCAAUGAAAAUAUCUAUCGUAGCCCCAAAGAAAAAAAGAACAUAGAAGGUAAAAGAAAGCAAAAUUGACAAUUUAAUUGCCUAAUUUAAUAAAAGGAGAAAAAAGUUCAUCACAUGUUACUAUAUUGCCAAUAAAUGUAAUCAACACAUUUUCUUAAGAACUCUAUCUCCACUAUAUUUUAACAUUAGUAAUUUUACCGCAAGCCAACGCAUAAAAAUUACAAAACCAUAUUCACAAAUAAAGUAUUUGUAACAACACUCAAAUUUUGUCAGAUGCAAUACGGGUAUCCAUCUCAAAACUAGUUCUAAAAUAGAAGAAAGCAAGGCAUUAGAAAGAUUAUAACUCAAUGAAACACAUAAAAACUUCAAGAAAUUAUAAUUAAACAUCAAAUACAAAUUCCACUACUACAGUAAGUGAGAUAGAUGACAUUCAAUAGACGAUUCACAUCUAAACAAUUGUUAUCUUUUCUUUUAGAUGACUUUUUCUAUAGUUAGAGAGUCAUCUAUGAUAAUUUUAAUUUGAUAGGAAGUUAAAAGAUGACUCGUUAUACAAAAACACGUCAUAUUUUAUAAGGUAAACAUAUGACUCGUAAUUUAAAAAACGUCAUUUUUAUAUAGAUGUAUAAAUAAAAAAAUCACCCUAAGUUCCCUCAAAUCCCUAAUUUCUUCAAGUUGUACCUCUCUCUCUCUCUCUUUCAUUUUCCUCUUCUCAAAAUUCCUUCUCCAAACUUAUCACUAAAAAUACCACCCUUUUGCAAUUGUCCCCAAAUAAUCAACCCUAAUUUCAUCUCUUCUACAGUUACUAUUCUAAAUUUACAGCCGCCGCUCUUGAAGAGUGAAGAAACGCAAAGUGGGAGUGAAGAGAGAGAAAAUGGUGAAGUAAAUCUCAAUCAAGAACCGCGAAGAACAAGUCAAAAAUUGAAGAUUUGGAAGUUUGGGUUCACAUCUUCCAAAAAAGGAAUAAAGCAUUUGACACUUUUGUUUUUAAAAAGCUUGGAUCUUGACAAUGAGGUGUUUUCUAUUUCUUUAAUUUGUUUAAAUCAUUGAAAAAUAAUGAUGAUUCGGUUAUUUAGGGAUAGUCAUGUGAAUGAGAUCUUUGUUUUUCCUUUUUUCAUAAGUCAUGUUUGAAUGUUAGAUCUGGAAUCAAUACAGUGAAAAAGAAAUAGUAGAUUUUGAAAAUUUGAGUAAAUGUCGGUAUUUCAAGGAUGGGGUUUUUCAUUUAUUAUUAUUGUUAUUGUUGUUGCUAUAAUUAUUAUCAUUUAGAUUGAUUGAAAUUUGGAUAUAUAUUUAAAGGGAAAGGAGAAAAUUGGAUAUUUAGAUAUUUAUUAUACUGUAGUAAAAAUUGAUUAAUUGUUUAUAAAUUAUGACAAUCAAUAUGUUGAUUCUUUAGUGUAAGUAGUCAUAGUUUCAUAAAAAUGAAAUCUACUUUGAUUUAGUACAUGAUUUGUGACUCUCGAGAUGAUGAAAUCCUUGCUAAGAAUAGUUUUAUCAUGCCAUUGUUAUCACUUAAGUUGAAAAGAGAAACAAAAAUUAUGAGACUAGUUGAAUAACUAACUUCACAAUACUAGAAAAAAUUAAAUUCAGGUUACUAAUGAUUAUCGGAUUUGGUAAGUCUAGUCUCUAAGAGGUAAAAGCAAGAAAUCGCAUUAUAACAAUAUCAAGUUUAUUAUUUGAUUAAUUAUGCUUAGCAUUUAAAUUUUUGUUAUAAAGAAAUGCUAUUAUGUUUUGACAUAUAUAGUGCACAUCUCUUUAUGAACUUAACCAAUGUUUGAAGAACUUUGUAUUAUUGUAAGUUCUAAUCAUCCCUUCUUCUUUUUUUAAUAAUUCUAUUGUUAAUUGUAAUGCACUUUUAUGUAUAUUGUACAUGGUUGGAUAAGGUAUUUAUUUAAAAUGUUUUGAAAACUUUAAUAGUGUUGUGUCCAUUGAUAUUGGCUAUUUUGCAUAUGGUAGUUGGUUGGAUAAGAUGCUUGCACCUCAAGACAAUGUUAAUAAAGUCAACAGCAACUUAACGAGCAAAGUAGAUAUAGAAGAAUAGUUUUGCCUAAAUUCAACAGAUAGUUCAAUGAGUUUGGCAAGAUAUGUAUAUAAAUUAUAUGUAAUUUUUAUUUAUUUGUAUCUUUCAUAUUGGUUAUGUGCACAUAUAAUUGUUGCAUUAUUUUUAACUAUUUUAAUUUAGUAUUGCAGUAUUGUUGCUGGAUUAAGAAUGUUGAUAGUUGCCUCGUAGAUGGAGUUUUGAUGCUUGUGAAGAAUGUAAUUUUCUUUGUAAAUAAUUUUUUUGAAUGUACAAUGUAAUGGAUACCCAAUUUGGGAUAUGUCAAAAUGAUAGACUUUUUAUUGUGAUACAGGAAUUAUUAGUAAUUUGAAUUUUAAAUACUAUUUGUUGUACAAUAAAUUUAUGUACUUCUCCAGAGGCUUGAUAAUGCAGUUUUUGCUAAUCCAUAUUAGCUUAAUACGAAAAUUAGGCAGUAGAUUCAGAUAUUUCAAAAUAUUUUCUAAUUUAAAAUGACAUUAAUUAAUUUAAAAAUAUUACCUUUAUUAUUCAAAGAUGACUCCCAAUACAAAAGCUAGUCAUUUGUUCAAAUAAAGUUGACAGCUGCUAAAAAAAAGAGUCAUCUCUUUAGGAAUUAUGGAGUACAAAUAUAUUAUUUGAUGACUGCUAUUUUAUAAUAUGAGUCAUCUAUAAAGCAAUAUAAGAUAACUCGUAAAAGACGUCAUCUAUUAUUACCCACUUUAGAUGACUAUUACAAAGAUGACUUUUUUUAUCACGUCAUUUAAUACUUAUUUUAAGAGUCAUCUUUAUCAUUUAUUGUAGUAGUGUUCAUAGAGUUCAAGCAAAAGACAGAUAUCUAAAUAUUUAUUCAAAUACUUGAUUAAGAAUUUCUAAAGUAAUCCAAUUCGUUCGCCUUGAACAAAAUCAUUAAUGGCACUACCUUAUCUAAAGUUAAGCACUUUUUAACUGGUGGACCAAAUGUGUAGCAUAAAAGACCAGACAACAUCACAAAAGCCCCGAUUUGAUAAAACAUCAUGAAAAACAACACAACAAAGGAUUCUAAAUUCUCAACAAUAUUUACUAAUAAACCUUUCAACAUUUCAGUUUAAGAAUUAAUGAGCUACCUACUAGAAAACUAGCAUAAACAACACUCAAACAUACACAAAACAAUCUAGUUCUUUCUAGUUCAAGCAAAUUAAAAAAAAAACUCUGGAAGAUAUAAGAUUCCCAAGCAUUGUGGAUUUAAUUCUAUAUGUCAACUAGACUAAGGCCAUUAAAGUGGGAUGGCUUCUUUAAUAACAUACAUUAAAGUCUAUAUGUCAACUAGACUAAGGCCAUUAAAGUGGGAUGGCUUCUUUAAUAACAUACAUUAAAGUCAAGAAGUACCACACAUAGUACAAAGUGUGAUGUCCAGGCUUUUAUAUGUAUGAAAGAUGAAUUUAAAUGCUUUGGCUCAUUGUCUGCAGCUAUUUUCUGUAGCUAUUAUAAUCUUGAUCGUAUCUUACGAUAUAUAUAUAUAUAUAUAUAUAUAUAUAUAUAUAUAUAGAUAAAUAUUUAGCACCACCACUGGAUUUCUAUUUUGAUUGUGUACACAAUAUUCUGGUUCUGAUUAUGUUCUUAGUAGGGUCAUUGGAAGUAUAGGUGAUACUAUGUGACAUGAGUUAACUUUUUUUUUUAUUGUGUAUAUAUGAUAUACAAUUUGUUUUCGUGAUUAAUUACGCUUUUGAAAUUCUAAAUAAAUUAUGAAUUUAUAUUCUACUAUAAAAUGCAUUCUAUAAAAUUUAUGAUUUUUAAUACAUGUUUUGAUAAGAAAAGGGCUUGCAAUAUUUUUUGAACUUGAUAACUAUAGUGAGUGGCAAUGGUUUUACUUACCAAGUUGACAGCGCACUCCUCGUCAUUACUUUUUGGAGAUUGAGUAACUUGUUGAGAGGUGCGCUUAUCUUUGGACCUAUAAAUUUAUUUAUUUUUGUUAGUAGAAUAAGAGGAGAAUGAACGUUUGUUUCCUUUAAGUUUGUUUAUCUUCUGAACUUGCAAUUGGAGAGUUUUGAGACUUUGUUAUAUUUUUGGCUUUGGAAAAAGGAAAAUCCUUAGUAUUAGGCUAGUUGUUGUGCAAAUUUUAUUGAACUUGCAAGCGCACGAAUCUAUUGUAGAAUACAUUAAUGGUGACGAGUGUCGAUCCUACGAGGAGGUGGAUUUUAAUUAUAUGUAGAAUUAACUUUCUAUGAGGGUGAUUGGAUUUGUGGUGAAAAUGAUUUGGAAUAUUCUAAAAUUAAAAUUAAAAUGAUGAGAAUAAAUUGAAGAGGAAACUAUUAUAAUUGAAGCGCUUGGGUAUCUGGAUCCGCAACAACAUGCACCAUGUGUUAAAUAUUUCUUAUUAAUGCCAAUUAAAUCAUGAGGGGGAUUUCCACUCCUCAUAAACCACACUCUAAUUAAUAUGGUGGUAAGGGCUUAUCGUGCCAAAUAAUAAUAACCUUGUACUAGGGAGCCGGUGAAACCAAAGCGGUAUCUAGACAAGAUUAUUACUAUUUGUCGACGAAAAGUCAAAACAUCCACAAAAAUUAAAAGGGAAGAGAAAAUAAAUUCACCAAAUAAAGCCCAUGGCACAUGUUGAGACUUCACCUUGAACUCAAGUUUGAAAGAAAAUUAGCUACUCAUAAUUGAACUAGGGGUAAAAUGGGAAUUUAUUAAAAUACAUAGAAAAUACAAGAUGGAGAAGGAAUUACAGAAAAUGGAGCUCAACAAUGAAUUCAGAGAUGCCAAAUUCAGGGGAGAGAGCCCCCUUUUUAUAGAUACACUUGAGUAAAUCAUGACCAUCGAAUUAAAAACAUUUUAGACGCUCAGGAUUGCGCCACGUCAUCAGUCAACAGUACGCGGUUUGACCACGUGGUUUGAAUAGUGACACGGUUUGACCACGCGGUUUGAAUAUUGAUGAAGUUUGAACAAUGACGUGGUUUGGUUGAAAAUAAUCCUGUGUAUAUGCAUGUACCGUACGUACGAUUUUUGGUCCACUAACAUGCUGCCACGUCACCGAUCAACAGUGCAUAAGAAUUUUGUUCAAUAGAAUCGUGACAGCUCAUCAGUCAAUGCCACAUCAUCAGUCAAUGCCACAUCAUCAUUCCGUAUAUGUGAACAAUGUCGUGAACAGUAACGUAGACAAUACCGUACAUGUGAACAGUGACAUUUUUCCUUUUAUACUCCUCCUAAGGUGUUCGACUGUCCUGAGUUCAAAAGUGAUGUUCGUUUUGUUGUCUGAUCUCUCGUUCAUUGUGAAAUGAUCAUGAUGCCCCUAAAAUACAUAAAAUACUUAAUUAAAAUAAAACACACAUAAUUAAAUCAUAAGAGGUUUAAAUACAUAAAAGUAAGGGUGUUAGUAAGACUUGAAAUGUAAAAUGACGAUUUUCUCCUUUAUAAAUAUACAUUUUCUAACACGCAACACACCCCUCAACCAGCUUAUUGCUAGUCCCUAGCAAAUAAAGCGAAAACAAAAUUCAAACCCAAAAUGAUUUUUUUUAAACACUCGUGUUUAUUUUAUCAGACUAAUGAUAGUAAUCAAAUAAAAAUAUAAGCAUUAUCUCCAGUCCACAGAAACUUCACACCCACAUCAACUAUCCACAUAAAUCAGCCCAGUAGACUUUGUCACAACUACUUUAAAAAAUGACAUGUCAAAUCCCAAAAUCUCACUAGAAGUAGUGACACUCUUACAAGGAAAUUAAACCCAAUAAAAAUAGUCACUUCAGUGAAUGCUAAAUUUGAGAGAAAAUAAUAAAGAAAUGAUAUCACACACUCUCACCAAAAUGAAAGAAAUAUGCCCACAGCUUAGAAAUAACAUGAUCUUAAGUCAAACAAAAAUGCUAGUCAACCCAAUUUAUUUAUUUUUUCUUCUUUUUUUUAUGCACCACUACAUCUUUUUAGCCCAUAUAACUAGCUUCUACUUCAGACUAUAGCUCCCUAAAAUCAGGAAAGACUUUUAUUAGGAUGUAACGUAGGCUAAGGACAUGGCUAACAAAUGAAGGAAAAUAGGAAAAAACAAAAUAUAUGUUUAAGGAAAAGUAGAAAUCUUUUGGAAAUUACAAGGUGGAUUUCACCUAUUAUUUUUUUUCUUUUUUUUUUAAACAACAAAUUUUUUUUUCUUUUGUUUGGCACAAUUUCACUAAACAAAAUAAUUAUUUACAUUUUUCUCAAACAUAAAUAGGUGAUGGAACUUGUAAGAUAUCGGGUAAUACUCCAAAUUGGAGUGGGUCAAGAUGAUAGGUUUGACAAAGAAAUUUUUUUUUUAAAGGCUCAAAAGGGUUAACUAUGGAUUUUUCACAAAUGGGAUGGCUAGAAAGGCUCAAACGGGUCAAAGAUGGCUUUUCCAUCGUCUUUUAGGGCUCCAAAUAAUCUUCCAUAUCUACUAGUUAGAUGGACCUCAAGAUGUAGUAACACACAUUUUUUUCUUCUUUUUUUUUCUAUCUUUAUUUUUUUUUUCUUUUUAGAGGGUUGACUUAAAAGAAAUCUAGAGAUCGUAUAUAAAAUAGUAAACUGCUAAGCUGUAUGAAGAAUGGGUAAAAUGAGUUAUUCUCCAAGAAAAAUGACAAGCUCAAAAACUCACUUGGUAUUUAUUAUGAUAUGUGCAUUCCUUCAAGUAACUCAUAUUUAUCUCCGACAUCAACAUAUAGAAUAGCAAACAUAGCAUAACAUUACUUAAGACUAAAGAUAAUACAAAUACUAAAAUUUGGAAGUCAUCAUAUCAUCCAAUAAAAAAAAAUCACACAAUGUUUUUUUUUAAAAUGACAGUCUACCCCCCAACCUAUUCUAAACAUGAAAAGAAAAUAUGCAUGCAGAAAUGUGAAAAAUGAUGCCGAAAAGCUAAUUAGAAAAGUUACACUUAAAAUGAUAGAAAAAGAAAAUGGUUUUUUUUUUUUAACGAAGAUGCGUUUCUAGAGGCACUACACUCCAUAUUCAGCCAUCUUCGACUCAAAAAUUUGAAAGUGUAUAUUUAUAAAGGAGAAAUUAAACAGAAGAACAAAAAUGAUUGUCAAAACUUAAUAAAUAAAAAGAAAAUGUCUGGAAUUUUUUUUGUUUUAUUUAUUUAUUUAUUUUUUAUUUUUUUUUCAAACGAAGAAGAUGCGUUUCUAGAGUCACUACACUCCAUAUUCAGUCAUCUUCAACACAAAAAAACUAGCCACGGUUAGUCACUACAGCAAAAAAUUAGUAAAAACUUAACCAAGAUUCCACAAUUGUCGACUAUUCCCUCCCCCCAACCAGAACGAAACAUUGUCCUCAAUGUUUUAAAGGAAAGAAGUAGAGUUUAGAAGACAUCACCUGACUGGUGUAACACAGAAGAAAAUAUUUACAAGCGGAGAGUUAAAUCUAAUUUGUACUUCUUACUGCGGCUACUAUUACCAUCAUUAUUUGGACGCUCUAACAUAAAGGUCCAGGGGUCUGGCUUCGAUCUAUAAGCUUGUAACAGAUCAAGUAACUCAUUAGCAGUAUGAGCACAAAUAAAAAGCUUUUUCCCUGUGGAAUGAAUGAAAUAGGUUUUUAUUGCAUGGUUAAGAAAUGCGAUGAAACCAUCAUAAAAGUUAUUGACAUUUAGCAAACCAAUGAGUUUCUGGUGAAUGUGCAGAUAGGCCUAAGAUGCUAAUGUGAUAAGUGCCUCUAGAGUUGUAAGAUCUCCUGGUAAGAAAAUAAAAGCAUCAGCAUGAUUAAGCAUUUCAGUUAUUCUUUCUUGCAUACCUAAGACGACUAACUCUUCUCCAAUUGGUGAGUCAGAAAAACUGCCCAAAGGUUUUAGGGCUCUUAGGAUGAUGCCUAACACUUGGCUUCCUCUGAUAAAAGCAGCUUCUGAGACCAAUUUUGAUAACCCUCAGUUACGUCCUCCAUACACCAAGUGUAAUUUUCUCUCUGCUAUACUUCGACCAAGAUCUAUGGUUGCUUCAACGAACUCUUUAUGUUUGCCAUAGUUAAAUCCAUAAAGUACACAAAUGUUCUUGAAUUGUUUAUUGAGAGUAGCUGCCAUUGGGAUACUUCUCAAAAACAAUUUGUGAGUGCUUAACAAAAAGUCAUUUUUAAGAAUCUUGGUGACAGUGGGUCACAGCUGUGUAUGAGGUAGCAUGUCAGUGUCAAUUAACGCGUAAAGCACAUGGCUCGCGAGUCAAAAAGGAAAUAGUAAAAAGAAAAAGAAACAAUGAUAAAAUAAAAUUAUUAAAGACAAUAAUGUAAAUGAUAAAACAAUAGUGAAAUAAAAUAACAAUAAAGUAAAAGGAUAUUUAUAGGUAGUUGCGACUGUGGCUCACAUCUUCCUCUGGUUUUACAUUCAGAAACGGCUCGAAUGCCCUCUAUGGGUCGAGCAUAGGCUUCCCAUCCAGUUUUCUUAUAAACUGGCAAAUACGGUCGUUUAUAGUCAGAUUCCUGAGACUAUAUUGUGCAUGCUCUUUCUGGAAUAAAGGCCAUAACCAGAGAAUCGUUCCUUGUACAUAUCCACUGGGAUGCGUUUCAAGAGACAAAAUGAUAUCAUCCAAUGACUCCUUAUUCAAGCCAUCCUUAAUGAAUUGAAUCUUAUCUUCCCUGUUAUCAGACACCAUUCCUAAAGAACAUGGUUUUUUAUUGCAUCUCAUUCUGGCACACUUAUGACAAGCAACAGAAAUUCUUCGAACUCGUCGUUUUCUUGCAUAAUUUCCUUUACCACAACCAGACAUGUAUGCAAUAAAUUUUGGAGGCAAAUCACCUGCCAAUCGUACUUUGGCCUCGAUUAACCAGUGAAUGUCAGUAGGUAUGUUAUUCCUCAUAAGCAAUCGCAUGCGUUCGGACCGAACUUUAUGGAUUGUAAGGAGGGCAUUCUGAGGAAGUGAAGGGAAUCAAUUGUGAAGCAUUACUAAAAUCUCGUUUCUACCCAUACCUUCGCCGCAAAAUAUCAGUUAUUAUGGAAAACUGAAAUAACCGACUUGAUUGUCACAGAGUACCGUUAUCCGCCACUUCACCGGGGUAACAAACUAAAGCACACAAACAAAGAAAAACAAAUUAAAACACAUAAAGAAAAUUACAAUCGUCCUCUUAUUGAAUUUACCUCAAGCCCCAACUCGAUGUUGUAGACAUCUCUCUCAAUGUCUCUGAGUUGGCUUUCUAAAUCCUCAACAUGGGAUACUAACUCUUCUGGUUGCAGAGCCCAAAUAUGAUGUGUUUUACAAAAUCGAAUCUACCUUUUAAGAUGAGAUUUUACACAUUGAAGUGGUCUAAGAAUUUCCAAGAGGAACUGUUAAAUAGUUAAACAAACACACUUAUGUAAAAAUAAUUUCAAUUAGCGAAAGAAUAGUAAAAAGAAAGCAAAAAAUCAAAUCACCGAAAAGAAAGAAAAAUCUCAAUUCAAAUCUAGUGGGUCACUCAAAUUUAUUUCAGUAUCCUCUCCAUAUGGUUGGUACUCUAGAUAUGGCUUUAAUCUUUGACCAUUAACUUUAAACAUGAUGCCGUUCUUUGGGUCUUUAAUUUCAAUUGCCCCAUAUGGAAAAACAGUGUGAACAAUAAAAGGGCCAGACCAUUGAGAGCGUAACUUACCUGGGAAUAGGUGCAAGUGAGAAUUGAAUAAAAGCACUUUCUGACCUGGAGUGAAAGAUUUUCUCAUAAUUUACUUGUCAUGAAAGACUUUCAUUCGCUGUUUGUAAAUCUGCCAGCCGUAAUCUUCUUUCUGAGCUAGCUUACAACAUGUCAAAGUUGAAUUUCUUGAUGGCCCAGUACGCACGAUGCUUGAGUUCUACAGGUAGGUGGCAAGCUUUCCAUACACUAGCCUGUAGGGUGACAUUCCAAUCGGGGUUUUGAAAGCCAUUCUAUAUGCCCAUAAUGCAUCAUCGAGUCUUAAUGACCAAUCUUUUUUGUCCGGCCUCACCGUUUUUCUAAUAUGUGCUUUAUUUCUCGAUUGGAGAUCUCAACUUGGCCACUGGUUUGCGGAUGAUAUGGGGUCGCCACUUUGUGAGUGAUGGAAUACUUUGUCAAAAGAGCUUUGAAUGCUUUGUUACAAAAGUGGGCACCACCAUCACUGAUUAUUGCUCGAGGGAAUCCAAAGCAUGAAACAAUGUUACUUUUCAAAAACCUUAUCACCACCUUGUGAUCAUUGGUUCUACAUGGAAUUGUUUCUACCCAUUUUGAUACGUAGUCAACAAUAACCAAUAUGUAUUGAUGGCUAAAAGAAGGGGAAAAAUGUCCUAUGAAGUCGAUGCCCCAUACAUAAAAAAUCUCAACCACUAAAAUUAGAUUUAGUGGGCCAUCAUAUUCCUUCGUGUAAUGCUACCCAUUCGUUGACACCUAUCACAUGAAAAACAGAAAGUGUAAGCUUUUUGAAAUAUAGUUGGCCAAUAGGAACCACAUUGUAAAACGUUAGUAGCUGUUUUCUUAGCACUGAAAUGGCCUCCACAAGUUUGUUCAUGGCAGAAUGAAAGAAUAUUAUGAAUUUUCUUCUCUGGGACACAUCGUCUAAUUUGAUCUGCACAAUACUUGAACAGAUAAAGGUCAUCCCAAAAGAAAUUCUUUAUUUCCGUAAAAAAAUUGGCUUUAUCCUGCUUGGUCCAAUGCUCUGGAAGUUGACCUGUAACAAGAUAAUUAACGAUAUCAGCAUACCACGAUAAUACUUCCACACUCAUCAAUUGUUCAUCUGGAAAUGACUCAUUCAAUGUUAAUAGUUAUGUAAUUGUGUCAAAAUGGAGACGAGAGAGAUGGUCUGCCACAAUAUUUUCUGUGCCUUUCUUAUCUUUGAAUUCCAAAUCAAAUUCCUGCAAAAGUAACACCCAAUGAAUUAGCCUAGCUUUUGCAUCUUUCUUUGUGUGAAGAUAUUUAAGAGCAGCAUGAUCUGUGAAUACAAUUAUUUUACAACCAAUUAGAUAAGAUCAAAAUUUCUCUAAUGCAAACACUAUUGCUAGCAUUUCUUUUUCAGUAGUUGAAUAGUUCAACUGUGCAUCAUUCAAUGUCAUACUAGCAUAGUAAAUAACAUGAGGAAUUUGAUCAACUCUUUGUCCUAAUACUGCUCCUACUGCAUAAUCAGAUGCAUCACACAUAAGCUCAAAUGGUAAGUUCCAGUUUGGGAGCUGAAUGAUGGGUGAUGAUGUCAGCAACUGCUUUAAUUUUUCAAAUGCCACAAGACAUGAGUCAUCAAAGACAAAAGGUACAUCCUUAGCAAGUAGAUUGCAUAAGGGUCUANNNNNNNNNNNNNNNNNNNNNNNNNNNNNNNNNNNNNNNNNNNNNNNNNNNNNNNNNNNNNNNNNNNNNNNNNNNNNNNNNNNNNNNNNNNNNNNNNNNNGAUUCUGAUGAUGGAAUGAGUUGCUUCUCUGAUGGUGCUAGUUGCUCACUCUGACUUCCAUUUAUUAGUGUCCAUAGAUGGUGCUGAGUCAAGCAGGGCGUUGAGCUCAUCAACCGAUCUGUCAAUAUCAAAAUCAAAACCAAAGUGAGUUAAACAUGUCUGUAAAGGAUCAUCACUAAGGUUUGAAAGAAAAGUGUCAUCAACUAAUGCUUCGAUUAAAUCCACAUCAACAAUUCCAUCAUCUGCACUGUGAGGUUGUUUGGCAAUGUUGAAGAUGUUCAGCUCCAUAGUCAUGUUGCCGAAGGACAACUGCAUAUUUCCAGUUCUACAUUGAAUGUGAGCAUCCGCAGUUGCCAAGAAAGGUCGGCCUAGAAUAAUGGGGAUGUGCUUCCUUGAAUCCUGUAUUGGUUGAGUGUCAAUUACAAUGAAGUCAACAGGAAAAUAAAAUUUGUCUACCUGGAUAAGCACGUCCUCCACAAUACCACGAGGUAUUUUUGUGGACCGAUCUGCAAGUUGUAACACCACUGGAGUUGGGUGUAAUUCUCCCAGUCCAAGUUUCACAAACACUGAAUAAGGUAACAGAUUUACACUAGCUCCUAAAUCCAACAAAGCAUUCUCAAUUGUGUGGUUCCCUAUACUACAUGAGAUAGUGGGGGAGCCUGGGUCUUUGCAUUUUAAAGGAAUUUUAUGUUGGAGUAUAGAACUAACGUUUUCUGUUAAAAAUGCCUUCUUUUGAACAUGCAUAUUUCUCUUUUUAGUACAAAGGUCUUUAAGAAACUUGGCAUAAGAUGGAACUUGCUUUAUAGCAUCAAGUAAAGGGAUGUUAACACUUACCUGUUUGAAGAUUUCGAGAAUCUCACCUGUGGAUUUUCCCUUCUUGCCUUUCGCUAACCUCUGAGGAAAUGGAGCUUUCGGAAUGUAUUCUCGUGGGUUGGUUUCUUUUUUCUCCUCCGGUGAUGAUUCCUCAACAUUCACAGGUACAAUUUGAUUUUCUUUUGUCACCGGCAUCUCCACUUUGUUGUCGACUUCCUUUCCUUUUCGCAAUGUCAUUACUGCUUUGACUUCUCCAUGCUGCUGUGGUGAACUGGUACUUGCUUCAUGCACUCCUUUAAGAUUAGGCACUGGUUGACUUGGAAAUUUUCCUUUCUCAACAGUCAUUGCCAAGGUCUGAACUGAAGAAGCGAGUUGUCCCACCAUCUUCUCGAGGCUUGAAACUGAUUGAGCUUGUGAGUUGAAGCCCGCUCUCAACUCAUUUCGUAGUCCAUCAAUGGUGCGGUUCUGUUGCUCAAUCGUGGAGUGAGUAACAUUCCUAAAAUUCUGGAAUACAUCCUCCCAUGGUCUAGGUUGAGAGUGGUUCUGGUUCUGAUUGUAUGGUCUAAAUGGUGGCUGAGAGGCUUGAGGAUUUUGUGGAAUUGGUGGAGCUGGAGCUGUUGGUCCAUUCUGUUGGAAUCCUUGAGACCAUGAAAAAUUGGGGUGGUCUCUCCAUCCAGGGUUAUAUGUGUUGGAGUAUGGGUUGUAAUUUGAUGGCUUUCUCAUUACACCUAUGGCAUUGGCUUGAUCUGAGUAUGAGUCAUGGUCAUGUGGCUCUGUUGAUUUAGCAGUCGAUAAUGAUGCUAAUUUGUCGAGAGAGACUUCAUUAUCGCUUUGACUUCUUUAUUUCUGAACUUGAUUCGCCAAUUUGAACCUCNNNNNNNNNNNNNNNNNNNNNNNNNNNNNNNNNNNNNNNNNNNNNNNNNNNNNNNNNNNNNNNNNNNNNNNNNNNNNNNNNNNNNNNNNNNNNNNNNNNNNNNNNNNNNNNNNNNNNNNNNNNNNNNNNNNNNNNNNNNNNNNNNNNNNNNNNNNNNNNNNNNNNNNNNNNNNNNNNNNNNNNNNNNNNNNNNNNNNNNNNNNNNNNNNNNNNNNNNNNNNNNNNNNNNNNNNNNNNNNNNNNNNNNNNNNNNNNNNNNNNNNNNNNNNNNNNNNNNNNNNNNNNNNNNNNNNNNNNNNNNNNNNNNNNNNNNNNNNNNNNNNNNNNNNNNNNNNNNNNNNNNNNNNNNNNNNNNNNNNNNNNNNNNNNNNNNNNNNNNNNNNNNNNNNNNNNNNNNNNNNNNNNNNNNNNNNNNNNNNNNNNNNNNNNNNNNNNNNNNNNNNNNNNNNNNNNNNNNNNNNNNNNNNNNNNNNNNNNNNNNNNNNNNNNNNNNNNNNNNNNNNNNNNNNNNNNNNNNNNNNNNNNNNNNNNNNNNNNNNNNNNNNNNNNNNNNNNNNNCACACUAGGUUUUAGUUUAAAACUCCUAGCAGCUACAUUUGGGUAUCUUAUACAUGAUGUGCUCAAAUUUGCUAAAGGACUGAAAUAAUCCUUAAAUGGCCUCUCCUGUGGUUGCAAAUCCAUUUUAUUUUUUACUUGUUUGUGUGUGCGAAGAGUUUUUUCUAAUUCAAGGUCUAUAGGUUCAAGAUUAGGUAAUAAUGACCUACGACCAUGCAUGCAAAUAAAUAAAAUAAAAAUAAAGAUGCAAACAAAACAAAAAAUAAAGAUGGGAACAAAACAAAUAAAAAUAAAGAAGAGGGAGAAAUUACGAUACUAACCUUAUUGCGCUAUUACAACCUUUCUAUAAAAAUACACAAAAAUAAAUACGUGAAAGAAAUUAACUAAAAAUUAAAUUAAUAAGAUAAACAAAAAAAAAUUACAAAGAAAAAUAAAUGGAAAAUUAAAUUACAGAAUUUUAAAGAAGAGAAAAAGAAAAGAAAUACUAACCUUUAAUUUUAGAUUCACUUUUUUUUUUUUAAUUUAAUAAAAAAAAUACAAGAAAACAAAUAAAAGAGAUUAUUCAAAAAAUAUUAAUUCUAUGAAUUAAAAUUACUUACCUCCCCGGCAACGGCGCCAAAAACUUGUUGUGCAAAUUUUAAUGUACUCGCAAGCGCACGAAUCUAUUGUAGUGUAGAUCAAUGGUGACGAGUGUCGAUCCCACGAGGAGGUGGAUUUUAAUUAUAUAUAGAAUUAAUUUUGUAAAUGGGUGGUUGGAAUUAUGGUGGAAAUGAUUUGGAAUAUGCUAAAACUUAAAUUAAAAUGGCGAGAAUAAAUUCUAAAACUGGAAUUAAAAUGGCGAGAAUGAAUUGAAGAGGAUUCUAUUGAAAUGACGUACUUGGGUAUCUGGAUCCGUAUCAACAUGCAUCAUGGGCUAAAUAUUCCUUAUUAAUACCAAUUAAAUCGUGAGGGGGGAAUCCACACCGCAUGAACCACGCUCUAAUCAAUAUGGUGCUAAGGGCUUAUCGUGCCAAAUAAUAAUAACCUUAUACUAGAGAGCCGGUGUAACCAAGGCGGUACUAGACAAGAUUAGUAUUAUUUGUCGACGAGAAGUCAAAACAUCCACAAAAACUAGAGGGGAAGAGAAAGUAAAUUUACCAAAUUAAGCCCAUGACACAUGUUGAGACUUCACCUUCAACCCAAGCUUGAACGGAAAUUAGCUACUCAUAAUUGAACUAGGGGCAAAAUGGGAAUUUAUUAAAAUACGAAGAAAAUACAAGAUGGAGAGGGAAUUACAGAAAAUGGAUCCGAAAAAUGGAUUCAGAGAUCUCAAAUUAGGGGGGGGAGGCCCCCUUUUUAUAGAUACAUGGAGUAAAUCAUGGCCAUCGGAUUAAAAACAGUUUGGACGCUCAGGAUUGCGCCACGUCAUCAGUCAACAGUCCACGUUUGACCACGCGGAUGAACAGUAACACGGUUUGACCCGACUUUGAACAGUAACGCGGUUUGACCCGGAUGAACAGUAACGCGGUUUGGUUGAAAAUAAUCCUGUGUGAUGCAUGCACCGUACGCGAGAUUUUUCGUCCACUGAUAUGCUGCCACGUCACCAUCAACAGUACAUAAGAAUUUUAGUCCAACAGGAUCGUGACACCUCAUCAGUCAAUGCCACAUCAUCGGUCAAUGCCACGUCAUCAUCCGUCUAUGUGAACAGUGUCGUGAACAGUAACGUAUACAGUACCGUACACGUGAAUAGUACCGUACAUGUGAAUAGUGCUAUUUUUCCUUUUAUGCUCCUCCUAAGGUUUUCGACCGUCCUGAGUUCAAAAGUGAUGUCCGUUUUGCCGUCUGAUCUCUCCUUUAUUGUGAAAUGACUAUAAUGCCCCUAAAAUACAUAAAAUACUUAAUUAAAAUAAAACACAUGUAAUUAAAUCACAAGAAGGUUAAAUAUAUAAAAGUAAGGGUUGUUAGUAAGACUUAAAAUGUAAAAAGACGAGUUUAGAAGACAUCACCUGACUGGUGUAACACAGAAGAAAAUAUUUACAAGCGGAGAGUUAAAUCUAAUUUGUACUUCUGUUAAAUCUAAUUUGUACUUCUUACUGCGGCUACUGUUACCAUCAUUAUUUGGACGCUCUAACAUAAAGGUCCAGGGGUCUGGCUUCGAUCUAUAAGCUUGUAACAGAUCAAGUAACUCAUUAGCAGUAUGAGCACAAAUAAAAAGCUUUUUCCCUGUGGAAUGAAUGAAAUAGGUUUUUAUUGCAUGGUUAAGAAAUGCGAUGAAACCAUCAUAAAAGUUAUUGACAUUUAGCAAACCAAUGAGUUUCUGGUGAAUGUGCAGAUAGGCCUAAGAUGCUAAUGUGAUAAGUGCCUCUAGAGUUGUAAGAUCUCCUGGUAAGAAAAUAAAAGCAUCAGCAUGAUUAAGCAUUUAAAUUAUUCUUUCUUACAUACCUGAGACGACUAACUCUUCUCCAGUCGGUGAGUCAGACAAACUGCCCAAAGGUUUUAAGGCUCUUGGAAUAAUGCCUAACACUUGGCUUCCUCUGAUAAAGGCAGCUUCUGAGACCAAUUUUGAUAACCUUUAGUUACCUCCUCCAUACACCAAGUGUAAUUUUCUCUCUGCUAUACUUUAACCAAGAUCUAUGGCUGCUUCAACGAACUCUUUAUGUUUGCCAUAGUUAAAUCCAAAAAGCACACAAAUAUUCUUGAAUUAUUUAUUGGGAGUAGCUGCUAUUGGAAUACUUCUCAAAAACAAUUUGUGAGUGCUUAACAAAACAAAUCAUAUUUAAAAAUCUUUGUGACAGUGGGUCACAGUUGUGUAUGAGGAAGUAUGUUAGUGUCAAUUAACGCGUAAAGCACAUGGCUCGAGAGUAAAAAAGGAAAUAGUAAAAAGGAACAAGUAAAUAGUGAUAAAAUAAAAUUAUUAAAGACAAUAAUGCAAAUGAUAAAACAACAAUAAAGUAAAAGGAUAUUUACAGGUAGUUAUGACUGUGGCUCACAUCUUCCUCUGAUUUUACGUCCAGAAGCGGCUUGAACGCCCUCUAUGGGUCGAGGAUGGGCUUCCUAUCUAGUUUUCUUAUAAACUGGCAAACAGGGUCGUUUAUAGUCAGAUUCCCGAGACUAUAUCGUGCAUGCUCUUUCUGGAAUAAUGGCCAUAACUGGAGAAUCGUUCUUUGUACAUAUCCACUGUGAUGCGUUUCAAGAGACAAAAGGAUAUCAUUCAAUGACUCCUUAUUCAAGCCAUCCUUAAUGAAUUGAAUCUUAUCUUCCCUGUUAUCAGACACCAUUCCUAAAGAAUAUGGUUUUUUAUCGCAUCUCAUUCUGACACACUUAUGACAAGCAAUAAAAAUUCUUCGAGCUCUUCGUUUUCUUGCAUAAUUUCCUUUACCACAACUAGGCAUGUAUGCAAUAAAUUUUGAAGGUAACUCACCAACCAAUUGCACUUUGACCUUGAUUAACUAGCGGAUGUCAGCAAGUAUGUUAUUCCUCAUGAGCAAUCACAUACGUUCGGACCGAGCUUUAUAGAUUGUAAAGAGGGCAUUCUGAGGAAGUGAAGGGAAUCGAUUGUGAAGCUUUGGUAAAAUCUCGUUUCUGUCCAUACCUUCGCCUUAGAAUAUUAGUUAUUACGGGAAACUGAAGUAACCGACUUGAUUGUCACGGAGUACCGUUAUCUGCCACUUUACCGGGGUAACAAACUAAAGCACACAAACAAAGAAAAACAAACUUAAAACACAUAAAGAAACUUACAAUCGUCCUCUUAUUGAAUUUACCUCAAUCUCCAACUGGAUGUUGUAGACACCUCUCUCAAUGUCUCUCAUUUGGCUUUCUAAAUCCUCAACAUGGGAUACUAACUCUGGUGGUUGCAGAGCCCAAAUAUGAUGUGUUUUACAAAAUCGAAUCCGCCUUUUGAGAUGAGAUUUUACACGUUGAAGUCGUUUAAGAAUGUCUAGGAGGAACUGUUUAGCUAUGACACUCAUGAUUAACAAUGAUAAGAGAAAACUUAAUGUUUAAAGAAAUACACUUAUGCAAAAAUAAUUUCAAUUAGCAAAAGAAUAGUAAAAAAAAAAAUCAAAUCAUCAAAAAGAAAGAAAAAAAACUCAAUUCAAAUAUGGUGGGUCGCUCAAAUUUAUUUCGGUGUCUUCUCCAUGUGGUUGGUACUCUAGAUAUGGCUUUAAUCUUUGACCAUUAACUUUAAACGUGACACCGUUCUUUGGAUCCUUAAUUUCAAUUGCCCCAUAUGGAAAAAUAGUGUGAACAAUAAAGGGGCCAAACCAUCGAGAGCGUAACUUACCUAGGAAUAGAUGCAAGCGAGAAUUGAAUAAAAGCACUUUCUGACCUGGAGUGAAAGAUUUUCUCAUAAUUUACUUGUCAUGAAAGACUUUCAUUUGCUGCUUGUAAAUUUUGGCAUUUUCGUAUGCAUCAUUGCGAAUUUCUUUAAGUUCUGCCAGCUGUAAUCUUCUUUUUGAGCUAGCUUGCCUCAUGUAAAAGUUGAAUUUCUUGAUGGCCGAGUAUGCACGAUGCUCGAGUUCCACAGGUAGGUAGCAAGCUUUUCCAUACACUAGCCUGUAGGGUGACAUCCCAAUCGGGGUCUUGAAAGUUGUUCUAUACACCCAUAAUGCAUCAUCGAGUCUUAAUGACCAAUCUUUUAUGUCUGACCUCACCGCCUUUUCUCAUAUGUGCUUUAUUUCUCGAUUGGAGAUCUCAACUUGGCCACUGGUUUGCGGAUGACAUGGGGUCGCCACUUUAUGAGUGAUGGAAUAUUUUGUCAAAAGUGCUUUGAAUGCUUUGUUACAAAAGUGAGCACCACCAUCACUGAUUAUUGCUUGAGGGAAUCCAAAGCGUGAAACAAUGUUGCUUUUAAAAAAUUCUAUCACCACCUUGUGAUCAUUGGUUCUACACGGAAUUGCUUCUACCCAUUUCGAUACGUAGUCAACAACAACCAAUAUGUAUUGAUGGCCAAAAGAAGGGGGAAAGGGUCCCAUGAAGUCAAUACCCCAUACAUAAAAAAUCUCAACCACUAAAAUUGGAUUUAGUGACAUCAUAUUCCUUCGUGUAAUGCUCUCCAUUCGUUGACACUUAUUACAUGAAGACAGAAAGUGUAAGCGUUUAGUUGCUGUUUUCUUAGCACUGAAAUNNNNNNNNNNNNNNNNNNNNNNNNNNNNNNNNNNNNNNNNNNNNNNNNNNNNNNNNNNNNNNNNNNNNNNNNNNNNNNNNNNNNNNNNNNNNNNNNNNNNGUGCCAAUUAAAUCAUGAGGGGGGAAUCCACACCUCACAAACUACACUCUAAUCAAUAUGGUGCUAAGGGCUUAUCAUGCCAAAUAAUAAUAACCUUGUACUAGGGAGCCGGUGAAACCAGGGCGGUAUCUAGACAAGAUUAUUACUAUUUAUAGACAAAAAGUCAAAACAUCCAUAAAAAUUUGAAGGGAAGAGAAAAUACAUUUACUAAAUAAAGCCCAUGGCACAUGUUGAGACUUCACCUUCACCCCAAGCUUAAAAGAAAAUUAGCUACUCAUAAUUGAACUAGGGGCAAAAUGGAAAUUUAUUAAAAUACAUAGAAAAUACAAGAUGGAGAAGGAAUUACAGAAAAUUGAACUCAAAAAUGAAUUCAGGGAUACCAAAUUAGGGGGGAGAGCCCCCUUUUUAUAGAUACAUUGAGUAAAUCAUAGCCAUCGGAUUAAGAACAUUUCGGACGCUCAGGAUUGUGCCACAUCAUCAGUCAAUAGUACGAGGUUUGACCACACGGUUUGAACAGUAACGCGGUUUGGUUGUAAGUUAUCCUGUGUAUAUGCAUGUAAUAUACGCACAAUUUUUGGUCCACUGAUAUGCUGCCACGUCACAGAUCAACAGUACGUAAGAAUUUUAGUCCAAUAGAAUCGUGACACCUCAUCAGUCAAUGCCACAACAUCGGUCAAUGCCAUUUCAUUGAUCCGUCUAUGUGAAUAGUGUCGUGAACAGUAACGUAGACAGUACCGUACAUGUGAAUAGUAUCACACAUGUGAACAGUGUCAUUUUUCCUGUUAUGGUCCUCCUAAGAUUUUCGACUGUCCUGAGUUCAAAAGUGAUGUCUGUUUUGCUGUCUGAUCUCUCGUUCAUUGUGAAAUGACCAUGAUGCCCCUAAAUCACAAGAAGCUUAAAUAGAUAAAAGUAAAGAUGUUAGUAAGACUUGAAAUGUAAAAUGACGAUUUUCUCCUUUAUAAAUAUAUAUUUUCUAACACAACACUUGCAAUUGGAGAGUUUUGAGACUUUGUUAUAUUUAUGGCUUUGGAAAAAGGAAAAUCCUUAGUAUUAGGCUAGUGGAUUUGUUUGAAUAAACUUUGGCUCAGUUCUAAUUGAGGCUUUUGUGAAGGAUUAUUAUUUAUAAGUAACCUCCUUUACCGUAUGCUCCACACGUGUUGGAUUUAGGGUAUUACAAUUUGAGAAAAAGAGUAAUUAAAAUCAUGAAGAAGUUCAUUGUUCUCAUUCUUUUCUUCACUUUUUUUCUAUGUCUUAUGAAUCUUUCUCAAGGUAAUAUAGUAUCCCAAAGAGUUAUUUUUAAAUUUGUUUUAAUUUGAGAAUACUCACAUUUUAACGAUUUUUAUGUUUCUUUGCAAGAAAAGGACAACUAAAAUUCUAUACUAAACACAUGACAAUUCCUGGCGUUUGUCGCAAGGAUCCUAAGGUAGCAGAAUUCGUGUGCCUUAAAGCCUUCUUCGAUAAAUAUGGAGCAACAAAGAGCCUAGAUAAUUGUCUAUGCAAACCAUCAACUGUCAACCAGCCCAUCUGCCAGUGUGACAUUUUUGCGAUCCACCACCACCUAAACGAACUUAAUUAUGGUGUCCAAUAGUAUGAAGAAUGAAGAUCACUAAAUCCACGAUAUCGAUAUUAACCUAUUGUUAAAUCAUAGAUAGAUAAUGAUACGGUGGUUUGUAAUAAUAAAUCAUAAUAUUUACUUAAGUAAUUAAUCGCUAUGGUUGAGAAACAUUUGUAUAUGAAACAAUGGGUAAUUUCAUUACAAUGUCGGAUUAGUAAAAAGAAAAAUUGCUUUUAUACUAUUGAAUAUAAAUAAAUCCAGUCGAAUAAGUUUUCUUUGAAUCCUAAUAACCAUGUUAAAAACAAAACUUCUAAUUAAGAUAUAAAACUUUUUGUGUGUGCCUUUUUCUUCCCCCUUAAACAACUAAUAACUUAAGGCUAAAGUUUCAGUGUCGGGCCUCAAUGCCUAGCAUUGUGCCAAUUUUUAUUUGUAGCCGUUGGAUUCAAGUAAAAUGAGUCCAACGAUUGAGAUUAAAAUAAAAAUAAAAAGUAACGGGUUACUUGUUAAACGGUUGCUGAAAUCCAUUACGUUUUCCCUCCUUCAAAUCUCAAACAUCUCUUUCACCUCUCUUACUAUCACUCUUUGAAAUACUGAUUUGUCUCUUGGAUUGUUUACUAAUCACAUAAAAUCGAAGCUACCGUGUAACACACAACGAACAACAAGUCGAAUCCAUCAAUUAAUUGGUGUCAUCUUGAGUUGUUCUCUUUCAGUUUUUAGUUAAAGACAAGGUAAUGAUGAUUCUUGUGUUUUUGUGGUGACUAUUGAAAAUGAUAUGUGAAAGAAUUAGGGGUUUACGUGUUAUAUUAAAAUUUUGAUGAUAUGUGAAAUAAUUAGGGAUUUAUAGGCUGAUAGGUAGUGAGAAUUAUGAUGAUGACUUUAAGUUCCUCUUUUCUUUGCCUCUGAACUGUAUUAUAUCCCACAAGUGCCACUUACAUCAAUACGAUGUACCUCCAUGUCUUGAAAGGUAGUAUGACGAAUGAAGAUCACUAAAUCCACGAUAUCUAUACUAACCUAUUGUUAAAUCAUAGAUAGAUACUAAUACGGUGGUUUGUAAUAAUAAAUCAUAAUAUUUUACUUACUAUGGUCGAGAAAUAUUUAACUAAUUAGUUAUUGGCUUGAGAAAUAUAUGUAUAUAAAACAUGGGUAAGUUCAUUACUAUCUCGGAUUACUAAAAAAGAAAAAUUACUUAUACACUAUUGAAUAAAUCCGGUCAAAUAAUUUUUCCUUUAACCCUAAUAAUGAUGCUAAAAAAGAAAAAAAGAAAAACAAAUACUUCUAAUUAAGAUUUAGAACUAGUGUGUGCGAUUUUUUUUUAACAAUCAAUAACUUCAUUAUAAUUAAAGUGCGCACAAACGUUCUAAAAAGUCAUCCAGCCAAAUAACAAAAUUUAAAAGAGCUAACUUGGCUAGUACAUGGCUUGAGCUAUUGACAAUUACACGAAAUAUGAUGAAUUUGAAAAGCGGAUCGUUGUUCCAUGGGUUGUAAAAUAUUAGCAAUAACUUAGAAAAUACUAACUUUAAAAAUAGUAGCAACCCUAACAUACCCAUGACAAUCACACAUCACCGCACCUAAAUCCAUGACAUUAUGCGCACAAUCAACAGUGAUGAUGCCAGCCUCACAGUGAAACUUUGAGACCCACGUUCAGUUUAAGGUUUGAAUUUCCCAACAUAGUUUUUUUUUCCUUUUUUAAAAGCGGAUCAUUGGAUUUCACCCCAUUCCACAUAUUAAAUAUACUUGUUAUAUUCCUACCAAUAUAAGUAGUAAUCUCUAAGUACCUAUGACUAGACAAAUCCGUAAUGCAAGGAAUAAAUAAAUAACAAUAUUAUUGACGUACUGGUGUAAUAAUAAAAGCCCUAACAUUUUGUCAGUUGCAAUUAAAAUGCCUAGACAAAAAAGAAAAAAAUCAUCAAUUUCAUGUUAUUUGUUUCAGCAAUCUGAGAAAGCAAAAAUCACUUGUUGAAAAAGCUUAAUUGCUCACUUUUAGUAAUUUUAAUCUUUUGCAUUUGCUAAUUGCUCAAUCUCCAUAAUGUUCUUUCGCUUGUUAAAAGCUAUCAAAGAAAUGAUUUUAGCAAUCCAAGCGAUGGAUAGACCUUUCUAAACUUGCUCGUUUAUUUGGUUUUGGAUAUGGAAUUGAUGUUGUUUGUUGCCAAUGAAGAAAUUUGAUCAAAUUGUUUCUAAAAGAAUAAAAUUGUUAUUUUUUUUCUUUUGAAAAAGAUUAGUUGUUUGAUCACAUGAAAUUUAUAAUAUAUAUAAGUUUGCAAAAUGAUAGAGUCUAAAGGGAAAAAUCUUAUGUACUUUUUAGUAUUUUUGUACAAGAUAAAAUUGGAAUCAUUAAUAGGGUUUGGUGAGAUAAAAUGAGAUAAUCAAAUAUCAAUACUCUAAACGAGAUAAUUAGAUUCUUAGGCUUUCAUAGUUUUUUCUUUUUUAAUUCACUAAGCUUUUAUAGUUGGAACAUCUAAAUCAAAAGUAGAUGCAAAACUUGGCCAUAGAAAUUAGAACAUCCUUAAUUCAAAAGCCAAUACAAAGAUGUAUUCCUAGUAAGACAAAAACUUUUAAAGUGAUGAAAUUAGGGAAGCAUUGUGAUAUCCAAUUUUCGUAGGCGUACCAAGUUUAAUGAAAAUUUAAUUAAACAAACAAUGAGUAAAAAUAAAAUGCGUAAAAGUAAAGCACACAAGAAGAUUUUUACGUUAUUCACUACAUCCAUGGAGGCACGCUCAAAUAUCGAGUAAUUUGCUAGGCUCAAGAGAUUACAACUUGUUGAAACCUUACAGAAUAUGACUCCAUUUUAGUGAUUGCCACCAACUUAUUAUAAACUCACCAAGUGUUGAUAGGUGGCUUUUUAUCUAAAUUAAACCAUUAUUGGUGGUUUGUUGAUCUUGGAAUUGAGUUGAUAGCUCCACACUACAAGAAAAUAGGCAAUAGAUAACAGUAAAUAACUGUCAUAAAAUGGGAUGUAUGACAGACAACUUAUCUGUCAUCUAUGUCACUGUCAUUAAUUCAUGACAGAAUAUUUUCCGUCAUGAAUUCAUGAUGAUUUUUCACAGUCACGUAUCUGUCACACAAUAUUUUAAUGAAAAAUUAAAAUUAUUUAAAUUUUUGGCAUUUUAAAACUUUUUGGCUGUAAAUUGGUAUUAUCUGAAUAUUAAAAUUACUUAAAAAGCAUUAUUUUUUGAAUUGUAUUGUUAUUAUUAUUUGUGUUGAAUUAUUAUUAUUAUUAGAAUUCUCAGCAAAUUUGUUUUUAGAAUAAAUUUAUAAAUCUAAAAUAAAUACAAAACAUGAUAAAAAAAAUUAAAUCUAAAAUAAUCCAAUUAAUACAACCUGGAUAUCCAUUUAACCAUACAACCCAUUGGAUUUCUAUUUUGAUUGUGCACACAAUAUUCUGGUUCUGAUUAUGUUCUUAGCAGGGUCAUUGGAAGUAUAGGUGACACUAUGUGACAUGAGCUAACUUUCUUUUUAUUGUGUAUAUAUGAUAUACAAUUUAUUUUCAUGAUUAAUUACGCUUUUGAAAUUCUACUGUUACAACCUUUCUAUAAAAACACACUAAAUCAUAAUACAUGAAAUAAAUUAAAAAUAAAUUAAUAAGAUAAACAAAAAAAAUUACAAAGAAAAAAAAAUUAACUUGAAAAUUAAAUUACAGAAUUUUAAAGAAGAGAAAAAGAAAAGAAAUUCUUACCUCUAAAUUCAUAUUCACUUUUUUAAAAAAAAUUACAAGAAAACAAUUAAAAGAAAUUAUUUAUAAAAUUUAAUUCUACGAAUUAAAAUAACUUCCCUCCCUGGCAACGACGCCAAAAACUUGUUGUACAAAUUUUAUUGAACUCGCAAGGGCACGAAUCUAUUGUAGAAUAGAUCAAUUGUAACGAGUGUCGAUCCCACGAGGAGGUGGAUUUUAAUUAUGCGUAGAAUUAAUUUUCUAUGUGGGUGGUUGGAUUUGUGGUGAAAAUGAUUUGGACUAUCCUAAAAUUUGAAUUAAAAUGGCGAGAAUAAAUCGAAGAGAAAUCUAUUGAAAUGAAGCGCUUGGGUAUCUGGAUCUGCAUCAACAUGGAGCAUGGGCUAAAUAUUCCUUAUUAGUGCCAAUUAAAUCAUGAGGGGGGAAUCCACACCUCAUGAACCACACUCUAAUCAAUAUGGUGCUAAGGGCUUAUCGUGCCAAAUAAUAAUAACCUUGUACUAGGGAGCCGGUGAAAUUAGGGCGGUAUCUAGAAGAGAUUAUUACUAUUUGUCGACGAAAAGUCGAAACAUCCACAAAAAUUAGAAGGGAAGAGAAAAUACAUUUACCAAAUAAAGCCCAUGGCACAUGUUGAGACUUCAUCUUCACCCCAAGCUUAAAAGAAAAUUAGCUGCUCAUAAUUGAACUAGGGGCAAAAUAGAAAUUUAUUAAAAUAUGUAGAAAAUACAAGAUAAAAAAUGAAUUACAGAAAAUUGAACUCAAAAAUGAAUUCAGGGAUACCAAAUUAGAGGCAGAGCCCCUUUUUUAUAGAUACAUUGAGUAAAUCAUGGCCAUCGGAUUAAGAACAUUUCGGACACUCAGGAUGGCGCCACAUCAUCAGUCAACAGUACGCGGUUUGACCACACAGUUUGAACAGUGACGCAGUUUGAUUGUAAGUUAUCCUGUGUAUAUGCAUGUACCGUAUGCACAAUUUUUGGUCCAUUGAUAUGCUGCCACGUCACCGAUCAACAGUACAUAAGAAUUUUAGUCCUAUAGAAUCGUGACACCUCAUCAGUCAAUGCCACAUCAUCGGUCAAUGCCACAUCAUCGAUCCGUCUAUGUGAAUAGUGUCGUGAACAGUAACGUAGACAAUACCGUACAUGUGAACAGUGUCAUUUUUCGUUUUAUGGUCCUCCUAAGGUUUUCGACUGUCCUGAGUUCAAAAGUGAUGUCUGUUUUGCUGUCUAAUCUCUCGUUCAUUGUGAAAUGACCAUGAUGCCCCUAAAUCACAAGAAGCUUAAAUCACAAGAAGCUUAAAUACAUAGUAAGACUUGAAAUGUAAAAUGACAAUUUUCUCCUUUAUAAAUAUACAUUUUCUAACACAACACUUGCAAUUGGAGAGUUUUGAGACUUUGUUAUAUUUAUGGCUUUGGAAAAAGGAAAAUCCUUACUAUUAGGUUAGUGGAUUUAUUUGAAUAAACUUUGGUUCAGUUCUAAUUGAGGCUUUUGUGAAGGAUUAUUAUUUAUAAGUAACCUCCUUUACCACAUGCUCCACACGUGUUGGAUUUAGGGUAUUACAAUUUGCUUCAAGUGAGGAUGUUGUUUUUGUAGUUUUCAUUGGUAACUUAUCAAUACUAGACUUAAAUAAAUCAAAGAUGAACUUAGAAAACGGUAAAAGAGGCUAUCAAUAAGGUUAAAAUUCUCAAAUUUGAAAUUAAUUUGUAUGACUUGAAAAUUGAACAAAUUAGCCAUAUAUUUGUUUCAACCAUCCAAGAUAGUUUUAAACAAAUUUUAAGUUCAACAAAACCUUGACCCAAUAUUUAAGAAACUUAAUGGUAAUUUCCUAACUGUACAUUUUAUCAAGCUAAUGUAUUUUCCUUUUAUACACGAGCAACGUGCAUGAUUGUUCAUGGAAUACAUAACCUAUUCAUAAUUUAAAUAGAGGUUGAAAAAUGGGUUAAUGGAUUGUGUUUAUGUCGUAUCAAAAUUUAAGCCUACUCAAACACAAUCUAUUUAAUAAUUGCAUCAAACAAUCAAAAUCCUAGUUAACUUGAGAUGACUAUUAACUAGAUUUACAUUAGCACGAUUAAUUGAAUAAUUAAAUCAAAUUUUAAUUGUGUCAAGUAAAUGAGUAAGAAAAUAAACAAGAUAAAAUUACUGGGGAAAAAAACUUUGAAUGAAGCAGCUGCGGUAAAGCUGUCAAGGCCUUUAUUAGAAAGAGAGAGAAGUAAAUAGUAAUUAAUCCAAAAAUAUAGGCCCAAUCAACAUUUUUCUUUGUUCUAAUAGAAAUAUUCAGUGAAUAAUGAUUUAUUAAUAUAGUUUAUGAUUGCCCAACCCUUACCCUUUAAAUGAAAAAAAAAUUAACAUAUUUUACGAAAUGUUAAAAUGAUUAGCCAGCUGUAAGGUAAUAAGAAUAGAGUUAUUGAUUUUUUUUUAUUAUUUCUUUUUGAAUGGGAAUAGUUGGACAUUUGAAGGCAUAUAAUUACGAAAUAUAGUCUAAUAAAACAAAUCAAAGUUUCUGACAAAUAAAACAAAUUUAUAAGUUUAAGAAUUGAAAUUAAGGGAAAAGGUUUUGUGGAGCAAAUGGUUUUAAGAUCGUUCUCCAUUUUUGAAAAAAAAAAACUUUUACAGAGCAAUGAUGGUUCUAACUUCUAACUACCUUUUGUUAUCAACUAUUUUUAGUGACACUUGUAUGAAAGUUGGUUUUCUUCAUUUCCAAAAAAAUGUCUUUUAAUUAGGGAAGUUAUAAAAUAUUUCCUUAAUUUAGUUUGUUUUUCCAUAAUUUAGUUUGUUUUUCCAUUAUAUAUAAGACAUAAUUGAAGGAAUAUGUAUAUUAAACAUUAUUUUAGCAAGAGAGAAGAGAAAAAGAGUAAUCAAAAUCAUGAAGAAGUUCAUUGUUCUCAUUCUUUUCUUCACUUUUUUUCUCUGUCUUAUGAAUCUUUCUCAAGGUAAAUAUAGUAUCCCAAAGAGUUAUUUUUAAAUUUGUUUUAAUAUGAGAAUACUCACAUUUUAACGAUUUUUAUGUUUCUUUGCAAGAAAAGGACAACUAAAAUUCUGUACUAAACACAUGACAAUUCCUGGCGUUUGUCCCAAGGAUCCAAAGGAAGCAGAAUUCGUGUGCCUUAAAGCCUUCUUCGAUAAAUAUGGAGCAACAAAGAGCCCAGAUAAUUGUCUAUGCAAACCAUCAACUGGCAACCAGCACAUCUGCCAGUGUGACAUUAUUUGCGAUCCACCACCACCUAAACGAACUUAAUUAUGGUGUCCAAUAGUAUGAAGAAUGAAGAUCACUAAAUCCACGAUAUCGAUAUUAACCUAUUGUUAAAUCAUAGAUAGAUAAUGAUACGGUGAUUUGUAAUAAUAAAUCAUAAUAUUUACUUAAGUAAUUAAUCGCUAUGGUUGAGAAACAUUUGUAAAUGAAACAAUGGGUAAUUUCAUUACAAUGUCGGAUUAGUAAAAAGAAAAAUUGCUUUUAUACUAUUGAAUAUAAAUAAAUCUAGUCGAAUAAGUUUUCUGUUAAUCCUAAUUACCAUGUUAAAAUCAAAACUUCUAAUUAAGAUAUGAAACUUUUUGUGUAUGCCUUUUUCUUCCCCCUUAAACAACUAUUAACUUAAGGCUAAAGUUUCAGUGUCGGGCCUCAAUGCCUAGCAUUGUGCCAAUUUUUAUUUGUAGCCGUUGGAUUCAAGUAAAAUGAGUCCAACGGUUGAGAUUAAAUUAAAAAUAAAAAGUAACGGGUUACUUGUUAAAUGGUUGCUGAAAUCCAUUACGUUUUCCCUCCUUCAAAUCUCAAACAUCUCUUUCACCUCUCUUACUAUCACUCUCUGAAAUAUUGAUUUGUCUCUUAGAUUGUUUACUAAUCACAUAAAAUCGAAGCUACCAUGUAACACACAGCGAAUAACAAGUUGAAUCCAUCAAUCAGUUAGUGUCAUCUUGAGCUGUUCUCUUUCAUUUUUUAGUUAAAGACAAGGUAAUGAUGAUUCUUGUGUUUUUAUGGUGACUAUUGAAAAUGAUAUGUGAAAGAAUUACAGGUUUAUGUGUUAUAUUAAAUUGUUGAUGAUAUGUGAAAUAAUUAGGGAUUUAUAGGCUGAUAGGUAGUGAGAAUUAUGAUGAUGACUUUAAGUUCCUCUUUUCUUUGCCUCUUCUAAGAACUGUAUUAUAUCCCACAAGUGCCACUUACAUCAAUACGAUGUACCUCCAUGUCCUGAAAGGUAGUAUGAAGAAUGAAGAUCACUAAAUCCACAAUAUCUAUAUUAACCUAUUGUUAAAUCAUAGAUAGAUACUAAUACGGUGGUUUGUAAUAAUAAAUCAUAAUAUUUACUUACUAUGUUCGAGAAAUAUUUAACUAAUUAGUUACUAGGGUUGAGAAAUAUAUGUAUAUGAAACAUGGGUAAGUUCAUUACUAUGUCGGAUUACUAAAAGAGAAAAAUUACUUAUACACUAUUGAAUAAAUCCGGUCGAAUAAUUUUUCUUUUAACCCUAAUAAUGAUGUUAUAAAGGAAAAAAAGAAAAACAAAUACUUCUAAUUAAGAUUUAGAACUUUUGUGUGCGCUUUUUUUUUAGCAAUCAAUAACUUCAUUAUAAUUAAAGUGCGCACAAACGUUCUAAAAAGUUAUCCAGCUAAAUAACAGAAUUUAAAAGAGCUAACUUGGCUAGUACAUGGCUUGAGCUAUUUAAAAUUACACAAAAUAUGAUGAAUUUGAAAAGCUUAUCGUUGUUCCAUGGGUUGUAAAAUAUUAGCAAUAACUUAGAAAAUACUAAUUGCAAAAAUAGUAGCAACCCUAACAUACCCAUGACAAUCACACAUCACAACACCUAAACCCAUGGCAUCAUCCGCACAAUCAACAGUGAUGAUGCCAGCCUCACAGUGAAACUUUGAGACCGACGUUCAGUUUAAAGUUUCAAUUUCCCAACAUAGCGUUUUUCCUUUUUUAAAAGAGGAUCAUUGGAUUUCACCCCAUUCCACAUAUUAAAUAUACUUGCUAUAUUCCUACCCAUAGACAUAGUAAUCUCUAAGUACCUAUGACAAGACAAAUCCCUAAUGCAAGGAACAAAUAAAUAACAAUAUUAUUGACGCACUGAUGUAAUGAUAAAAGUCCUAACAUUUUGUUAGUUGCAAUAAAAAUGCUUAGACAAAAAAGAAAAAAAUCCUCAGUUUCACGUUAUUUGUUUCAGCAAUAUGAGAAAGCAAAAAUCACAUGUUGAAAAAGCUUAAUUGCUCACUUUUAGUAAUUUUAAUCUUUUGCAUUUGCUAAUUGGUCAAUCUCCAUAAUGUUCUUUCUCUUGUUAAAAGCUAUCAAGGGAAUGAUUUUAGCAAUCCAAGCGAUGGAUAGACCUUUCUAAACUUGAUCAUUUAUUUGGUUUUGGAUAUGGAAUUGAUUUUGUUUGCUGCCAAUGAAGAGAUUUGAUCAAAUUGUUUCUAAAAGAAUAAAAUUGUUUUUUUUUUCUUUUGAAAUAGUUUAGUUGUUUGGUGACAUGAAAUUUAUAAUAUAUAUAAGUUUGCGAAAUGAUAGAGUCUAAAGAGAAAAAUCUUAUGUACUUUUUAGUAUUUUUGUACAAGAUAAAAUUGGAAUCAUUAAUAGGGUUUGGUGAGAUAAAAUGAGAUAAUCAAAUAUCAAUACUCUAAACGAGAUAAUUAGAUUCUUAGGCCUUCAUAGUUUUUUCUUUUUUAAUACACUAGGCUUUUAUAGUUGGAACAUCUAAAUCAAAAGCAGAUGCAAAACUUGGCCAUAGAAAUUAGAACAUCCUUAAUUCAAAAGCCAAUACAAAGAUGUAUUCCUAGUAAGACAAAAACUUUUAAAGUACACAAGAAGAUUUUUACGUUAUUCACUGCAUCCAUGGAGCCACACUCAAAUAUUGAGUAAUUUGCUAGGCUUAAGAGAUUACAACAUGUUGAAACCUUACACAAUAUGAGACUCCAUCUUAGUGAUUGCCACCAACUUAUUAUAAACUCACCAAGUGUUGAUAGGUGGUUUUUUUAUCUAAAUUAAACCAUUAUUAGGUGGUUUGUUGAUCUUGGAAUUGAGUUGAUAGCUCCUCACUACAAGAAAAUAGGCAAUAGAUGACAGUAAAUAAUUGUCAUAUAAGGGGAUGUAUGACAGACAAAUUAUCUGUCAUUUUUGUCACUGUCAUUAAUUCAUGACAGAAUAUUUUCCAUCAUGAAUUCAUGAUGAUUUUUCACAGUCACAUAUCUGUCACACAAUAUUUUAAUGAGAAAUUAAAAUUAUUAAAAUUUUUGGCAUUUUUAAACUUUUUGGCUGUAAAUUGGUAUUAUCUGAAUAUUAAAAUUACUUAAAAGCAUUAUUUUUGAAUUGUAUUGUUAUUAUUAUUUGUGUUGAAUUAUUAUUAUUAUUAGAAUUCUCAGAAAAUUUGUUUUUAGAAUAAAUUUAUAAAUCUAAAAUAAAUACAAAAUAUGAUACAAAAAAUUAAAGAAUCCAAUUAAUAAAACAUGGAUAUCCAUUUAACCAUAUAAUCCAUAUCAUUGAGGUAUUCAAGCAACAACAACCCAAAAUUUCACAAAAUAUCCUAAACAGCCUCUCCAUUCUUUUGCCAUGCCCUCAAUUGUUGGCCUUAGAAUACUAGUCCCGUAACUCUGCAUCUUAUUCAUGUUCAAGAAAAGAAUUAGAGCAAUAAUCAAUUUAACUAUGAACGAACAUGCAUACCUUAAUAAUAGUUUACAGUCUAAUAAUUGUGCAUAGCUAUUUUUUUAUAAGUUGAACUAUCCAAUGAAAAUAUCUAUCGUAGCCCCAAAGAAAAAAAGAACAUAGAAGGUAAAAGAAAGCAAAAUUGACAAUUUAAUUGCCUAAUUUAAUAAAAGGAGAAAAAAGUUCAUCACAUGUUACUAUAUUGCCAAUAAAUGUAAUCAACACAUUUUCUUAAGAACUCUAUCUCCACUAUAUUUUAACAUUAGUAAUUUUACCGCAAGCCAACACAUAAAAAUUACAAAACCAUAUUCACAAAUAAAGUAUUUGUAACAACACUCAAAUUUUGUCAGAUGCAAUAGGAGUAUCCAUCUCAAAACUAGUUCUAAAAUAGAAGAAAGCAAGGCAUUAGAAAGAUUAUAACUCAAUGAAACACAUAAAAACUUCAAGAAAUUAUAAUUAAACAUCAAAUACAAAUUCCACUACUACAGUAAGUGAGAUAGAUGACAUUCAAUAGACGAUUCACAUCUAAACAAUUGUUAUCUUUUCUUUUAGAUGACUUUUUCUAUAGUUAGAGAGUCAUCUAUGAUAAUUUUAAUUUGAUAGGAAGUUAAAAGAUGACUCGUUAUACAAAAACACGUCAUAUUUUAUAAGGUAAACAUAUGACUCGUAAUUUAAAAAACGUCAUUUUUAUAUAGAUGUAUAAAUAAAAAAAUCACCCUAAGUUCCCUCAAAUCCCUAAUUUCUUCAAGUUGUACCUCUCUCUCUCUCUCUUUCAUUUUCCUCUUCUCAAAAUUCCUUCUCCAAACUUAUCACUAAAAAUACCACCCUUUUGCAACUGUCCCCAAAUAAUCAACCCUAAUUUCAUCUCUUCUACAGUUACUAUUCUAAAUUUACAGCCGCCGCUCUUGAAGAGUGAAGAAACGCAAAGUGGGAGUGAAGAGAGAGAAAAUGGUGAAGUAAAUCUCAAUCAAGAACCGCGAAGAACAAGUCAAAAAUUGAAGAUUUGGAAGUUUGGGUUCACAUCUUCCAGAAAAGGAAUAAAGCAUUUGACACUUUUGUUUUUAAAAAGCUUGGAUCUUGACAAUGAGGUGUUUUCUAUUUCUUUAAUUUGUUUAAAUCAUUGAAAAAUAAUGAUGAUUCGGUUAUUUAGGGAUAGUCAUGUGAAUGAGAUCUUUGUUUUUCCUUUUUUCAUAAGUCAUGUUUGAAUGUUAGAUCUGGAAUCAAUACAGUGAAAAAGAAAUAGUAGAUUUUGAAAAUUUGAGUAAAUGUCGGGUAUUUCAAGGAUGGGGUUUUUCAUUUAUUGUUAUUGUUAUUGUUGUUGCUAUAAUUAUUAUCAUUUAGAUUGAUUGAAAUUUGGAUAUAUAUUUAAAGGGAAAGGAGAAAAUUGGAUAUUUAGAUAUUUAUUAUACUGUAGUAAAAAUUGAUUAAUUGUUUAUAAAUUAUGACAAUCAAUAUGUUGAUUCUUUAGUGUAAGUAGUCAUAGUUUCAUAAAAAUGAAAUCUACUUUGAUUUAGUACAUGAUUUGUGACUCUCGAGAUGAUGAAAUCCUUGCUAAGAAUAGUUUUAUCAUGCCAUUGUUAUCACUUAAGUUGAAAAGAGAAACAAAAAUUAUGAGACUAGUUGAAUAACUAACUUCACAAUACUUGAAAAAAUUAAAUUCAGGUUACUAAUGAUUAUCGGAUUUGGUAAGUCUAGUCUCUAAGAGGUAAAAGCAAGAAAUCGCAUUAUAACAAUAUCAAGUUUAUUAUUUGAUUAAUUAUGCUUAGCAUUUAAAUUUUUGUUAUAAAUAAAUGCUAUUAUGUUUUGACAUAUAUAGUGCACAUCUCUUUAUGAACUUAACCAAUGUUUGAAGAACUUUGUAUUAUUGUAAGUUCUAAUCAUCCCUUCUUCUUUUUUUAAUAAUUCUAUUGUUAAUCGUAAUGCACUUUUAUGUAUAUUGUACAUGGUUGGAUAAGGUAUUUAUUUAAAAUGUUUUGAAAACUUUAAUAGUGUUGUGUCCAUUGAUAUUGGCUAUUUUGCAUAUGGUAGUUGGUUGGAUAAGAUGCUUGCACCUCAAGACAAUGUUAAUAAAGUCAACAGCAACUUAACGAGCAAAGUAGAUAUAGAAGAAUAGUUUUGCCUAAAUUCAACAGAUAGUUCAAUGAGUUUGGCAAGAUAUGUAUAUAAAUUAUAUGUAAUUUUUAUUUAUUUGUAUCUUUCAUAUUGGUUAUGUGCACAUAUAAUUGUUGCAUUAUUUUUAACUAUUUUAAUUUAGUAUUGCAGUAUUGUUGCUGGAUUAAGAAUGUUGAUAGUUGCCUCGUAGAUGGAGUUUUGAUGCUUGUGAAGAAUGUAAUUUUCUUUGUAAAUAAUUUUUUUGAAUGUACAAUGUAAUGGAUACCCAAUUUGGGAUAUGUCAAAAUGAUAGACUUUUUAUUGUGAUACAGGAAUUAUUAGUAAUUUGAAUUUUAAAUACUAUUUGUUGUACAAUAAAUUUAUGUACUUCUCCAGAGGCUUGAUAAUGCAGUUUUUGCUAAUCCAUAUUAGCUUAAUACGAAAAUUAGGCAGUAGAUUCAGAUAUUUCAAAAUAUUUUCUAAUUUAAAAUGACAUUAAUUAAUUUAAAAAUAUUACCUUUAUUAUUCAAAGAUGACUCCCAAUACAAAAGCUAGUCAUUUGUUCAAAUAAAGUUGACAGCUGCUAAAAAAAAGAGUCAUCUCUUUAGGAAUUAUGGAGUACAAAUAUAUUAUUUGAUGACUGCUAUUUUAUAAUAUGAGUCAUCUAUAAAGCAAUAUAGAUAACUCGUAAAAGACGUCAUCUAUUAUUACCCACUUUAGAUGACUAUUACAAAGAUGACUUUUUUUAUCACGUCAUUUAAUACUUAUUUUAAGAGUCAUCUUUAUCAUUUAUUGUAGUAGUGUUCAUAGAGUUCAAGCAAAAGACAGAUAUCUAAAUAUUUAUUCAAAUACUUGAUUAAGAAUUUCUAAAGUAAUCCAAUUCGUUCGCCUUGAACAAAAUCAUUAAUGGCACUACCUUAUCUAAAGUUAAGCACUUUUUAACUGGUGGACCAAAUGUGUAGCAUAAAAGACCAGACAACAUCACAAAAGCCCCGAUUUGAUAAAACAUCAUGAAAAACAACACAACAAAAGAUUCUAAAUUCUCAACAAUAUUUACUAAUAAACCUUUCAACAUUUCAGUUUAAGAAUUAAUGAGCUACCUACUAAAAAACUAGCAUAAACAACACUCAAACAUACACAAAACAAUCUAGUUCUUUCUAGUUCAAGCAAAUUAAAAAAAAAACUCUGGAAGAUAUAAGAUUCCCAAGCUUUGUGGAUUUAAUUCUAUAUGUCAACUAGACUAAGGCCAUUAAAGUGGGAUGGCUUCUUUAAUAACAUACAUUAAAGUCAAGAAGUACCACACAUAGUAUGUCCAGGCUUUUAUAUGUAUGAAAGAUGAAUUUAAAUGCUUUGGCUCAUUGUCUGCAGCUAUUUUCUGUAGCUACUGUAGCUAUUAUAAUCUUGAUCGUAUCUUACGAUAUAUAUAUAUAUAUAUAGAUAAAUAUUUAGCACCACCACUAUAUAUAUAUAUAUAGAUAAAUAUUUAGCACCACCACUGGAUUUCUAUUUUGAUUGUGCACACAAUGUAUAGGUGAUACUAUGUGACAUGAGUUAACUUUUUUUUUUAUUGUGUAUAUAUGAUAUACAAUUUGUUUUCGUGAUUAAUUACGCUUUUGAAAUUCUAAAUAAAUUAUGAAUUUAUAUUCUACUAUAAAAUGCAUUCUAUAAAAUUUAUGAUUUUUAAUACAUGUUUUGAUAAGAAAAUGGCUUGCAAUAUUUUUUGAACUUGAUAACUAUAGUGAGUGGCAAUGGUUUUACUUACCAAGUUGACAGCGCACUCCUCGUCAUUACUUUUUGGAGAUUGAGUAACUUGUUGAGAGGUGCGCUUAUCUUUGGACCUAUAAAUUUAUUUAUUUUUGUUAGUAGAAUAAGAGGAGAAUGAACGUUUGUUUCCUUUAAGUUUGUUUAUCUUCUGAACUUGCAAUUGGAGAGUUUUGAGACUUUGUUAUAUUUUUGGCUUUGGAAAAAGGAAAAUCCUUAGUAUUAGGCUAGUUGUUGUGCAAAUUUUAUUGAACUUGCAAGCGCACGAAUCUAUUGUAGAAUACAUUAAUGGUGACGAGUGUCGAUCCUACGAGGAGGUGGAUUUUAAUUAUAUGUAGAAUUAACUUUCUAUGAGGGUGAUUGGAUUUGUGGUGAAAAUGAUUUGGAAUAUUCUAAAAUUAAAAUUAAAAUGAUGAGAAUAAAUUGAAGAGGAAACUAUUAUAAUUGAAGCGCUUGGGUAUCUGGAUCCGCAACAACAUGCACCAUGUGUUAAAUAUUUCUUAUUAAUGCCAAUUAAAUCAUGAGGGGGAUUUCCACUCCUCAUAAACCACACUCUAAUUAAUAUGGUGGUAAGGGCUUAUCGUGCCAAAUAAUAAUAACCUUGUACUAGGGAGCCGGUGAAACCAAAGCGGUAUCUAGACAAGAUUAUUACUAUUUGUCGACGAAAAGUCAAAACAUCCACAAAAAUUAAAAGGGAAGAGAAAAUAAAUUCACCAAAUAAAGCCCAUGGCACAUGUUGAGACUUCACCUUCAACUCAAGUUUGAAAGAAAAUUAGCUACUCAUAAUUGAACUAGGGGUAAAAUGGGAAUUUAUUAAAAUACAUAGAAAAUACAAGAUGGAGAAGGAAUUACAGAAAAUGGAGCUCAACAAUGAAUUCAGAGAUGCCAAAUUCAGGGGAGAGAGCCCCCUUUUUAUAGAUACACUUGAGUAAAUCAUGACCAUCGAAUUAAAAACAUUUUAGACGCUCAGGAUUGCGCCACGUCAUCAGUCAACAGUACGCGGUUUGACCACGUGGUUUGAAUAGUGACACGGUUUGACCACGCGGUUUGAAUAUUGAUGAAGUUUGAACAAUGACGUGGUUUGGUUGAAAAUAAUCCUGUGUAUAUGCAUGUACCGUACGUACGAUUUUUGGUCCACUAACAUGCUGCCACGUCACCGAUCAACAGUGCAUAAGAAUUUUGUUCAAUAGAAUCGUGACAGCUCAUCAGUCAAUGCCACAUCAUCAGUCAAUGCUACAUCAUCAUUCCGUAUAUGUGAACAGUGUCGUGAACAGUAACGUAGACAAUACCGUACAUGUGAACAGUGACAUUUUUCCUUUUAUACUCCUCCUAAGGUGUUCGACUGUCCUGAGUUCAAAAGUGAUGUUCGUUUUGUUGUCUGAUCUCUCGUUCAUUGUGAAAUGAUCAUGAUGCCCCUAAAAUACAUAAAAUACUUAAUUAAAAUAAAACACACAUAAUUAAAUCAUAAGAGGUUUAAAUACAUAAAAGUAAGGGUGUUAGUAAGACUUGAAAUGUAAAAUGACGAUUUUCUCCUUUAUAAAUAUACAUUUUCUAACACGCAACACACCCCUCAACCAGCUUAUUGCUAGUCCCUAGCAAAUAAAGCGAAAACAAAAUUCAAACCCAAAAUGAUUUUUUUUAAACACUCGUGUUUAUUUUAUCAGACUAAUGAUAGUAAUCAAAUAAAAAUAUAAGCAUUAUCUCCAGUCCACAGAAACUUCACACCCACAUCAACUAUCCACAUGAAUCAGCCCAGUAGACUUUGUCACAACUACUUUAAAAAAUGACAUGUCAAAUCCCAAAAUCUCACUAGAAGUAGUGACACUCUUACAAGGAAAUUAAACCCAAUAAAAAUAGUCACUUCAGUGAAUGCUAAAUUUGAGAGAAAAUAAUAAAGAAAUGAUAUCACACACUCUCACCAAAAUGAAAGAAAUAUGCCCACAGCUUAGAAAUAAUAUGAUCUUAAGUCAAACAAAAAUGCUAGUCAACCCAAUUUAUUUAUUUUUUCUUCUUUUUUUUAUGCACCACUACAUCUUUUUAGCCCAUAUAACUAGCUUCUACUUCAGACUAUAGCUCCCUAAAAUCAGGAAAGACUUUUAUUAGGAUGUAACGUAGGCUAAGGACAUGGCUAACAAAUGAAGGAAAAUAGGAAAAAACAAAAUAUAUGUUUAAGGAAAAGUAGAAAUCUUUUGGAAAUUACAAGGUGGAUUUCACCUAUUAUUUUUUUUCUUUUUUUUUUAAACAACAAAUUUUUUUUUCUUUUGUUUGGCACAAUUUCACUAAACAAAAUAAUUAUUUACAUUUUUCUCAAACAUAAAUAGGUGAUGGAACUUGUAAGAUAUCGGGUAAUACUCCAAAUUGGAGUGGGUCAAGAUGAUAAGUUUGACAAAGAAAUUUUUUUUUUAAAGGCUCAAAAGGGUUAACUAUGGAUUUUUCACAAAUGGGAUGGCUAGAAAGGCUCAAACAGGUCAAAGAUGGCUUUUCCAUCGUCUUUUAGGGCUCCAAAUAAUCUUCCAUAUCUACUAGUUAGAUGGACCUCAAGAUGUAGUAACACAUUUUUUUCUUCUUUUUUUUUCUAUCUUUAUUUUUUUUUCUUUUUAGAGGGUUGACUUAAAAGAAAUCUAGAGAUCGUAUAUAAAAUAGUAAACUGCUAAGCUGUAUGAAGAAUGGGUAAAAUGAGUUAUUCUCCAAGAAAAAUGACAAGCUCAAAAACUCACUUGGUAUUUAUUAUGAUAUGUGCAUUCCUUCAAGUAACUCAUAUUUAUCUCCGACAUCAACAUAUAGAAUAGCAAACAUAGCAUAACAUUACUUAAGACUAAAGAUAAUACAAAUACUAAAAUUUGGAAGUCAUCAUAUCAUCCAAUAAAAAAAAAUCACACAAUGUUUUUUUUUAAAAUGACAGUCUACCCCCCAACCUAUUCUAAACAUGAAAAGAAAAUAUGCAUGCAGAAAUGUGAAAAAUGAUGCCGAAAAGCUAAUUAGAAAAGUUACACUUAAAAUGAUAGAAAAAGAAAAUGGUUUUUUUUUUAACGAAGAUGCGUUUCUAGAGGCACUACACUCCAUAUUCAGCCAUCUUCGACUCAAAAAUUUGAAAGUGUAUAUUUAUAAAGGAGAAAUUAAACAGAAGAACAAAAAUGAUUGUCAAAACUUAAUAAAGAAAAAGAAAAUGUCUGGAAUUUUUUUUGUUUUAUUUAUUUAUUUUUUUUUAUUUUUUUUUCAAACGAAGAAGAUGCGUUUCUAGAGUCACUACACUCCAUAUUCAGUCAUCUUCAACACAAAAAAGCUAGCCACGGUUAGUCACUACAGCAAAAAAUUAGUAAAAACUUAACCAAGAUUCCACAAUUGUCGACUAUUCCCUCCCCCCAACCAGAACGAAACAUUGUCCUCAAUGUUUUAAAGGAAAGAAGUAGAGUUUAGAAGACAUCACCUGGCUGGUGUAACACAGAAGAAAAUAUUUACAAGCGGAGAGUUAAAUCUAAUUUGUACUUCUUACUGCGGCUACUGUUGCCAUCAUUAUUUGGACGCUCUAACAUAAAGGUCCAGGGGUCUGGCUUCGAUCUAUAAGCUUGUAACAGAUCAAGUAACUCAUUAGCAGUAUGAGCACAAAUAAAAAGCUUUUUCCCUGUGGAAUGAAUGAAAUAGGUUUUUAUUGCAUGGUUAAGAAAUGCGAUGAAACCAUCAUAAAAGUUAUUGACAUUUAGCAAACCAAUGAGUUUCUGGUGAAUGUGCAGAUAGGCCUAAGAUGCUAAUGUGAUAAGUGCCUCUAGAGUUGUAAGAUCUCCUGGUAAGAAAAUAAAAGCAUCAACAUGAUUAAGCAUUUAAAUUAUUCUUUCUUACAUACCUGAGACGACUAACUCUUCUCCAGUCGGUGAGUCAGACAAACUGCCCAAAGGUUUUAAGGCUCUUGGAAUAAUGCCUAACACUUGGCUUCCUCUGAUAAAGGCAGCUUCUGAGACCAAUUUUGAUAACCCUUAGUUACCUCCUCCAUACACCAAGUGUAAUUUUCUCUCUGCUAUACUUUAACCAAGAUCUAUGGCUGCUUCAACAAACUCUUUAUGUUUGCCAUAGUUAAAUCCAAAAAGCACACAAAUAUUCUUGAAUUAUUUAUUGGGAGUAGCUGCUAUUGGAAUACUUCUCAAAAACAAUUUGUGAGUGCUUAACAAAACAAAUCAUAUUUAAAAAUCUUUGUGACAGUGGGUCACAGUUGUGUAUGAGGAAGUAUGUUAGUGUCAAUUAACGCGUAAAGCACAUGGCUCGAGAGUAAAAAAGGAAAUAGUAAAAAGGAACAAGUAAAUAGUGAUAAAAUAAAAUUAUUAAAGACAAUAAUGCAAAUGAUAAAACAACAAUAAAGUAAAAGGAUAUUUACAGGUAGUUAUGACUGUGGCUCACAUCUUCCUCUGAUUUUACGUCCAGAAGCGGCUUGAACGCCCUCUAUGGGUCGAGGAUGGGCUUCCUAUCUAGUUUUCUUAUAAACUGGCAAACAGGGUCGUUUAUAGUCAGAUUCCCGAGACUAUAUCGUGCAUGCUCUUUCUGGAAUAAUGGCCAUAACUGGAGAAUCGUUCUUUGUACAUAUCCACUGUGAUGCGUUUCAAGAGACAAAAGGAUAUCAUUCAAUGACUCCUUAUUCAAGCCAUCCUUAAUGAAUUGAAUCUUAUCUUCCCUGUUAUCAGACACCAUUCCUAAAGAAUAUGGUUUUUUAUCGCAUCUCAUUCUGACACACUUAUGACAAGCAAUAAAAAUUCUUCGAGCUCUUCGUUUUCUUGCAUAAUUUCCUUUACCACAACUAGGCAUGUAUGCAAUAAAUUUUGAAGGUAACUCACCAACCAAUUGCACUUUGACCUUGAUUAACUAGCGGAUGUCAGCAAGUAUGUUAUUCCUCAUGAGCAAUCACAUACGUUCGGACCGAGCUUUAUAGAUUGUAAAGAGGGCAUUCUGAGGAAGUGAAGGGAAUCGAUUGUGAAGCUUUGGUAAAAUCUCGUUUCUGUCCAUACCUUCGCCUCAGAAUAUUAGUUAUUACGGGAAACUGAAGUAACCGACUUGAUUGUCACGGAGUACCGUUAUCUGCCACUUUACCGGGGUAACAAACUAAAGCACACAAACAAAGAAAAACAAACUUAAAACACAUAAAGAAACUUACAAUCGUCCUCUUAUUGAAUUUACCUCAAUCUCCAACUGGAUGUUGUAGACACCUCUCUCAAUGUCUCUCAUUUGGCUUUCUAAAUCCUCAACAUGGGAUACUAACUUUGGUGGUUGCAGAGCCCAAAUAUGAUGUGUUUUACAAAAUCGAAUCUGCCUUUUGAGAUGAGAUUUUACACGUUGAAGUCGUUUAAGAAUGUCUAGGAGGAACUGUUUAGCUAUGACACUCAUGAUUAAAAAUGAUAAGAGAAAACUUAAUGUUUAAAGAAAUACACUUAUGCAAAAAUAAUUUCAAUUAGCAAAAGAAGAGUAAAAAAAAAAAUCAAAUCAUCAAAAAGAAAGAAAAAAAACUCAAUUCAAAUAUGGUGGGUCGCUCAAAUUUAUUUCGGUGUCUUCUCCAUGUGGUUGGUACUCUAGAUAUGGCUUUAAUCUUUGACCAUUAACUUUAAACGUGACACCGUUCUUUGGGUCCUUAAUUUCAAUUGCCCCAUAUGGAAAAAUAGUGUGAACAAUAAAGGGGCCAAACCAUCGAGAGCGUAACUUACCUAGGAAUAGAUGCAAGCGAGAAUUGAAUAAAAGCACUUUCUGACCUGGAGUGAAAGAUUUUCUCAUAAUUUACUUGUCAUGAAAGACUUUCAUUUGCUGCUUGUAAAUUUUGGCAUUUUCGUAUGCAUCAUUGCGAAUUUCUUUAAGUUCUGCCAGCUGUAAUCUUCUUUUUGAGCUAGCUUGCCUCAUGUAAAAGUUGAAUUUCUUGAUGGCCGAGUAUGCACGAUGCUCGAGUUCCACAGGUAGGUAGCAAGCUUUUCCAUACACUAGCCUGUAGGGUGACAUCCCAAUCGGGGUCUUGAAAGUUGUUCUAUACACCCAUAAUGCAUCAUCGAGUCUUAAUGACCAAUCUUUUAUGUCUGACCUCACCGCCUUUUCUCAUAUGUGCUUUAUUUCUCGAUUGGAGAUCUCAACUUGGCCACUGGUUUGCGGAUGACAUGGGGUCGCCACUUUAUGAGUGAUGGAAUAUUUUGUCAAAAGUGCUUUGAAUGCUUUGUUACAAAAGUGAGCACCACCAUCACUGAUUAUUGCUUGAGGGAAUCCAAAGCGUGAAACAAUGUUGCUUUUAAAAAAUUCUAUCACCACCUUGUGAUCAUUGGUUCUACACGGAAUUGCUUCUACCCAUUUCGAUACGUAGUCAACAACAACCAAUAUGUAUUGAUGGCCAAAAGAAGGGGGAAAGGGUCCCAUGAAGUCAAUACCCCAUACAUAAAAAAUCUCAACCACUAAAAUUGGAUUUAGUGACAUCAUAUUCCUUCGUGUAAUGCUCUCCAUUCGUUGACACUUAUUACAUGAAGACAGAAAGUGUAAGCGUUUAGUUGCUGUUUUCUUAGCACUGAAAUGGCCUCCACAAGCUUGUUCAUGGCAGAAUGAAAAAAUAUUCUGAAUUUCUCUUUCUGGGACACAUCGUCUAACAAUUUGAUCUGCACAAUACUUGAACAAAUAAGGGUCAUCUCAAAGGAAAUUCUUUAUUUCUGCAAAAAAAUUGGCCUUGUCUUGCUUGGUCCAAUGCUCUAGAAGUUGACCUGUAAUAAGAUAAUUAACUAUAUCAGCAUACCAAGGUAAUACUUCCACACUCAUUAAUUGUUCAUUUGGAAAUGACUCAUUCAAUGUUAAUGGCUCUGUAAUUAUGCCAAAAUGGAGACGAGAGACAUAGUCAGCCACAACAUUUUCUGUGCCUUUUUUAUCUUUAAAUUCCAAAUCGAAUCUCUGCAAAAGUAACACCCAACGAAUUAGCCUAACUUUUGCAUCUUUCUUUGUGAGAAGAUAUUUAAGAGUAGCAUGAUCUGUGAAUACAAUUAUUUUACAACCAAUGAGAUAAGAUCGAAAAUUUUCUAAUGCAAACACUACUGCUAGCAUUUCUUUUUCAGUAGUUAAAUAGUUCAACUGUGCAUCAUUCAAUGUCAUACUAGCAUAGUAAACAUAGGGAAUUCGAUCAACCCUUUGUCUUAAUACUGCUCCUACUGCAUAAUCAGAUGCAUCACACAUAAGCUCAAAUGGUAACCUCCAGUUUGGGGGCUGAAUGAUGGGUGAUGUCAACAACUACUUUAAUUUUUCAAAUGCCACAAGAUAUGAAUCAUCAAAGAUAAAAGGUACAUCCUUAGCAAGUAGAUUGCAUAAGGGUCUAGAAACUUUGCUAAAAUAUUUAAUGAAACGUCUAUAAAAACCAGCAUGCCCAAGGAAAGAUCUUACUUCUCUGACUGUUUUAGGUGGAGGAAGAUUGGAAAUGAGAUCUACCUUUGCUUUGUCAACCUCAAUACAUUUGCUUGAAAUGAUGUGACCGAGAACAAUACAUUGUUUUACCAUAAAAUGACACUUCUCCCAAUUUAAGACUAAGUUCUUCUCGAUACAUCUCUGCAGAACUAGUGUUAGAUGAAAUGAAGCGCUUGAGUAUCUGGAUCUGCAUCAACAUGCACCAUGGGCUAAAUAUUCCUUAUUAGUGCCAAUUAAAUCAUGAGGGGGGAAUCCACACCUCACAAACUACACUCUAAUCAAUAUGGUGCUAAGGGCUUAUCAUGCCAAAUAAUAAUAACCUUGUACUAGGGAGCCGGUGAAACCAGGGCGGUAUCUAGACAAGAUUAUUACUAUUUAUAGACAAAAAGUCAAAACAUCCACAAAAAUUUGAAGGGAAGAGAAAAUACAUUUACUAAAUAAAGCCCAUGGCACAUGUUGAGACUUCACCUUCACCCCAAGCUUAAAAGAAAAUUAGCUACUCAUAAUUGAACUAGGGGCAAAAUGGAAAUUUAUUAAAAUACAUAGAAAAUACAAGAUGGAGAAGGAAUUACAAAAAAUUGAACUCAAAAAUGAAUUCAGGGAUACCAAAUUAGGGGGGAGAGCCCCCUUUUUAUAGAUACAUUGAGUAAAUUAUAGCCAUCGGAUUAAGAACAUUUCGGACGCUCAGGAUUGUGCCACAUCAUCAGUCAAUAGUACGAGGUUUGACCACACGGUUUGAACAGUAACGCGGUUUGGUUGUAAGUUAUCCUGUGUAUAUGCAUGUAAUAUACGCACAAUUUUUGGUCCACUGAUAUGCUGCCACGUCACAGAUCAACAGUACGUAAGAAUUUUAGUCCAAUAGAAUCAUGACACCUCAUCAGUCAAUGCCACAUCAUCGGUCAAUGCCAUUUCAUUGAUCCGUCUAUGUGAAUAGUGUCGUGAACAGUAACGUAGACAGUACCGUACAUGUGAAUAGUAUCACACAUGUGAACAGUGUCAUUUUUCCUUUUAUGGUCCUCCUAAGAUUUUCGACUGUCCUGAGUUCAAAAGUGAUGUCUGUUUUGCUGUCUGAUCUCUCGUUCAUUGUGAAAUGACCAUGAUGCCCCUAAAUCACAAGAAGCUUAAAUAGAUAAAAGUAAAGAUGUUAGUAAGACUUGAAAUGUAAAAUGACGAUUUUCUCCUUUAUAAAUAUAUAUUUUCUAACACAACACUUGCAAUUGGAGAGUUUUGAGACUUUGUUAUAUUUAUGGCUUUGGAAAAAGGAAAAUCCUUAGUAUUAGGCUAGUGGAUUUGUUUGACUAAACUUUGGCUCAGUUCUAAUUGAGGCUUUUGUGAAGGAUUAUUAUUUAUAAGUAACCUCCUUUACCGUAUGCUCCACACGUGUUGGAUUUAGGGUAUUACAAUUUGAGAAAAAGAGUAAUUAAAAUCAUGAAGAAGUUCAUUGUUCUCAUUCUUUUCUUCACUUUUUUUCUAUGUCUUAUGAAUCUUUCUCAAGGUAAUAUAGUAUCCCAAAGAGUUAUUUUUAAAUUUGUUUUAAUUUGAGAAUACUCACAUUUUAACGAUUUUUAUGUUUCUUUGCAAGAAAAGGACAACUAAAAUUCUAUACUAAACACAUGACAAUUCCUGGCGUUUGUCCCAAGGAUCCUAAGGUAGCAGAAUUCGUGUGCCUUAAAGCCUUCUUCGAUAAAUAUGGAGCAACAAAGAGCCUAGAUAAUUGUCUAUGCAAACCAUCAACUGUCAACCAGCCCAUCUGCCAGUGUGACAUUUUUGCGAUCCACCACCACCUAAACGAACUUAAUUAUGGUGUCCAAUAGUAUGAAGAAUGAAGAUCACUAAAUCCACGAUAUCGAUAUUAACCUAUUGUUAAAUCAUAGAUAGAUAAUGAUACGGUGGUUUGUAAUAAUAAAUCAUAAUAUUUACUUAAGUAAUUAAUCGCUAUGGUUGAGAAACAUUUGUAUAUGAAACAAUGGGUAAUUUCAUUACAAUGUCGGAUUAGUAAAAAGAAAAAUUGCUUUUAUACUAUUGAAUAUAAAUAAAUCCAGUCGAAUAAGUUUUCUUUGAAUCCUAAUAACCAUGUUAAAAACAAAACUUCUAAUUAAGAUAUAAAACUUUUUGUGUGUGCCUUUUUCUUCCCCCUUAAACAACUAAUAACUUAAGGCUAAAGUUUCAGUGUCGGGCCUCAAUGCCUAGCAUUGUGCCAAUUUUUAUUUGUAGCCGUUGGAUUCAAGUAAAAUGAGUCCAACGAUUGAGAUUAAAAUAAAAAUAAAAAGUAACGGGUUACUUGUUAAACGGUUGCUGAAAUCCAUUACGUUUUCCCUCCUUCAAAUCUCAAACAUCUCUUUCACCUCUCUUACUAUCACUCUUUGAAAUACUGAUUUGUCUCUUGGAUUGUUUACUAAUCACAUAAAAUCGAAGCUACCGUGUAACACACAACGAACAACAAGUCGAAUCCAUCAAUUAAUUGGUGUCAUCUUGAGUUGUUCUCUUUCAGUUUUUAGUUAAAGACAAGGUAAUGAUGAUUCUUGUGUUUUUGUGGUGACUAUUGAAAAUGAUAUGUGAAAGAAUUAGGGGUUUACGUGUUAUAUUAAAAUUUUGAUGAUAUGUGAAAUAAUUAGGGAUUUAUAGGCUGAUAGGUAGUGAGAAUUAUGAUGAUGACUUUAAGUUCCUCUUUUCUUUGCCUCUGAACUGUAUUAUAUCCCACAAGUGCCACUUACAUCAAUACGAUGUACCUCCAUGUCUUGAAAGGUAGUAUGACGAAUGAAGAUCACUAAAUCCACGAUAUCUAUACUAACCUAUUGUUAAAUCAUAGAUAGAUACUAAUACGGUGGUUUGUAAUAAUAAAUCAUAAUAUUUUACUUACUAUGGUCGAGAAAUAUUUAACUAAUUAGUUAUUGGCUUGAGAAAUAUAUGUAUAUAAAACAUGGGUAAGUUCAUUACUAUCUCGGAUUACUAAAAAAGAAAAAUUACUUAUACACUAUUGAAUAAAUCCGGUCGAAUAAUUUUUCCUUUAACCCUAAUAAUGAUGUUAAAAAAGAAAAAAAGAAAAACAAAUACUUCUAAUUAAGAUUUAGAACUAGUGUGUGCGAUUUUUUUUUAACAAUCAAUAACUUCAUUAUAAUUAAAGUGCGCACAAACGUUCUAAAAAGUCAUCCAGCCAAAUAACAAAAUUUAAAAGAGCUAACUUGGCUAGUACAUGGCUUGAGCUAUUGACAAUUACACGAAAUAUGAUGAAUUUGAAAAGCGGAUCGUUGUUCCAUGGGUUGUAAAAUAUUACCAAUAACUUAGAAAAUACUAACUUUAAAAAUAGUAGCAACCCUAACAUACCCAUGACAAUCACACAUCACCGCACCUAAACCCAUGACAUUAUGCGCACAAUCAACAGUGAUGAUGCCAGCCUCACAGUGAAACUUUGAGACCCACGUUCAGUUUAAGGUUUGAAUUUCCCAACAUAGUUUUUUUUUCCUUUUUUAAAAGCGGAUCAUUGGAUUUCACCCCAUUCCACAUAUUAAAUAUACUUGUUAUAUUCCUACCAAUAUAAGUAGUAAUCUCUAAGUACCUAUGACUAGACAAAUCCGUAAUGCAAGGAAUAAAUAAAUAACAAUAUUAUCGACGUACUGGUGUAAUAAUAAAAGCCCUAACAUUUUGUCAGUUGCAAUUAAAAUGCCUAGACAAAAAAGAAAAAAAUCAUCAAUUUCAUGUUAUUUGUUUCAGCAAUCUGAGAAAGCAAAAAUCACUUGUUGAAAAAGCUUAAUUGCUCACUUUUAGUAAUUUUAAUCUUUUGCAUUUGCUAAUUGCUCAAUCUCCAUAAUGUUCUUUCGCUUGUUAAAAGCUAUCAAAGAAAUGAUUUUAGCAAUCCAAGCGAUGGAUAGACCUUUCUAAACUUGCUCGUUUAUUUGGUUUUGGAUAUGGAAUUGAUGUUGUUUGUUGCCAAUGAAGAAAUUUGAUCAAAUUGUUUCUAAAAGAAUAAAAUUGUUAUUUUUUUUCUUUUGAAAAAGAUUAGUUGUUUGAUCACAUGAAAUUUAUUAUAUAUAUAAGUUUGCAAAAUGAUAGAGUCUAAAGAGAAAAAUCUUAUGUACUUUUUAGUAUUUUUGUACAAGAUAAAAUUGGAAUCAUUAAUAGGGUUUGGUGAGAUAAAAUGAGAUAAUCAAAUAUCAAUACUCUAAACGAGAUAAUUAGAUUCUUAGGCUUUCAUAGUUUUUUCUUUUUUAAUUCACUAAGCUUUUAUAGUUGGAACAUCUAAAUCAAAAGUAGAUGCAAAACUUGGCCAUAGAAAUUAGAACAUCCUUAAUUCAAAAGCCAAUACAAAGAUGUAUUCCUAGUAAGACAAAAACUUUUAAAGUGAUGAAAUUAGGGAAGCAUUGUGAUAUCCAAUUUUCGUAGGCGUACCAAGUUUAAUGAAAAUUUAAUUAAACAAACAAUGAGUAAAAAUAAAAUGCGUAAAAGUAAAGCACACAAGAAGAUUUUUACGUUAUUCACUACAUCCAUGGAGGCACGCUCAAAUAUCGAGUAAUUUGCUAGGCUCAAGAGAUUACAACUUGUUGAAACCUUACAGAAUAUGACUCCAUUUUAGUGAUUGCCACCAACUUAUUAUAAACUCACCAAGUGUUGAUAGGUGGCUUUUUAUCUAAAUUAAACCAUUAUUGGUGGUUUGUUGAUCUUGGAAUUGAGUUGAUAGCUCCACACUACAAGAAAAUAGGCAAUAGAUAACAGUAAAUAACUGUCAUAAAAUGGGAUGUAUGACAGACAACUUAUCUGUCAUCUAUGUCACUGUCAUUAAUUCAUGACAGAAUAUUUUCCGUCAUGAAUUCAUGAUGAUUUUUCACAGUCACGUAUCUGUCACACAAUAUUUUAAUGAAAAAUUAAAAUUAUUUAAAUUUUUGGCAUUUUAAAACUUUUUGGCUGUAAAUUGGUAUUAUCUGAAUAUUAAAAUUACUUAAAAAGCAUUAUUUUUUGAAUUGUAUUGUUAUUAUUAUUUGUGUUGAAUUAUUAUUAUUAUUAGAAUUCUCAAAUUCUGCAAAUUUGUUUUUAGAAUAAAUUUAUAAAUCUAAAAUAAAUACAAAAUAUGAUACAAAAAAUUAAAGAAUCCAAUUAAUAAAACCUGGAUAUCCAUUUAACCAUACAAUCCAUAUCAUUGAGGUAUUCAAGCAACAACAACCCAAAAUUUCACAAAAUAUCCUAAAUAGCCUCUCCAUUCUUUUGCCAUGCCCUCAAUUGUUGGCCUUAGAACACUAGUCCCGUAACUCCGCAUCUUAUUCCUAUUCAAGAAAAGAAUUAGAGGAAUAAUCAGUUUAACUAUGAAUGAACAUGCAUACCUUAAUAAUAGUUUACAGUCUAAUAAUUGCGCAUAGCUAUUUUUUUAUAAGUUGAACUAUCCAAUGAAAAUAUCUAUCGUAGCCCCAAAGAAAAAAAGAACACAGAAGCUAAAAGAAAGCAAAAUUGACAAUUUAAUUGCCUAAUUUAAUAAGAGAAAAGAGUUCAUCACAUGUUUCUAUAUUGCCAAUAAAUGUACAUGUUACUAUAUUGCCAAUAAAUGUAAUCAACAAAUUUUCUUAAGAACUCUAUCUCCGCUAUAUUUUAACAAUAGUAAUUUUACCGCAAGCCAACACAUAAAAAUUACAAAACCAUUUUCACAAAUAAAAUAUUUGUAGCAACACUCAAAUUUUAUCAGAUGCAAUAGGGGUAUCCAUCUCAAAACUAGUUCUAAAAUAGAAGAAAGCAAGGCAUUAGAAAGAUUAAAACUCAAUGAAACACAUAAAAAUAUCAAGAAAUUAUAAUUAAACAUCAAAUAAAAAUUCAUAGAGUUCAAGCAAAAGACAGAUAUCUAAACAUUUAUUCAAAUACCUGAUUAAGAAUUUCUAAAGUAAUCCAAUUCAGUCGCCUUGAACAAAAUCAUUAAUGGCACUACUGUUAGCCUAAAGGGCUACACAUUAUGUAAUUUUGAUGAUAACAAACAUGUGUCUUAAGUGAUUUUAUAAAUAUUGUAUUUCAUAUUUCACUAGUUCUUGAAGGAUAACAUUUAUGAUGAGGUGAAUCGCGUGAAAUCAAGCUCAAGACACUCAACGGACAAUGACGCGAUCAAGAAUAAAGUUUAGAGCUCAAUGGACUAAUUAUUGCGACAAAUUCUUGUAAAGCCGAUAUGAUUUAAUUGAUGCAUGAUUUAGCAUUUGAGAAGCUCAAGAGAUUUAUUUAAAUAAUUACUUUUCAUAAACUAAAAGGUUUUAUUUUUAUAAGGUAAAGUAUUUUGUGGAUUUGAGUAAUUUGGACUUAAAUGAAAAUUUUUGCAAUCUUUGAUUUUAAUAAGUAUUAUGUUGAAUUUUAGAGUUGGACCUUUUUCCAAACAUUUGAAAUGUUUUGGGCCACACUAUAAUUUAUGAAUAUUUUGGACUAAAGUCAAAUGUUUUGAUAACUUUGAAAAAUAUGGGUAUUAUGUUAACAUUUUGAAAAAGGACCUCUUUGAAAAAUAAUAAUAUAUUUGGGGUCAUAUCAUAAUUUUGAAAAGUUUUGAAAUUACACUCAUUAUUUAGAAAUUCUGAAAUUGGACCGAUUUCUAAAGUUUUAUAACAUUUUAGGCCAUAUUAUAAUUAUAAAAAGUUUUAAGCAAAAGUGUAAUUUCGGUGAACAGUUUUACUGUAGCAAAAUUCAAAAAUAACGGUAAUAUCACUGCUACAAGCGGCUAGCCGGAUAAAUCAAGAGGCUAACUGCUUGGUUGUGAGAAUUUGUCUAUAACGGCUAGUUUUCGGGCUUUAACUAUAAAAACUCAACUCCAGCUUCAUUUUAAGGACUACUGCAAGCAUAAACAAGAUCAUAUAAUAUAUAUUGAGUUUCCAUUUCGCAAAUCAUUUAUUGAAUUAUCAUUAAGCUAUAAUGUUUUUUAUCCACUCUUAAAGAGAGUUUCAUUGUUGUAAUUUUCAUUUCUCAUCAAAUUGUGAGUGUACAAGUGUGAGAAACACUUGGGGUGAAGAGAUUGGGGAGAUAAUCUCUUGAUUGUAAAGGUCCAUUGACACCUUGAAAGUCAAUUGUAAACAUUUGAAGCCUUUGGAGGCUUGGAUAGUGAAAUCCUCAAGCCGGGUGAGCUUGGAAACGUGGACGUAGGCGGGGUUGCCGAACCACGUAAAAAUCCUUGUGUUUGUUUUCUCUUCCCUUACUCUUUUAAUACUGUGCUUAAUUGAAUUUAUUAUUUUUGAUUUGAUUGAGGCAAUAGAUUGAAUUGUUGUGUGGUUUGCUUAGCAUAAGUUUUAAAAACCCAAUUCAUGCCCCUCUUGGGUUGUAUAACUUGCAUUUCAUUUUGUAUCAAAGCGAGGUGCUCUUGUGUAGACUUAACCGUCUAGAGUUAUAAAUCCAUGGCAACCCAUAAUGACUUAAACUUUUGGGGAAGGACAAUCCACAAUUAGACCAUCGCUCUUUGAUGGUAAUGACUACCCAUAUUGGAAAACUAGGAUGAUAAUUUAUUUACAAGCUUUAGAUUAUGAAAUUUGGGAAAUUGUUUGUGAUGGUCAAUUUAUGCCUUCGACUAAAAACGAAGUCGGUGAAGAUAUUCUAAAACCUUCACGGGAAUGGAAUGAAUUGGAAAAGAGAAAAGCUUCUCUAAAUUCCAAAGCUAUGAAUGUCUUGUUUUGUGCACUAGAUAAGAAAGAGUUUCAUAGAGUAUCUAGUUGUGAAAGUGCUAAUGAAAUUUGGCACAAACUUGAAGUUGUUUAUGAAGGCACGAAUCAAGUGAAAGAAUCUAAAAUUAAUAGGUACACUCGACAAUAUGAAUUGUUCUACAUGGAACAAAAUGAGAGUGUGUAUUCUAUGUAUACUAGAUUUACGGACAUAGUGAACACAGCCCUAGGAAAGACCUUUUCAAAUAGCGAGAAACUUAAGAAAAUCAUUAGGUCGCUACCUAAGGAAUGGAGACCAAAAAGGACUGCCAUUGAGGAAGCCAAAGAUUUAAAUAUCUUAUCUAUUGAUGAUUUAAUUGGUUCUCUUAUUUCUUAUGAGGAAGACUUGGCAACCGAAAAAGACAAUGAGGAGACGAAGAAAAGCAUUGCUCUCAAAGUCUCAAAAUAUGAGAGUGAUGAGGAAAGCGAGAUGGAUGAGGAGGAGAUGGAUAUGCUGGCUAGGAGGUUCAGAAAAAUUUUUAAGAAAUUCGAUGAGCGAAGAAAAUUUAGAGACCUCAAGAACCAAAAGGAGAAGAAGGAAGUAAUCAAAUAUUAUGAGUGUAAGAAGCCUGGCCAUAUAAGGUCGGAACGCCCUCUUCUCAACAAGCUCAAGAAGAAAGCAACGGUAGCCAUGUGGGAUAAUAGCGAUGAGGAAACAAGUGAUGAUGAAGAGCAUCAAGAAAUGACAAAUCUAGCUCUCAUGGCAAUUGGAGAUGAAUCGGAUGAUGAACUUGAUGAGGUAAAUGAUCUUCCUACUUAUGAUGAAUUACAUGAUGCGUUUAAAGAAUUGUAUGAUGAGUGGAUGAAAAUUGGUAAAAAGAAUGCAUGUCUUAAAAAGAAAAUUGUAGAGCUCACAAAUGAAAAUGAAUCUCUAAGUGCAAAGAUUAUAUGCCUAGAAUUAGAGAAUAAAACAUUGCAUGAUAAAGUUGCAUUAUCAAAUGAGAAAUGUAGCACUCCACACGAGCUUUUAAAAUCAUAUGUAGAUGACUUGAAAAAUGAAAAGGAUGCUUUACAAAAAUGCAAUGAUUAAUUAAAUGAAAAGAUUAAAGGACUAGAAAUAGAGAAUAAAACUUUGCAUAAUAGAGUUGCAUUAUCAAAUGAGAAACCAAGCACUUCACAUGAGCAUCUAGAGCCACAUGUAGAUGAUUUGAAAAAGGAAAAUGAAAUGCUCAAGAAAAAGAACCUUGAACUUAGUGAUGUUGUGUUAAAAUUCACAAAUGGGCAAAAGAUGUUGGAUAACUUGCUUAAUUCACAAAAAUAUGUGUUUGACAAAUGAGGCAUUGGUUAUAAGCCAAAUUUGAAACAAAAAUAUUAUAAAACUACCUCCAUUAAUGAUCAAAUUGUAUGCCAUUAUUGGAAUCAAAAUGGUCACAUGAAGCUUAGAUGUCUGGUUAAAAGAAAUGCAUAUUAUGGAGUAACAUGUAUUUGGGUUCCAAAAGGAAUCAUUGCUAACACUCAAGGACCCAAGAAUAUUUGGGUACCAAAGCACACAACUUGAAUUUUUUUUUUGUAGGUACCACAGUUAAGGAAUGGUGGAGAGUUCCUUGAUGAAACUUGUGAGGAUUAUCACUUGAUCAUGGUCUAAGCAAAAAUAAGGAGGCAAGAUGAUUUAAUUGUUUUGGUAACAAUUAUUGCCUUAUUGAUUAUAAGUGAUGGUCUUUUAAUCUUAGUAAGUAUUUCAUAUUUCAUCAUAACAUUAAGUGCAUUAGCAUGAAGUGGAUAAGUUUAUCUUGCCUAUUUAUUAUGUUGAGUGGAUUAUGAAAAAUGGAUAGCAGCUUGAAUUUGUUAAAGUAUACUUGUAUGUUUACUUGAUUGAAUUAUCAUUGUGUAUAACAUUGAGUGCUUUAUCAUGAUGCAUGGUUAUAUAUACAUGAUGAUAGCUUGUCAAUUCAUCAUGAUGGAUUUGUUUGAUUUUAAUGAUUAUUAAUGCCUAAGCAUGAUAAAUGAGUAAUAUGCUUGAAUUAUUAAUCUUUGAAUGCUUAUAUGUUUCGUGAUUGUGUAAAAUAUAUACAUGAUGGAUGAAUUAUAUGUUUGAAUUAAUCAUGUCUUAAAUAUUUAUAAUUAUGAUUCAUGCACUAAAAUGGCUUUUAAUAUGUUUCGAGAUCACGAAAUGACCUUGGAAUCGAUCAAAUCAGCCGGAAAACGAUCAUUUGUGCAGAAGGGCAGCAAGGAGACGGCUAGCCACCUGCCCCAAGCGGGUAGUCGCUUUGGCACUGCCCAAACCCGAGAGCAAGCGGCUAGCCGCUUGCCCCCAAGUGGUUAGCCGCUUGGUCACGGGUUUAAGAGAUCUCCCCCCUCUUUUUCAUGUGUUCUUUAACCUCUCUCCAUUCUCUCUCAAAGCUGAACAUAUCCCCUCCAUUUCCACUUAAAAUUUCUUCAUUUCUCACUCUUUUUCAUGCCAAGAUCAAAUCUUUCAAACCAUUACCCAUGCAUUUAACCUUCAUUAAACACUUCUCAAUCAUCAUUUCUUCACUUGUUCCUCUUUCUCUCUCUCACGUGUGAAUAGUGCUUCUCCAUUUCUCUCUUAAAUUUCUUCAUCUUUCACUCAUUUUCUUGUUAAAAUCAAUCAUUCAAAUUAUUAUUCAUCCAUUACUCUUUAAAUUUUCACUCUCAAAACAACAUUUCAUCAACUCUCCACAUAAAACCCAAAAUCAAAAACCUUAUUCUACUCGUUUCUCUCUCUUAUUUUCAAGCUUCCUUUAGCCCAUUUUUUAUCCAAUCUAAAUCAUAUAUUAGCUUCAUUCAUAUCUAGGAUCGAUUUUCUUGGCUCAAACACAUCCACUCCUCUCAUUAGUUUACAAAACCAAAUUGGUGCAUUUUGGGUAUUUUAAAUUACUACUUCCAUAGUGUGCUCACCUUAUGGAUUUUACCUUGGUUCUCUAUUCAAUUAUGCACCUACAUUUUCAUAUGCAUUGUUGUUUUUAUUUAUAGAUUGAGGAUGAUAAUUGUUAUGUUAUAACUCUUUAGUUAAUUGCAUGCUUAAGUUUUAUAUGUUUCUUGAUUAAUCAUUGAGAUGUUCUUUUUGGUAUAAGCAUGGAUUUAUAGUACUUUUGAUGAUUGAUGAUUAUAUGUGUGUUGCUUGAUGAAUUGAUGGAGUUGUUGGUUUGUUAUAAUUGUUUAAGCUUAUAUGGAAGUGUUUUUAACCAUGUUGUGUAUUUGAGGAUUUGUUCAUUUUAAGGGGAGACUACCGAAAUUUUUGCUCGCACAAAAUUGGUAAUAUUUUUAUCGAAUUAUUUUUUAUGAUCUUGUUUCGAUUGCAUCUAUCUAUUUUUUUUAUGAAGGGGAAGAUAAAUAUGAUAUGUUUUUUGAUAAAAUCAUUUUGGUUAAAAUUUUAAAUUGGCCAUAUAUUUAGGAGGAGCAUACAAUGUGAUUUUGGAUAAUAUGCGUUUUGAAAUUUUUUGUUGUCUAAAGGAGGAGACAAAAUAAUAUAUCAUUUCGAUGUUGUCAAAAGGAGGAGAAUAAUAUGCACUUUGAGUAUUCUUUUGAUGGUUGAUAUGUGAUUAUGGUGAUGAUUUUGAGAUAUGAUGAUGAUUUGAUUACAUGAUUUUUAUGAGUUGUUGAUUUGGUAAUUGAUGGAAUGAUGGUUCAUGAUUAUUUUAUGGUUAAUUGGAUGUUUGGUUAUUAUAUGUUUCUCGAUUAACCAUUGACAUAUUAUCGGUCUUAGCAUGAAUUUAUAGUAAUUUUGAUGAUGAAGGGGGAGAGAUCAUGUAUUUUGAAUAUGGAGACAUAUAAUAUGUAUUUUGAUCUUGAAGUAUUUGUGCAUGGUUUUGAAAUAUUAAGGGGGAGCUUACAAAUUGUUAUAGAUCAUAUAUUCAGGGGAGUUUAUCUUUAAAUUUUGAUUUAUAUAUUGAAUUAUAUAUGCCAUGUAUUAAGGGGAGUAUAAAUGCCAAAAUACAUGAGAUGUUUGUCAUCAUAAAAAAUGGAGAGAUUGUUAGCCUAAAGGACUACACAUUAUGUAAUUUUGAUGAUAACAAACAUGUGUCUUAAGUGAUUUUAUAAAUAUUGUAUUUCAUAUUUCAUUAGUUCUUGAAGGAUAACAUUUAUGAUGAGGUGAAUCACGUGAAAUCAAGCUCAAGACACUCAACGGACAACGGCGUGAUCAAGAAUAAAGUUUAAAGCUCAACGGACUAAUUAUUACGACAAAUUCUUGUAAAGCCGGUAUGAUUUAAUUGAUGCAUGAUUUAGCAUUUGAGAAACUCAAGAGAUUUAUUUAAAUAAUUACUUUUCAUAAACUAAAAGGUUUUAUUUUUAUAAGGUAAAGUAUUUUGUGGAUUUGAGUAAUUUGGACUUAAAUGAAAAUUUUUGCAAUCUUUGAUUUUAAUAAGUAUUAUGUUGAAUUUUAGAGUUGGACCCUUUUCCAAACAUUUGAAAUGUUUUGGGCCACACUAUAAUUUAUGAAUAUUUUGGACUAAAGUCAAAUGUUUUGAUAACUUUGAAAAAUAUGGGUAUUAUGUUAACAUUUUAAAAAAGGACCUCUUUGAAAAUAAUAAUAUAUUAGGGGUCAUAUCAUAAUUUUAGAAAGUUUUGAAAUGACAAUCAUUAAUUAGAAAUUCCGAAAUUGGACCUAUUUGAAAAGUUUUAUAAUAUUUUGGCUCAUAAUAUAAUUAUAGAAAGUUUUGGGCAAAAGUGUAAUUUCAGUGAACAGUAUUACUGUUGCAAAAUUCAAAAAUAACGGUAAUAUUACUGUUACAAGCGGCUAACCGCUUGGUUGUGGGAAUUUGUCUAUAACGGCUAGUUUUCAGGCUUUAACUAUAAAAACUCAACUCCAAUUUCAUUUUAAGGACUACUGCAAGCAUAAACAAGAUCAUAUAAUAUAUAUUGAGCUUCCAUUUCGCAAAUCAUCAUUUAUUGAAUUAUUAUUGAGCUAUAAUUUUUUUUAUCCACUCUUAAAGAGAGUUUCAUUGUUAUAAUUUUCAUUUCUCAUCAAAUUGUGAGUGUACAAGUGUGAGAAACACUUAGGGUGAAGAGAUUGGAGAGAUAAUCUCUUGAUUGUAAAGGCCCAUUGACACCUUGAAAGUCAAUUGUAAACAUUUGAAGCCUUGGGAGGCUUGGAUAGUGAAAUCCUCAAGCCGGGUGAGCUUGGAGGCGUGGAUGUAGGCGGGGUUGCCGAACCACGUAAAAAUCCUUGUGUUUGUUUUCUCUUCCCUAACUCUUUUAAUAUUGUGCUUGAUUGAAUUUAUUGUUUUUGAAUUGAUUAAGGCAAUAGAUUGAAUUGUUGUGUGGUUUGCUUAGCAUAUGUUUUAAAAACUUAAUUCACCCCCCUUCUUGGGUUGCAUAACUUGCAUUUCAACUACCUUAUCUAAAGUGAAGCACUUUUAACUGGUGGACCAAAUGUGUAGCAUAAAAGACCAAACAUCAUCACAAAAGCCCCACUUUGAUAAAACAUCAUGAAAAACCGCACAACAAAGGAUUCUAAAUUCUCAACAAUAUUUACUAAUAAACCUUUCAACAUUUUAGUUUAAGAAUUAAUGAGCUACCUACUAGAAAACUAGCACAAACAAAACUCAAACAUACACAAAACAAUCUAGUGCUUUCUAGUUCAAGCAAAUUAAAAAAAAAAACUAUGGAAGAUAUAAGAUUCACAAGCUUUGUGGAUUUAAUUCUAUAUGUCAACUAGAUUAUGGCCAUUAAAGUGGGAUGGCUUCUUUAAUAACAUACAUUAAAGUCACGAAGUACCACACAUAGUAGAAAGUGUGAUGUCCAGGUUUUUAUAUAUAUGAAAGAUGAAUUUAAAUGCUUUGGCUCAUUGUCUGCAGCUAUUUUCUGUAGCUAUUAUAAUCUUGAUCGUAUUUUACGAUAUAUAUAUAUAUAUAUAUAUAUAUAUAUAUAUAUAUAUAUAUUUAGCACCACCACUGGAUUUCUAUUUUGAUUGUGCACACAAUAUUCUGGUUCUGAUUAUGUUCUUAGCAGGGUCAUUGGAAGUAUAGGUGACACUAUGUAACAUGAGCAAACUUUUUUUUUAUUGUGUAUAUAUGAUAUACAAUUUGUUUUCGUGAUUAGUUACGCUUUUGAAAUUCUAAAUAAAUUAUGAAUUUAUAUCUUUCUGUUAUAAAAUGCAUUUUGUAAAAUUUAUGAUUUUUAAUAUAUGUUUUGAUAAGAAAAGGGCUUGCAAUAUUUUUUGAACUUGAUAACUGUAGUGAGUGGCACUGGUUUUACUUACCAAGUUGACAGCUUACUCCUCGUCAUUACUUUUUGGAGUUUGAGUAACUUGUUGAGAGGUGCACUUAUCUUUGGACCUAGAAAUUUAUUUAUUUUUGUUAGUAGAAUAAGAGGAGAAUGAACUUUUGUUUCCUUUAAGUUUGUUUGUCUUCCGAACUUGCAAUUGGAGAGUUUUGAAACUUUGUUAUAUUCAUGGCUUUGGUAAAAGGAAAAUCCUUAGUAUUAGGCUAGUGGAUUUGUUUGAAUAAACUUUGGCUCAUUUCUAAUUGAGGCUUUUGUGAAGGAUUAUUAUUUAUAAGUAACCUCCUUUACCACAUGCUCCACACGUGUUGGAUUUAGGGUAUUACAAUUUGCUUCAAGUGAGGAUGUUGUUUGUGUAGUUUUCAUUGGUAACUUAUCAAUACUAGACUUAAAUAAGUCAAAGAUGAACUUAGAAAAUGGUAAAAGAGGCUAUAAAUAAGGUUAAAAUUGUCAAAUUUGAAAUUAAUUCGUAUGACUUGAAAAUUGAAAAAAUUAGCCAUAAAUUUGUUUCAACCAUCGAAGAUAGUUUUAAACAAAUUUUAAGUUCAAUAAAACCUUGACCCAAUGUUUAAGAAACUUAAUGGUAAUUCCUAACUGUACAUUUUAUCAAGCUAAUGUAUUUUCCUUUUAUACAUGAGCAAAGUGCAUAAUUGUUCAUGGAAUACAUAACCUAUUCAUAAUUUAUAUAGAGGUAGAAAAAUGGGUUAAUGGAUUGUGUUUAUGUCAUAUCAAAAUUUAAGACUACUCAAACACAGUCUAUUUAAUAAUUGCAUCAAACAAUCAAAAUCCUAGUUAACCUGAGAUCACUAUUAACUGGAUUUACAUUAGCAAGAUCAAUUUAAUAAUUAAAUCAAAUUUUAAUUGUGUUGAGUAAAUGAGUAAGAAAAUAAACAAGAUAAAAUUACUGGGGAAAAAAAAUUUGAAUGAAGUAGCCGCGGUAAAGUUGUCAAGGCGUUUAUUAGAAAGAGAGAGAAGUAAAUAGUAAUUAAUCCAAAAAUAUAGGCCCAAUCAACAUUUUUCUUUGUUCCAAUAGAAAUAUUCAGUCAAUAAUGAUUUAUUAAUAUAAUUUAUGAUUGCCCAACCCUUACCCUUUAAAUGAAAAAAAAUUAACAUAUUUUAUGAAAUGUUAAAAUGAUUAGCCAGCUGUAAGGUAAUAAGAAUAGAGUUAUCGAAUUUUUUAUUAUUAUUUCUUUUUGAAUGGGAAUAGUUGGACAUUUGAAGGCAUAUAAUUACGAAAAAUAGUCUAAUAAAACAAAUCGGAGUUUCUGACAAAUAAAACAAAUUUAUAAGUUUAAGAAUUGAAAUUAAGGUAAAAGGUUUUGUGGAGCAAAUGAUUUUAAGAUCGUUCUCCAGUAUUUCAAAAAAUAUACUUUUAGAGAGCAAUGAUGGUUCUAACUUCUAACUACCUUUUGUUAUCAAGUAUUUUUAGUGACACUUGUAUGAAAGUUGGUUUUCUUCAUUUCAAAAAAAAUGUCUUUUAAUUAGGGAAGUUAUAAAAUUUUUCAUUAAUUUAGUUUGUUUUUCCAUUAUAUAUAAGACAUAAUUGAAGGAAUAUGUAUAUUAAACAUUAUUUUAGCAAGGGAGAAGAGAAAAAGAGUAAUUAAAAUCAUGAAGAAGUUCAUUGUUCUCAUUCUUUUCUUCACUUUUUUUCUAUGUCUUAUGAAUCUUUCUCAAGGUAAAUAUAGUAUCCCAAAAAGUUAUUUUUAAAUUUGUUUUAAUAUGAGAAUACUCACAUUUUAAUGAUUUUUAUGUUUCUUUGCAAGAAAAGGACAACUAAAAUUCUGUACUAAACACAUGACAAUUCCUGGCGUUUGUCCCAAGGAUCCUAAGGAAGCAGAAUUCGUGUGCCUUAAAGCCUUCUUCGAUAAAUAUGGAGCAACAAAGAGCCCAGAUAAUUGUCUAUGCAAACCAUCAACUGGCAACCAGCACAUCUGCCAGUGUGACAUUAUUUGCGAUCCACCACCACCUAAACGAACUUAAUUAUGGUGUCCAAUAGUAUGAAGAAUGAAGAUCACUAAAUCUACGAUAUCGAUAUUAACCUAUUGUUAAAUCAUAGAUAGAUAAUGAUACGGUGGUUUGUAAUAAUAAAUCAUAAUAUUUACUUAAGUAAUUAAUCGCUAUGGUUGAGAAACAUUUGUAUAUGAAACAAUGGGUAAUUUCAUUACAAUGUCAGAUUACUAAAAAGAAAAAUUGCUUUUACACUAUUGAAUAUAAAUAAAUCCAGUCGAAUAAGUUUUCUUUUAAUCCUAAUAACCAUGUUAAAAACAAAACUUCUAAUUAAGAUAUAAAACUUUUUGUGUGUGCCUUUUUCUUCCCCCUUAAAGAACUAAUAACUUAAGGCUAAAGUUUCAGUGUCGGGCCUUAAUGCCUAGCAUUGUGCCAAUUUUUAUUUGUAGCUGUUGGAUUCAAGUAAAAUGAGUCCAACGGUUGAGAUUAAAUUAAAAAUAAAAAGUAACGGGUUACUUGUUAAACGGUUGCUGAAAUCCAUUACAUUUUCCCUCCUUCAAAUCUCAAACAUCUCUUUCACCCCUCUUACUAUCACUCUCUGAAAUACUGAUUUGUCUCUUGGAUUGUUUACUAAUCACAUAAAAUUAAAGCUACCGUGUAACUCACAGUGAACAACAAGUCGAAUCCAUCAAUCAAUUGGUGUCAUCUUGAGUUGUUCUCUUUCAUUUUUUAGUUAAAGACAAGGUAAUGAUGAUUCUUGUGUUUUUGUGGUGACUAUUGAAAAUGAUAUGUGAAAGAAUUACGGGUUUGAUAUGUGAAAGAAUUAUGGGUUUAUGUGCUAUAUUAAAUUGUUGAUGAUAUGUGAAAUAAUUAGGGAUUUAUAAGCUGAUAGGUAGUGAGAAUUAUGAUGAUGACUUUAAGUUCCUCUUUUCUUUGCCUCUUCUAAGAACUGUAUUAUAUCCCACAAGUGCCACUUACAUCAAUACGAUGUACCUCCAUGUUCUGAAAGGUAGUAUGAUGAAUGAAGAUCACUAAAUCCACGAUAUCUUUAUUAACCUACUGUUAAAUCAUAGAUAGAUACUAAUACGGUAGUUUGUAAUAAUAAAUCAUAAUAUUUACUUACUAUGGUUGAGAAAUAUUUAACUAAUUAGUUACUGGGGUUGAGAAAUAUUGGUAUAUGAAACAUGGGUAAGUUCAUUACUAUGUUGGAUUACUAAAAGGGAAAAAUUACUUAUACACUAUUGAAUAAAUCUGGUCGACAAUCAAUAACUUCAUUAUAAUUAAAGUGCGCACAAACAUUCUAAAAGGUCAUCCAGCCAAAUAACAGAAUUUAAAAGAGCUAACUUGGCUAGUACAUGGGUUGAGCUAUUUAAAAUUACACGAAAUAUGAUGAAUUUGAAAAGCGGAUCGUUGUUCCAUGGGUUGUAAAAUAUUAGCAAUAACUUAGAAAAUACUAACUGCGAAAAUAGUAGCAACCCUAACAUACCAAUGACAAUCACACAUCACCGCACUUAAACCCAUGACAUUAUGCGCACAAUCAACAGUGAUGAUGCCAGCCUCACAGUGAAACUUUGAGACCCACGUUCAAUUUAAGGUUUCAAUUUCCCAACAUAUUUUUUUUCCUUUUUUAAAAGAGGAUCAUUGGAUUUCACCCCAUUCCACAUAUUAAAUAUACUUCCUAUAUUCCUACCAAUAUAUGUAGUAAUCUCUAAGUACCUAUGACUAGACAAAUCCCUUAUGCAAGGAAUAAAUAAAUAACAAUAUUAUUGAUGCACUGAUGUAAUAAUAAAGCCCUAACAUUUUGUCAGUUGCAAUAAAAAUACCUACACAAAAAAGAAAAAAAUCCUCAAUUUUACGUUAUUUGUUUCAGCAAUCUGAGAAAGCAAAAAUCACUUGUUGAAAAAGCUUAAUUGCUCACUUUUAGUAAUUUUAAUCUUUUGCAUUUGCUAAUUGCUCAAUCUCGAUAAUGUUCUUUCUCUUGUUAAAAGCUAUCAAGGGAAUGAUUUUAGCAAUCCAAGUGAUGGAUAGACCUUUCUAAACUUGCUCAUUUAUUUGGUUUUGGAUAUGGAAUUGAUGUUGUUUGCUGCCAAUGAAGAGAUUUGAUCAAAUUGUUUCUAAAAGAAUAAAAUUGUUAUUUUUUUCCUUUGAAAAAGUUUAGUUGUUUGAUCACAUGAAAUUUCUAAUAUAUAUAAGUUUGCAAAAUGAUAGAGUCUAAAGAGAAAAAUCUUAUGUACUUUUUAGUAUUUUUGUACAAGAUAAAAUUGGAAUCAUUAAUAGGGUUUGGUGAGAUAAAAUGAGAUAAUCAAAUAUCAAUACUCUAAACGAGAUAAUUAGAUUCUUAGGCUUUCAUAGUUUUUUCUUUUUUAAUACACUAGGCUUUUAUAGUUGGAACAUCUAAAUCAAAAGCAGAUGCAAAACUUGGCCAUAGAAAUUAGAACAUCCUUAAUUCAAAAGCCAAUACAAAGAUGCAUUCCUAGUAAGACAAAAACUUUUAAAGUGAUGACAUUAGAGAAGCAUUGUGAUAUCCAAUUUUAGUAGGCGUACCAAGUUUAAUUAAAAUUUAAUUAAACAAAUAAUGAGUAAAAAUAAAAUGCGUAAAAGUAAAGCACACAAGAAGAUUUUUACGUUACUCACUACAUCCAUGGAACCACGCUCAAAUAUCGAGUAAUUUCUAGGCUCAAGAGAUUACAACCUCUUGAAACCUUACACAAUAUGAGACUCCAUCUUAGUGAUUGCCACCAACUUAUAAUAAACUCACCAAGUGUUGAUGGGUGGCUUUUUAUCUAAAUUAAACCAUUAUUGGUGGUUUGUUGAUCUUGGAAUUGAGUUGAUAGCUCCACACUAUAAGAAAAUAGGCAAUAGAUGACAGUAAAUAACUGUCAUAAAAGGGGAUGUAUGACAGACAACUUAUCUGUCAUUUAUGUUACUAUCAUUAAUUCAUGACAAAAUAUUUUCCGUCAUGAAUUCAUGAUGAUUUUUCACAGUCACAUAUCUGUCAAACAAUAUUUAAUGAGAAAUUAAAAUUAUUUAAUUUUUUGGCAUUUUUAAACUUUUUGGCUGUAAAUUAGUAUUAUUUGAAUAUUAAAAUUACUUAAAAGCAUUAUUUUUUGAAUUGUAUUGUUAUUAUUAUUUGUGUUGAAUUAUUAUUAUUAUUAGAAUUCUCAGCAAUUUUUUUUAGAAUAAAUUUAUAAAUCUAAAAUAAAUACGAAAUAUGAUACAAAAAAUUAAAGAAUCCAAUUAAUAAAACCUGGAUAUCCAUUUAACCAUACAACCCAUAUCAUUGAGGUAUUCAAGCAACAACAACCCAAAGUUUCAAAACAUAUCCUAAAUAGCCUCUCCAUUCUUUUGCCAUGCCCUCAAUUGUUGGCCUUAGAAUACUAGUCCCGUAACUCCGCAUCUUAUUCCUGUUCAAGAAAAGAAUUAGAGCAAUAAUCAGUUUAACUAUGAACGAACAUGCAUACCUUAAUAAUAGUUUACAGUCUAAUAAUUGUGCAUAGCUAUUUUUUUUAUAAGUUGAACUAUCCAAUGAAAAUAUCUAUCGUAGCCCCAAAGAAAAAAAGAACACAAAAGCUAAAAGAAAGCCAAAUUGACAAUUUAAUUGCCUAAUUUAAUAAAAGGAGAAAAAAUUUCAUCACAUGUUACUAUAUUGCCAAUAAAUGUAAUCAACACAUUUUCUUAAGAACUCUAUCUCCGCUAUAUUUUAACAUUAGUAAUUUUACCACAAGCCAACACAUAAAAAUUACAAAACCAUAUUCACAAAUAAAGUAUUUGUAACAACACUCAAAUUUUGUCAGAUGCAAUAAGGGUAUCCAUCUCAAAACUAGUUCUAAAAUAGAAGAAAGCAAGGCAUUAUAAAGAUUAUAACUCAAUGAAACACAUAAAAACAUCAAGAAAUUAUAAUUAAACAUCAAAUAAAAAUUCAUAGAGUUCAAGCAAAAGACAAAUAUCUAAACAUUUAUUCAAAUAUCUGAUUAAGAAAUUCUACAAUAAUCCAAUUCGGUCAUCUUGAACAAAAUCAUUAAUCUCAUUACCUUAUCUAAAGUGAAGCACUUUUUAACUGGUGGAACAAAUGUGUAGCAUAAAAGACCAGACAACAUCACAAAAGCCCCACUUUGAUAAAACAUCAUUAAAAACCACACAACAAAGGAUUCUAAAUUCUCAACAAUAUUUACUAAUAAUCCUUUCAACAUUUCAGUUUAAGAAUUAAUGAGCUACCUACUAGAAAACUAGCAUAAACAAAACUCAAACAUACACAAAACAAUCUAGUUCUUUCUAGUUCAAGCAAAUUAAAAAAAAAACUAUGGAAGAUAUAAGAUUCUCAAGCUUUGUGGAUUUAAUUCUAUAUGUCAACUAGACUAAGGCCAUUAAAGUGGGAUGGCUUCUAUAAUAACAUACAUUAAAGUCACGAAGUACCACACAUAGUACAAAGUGUGAUGUCCAGGUUUUUAUAUAUAUGAAAGAUGAAUUUAAAUGUUUUGGCUCAUUGUCUGCAACUAUUUUCUGUAGCUAUUAUAAUCUUGAUCGUAUUUUAUGAUAUAUUCUUUUUGGAGACUUUGUGAAAGCCUUUACAAAGAGUUUUCUGUAACUUUAAAGGUUCUUUGUAAAAUACGUUGGGCUUCGUGAGUGUGGUAAUUGAAGUUCCACAUCCAGACCCAAGGAAGAAAGAAAUUUGUACAGAAACAGAGAAAAGGAGGAAACCUCUUCUCAGAUUCAGAAGGAACAUAAUGGGCUUAUCAGAGCUUAGGUAUAUAUAUAUAUUUAUGUUUAGCACCACCAUUGGAUUUCUAUUUUGAUUGUGCACACAAUAUUCUGGUUCUGAUUAUGUUCUUAGCAGGGUCAUUGGAAGUAUAGGUGACACUAUGUGACAUGAGCUAACUUUCUUUUUAUUGUGUAUAUAUGAUAUACAAUUUAUUUUCGUGAUUAAUUACGCUUUUAAAAUUCUAAAUAAAUUAUGAAUUUGUAUCUUUCUAUUAUAAAUUUAUGAUUUUUAAUAUAUGUUUUGAUAAGAAAAGGGCUUGCAAUAUUUUUUGAACUUGAUAACUGUAGUGAGUGGCAAUGGCUUUAUUUACCAAGUUGACAGCGCACUCCUCAUCAUUACUUUUUGGAGAUUGAGUAACUUAUUGAGAGGUACGCUUAUCUUUGGACCUAGAAAUUUAUUUAUUUUUGUUAGUAGAAUAAGAGGAGAAUGAACUUUUGUUUCCUUUAAGUUUGUUUAUCUUCCGAACUUGCUGUUGUGCAAAUUUUAUUGAACUCGCAAGAGCACAAAUCUAUUGUAGAAUAGAUCAAUGAUGACGAGUGUCGAUCCCACGAGGAGGUGGAUUUUAAUUAUGCGUAGAAUUAAUUAUCUAUGUGGGUGGUUGGAUUUGUGGUAAAAAUGAUUUGGACUAUCCUAAAAUCUGAAUUAAAAUGGUGAGAAUAAAUUAAAGAGAAAUCUAUUGAAAUGAAGUGCUUGGGUAUCUGGAUCUGCAUCAACAUGGAUCAUGGGCUAAAUACUCCUUAUUAGUGCCAAUUAAAUCAUGAGGGGGGAAUCCACACCUCAUGAACCACACUCUAAUCAAUAUGGUGCUAAGGGCUUAUCGUGCCAAAUAAUAAUAACCUUGUACUAGGGAGCCGGUGAAACCAGGCCGGUAUCUAGACAAGAUUAUUAUUAUUUGUCGACGAAAAGUCAAAACAUCCACAAAAAUUAGAAGGGAAGAGAAAAUAAAUUUACCAAAUAAGACCAUGGCACAUGUUGAAACUUCACCUUCAACCCAAGCUUAAAAGAAAAUUAACUACUCAUAAUUGAACUAGGGGCAAAAUAGAAAUUUAUUAAAAUACGUAGAAAAUACAAGAUGAAGAAUGAAUUACAGAAAAUUGAACUAAAAAAUGAAUUCAAGGAUACCAAAUUAGGGGGGAGAGCCCCCUUUUUAUAGAUACAUUGAGUAAAUCAUGACCAUCGGAUUAAGAACAUUUCGAACGCUCAGGAUGGCGCCAUGUCAUCAGUCAACAAUACGCGGUUUGACCACAUGGUUUGAACAGUGACGCGGUUUGAACAGUAAUGCGGUUUGGUUGUAAGAUAUCCUGUGUAUAUUGUUGAGUGUUAGAAAAUGCAUAUUUAUAAAGGAGAGAACCGUCAUUUUACAUUUCAAGUCUUACUAACAACCCUUACUUUUAUGUAUUUAACCUUCUUGUGAUUUAAUUACAUGUGUUUUAUUUUAAUUAAGUAUUUUAUGUAUUUUAGGGGCAUUAUAGUCAUUUCACAAUAAAGGAGAAAUCAGACAGCAAAACGGACAUCACUUUUGAACUCAGGACGGUCAAAAACCUUAGGAGGAGCAUAAAAGGAAAAAUGGCACUAUUCACAUGUACGGUACUAUUCACGUGUACGGUACUGUAUACGUUACUGUUCACGACACUGUUCACAUAGACGGAUGAUGACGUGGCAUUGACCGAUGAUGUGGCAUUGACUGAUAAGGUGUCACGAUCCUAUUGGACUAAAAUUCUUAUGUACUGUUGAUGGUGACGUGGCAGCAUAUCAGUGGACGAAAAAUCUCGCGUACGGUGCAUGCAUCACACAGGAUUAUUUUCAACCAAACCGCGUUACUGUUCAUCUGGGUCAAACAGCGUUACUGUUCAAAGUCGGGUCAAACCGUGUCACUGUUCAUCCGCGUGGUCAAACCGUGGACGGUUGAUUGAUGACGUGGCGCAAUCCUGAGCGUCCAAACUGUUUUUAAUCCGAUGGCCAUGAUUUACUCCAUGUAUCUAUAAAAAAGGGGCCUCUCCCCCCUAAUUUGAUAUUUCUGAAUCCAUUUUUGAGAUCCAUUUUCUGUAAUUCCCUCUCCGUCUUGUAUUUUCUUCGUAUUUUAAUAAAUUCCCAUUUUGCCCCUAGUUCAAUUAUGAGUGGCUAAUUUUCUUUCAAGCUUGGGUUGAAGGUGAAGUCUCAACAUGUGUCAUGGGCUUAAUUUGGUAAAUUUGUUUUCUCUUCCCCUCUAAUUUUUGUGGAUGUUUUGACUUCUCGUCGACAAAUAAUAAUAGUCUUGUCUAGAUACCGCCUUGGUUACACCGGCUCUCUAGUAUAAGGUUAUUAUUAUUUGGCACGAUAAGCCCUUAGCACCAUAUUGAUUAGAGCGUGGUUCAUGAGGUGUGGAUUCCCCCCUCAUGAUUUAAUUGGCAUUAAUACGGAUUAUUUAGCCCAUGAUUCAUGUUGAUACGGAUCCAGAUACCUAAGUACGUCAAUUUAAUAGAUUUUCUCUUCAAUUUAUUCUCUCCAUUGCAAUUCCAAUUUUAGAAUUUAUUCUCGCCAUUUUAAUUUAAGUCUUAGCAUAUUCCAAAUCAUUUCCCACCAUAAAUCCAACAACCCAUUUACAAAAUUAAUUCUAUACACAUAAUUAAAAUCCACCUCCUCGUGGGAUCGACACUCGUCACCAUUAGUCUAUACUAAAAUAGAUUCGUACGCUUGCAAGUACAUUAAAAUUUGCACAACAAGUUUUUGGCGCCGUUGCCGGGGAGGUAAGUAAUUUUAAUUCAUAGAAUUAAUUUUUGUGAAUAAUUUCUUUUAUUUGUUUUCUUGUAUUUUUUUAUUAUUAAAAAAAGAAAAAGAAAAAAAAAAGUUAAUCUACAUUUAAAGGUUAGUAUUUCUUUUCUUUUUCUCUUCUUUAAAAUUCUGUAAUUUAAUUUUCAAUUUAUUUUUCUUUGUAAUUUUUUUUGUUUAUCUUAUUAAUUUAUUUCACGUAUUUAUUUUUGUGUAUUUUUAUAGAAAGUUUGUAAUAGCGCAAUAAGGUUAGUAUCAUAAUUUCUCCCUCUUCUUUAUUUUUAUUUGUUUUGUUCCCAUCUUUAUUUUCAUUUUAUUUGUUUUGCGUGCAUGGUCGUAGGUCAUUAUUACCUAAUCUUGAACCUAUAGACCUUGAAUUAGAAAAAACACUUCGCACACACAAACACGUUAAAAAUAAAAUGGAUUUACAAGCACCACAUGAGAGGCCGUUUAAGGACUAUUUUAGUCCCUUAGCUAAUUUGAGCACGUCAUGCAUAAGAUACCCAAAUGUAGCUACUAGGAGUUUUGAAUUAAAACCUAGUGUGCUAAAUUGUCUCCCCACAUUUUAUGGCUUAGAAAAUGAGGAUCCAUAUAAUCAUCUGAAUGAUUUUCAUGCCAUUUGUCAAACUUUUAAAUAUGAAAAUUUUUCAGACGAUGAUGUUAAACUUAGACUAUUCCCAUUUUCUUUAAAAGAUAGAGCUCGUUCAUGGCUUAAUACAUUGCCUGCUAAUAGCAUUGCAUCAUGGGAACAAAUGGUAAUUAAAUUUUUGAAUAAAUAUUUCCCAGUGCAUAAAACCAACGCUAUUCGCAGGGAAAUCUCGGAGUUUACCCAGAAAGAGGACGUGCAGUUUUUUGAAACAUGGGAGCGAUUCAAUGGGCUACUCUUGAAGUGUCCACAUCAUGGGUAUGAGAAAUGGCACCAAUGCCAAUACUUUUUGGAGGGAUUACUACCAAAUGUGCAAGAAUGGCUAAUGGCGACAAGUGGAGGAGAGCUAAUGUCAAAAAGUGCAUCCGAGAUUUGGGAAUUCUUUCAGCGACAAGCGGAUAAUUCCCAACAACGGAGUCGAUCACUCCGGAAUACUAGAAGAAUUAAGGGAGUAAAUGAGGUUCACAUUGGCGACUUAAGUUCAGAAAUUAAAGAAGUCAAAGCAAUAAUUGAAGGUCUCUCUCGACAAAUAGCAUCGUUAUCGACUGCUAAAUCAACAGAGCCACAUGACCAUGACUCAUACUCAGAUCAAGCCAAUGCCAUAGGUGUAAUGAGAAAGCCAUCAAAUUACAACCCAUACUCCAACACAUAUAACCCUGGAUGGAGAGACCACCCCAAUUUUUCAUGGUCUCAAGGAUUCCAACAGAAUGGAUCAGCAGCUCCAGCUCCACCAAUGCAACCAAUUCCACAAAAUCCUCAAGCCUCUCAGCCCCCAUUUAGACCAUACAAUCAUAACCAGAACUACUCUCAACCCAGACCAUGGGAGGAUGCAUUCCAGAAUUUCAAAAAUCUUACUCACUCCACGAUUGAGCAACAGAAUCGCACCAUUAAUGGACUAUGAAAUGAGUUGAGAGCAGGCUUCAAUUCACAAGCCCAAUCAGUUUCAAGCCUUGAGAAGAUGGUGGGACAACUUGCUUCUUCAGUUCAGACCUUGGCAAUGACUGUUGAGAAAGGCAAGUUUCCAAGUCAACCAGUGCCUAAUCCUAAAAGAGUACAUGAAGCAAGUACCAGUUCACCACAGCAACAUGGAGAGGUCAAAGCAGUAAUGACCUUGUGAAAAGGAAAUGAAGUCGACAACAAAGUGGAGAUGCCGGUGACAAAAGAAAAUCAAAUUGUACCUGUGAAUGUUGAGGACUCACCACCGGAGGAAAAAGAAGAAACCAACCCACGAGAAUAUGUUCCGAAAGCUCCAUUUCCUCAGAGGUUAGCUAAAGGAAAAAGGGAAAAUCCACAGGUGAGAUUCUUGAAAUCUUCAAAUAGGUAAGUGUUAACAUCCCUUUGCUUGAUGCUAUUAAACAAGUUCCAUCUUAUGCCAAGUUUCUUAAAGACCUUUGUACUAAAAAGAGAAAUAUGCAUGUUCAAAAGAAGGCAUUUUUAACAGAAAACGUUAGUUCUAUACUCCAACAUAAAAUUCCUUUAAAAUGCAAAGACCCAGGCUCCCCCACUAUCUCGUGUAGUAUAGGGAACCACACAAUUGAAAAUGCUUUGUUGGAUUUAGGAGCUAGUGUAAAUCUUUUGCCUUACUCUGUAUUCGUGAAACUUGGACUGGGAGAAUUACACCCAACUCCAGUGGUGUUACAGCUUGCAGAUCGGUCCACGAAAAUACCUCGUGGUAUUGUGGAGGACGUGCUUAUCUAGGUAGACAAGUUUUAUUUUCCUGUUGAUUUCAUUGUAAUUGACACUCAACCAAUACAGGAUUCGAGGAAGCACAUCCCCAUUAUUCUAGGCCGACCUUUCUUGGCAACUGCGGAUGCUCACAUUCAAUGCAGGACUGGAAAUAUGCAGUUGUCCUUCGGCAACAUGACUAUGGAGCUGAACAUCUUCAACAUUGCCAAACAACCUCACAAUGCAGAUGAUGGAAUUGUUGAUGUGGAUUUAAUUGAAACAAUAGUUGAUAACACUUUUCUUUCAAACCUUAGUGAUGAUCCUUUACAAACAUGUUUAACUCACUUUGGUUUGGAUUUUGAUAUUGACAGAUCGGUCGAUGAGGUCAACGCCCUGCUUGACUCAGCACCAUCCAUGGACACUAAUAAAUGGAAGUCAAGAGUUGAACAACUAGCACCAUCAGAGAAGAAACUCAUCCCAUCAUUAGAAUCACCACCGAAACUCGAGCUCAAACCAUUACCCAACACUCUGGAAUAUGCAUUUUUGGGAGAAGAAAGUACUCUGCAGGUAAUCAUCUCAUCAUCCUUAAAUGACGAACAAAAAGGUAAGUUGUUGGAUGUUUUGAAAGAGCACAAAGGGGCAUUAGGAUGGACCAUAGCAGACAUUAAAGGUAUAAACCCAGUAGACUGCAUGCAUUACAUUCACCUUGAUGAAAAUGCUAAAUCUACUAGGGAAAUGCAACGUCGGUUAAAUCCUAACAUGAAAGAAGUUGUUAGAACAGAAGUCCUUAACUAUUAGACGCAUGUAUCAUUUACCCCAUUUCUGAUAGUUAAUGGGUCAGUCCUGUGCAUGUUGUCCCCAAAAAGUCAGGAGUCACUGUAGUUACCAAUGCCGAUAAUGAAUUGAUACCCACUAGAGUGACUACAGGAUGGCGUGUAUGCAUUGAUUAUAGGAAGUUGAAUUCUGUCACAUGUAAAGACCAUUUUCCUUUACCAUUUAUUGAUCAAAUGCUUGAUAGAUUAGCAGGUCAUGAAUUUUAUUGCUUUCUAGAUGGCUACUCAGGAUAUAAUCAGAUUCCCAUAUCACCAAAAGAUCAAAAGAAAACUACUUUCACUUGCCCUUUUGGCAUAUUUGCAUAUAGGAGAAUGCCAUUUGGAUUAUGUAAUGCACCUGCUACAUUUCAACGAUGCAUGUUAAGCAUUUUUUCUGAUAUGGUUGAACGAUUCCUUGAAGUCUUUAUGGAUGACUUUUCUAUCUUUGGUGAUUCGUUUGAUCAAUGUUUACAUCAUCUAACACUAGUUCUGCAGAGAUGUAUCGAGAAGAACUUGGUCUUAAAUUGGGAGAAAUGCCAUUUUAUGGUAAAACAAGGUAUUGUUCUCGGUCACAUCAUUUUGAGCAAAGGUAUUGAGGUUGACAAAGCCAAGGUGGAUCCCAUUUCUAAUCUUCCUCCACCUAAAACAGUCAGAGAAGUAAGAUCUUUCCUUGGGCAUGCUGGUUUCUAUAGACGUUUCAUUAAAGAUUUUAGCAAAGUUUCUAGACCCUUAUGCAAUUUACUUGCUAAGGAUGUACCUUUUAUCUUUAAUGAUUCAUGUCUUAUGGCGUUUGAAAAAUUAAAACAGUUGUUGACAUCAUCACUCAUCAUUCAGGCCCCAAACUGGAGCUUACCAUUUGAGCUAAUGUGUGAUGCAUCUGAUUAUGCAGUAGGAGCAGUAUUAGGACAAAGAGUUGAUCGAAUUCCGCACGUUAUUUACUAUGCUAGUAUGACAUUGAAUGAUGCACAGUUGAACUAUUCAACUACUGAAAAAGAAAUGCUAGCAGUAGUGUUUGCAUUAGAGAAAUUUCGAUCUUAUCUCAUUGGUUGUAAAAUAAUCGUGUUCACAGAUCAUGCUGCUCUUAAAUAUCUUCUCACAAAGAAAGAUGCAAAAGCUAGACUAAUUCCUUGGGUGUUACUUUUGCAGGAAUUUGACUUGGAAUUCAAAGAUAAGAAAGGGACAGAAAAUGUUGUGGCAGACCACCUCUCUCGUCUCCAUUUUGACUCAAUUACAAAGCCAUUAAUAUUGAAUGAGUCAUUUCCAGAUGAACAAUUAAUGAGUGUGGAAUUAUUACCUUGGUAUGCUGAUAUAGUUAAUUAUCUUGUUACAGGUAAACUUCCAGAGCAUUGGACCAAGCAAGACAAGGCUAAAUUCUUUGCAGAAAUAAAGAAUUUCUUUUGGAAUGACCCGUAUUUGUUCAAGUAUUGUGCAGAUCAAAUUGUUAGACGAUGUGUCCCAGAAAGUGAAAUUCAUAAUAUUCUUUCAUGCUGCCAUGAACAAGCUUGUGGGGGCCAUUUCAGUGCUAAGAAAACCGCAACUAAAGUUUUACAAUGUGGUUUUUAUUGGACAACUAUAUUUCGAGAUGCUUACACUUUCUGUUCUUCAUGUGAUAGGUGUCAACGAAUGAACAUGAUGCCACAAAAUCCAAUUUUAGUGGUUGAGAUUUUUGACGUAUGGGGUAUCGACUUCAUGGGACCCUUUCCCCCGUCUUUUGGUCAUCAAUACAUAUUGGUUGCUGUUGACUAUGUAUCAAAAUGGGUAGAAGCAAUUCCAUGUAGGACCAAUGAUCACAAGGUGGUGAUAGCAUUUUUGAAAAGCAACAUUGUUUCACGCUUUGGAUUCCCUCGAGCGAUAAUCAAUGAUGGUGGUGCCCACUUUUGUAACAAAGCAUUCAAAGCUCUUUUGACAAAGUAUUCAAUCACACACAAAGUGGCAACUCCGUAUCAUCCGCAAACCAGUGGCCAAGUUGAGAUAUCCAAUCGAGAAAUAAAGCACAUAUUAGAAAAAACGGUGAGGCCAGACAGGAAAGAUUGGUCAUUAAGACUUGAUGAUGCAUUAUGGGAAUAUAGAACGGCUUUCAAGACCCCGAUUGGGAUGUCACCCUACAGGCUAGUGUAUGGAAAAGCUUGCCACCUACCUGUGGAACUCGAGCAUCGUGCGUAUUGGUCCAUCAAGAAAUUCAAUUUUGACAUGCAGUAAGCCAGCUCACAAAGAAGAUUACAGCUGGCAGAACUUGAAGAAAUUCGCAAUGAUGCAUACGAAAAUGCCAAGAUUUACAAGCAACGAAUGAAAGUCUUCCAUGAUAAGCAAAUUAUGAGAAAAUCGUUCACUCCAGGUCAGAAAGUGCUUUUAUUCAAUUCUCACUUGCACCUAUUCCCAGGUAAGUUACGCUCUCGUUGGUCUGGCCCAUUUAUUGUUCAUACUAUUUUUCCACAUGGGGCAAUUGAAAUUAAGGACCCAAAGAACGGUGUCACGUUUAAAGUUAAUGGUCAAAGAUUAAAGCCAUAUCUAGAAUACCAACCACAUGGAGAAGACAUCGAAAUAAAUUUGAGUGACCCACCAAAUUUGAAUUGAUUUUUUUUUCAGUGAUUUGAUUUUUUUUUCUUUCUUUCUUUAUUUUAUUCUUUUGCUAAUUGAAAUUAUUUUUGCAUAAAUGUGUUUGUUUAACUAUUAAGUUUUCUCUUAUUAUUUUUAAUCAUGAGUCUCAUACUUAGACCAUUCCUCCUGAACAUUCUUAAACCACUUCAACGUGUCAAAACUCAUCUCAAAAGGUAGAUUCAAUUUUGUAAAACACAACGCAUUUGGGCUCUACAACCACCAGAGUUAGUAGCCUAUGUUGAGGGUUUAGAACGCCAACUCAGAGACAUUGAGAGAAGUGUUUACGACAUCCAGUUGGAGCUUGAGGUAAAUUCAAUAAGAGGACGAUUUUAAUUUUCUUUGUGUGUUCUGAUUUGUUUUUCUGUUUGUGUGCUUUAGUUUGUUACCCCGGUGAAGUGGCGGAUAACGGUACUCCGUGACAAUCAAGUGGGUUACUUCAGUUUCCCAUAAUAACUGAUAUUCUGAGGCGAAGGUAUGGACAGAAACGAGAUUUUAGCGAAACUUCACAAGCGAUUCCCUUCACUUCCUCAGAAUGCCCUCCUUACGAUUUAUAAAGCUCGGUCCGAACGCAUGCGAUUACUCAUGAGGAAUAACAUACCUGCUGACAUCCGUUGGUUAAUCGAGGCUAAAGUACGAUCGGCAGGUGAGUUACCACUAAAAUUUAUUGCAUACAUGCCUGGUUGUGGUAAAGGAAAUUAUGCAAGAAAACGACGAGCUCGAAGAAAAUCUGUUGCUUGUCAUAAGUGUGCCAGAAUGAGUUGCAAUAAAAACCCAUGUUCUUUAGGAAUGGUGUCUGAUAAUAGGGAAGAUAAGAUUCAAUUCAUUAGGGAUGGCUUGAAUAAGGAGUCAUUGGAUGAUAUCCUUUUGUCUCUUGAAACGCAUCCCAGUGGAUAUGUGCAAGGAGCGAUUCUCCAGUUAUGGCCAUUAUUCCAGAAAGAGCAUGCACGAUAUAGUCUCGGGAAUCUAACUAUAAACGACCCUGUUUGCCAGUUUAUAAGAAAACUGGAUAGGAAGCUUAUCCUCGACCCAUAGAGGGCGUUCAAGCCGUUUCUGGACGUAAAACCAGAGGAAGAUGUGAGCCACAGUCGCAACUACCUGUAAAUAUCCUUUCACUUUACUGUUAUUUUAUUUCACUAUUGUUUUAUUGUGUGUAUUAUUGUCCUUAAUAAUUUUAUUACUGUUUGCUUUUUUCUUAUUACUGUUUACUUUUUCCUUUUUACUGUUUCUUUUUUGACUCACGAGCCACAUGCUUUACGCGUUAUUUGACACUGACAUGUUACCUCAUACACAACUGUGACCCACUGUCACCAAGACUCUUAAAUGUGAUUUUUUUUGUCAAGCACUCACAAAUUGUUUUUCGAGAAGUAUCACAAUGGCAGCUACUCCAAAUAGACAAUUCAAGAACAUUUGUGUGCUUUCUGGAUUUACCUAUGGCAAACAUAAAGAGUUCGUUGAGGCAGCCAUAGAUCUUAGUCAAAGCAUAGCAGCGAGAAAAUUACACUUGGUGUAUGGAGGAGGUAAUCGAGGGUUAUCAAAAAUGGUCUCAGAAGCAGCUUUUAUCAGAGGAAGUCAAGUGUUAGGCAUCAUCCCAAGAGUCCUAAAACCAUUGGGCAGUUCGUCUGACUCAUCAACUGGAGAAGAGUUAGUCGUCUCAGGUAUGCAAGAAAGAAUAACUGAAAUGCUUAAUUAUGCUGAUGCUUUUAUUUUCCUUCCAGGAGAUCUUGCAACACUAGAGGCAUUUAUGACACUAGCAUCUUGGGCCCAUCUACACAUUCACCAGAAACCCAUCGGUUUGUUAAAUGUCAAUAACUUUUAUGAUGGCUUUAUCGCAUUUCUUAACCAUGCAAUAAAAAACUAUUUCAUUCCCGCUAAUGUGAAAAAACUCUUUAUUUGUGCUCACACUGCUAAUGAGCUACUUGAUCUGUUACAAGCUUAUAGACCGGAGCCAGACCCCUGGACCUUUGUGUUGGAGCGUCCAAAUAAUGAUGGUAACAGUAACAGCAGUAAGAAGUACAAAUUAGAUUUAACUCUCCGCCUGUAAAUAUUUUCUUCUGUGUUGCACCACCCAGGUGAUGUCUUCUAAACUCUACUUCUUUCCUUUCAAACAUUGAGGACAAUGUUUCAUUCUGGUUGGGGGGAGGGAAUAGUCGACAAUUGUGGAAUCUUGGUUAGAUUUUUACUGAUUUUUUAUUGUAGAAACUAACUGUUGCUAACUUUUUGUGUUGAAGAUGGCUGAAUAUGGAGUGUAAUUACUCUAAAAACGCAUCUUCAUUGUUUGAAAAAAAAACAAAAAAAAAAUUCAAAAAAAAAUUCAAAAAAAAAAUAGACAUUUUCUUUUUCUUUAUUAAGUUUUGAUGUUUAUUUUUCUUCUUUUUAAUUUCUCCUCUAUGAAUAUACAUUUUCCAACUUUUGAGUCGAAGAUGGCUGAAUAUGGAGUGUAGUGCCUCUAGAAACGCAUCUUCUUAGUAAAAAAAAAACCAUUUUCUUUUUCUAUCAUUUUAAGUGUACUUUUUCUAAUUUGUUUUUUUUUGCAUCAUUUUCACAUUUCUGCAUGCAUAUUUUUCUUUCAUGUUUAGAAUAGGUUGGGGGGUAGAAUGUUGUUUAAAAAAAAAUUGUGUGAUUUGUUUUAACAUUGGAUGACAUGAUUAAUUUCAAAUUUUAGUAUUUGUAUUAUCUUUGGUCUUAAGUGAUGUUACAUUAUGUUUGCUACUCUACAUGUUGAUGUUAGAGACAAAUAUGAGUUGCUUGAAGGAAUGAACAUGUCAUAAUAAGUACCAAGUGAGUUUUUGAGCCUAUCAUUUUUCUUGGAGAGUAACCCUUUUGCCCAUUCUUUAAUAGCUUAAUAGUUUAUUAUUUUAUAUACGAUCUUUAGAUUUCUUUUGAGUUAACCCUUAAAAAAAAAAUGUGUGUUGCUACAUUGGGAGGCCCAUCUAACUAGUAGAUAUGGAUGAUUAUUUAGAGCCCUAAAAGACGAUGGAAAGGCCAUCUUUAUCCCGUUUGAGCCUUUUUAGCCAUCCCUUUUGUGAUAUAUCCAUAGUUAACCCUUUUGAGCCUUUAAAAAAAAAAAAACCUUUUCUUUGUCAACUUAUCAUCUUGACCCACUCCGAUUUGGAGUAUUACCCGAUGUCUUAUAAGGUCCAUCACCUAUUUAUGUUUGAGAAAAAUGUAAAUAAUUAUUUUGUUCAGUGAAGUUGUGCCAAAUAAAAGCAAAAAAAAAAAAGAGAAAAAAAAACAAAACAAAAGUUGUUGUUUCAAAAGAAUAAAAAUAACAAUAAUAGGUGAAAUCCACCUUGCAACUUCCAAAAAAAAAAAAAAAUUGUCUGCAUUUUUCUCAAACAUACACUUUGUUUUCCUUAUUUCCCUUCUUUGUUAACCAUGUGCCUAGCCUACGUUACGUCCUAAUAAAAGUCCUUCUUGAUUUUAGGGAACUAUAGUCCGAAGUAGAAGCUAAUUAUAUGGGCUAAAAAGAUGUAGUGAUGCAUAAUUAAAAAAAAUAUAUAAAUAAAUUGGGUUGACUAACAGUUUUUAUUUGACUUGAGAUCGUAUUAUUUUUAAGCUGAGGGCAUAUUUAUUUCAUUUUGGUGAGAGCAUGUGAUAUCACUUCUUCAUUAUUUUCUCUCAAUUACCAUUCAUUAGAGUGACUAUUUUUAUUGGGUUUAAUUUCUUUGUGAGAGUGUCACUACUUCCAGUGAGAUUUUGGGGUUUGACAUGUCAUUCUUGAAAGUAGCUAUAACAAAGUCUACUGGGCUGAUUCAUGUGGAUGGUUGAUGUGGGUGUGAUGUUACUUUAGACUUAAGAUAAUGCUUAUACUUUUAUUUGAUUGCUAUAAUUAAUCUGAUUAAAUAAACACGAGUGUUUCUAAAAAAAAAAAAUCAUUUUGAAUUUGAAUUUUGUUUUCGCUUUAUUUGCUAGGGACUAGCAAUAAGCUGGUUGAGGGGUGUGUUGAGUGUUAGAAAGGAGAAAACCGUCAUUUUACAUUUCAAGUCUUACUAACAACCCUUACUUUUAUGUAUUUAACCUUCUUGUGAUUUAAUUACAUGUGUUUUAUUUUAAUUAAGUAUUUUAUGUAUUUUAGGGGCAUUAUAGUCAUUUCACAAUAAAGGAGAAAUCAGACAGCAAAACGGACAUCACUUUUGAACUCAGGACGGUCAAAACCCUUAGGAGGAGCAUAAAAGGAAAAAUGGCACUAUUCACAUGUACGGUACUAUUCACGUGUACGGUACUGUAUACGUUACUGUUCACGACACUGUUCACAUAGACGGAUGAUGAAGUGGCAUUGACCGAUGAUGUGGCACUGACUGAUAAGGUGUCACGAUCCUAUUGGACUAAAAUUCUUAUGUACUGUUGAUGGUGAUGUGACAGCAUAUCAGUGGACGAAAAAUCUCGCGUACGGUGCAUGCAUCACACAGGAUUAUUUUCAACUAAACCGCGUUAUUGUUCAUCUGGGUCAAACCGCGUUACUGUUCAAAGUCGGGUCAAACCGUGUUACUGUUCAUCCGCGUGGUCAAACCGUGGACUGUUGACUGAUGACGUGGCGCAAUCCUGAGCAUCCAAACUGUUUUUAAUCCGAUGGUCAUGAUUUACUCCAUGUAUCUAUAAAAAAGGGGCCUCUCCCCCCUAAUUUGAUAUCUCUGAAUCCAUUUUUGGAAUCCAUUUUCUGUAAUUCCCUCUCCAUCUUGUAUUUUCUUCGUAUUUUAAUAAAUUCCCAUUUUGCCCCUAGUUCAAUUAUGAGUGGCUAAUUUUCUUUCAAGCUUGGGUUGAAGGUGAAGUCUCAACAUGUGUCAUGGGCUUUAUUUGGUAAAUUUAUUUUCUCUUCCCCUCUAAUUUUUGUGGAUGUUUUGACUUCUCGUCGACAAAUAAUAAUAAUCUUGUCUAAAUACCGCCUUGGUUACACCAGCUCUCUAGUAUAAGGUUAUUAUUAUUUGGCACGAUAAGCCCUUAGCACCAUAUUGAUUAGAGCGUGGUUCAUGAGGUGUGGAUUCCCCCCUCAUGAUUUAAUUGGCAUUAAUACGGAUUAUUUAGCCCAUGAUGCAUGUUGAUACGGAUCCAGAUACCCAAGUACGUCAAUUUAAUAGAUUUUCUCUUCAAUUUAUUCUCUCCAUUGCAAUUCCAAUUUUAGAAUUUAUUCUCGCCAUUUUAAUUUAAGUCUUAGCAUAUUCCAAAUCAUUUCCACCAUAAAUCCAACAACCCAUUUACAAAAUUAAUUCUAUACACAUAAUUAAAAUCCACCUCCUCGUGGGAUCGACACUCAUCACCAUUAGUCUAUACUACAAUAGAUUCGUGCGCUUGCGAGUACAUUAAAAUUUGCACAACAUAUAUGCAUGUACCGUACGCACAAUUUUUGGUCCACUGAUAUGCUGCCACGUCACCGAUCAACAGUACAUAAGAAUUUUAGUCCAAUAGAAUCAUGACACAUCAUCAGUCAAUACCACAUCAUCAGUCAAUGCCACAUCAUCGAUCCAUCUAUGUGAAUAGUAUCGUGAACAGUAACGUAGAUAGUAUCGCACAUGUGAAUAGUAACGUACAUGUGAACAAUGCCAUUUUUCCUUUAUGCUCCUCCUAAGGUUUUCGACUGUCCUAAGUUCAAAAGUGAUGUCCAUUUUGCUGUCUGAUCUCUUGUCCAUUGUGAAAUGACCAUGAUGCCCCUAAAAUACAUAAAAUACUUAAUUAAAAUAAAACACACAUAAUUAAAUCACAAGAAGCUUAAAUAAAUAAAAGUAAGGAUGUUAAUAAGACUUGAAAUGUAAAAUGAAGAGUUUCUCCUUUGUAAAUAUACAUUUUCUAACACUCAACACACCCCCCAACUUGCUUAUUGCUAGUCCCUAGCAAAUAAAGCGAAAACAAAAUUCAAACCCAAAAUGUUUUUUUCUUUUUUUAAAAACACUUUUGUUUAUUCAAUUAGACCAAUGAUAGCAAACAAAUAAAAGUAUAAGUAUUAUCUCCAGUCUAAAGAAACAUCACACCCACAUCAACCAUCCACAUGAAUAAGCCUAGUAGACUUUGUCACAGCUACUUUCAAGAAUGACAUGUCAAACCCCAAAAUCUCACUGCAAGUAGUGACACUCUCACAAGAAAAUUAAACCCAAUAAAAAUAGUCACUCCAAUGAAUGCUAAAUUUGAGAGAAAAUAAUAUAGAAGUAAUAUCACACACUCUUACCAAGUUGAAAGAAAUUUUCCCACAGCUUAAAAAUAACACGAUCUGAAGUCAAAAUGCUAGUCAACCCAAUGUAUUCAUUUUUUUUUACUUUUUACUUUUAUUUUUAUUUUUUUUAUGCAUCACUACAUCUUUUUAGCCCAUAAAAUUAGCUUCUACUUCAGAUUAUAGAUCCCUAAAGUCAAGAAAGACUUUUAUUGGGACGUAACGUAGGCUAAAGACAUGGCUAACAAAGGACGAAAAAUAGGAAAAAACAAAAUAUAUGUUUAAAAAAAGUAGAGAUCUUUUGGAAAUUACAAGGUGGAUUUCGCCUAAUAUUGUUUUUUUCUUUUUUUUUAAACAAUAAUUUUUUUUUUGUUUUUCUUUUGUUUGGCACAACUUCACUUAAAAAAUAAUUAUUUACAUUUUUUCCAAACAUAAAUAGGUGACGGAACUUGUAAGAUAUCGGGUAAUACUCCAAAUCGGAGUAGGUCAAGAUGAUAAAUUUGACAAAGAAAAGUUUUUUUUAAAGACUCAAAAGGGUUAACUAUAGAUUUUUCACAAAAGGGAUAGCUAGAAAGGCUCAAAUGGGUCAAAAAUGGUCUUUCCAUCGUCUUUUAGGGCUCUAAAUAAUCUUCCAUAUCUACUAGUUAGAUGGACCUCAAGAUGUAGCAACGCACAUUUUUUUUUAUCUUACAAUUUUUUUUUCUUUUUAGAGGGUUAACUCAAACGAAAUCUAGAGAUCGUAUAUAAAAUAAUAAACUGCUAAGUUGUUGAAUGGGCAAAAGGGGUUACUCUCCAAGAAAAAUGACAGGCUCAAAAAUUCACUUGGUAUUUAUUAUGACAUGUACAUUCCUUCAAGUAACUCAUAUUUGUCUCCGAUAUCAACAUAUAGAAUAGCAAACAUAGCAUAACAUCACUUAAGACCAAAGAUAGUACAAAUACUAAAAUUUGAAAGUCAUCAUGUCAUCCAAUAUAAAAAAAAUACACAAUUUUUUUUUAAAAAAAACGACAGUCCACCCCCCAACCUACUCUAAACAUGAAAAGAAAAUAUGCAUGCAGAAAGGUGAAAAACGAUGCAGAAAAGCUAAUUAGAAAAGUUACACUUAAAACGAUAGAAAAAGAAAAUAGUUUUUUUUUUAACUAAGAAGAUGCAUUUCUAAAGGCACUACACUCCAUAUUCAGCCAUCUUUGACUCAAAAAUUUGAAAGUGUAUAUUUAUAAAGGAGAAAUUAAAAAGAAGUUAAAAAAAUUGUCAAAGCUUAAUAAAGAAAAAGAAAAUGUCUGGAUUUUUUUUUGUUUUUUUUAAACGAAAAAGAUGCGUUUCUAGAGUAACUACACUCCAUAUUCAGCCAUCUUCAGCAUAAAAAGUUAGCCACAGUUAGUCUCUACAACAAAAAAUCAGUAAAAACUUAACCAAGAUUCCACAAUUGUUAACUAUUCCCUCCCCCCAACUGGAACGAAACAUUAUCCUCAAUGUUUUAAAGGAAAGAAAUAGAGUUUAAAAGACAUCACCUGAGUGGUGCAACACAUAAGAAAAUAUUUACAAGCAGAGAGUUAAAUCUAAUUUGUGCUUCUAACUGUGGCUACUGUUACCAUCAUUAUUUGGAUACUCUAACACCAAGGUCCUGGGGUCUGGCUCUGGUCUAUAAGCUUGUAACAAAUUAAGUAGUUCCUUAGCAAUGUGAGCACAAAUAAAAAGUUUUUUCGCUAUGGAAGGAAUGAAAUAGUUUUUGAUUGCAUGGUUAAGAAAUGCGAUGAAACCAUCAUAAAAGUUAUUGACAUUUAAUAAACCAAUUGAUUUCUGGUGAAUGUGCAGAUGGGCCCAAGAUGCUAAUGUGAUAAGUACCUCUACAGUUGCAAGAUCUCUUGGUAGGAAAAUAAAAGCAUCAGCAUGAUUAAGCAUUUCAGUUAUUCUUUCUUGCAUACCUAAGAUGACUAACUCUUCUCCAGUUAGUGAGUCAGACAAACUGCCCAAAGGUUUUAGGGCUCUUAGGAUGAUGCCUAACACUUGGCUUCCUCUGAUAAAAGCAGCUUCUGAGACCAAUUUUGAUAACCCUUAGUUACCUCCUCCAUACACCAAGUGUAAUUUUCUCUCUGCUAUACUUCGACCAAGAUCUAUGGCUGCUUCAACGAACUCUUUAUGUUUUCCAUAGUUAAAUCCAGAAAGUACACAAAUGUUCUUGAAUUGUUUAUUGGGAGUAGUUGCCAUUGAGAUACUUCUCAAAAACAAUUUGUGAGUGCUUAACAAAAAGUCAUUUUUAAGAAUCUUGGUGACAGUGGGUCGCAGCUGUGUAUGAGGUAGCAUGGCAGUGUCAAUUAAUGCGUAAAGCACAUGGCUCGCGAGUCAAAAAGGAAAAAGUAAAAAGAAAAAGAAACAAUGAUAAAAUAAAAUUGUUAAAGAUAAUAAUACAAAUGAUAAAACAAUAGUGAAGUAAAAGGAUAUUUACAUGUAGUUGCGACUGUGGCUCACAUCUUCCUUUGAUUUUACGUCCAGACACGGCUUGAACGCCCUCUAUGGGUUGAUGCUAGGCUUCCCAUCCAGUUUUCUUAUAAACUGGCAAAUAGGGUCGUUUAUAGUCAGAUUCGCGAGACUAUAUCGUGCAUGCUCUUUCUGGAAUAAAGGUCAUAACCAGAGAAUCGUUCCUUGUACAUAUCCACUGGGAUGCGUUUUAAGAGACAAAAGGAUAUCAUCCAAUGACUCCUUAUUCAAGCCAUCCCUAAUGAAUUGAAUCUUAUCUUACCUGUUAUCAGACACCAUUCCUAAAGAACAUGGUUUUUUAUCGCAUCUCAUUCUGGCACACUUAUGACAAGCAACAUAAAUUCUUCGAGCUUGUCGUUUUCUUGCAUAAUUUCCUUUACCACAACCAGGUAUGUAUGCAAUAAAUUUUGGAGGCAACUCACCUGCCAACCGUACUUUGGCCUCGAUUAACCAGCGAAUGUCAGUAGGUAUGUUAUUCCUCAUAAGCAAUCGCAUGCGUUCGGACCGAUCUUUAUGGAUUGUAAGGAGGGUAUUUUGAGAAAGUGAAGGGAAUCGAUUGUGAAGCAUUGCUAAAAUCUCGUUUCUAUCCAUACCUUCACCUCAAAAUAUUAGUUAUUAUGGGAAACUGAAAUAACCGACUUGAUUGUCACGGAGUACCGUUAUCCACCACUUCACCGAGGUAACAAACUAAAGCACACAAACAAAGAAAAACAAACUAAAACACAUAAAGAAAAUUACAAUCGUUCUCUUAUUGAAUUUACCUCAAGCUCCAACUAGAUGUUGUAGACACCUCUCUCAAUGCCUCUGAGUUGGCUUUCUAAAUCCUCAACAUGGGAUACUAACUCUGUUUACCUAUGGCACUCAUGAUUAACAAUGAUAAGAGAAAACUUAAUGGUUAAACAAACACACUUAUGCAAAAAUAAUUUCAAUUAGCAAAAGAAUAGUAAAAAGAAAGCAAAAAAUCAAAUCACCGAAAGGAAAGAAAAAUUUCAAUUCAAAUCUGGCGGGUCACUCAAAUUUAUUUUGGUAUCCUCUCCAUGUGGUUGGUACUCUAGAUAUGGCUUUAAUCUUUGACCAUUAACUUUUAACGUGACACCGUUCUUUGGGUCCUUAAUUUCAAUUGCCCUAUGUGGAAAAACAGUGUGAACAAUAAAAGGGCCAGACUAUCGAGAGCGUAACUUACCUGGGAAUAGGUGCAAGCAAGAAUUGAAUAAAAGCACUUUCUGACCUGGAGUGAAAGAUUUUCUCAUAAUUUGCUUGUCAUGAAAGACUUUCAUUCGCUGCUUGUAAAUCUUGUCAUUUUUGUAUGCAUCAUUGCGAAUUUCUUCAAGUUCUGCCAGCUGUAAUCUUCUUUCUGAGCUAGCUUGCAACAUGUCAAAGUUAAAUUUCUUGAUGGCCCAGUACGCACGAUGUUCGAGUUCCACAUGUACGUGGCAAGCUUUUUUAUACACUAGCCUGUAGGGUGACAUUCCAAUCGGGGUCUUGAAAGCCAUUCUAUAUACCCGUAAUGCAUUAUCGAGUCUUAAUGACUAAUCUUUUUUGUCCGGCCUCACAGUGUUUUCUAAUAUGUGCUUAUUUCUCGAUUAGAGAUCUCAACUUGGCCAUUGGUUUGCGGAUGAUAUUGGGUCGCCACUUUGUGAGUGAUGGAAUACUUUGUCAAAAGAGAUUUGAACGCUUUUUUACAAAAGUGGGUACCACUAUCACUGAUUAUUGCUUGAGGGAAUCCAAAGCGUGAAACAAUGUUACUUUUCAAAAACCCUAUCACCACCUUGUGAUCAUUGGUUCUACAUGGAAUUUCUUCUACCUAUUUUGAUACGUAGUCAACAGCAACCAAUAUGUAUUGAUGGCCAAAAGAAGAGGAAAAAUGUCUCAUGAAGUCGAUGCCCCAUACAUAAAAAAUCUCAACCACUAAAAUUAUAUUUAGUGGCAUUAUAUUCCUUCGUGUAAUGCUACCCAUUCGUUGACACUUAUCACAUGAAGAACAUAAAGUGUAAUUUUCUUGAAAUAUAGUUGGCCAAUAAAAACCACAUUGUAAAACUUUAGUAGCUGUUUUCUUACCACUGAAAUGGCCUCCACAAGUUUGUUCAUGGCAUAAUGAAAGAAUAUUAUAAAUUUCAUUCUCUGGGACACAUCGUCUAAUAAUUUGAUCUGCACAAUACUUGAACAGAUAAGGAUCAUACUAAAGGAAAUUCUUUAUUUUUGUAAAAAAAAUUAGCUUUGUCCUGCUUGGUCCAAUGCUCUGGAAGUUGACCUGUAACAAGAUAAUUAACGAUAUCAGCAUACCAUGGUAAUACUUCCACACUCAUCAAUUGUUCAUCUGGAAAUGACUCAUUCAAUGUUAAUGGUUCUGUAAUUGUGUCAAAAUGGAGACGAGGGAGAUGGUCUGCCACAACAUUUUCUAUGCCUUUCUUAUCUUUGAAUUACAAAUCAAAUUCCUGCAAAAGUAACAACCAACGAAUUAGCCUAGCUUUUACAUCUUUCUUUGUGAGAAGAUAUUUAAGAGCAGCAUGAUUUGUGAAUACAAUUAUUUUACAACCAAUUAGAUAAGAUCAAAAUUUCUCUAAUGCAAACACUAUUGCUAGCAUUUCUUUUUCAGUAGUUGAAUAGUUCAACCGUGCAUCAUUCAAUGUCAUAUUAGCAUAGUAAAUAACAUGGGGAAUUCGAUCAACUCUUUGUCCUAAUACUGCUCCUACUGCAUAAUCAGAUUCAUCACACAUAAGCUCAAAUAGUAAGUUCCAGUUUGGGAGCUGAAUGAUGGGUGAUGAUGUCAACAACUGCUUUAAUUUUUCAAAUGCCACAAGACAUUAAUCAUCAAAGACAAAAGGUACAUCCUUAGCAAGUAGAUUGCAUAAGGGUCUAGAAACGUUGCUAAAAUCUUUAAUGAAACGUUUAUAAAAAUCAUCAUGCCCAAGGAAAGAUCUUACUUCUCUAACUCUUUUAGGUGAAGGAAGAUUGAAAAUGAGAUCCACCUUGGCUUUGUCAACCUCAAUACCUUUGCUCGAAAUGAUGUGACCGAGAACAAUACCUUGUUUUACCAUAAAAUGACACUUCUCCCAAUUUAAAACUAAGUUCUUCUCGAUACAUCUCUGCAGAACUAGUGUUAGAUGAUAUAAACAUUAAUCAAAUGUGUCACCAAAAACAGAAAAGUCAUCUAUAAAGACUUCAAGGAAUCGUUCAACCAUAUCAGAAAAAAUAUUCAACAUGUAUCAUUGAAAUGUAGCAAGCGCAUUACAUAAUCUAAAUGACAUUCUCCUAUAUGUAAAAGUGCCAAAAGGGCAAGUGAAAAUAGUUUUCUCUUGAUCUUUUGGUGCUAUGGGAAUCUGAUUAUAUCCUGAGUAGCCAUUUAGAAAGCAAUAAAAUUCAUGGCCUGCUAAUCUAUCUAGCAUUUGAUCGAUAAAUGGUAAAGAAAAAUGGUCUUUACGUGUGACAUAAUUCAACUUUCUAUAAUCAAUGCAUACACGCCAUCUUGUAGUCACUCUAAUGGGUAUCAAUUCAUUAUCAGCAUUGGUAACUACUGUGGCUCCUGACUUUUUGGGGACAACUUGUACAGGACUGACCCAUGAACUAUCAGAAAUUGGGUAAAUUAUACCUGUAUCUAAUAGCUUAAGGACUUCAGUUCUAACAACUUCAUUCAUAUUAGGAUUUAACCGACGUUGUAUUUCCCUAGUAGGUUUAGCAUUUUCAUUAAGGUGAAUGUAAUGUAUGCAUCUACUAGGUUUAUACCUUUUAUAUCGGCUAUGGUCCAUCCUAAUGCUCCUUUAUGCUCUUUUAAAACAUCCAACAACUUACCUUUUUGUUCGUCAUUUAGGGAUGAUGAGAUGAUUACCGGCAGAGUACUUUCUUCUCCUAAAAAUGCAUAUUCCAGAUUGUUGGGUAAUGGUUUGAGCUUGAGUUUCGAUGGUGAUUCUGAUGAUGAGAUGAGUUUCUUCUCUGAUAGUGCUAGUUGUUCAACUCUUGACUUCCAUUUAUUAGUGUCCAUGGAUGGUGCUUAGUCAAGUAGGGUGUUGACCUCAUCGACCGAUCUGUCAAUAUCAAAAUCAAAACCAAAGUGAGUUAAAUAUGUUUGUAAAGGAUCAUCACUAAGGUUUGAAAGAAAAGUAUCAUCAACUAAUGCUUCUAUUAAAUCCACAUCAACAAUUCCAUCAUCUGCAUUGCGAGGUUGUUUGGCAAUAUUGAAAAUGUUUAGUUCCAUAGUCAUGUUGCCAAAAGAGAACUGCAUAUUUCCAGUCCUACAUUGAAUGUGAGCAUCUGCAAUUGCCAAGAAAGGUCGGCCUAGGAUAAUGAGGAUGUGUUUCCUUGAAUCCUGGAUUGGUUAAGUGUCAAUUACAAUGAAAUUUAGGAUAAUAAGGAUGUUUUUCCUUGAAUCCUGGAUUGGUUGAGUGUCAAUUACUAUGAAAUCAACAGGAAAAUAAAACUUGUCUACCUGGAUAAGCACGUCCUCCACAAUACCACAAGGUAUUUUCAUGGACCGAUUUGCAAGCUGUAACAUUACUAGAGUUGGGUGUAAUUUUCCCAGUCCAAGUUUCACAAAUACUGAAUAAGGCAAUAGAUUUACACUAGCUCCUAAAUCCAACAAAGCAUUCUCAAUUGUGUGGUUCCCUAUGCUACAUGAGAUAGUGGGGGAGUCUGGGUCUUGGCAUUUUAGAGGAAUUUUAUGUUGCGGUAUAGAACUAACGUUUUCUGUUAAAAAGACCUUCUUUUGAACGUGAAUGUUUCUCUUUUUACUACAAAGGUUGUUAAGAAAUUUGGCAUAAGAUGGCACUUGUUUUAUAGCAUCAAGUAAAGGGAUGUUAACACUUACCUGUUUGAAGAUUUUAAGAAUCUCACCUGUGAAUUUUCCUUUCUUUCCUUUAGCUAACCUCUGAGGAAAUGGAGCUUUGGGAACAUAUUCUUGUGGGUUGGUUUCUUCUUUCUCUUCCGAUGGUGAGUCCUCAACAUUCACAGGUACAAUUUGAUUUUGUUUUGUCACCGGCAUCUCCACUUUGUUGUCGACUUUUUUUCCUUUUCGCAAGGUCAUGACAGCUUUGACCUCUCCGUGCUGCUGUGGUAAACUGGUACUUACUCAUGCACUCCUUUAGGAUUAGGCACUGGUUGACUUGGAAAUUUGCCUUUCUCAACAGUCAUUGGCAAGGUUUGAACUGAAGAAGUAAGUUGUCCCACCAGCUUCUCGAGGUUUGAAACUGAUUGGGCUUGUGAGUUGAAGCCUGCUCUCAUCUCAUUUCGUAUUUCAUCAAUGGUGCGAUUCUGUUGCUCAAUCGUGGAGUGAGUAACAUUCCUGAAAUUUUGGAAUGCAUCCUCCCAUGGUCUGGGUUGAGAGUAGUUCUGGUUCUGAUUGUGUGGUCUAAAUGGUGGCUGAGAGGCUUGAAGAACUUGAGGAAUUGGUUGCAUUGGUGGAGCUGGAGCUGUUGGUCCAUUCUGUUGGAAUCCUUGAGACCAUGAAACAUUGGGGUGGUCUCUCCAUUAAGGGUUAUAUGUGUUGGAGUAUGGGUUGUAAUUAGAUGGUUUUCUCAUUACACCUAUGGCAUUGGCUUGAUCUGAGUAUGAGUCAUUGUCAUGUGGUUCUGUUGAUUUAGUACUCGUUAAUGAUGCUAUUUGUCGGGAAAGACCUUCAACCAUCACUUUGACUUCUUUAAUUCCUGAACUUGACUCACCAAUGUGAACCUCAUUUACUCCCUUAAUUCUUUUAGUAUUCCUGAGUGAUCGACUCCGUUGUUGGGAAUUAUCCGCUUGUCGCUGGAAGAAUUUCCAAAUCUCUAAUGCACUUUUUGACAUUAACUCUCCUCCACUUAUUGCCAUUAGUCAUUCUUGGACAUGUGGCAAUAAUCCCUCCAAAAAGUAUUGGCAUUGGUACCAUUUCUCGUACCCAUGAUGUGGACACUUCAAGAGUAACCCAUUGAAUUGCUUCCAUGUUUUGAAAAACUGCUCGUCUUCUCUCUAGGUAAACUUUGAAAUUUUCCUGCAAAUAGCAUUGGUUUUAUGCACUGGAAAAUAUUUAUUCAAAAAUUUCGUUACCAUUUGUUCCCAUGAUGUAAUGCUAUUAGCAGGCAAUGUAUUGAGCCAUGAACGAGCUCUAUCCUUUAAAGAAAAUGGGAAUAGUCAAAGUUUAACACCAUCGUCUGAAAAAUUUUCAUAUUUAAAAGUUUGACAAACAGCAUGGAAAUCAUUCAAAUGAUUAUAUGGGUCCUCAUUUUCUAGGCCAUAGAAUGUUGGGAGACAAUUUAGCACACUAGGUUUUAGUUCAAAACUCCUAACAGCUACAUUUGAGUAUCUUAUGCAUGAUGUGCUCAAAUUAGCUAAGGGACUGAAGUAGUCCUUAAAUGGCCUCUCCUGUGGUGGUGGUUGUUGUUGCAAAUCCAUUUCAGUUUUAUCUUUAAUUACAACGUGUUUGUAUGUGCGAAGUGUUUUUUCAAGUUCAAGGUCUAUAGGCUCAAGAUUAGGUAAUAAUGACAUUCGACCGUCCAUGCAAAGAACACAAAACAAUUAAAAAUAAAGAAGCAGAAAUUAUGAUACUAACAUUAUCGCGCUGUUACAACCUUUCUAUAAAAACACACUAAAAAAUAAUACAUGAAAUAAAUUAAAAAUAAAUUAAUAAGAUAAACAAAAAAAAUUACCAAGAAAAAAAAUUAACUUAAAAAUUAAAUUACAGAAUUUUAAAGAAGAGAAAAAAAAAAGAAAUUCUUACAUCUAAAUGCAUAUUCACUUUUAAAAAAAAAUAAAAUUACAAGAAAAUAAUUAAAAGAAAUUAUUUACAAAAAUUAAUUCUACGAAUUAAAAUAACUUACCUCCCGGGCAACAGCGCCAAAAACUUGUUGUGCCAAUUUUAUUGAAUUCGUAAGCGCAUGACUCUAUUGUAGAAUAGAUUAAUGGUGACGAGUGUCUAUUUUAAUUAUGCAUAGAAUUAAUUUUCUAUGUGGAUUGUUGGAUUUGUGGUGAAAAUGAUUUGGACUAUCCUAAAAUUUGAAUUAAAAUGGCGAGAAUAAAUCGAAGAGAAAUCUAUUGAAAUGAAGCGCUUUGGUAUCUAGAUCUGCAUCAACAUGGACCAUGGGCUAAAUAUUCCUUAUUAGUGCCAAUUAAAUCAUGAGGGGGGAAUCCACACCUCAUGAACCACACUCUAAUCAAUAUGGUGCUAAGGGCUUAUCGUGCCAAAUAAUAAUAACCUUGUACUAGGGAGCCGGUGAAAUCAGGGUGGUAUCUAGAAGAGAUUAUUACUAUUUGUGGACGAAAAGUCAAAACAUCCAUAAAAAUUAGAAGGGAAGAGAAAAUAAAUUUACCAAAUAAAGCUCAUGGCACAUGUUGAGACUUCACCUUCAACCCAAGCUUAAAAGAAAAUUAGCUACUCAUAAUUAAACUAGGGGCAAAAUGAAAAUUUAUUAAAAUAAGUAGAAAAUACAAGAUGGAGAAGGAAUUACAGAAAAUUGAACUCAAAAAUGAAUUCAGGGAUACCAAAUUAAGGGGGGAGAGCCCAUUUUUUAUAUAUACAUUGAGUAAAUCAUGGCCAUCAGAUUAAGAACAUUUCGGACGCUCAAGAUUGCGCCACGUCAUCAGUCAACAGUACGCGGUUUGACCACAUGGUUUGAAUAGUAACACGGUUUGGUUGUAAGUUAUCUUGUGUAUAUGCAUGUACCGUACGCACAAUUUUUGGUCCACUGAUAUGCUGCCACGUCACCGAUCAACAGUACAUAAGAAUUUUAGUCCAAUAGAAUCGUGACACCUCAUCAGUCAAUGCAACAUCAUCGGUCAAUGCCACAUCAUCGAUCCGUCUAUGUGAAUAGUAUCAUGAACAGUAACGUUGACAAUACCGUACAUGUGAAUAGUACCGUACAUGUGAACAAUGUCAUUUUUCGUUUUAUGGUCCUCCUAAGAUUUUCGACUGUCCUGAGUUCAAAAGUGAUGUCUGUUUUGCUGUCUGAUCUCUCCUUCAUUGUGAAAUGAUCAUGAUGCCCCUAAAUCAUAAGAAGAUUAAAUACAUAAAAGUCAGGAUGUUAGUAUGACUUGAAAUGUAAAAUGACGAUUUUCUCCUUUAUAAAUAUACAUUUUCUAACACAACACUUGCAAUUGGAGAGUUUUGAGACUUUGUUAUAUUUAUGGCUUUGGAAAAAGGAAAAUCCUUAGUAUUAGGCUAGUGGAUUUGUUUGAAUAAACUUUGGCUCAGUUCUAAUUGAGGCUUUUGUGAAGGAUUAUUAUUUAUAAGUAACCUCCUUUACCACAUGCUCCACACGUGUUGGAUUUAGGGUAUUACAAUUUGCUUCAAGUGAGGAUGUUGUUUUUGUAGUUUUCAUGGUAACUUAUCAAUACUAGACUUAAAUAAAUCAAAGAUCAACUUAGAAAACGGUAAAAGAGGCUAUAAAUAAGGUUAAAAUUCUCAAAUUUGAAAUUAAUUUGUAUGACUUGAAAAUUCAACAAAUUAGCCAUAAAUUUGUUUCAACCAUCCAAGAUAGUUUUAAAAAAAUUUUAAGUUCAACAAAACCUUGACCCAAUGUUUAAGAAACUUAAUGGUAAUUUCCUAACUGUACAUUUUAUCAAGCUAAUGUAUUUUCCUUUUAUACACGAGCAACGUGCAUGAAUGUUCAUGGAAUACAUAACCUAUUCAUAAUUUAAAUAGAGGUUGAAAAUGGGUUAAUGGAUUGUGUUUAUGUCGUAUCAAAAUUUAAGCCUACUCAAACACAAUCUAUUUAAUAUUUGCAUCAAACAAUCAAAAUCCUAGUUAACCUGAGAUGACUAUAAACUGGAUUUACAUUAGCACGAUUAAUUGACUAAUUAAAUCAAAUUUUAAUUGUGUCGAGUAAAUGAGUAAGAAAAUAAACAAGAUAAAAUUACUGGGGAAAAAAACUUUGAAUGAAGUAGCUGCGGUAAAGUUGUCAAGGCGUUUAUUAGAAAAAGAGAGAAGUAAAUAGUAAUUAAUCAAAAAAUAUAUGCCCAAUCAACAUUUUUCUUUGUUCUAAUAGAAAUAUUCAGUGAAUAAUGAUUUAUUAAUAUAGUUUAUGAUUGCCCAACCCUUACCCUUUAAAUGAAAAAAAAAUUAACAUAUUUUACGAAAUGUUAAAAUGAUUAGCCAGCUGUAAGGUAAUAAGAAUAGAGUUAUCGAAUUUUUUAUUAUUAUUUCUUUUUGAAUGGGAAGAGUUGGACAUUUGAAGGCAUAUAAUUACGAAAAUAGUCUAAUAAAACAAAUCAAAGUUUCUGAUAAAUAAAACAAAUUUAUAAGUUUAAGAAUUGAAAUUAAGGGAAAAGGUUUUGUGGGCAAAUGGUUUUAAGAUCGUUCUCCAUUUUUUUUUUAAAAAAAAUACUUUUAGAGAGCAAUGAUGGUUCUAACUUCUAACUACCUUUUGUUAUCAACUACUUUUAGUGACACUUGUAUGAAAGUUGGUUUUCUUCAUUUCCAAAAAAAUGUCUUUUAAUUAGGGAAGUUAUAAAAUUUUUCCUUAAUUUAGUUUGUUUUUCCAUUAUAUAUAAGACAUAAUUGAAGGAAUAUGUAUAUUAAACAUUAUUUUAGCAAGAGAGAAGAGAAAAAGAGUAAUCAAAAUCAUGAAGAAGUUCAUUGUUCUCAUUCUUUUCUUCACUUUUUUUCUAUGUCUUAUGAAUCUUUCUCAAGGUAAAUAUAGUAUCCCAAAGAGUUAUUUUUAAAUUUGUUUUAAUAUGAGAAUACUCACAUUUUAACAAUUUUUAUGUUUCUUUACAAGAAAAGGACAACAAAAAUUCUGUACUAAACACAUGACAAUUCCCGGCGUUUGUCCCAAGGAUCCUAAGGAAGCAGAAUUCGUGUGCCUUAAAGCCUUCUUCGAUAAAUAUGGAGCAACAAAGAGCCCAGAUAAUUGUCUAUGCAAACCAUCAACUGGCAACCAGCACAUCUGCCAGUGUGACAUUAUUUGCGAUCCACCACCACCUAAACGAACUUAAUUAUGGUAUCUAAUAGUAUGAAGAAUGAAGAUCACUAAAUCCAUGAUAUCGAUAUUAACCUAUUGUUAAAUCAUAGAUAGAUAAUGAUACGGUGGUUUGUAAUAAUAAAUCAUAUAAUAUUUACUUAAGUAAUUAAUCGCUAUGGUUGAGAAACAUUUGUAUAUGAAACAAUGGGUAAUUUCAUUACAAUGUCGGAUUAGUAAAAAGAAAAAUUACUUUUAUACUAUUGAAUAUAAAUAAAUCUAGUCGAAUAAGUUUUCUUUUAAUCCUAAUAACCAUGUUAAAAACAAAACUUCUAAUUAAGAUAUAAAACUUUUUGUGUGUGCCUUUUUCUUCCCCCUUAAACAACUAAUAACUUAAGGCUAAAGUUUCAGUGUCGGGCCUCAAUGCCUAGCAUUGUGCCAAUUUUUAUUUGUAGCCGUUGGAUUCAAGUAAAAUGAGUCCAACGGUUGAGAUUAAAUUAAAAAUAAAAAGUAACGGGUUACUUGAUAAACGGUUGCUGAAAUCCAUUACGUUUUCCCUCUUUCAAAUCUCAAACAUCUCUUUCACCUCUCUUACUAUCACUCUCUGAAAUAUUGAUUUGUCUCUUGGAUUGUUUACUAAUCACAUAAAAUCGAAGCUACCAUGUAACACACAGGGAACAACAAGUCGAAACCAUCAAUCAGUUGGUGUCAUCUUGAGCUGUUCUCUUUCAUUUUUUAGUUAAAGACAAGAUAAUGAUGAUUCUUGUGUUUUUGUGGUGACUAUUGAAAAUGACAUGUGAAAGAAUUACGGGUUUAUGUGUUAUAUUAAAUUGUUGAUGAUAUGUGAAAUAAUUAGGGAUUUAUAGGCUGAUAGGUAGUGAGAAUUAUGAUGAUGACUUUAAGUUCCUCCUUUCUUUGCCUCUUCUAAGAACUGUAUUAUAUCCCACAAGUGCCACUUACAUCAAUACGAUGUACCUCCAUGUCCUGAAAGGUAGUAUGAAGAAUAAAGAUCACUAAAUCCACGAUAUCUAUAUUAACCUAUUGUUAAAUCGUAGAUAGAUACUAAUACGAUGGUUUGUAAUAAUAAAUCAUAAUAUUUACUUACUAUGGUCGAGAAAUAUUUAACUAAUUAGUUACUGGGGUUGAGCAAUAUAUGUAUAUGAAACAUGGGUAAGUUUAUUACUAUGUCGGAUUACUAAAAAAGAAAAAUUACUUAUAAACUAUUGAAUAAAUCCGGUCGAAUAAUUUUUCUUUUAACCCUAAUAAUGAUGUUAAAAAAGAAAAAAAGAAAAACAAAUACUUCUAAUUAAGAUUUAGAACUUGUGUGUGCGCUUUUUUUUUUUUUAACAAUCAAUAACUUCAUUAUAAUUAAAGUGCGCACAAACGUUCUAAAAAGUUAUCCAGCUAAAUAACAGAAUUUAAAAGAGCUAACUUGGCUAGUACAUGGCUUGAGCUAUUUAAAAUUACACGAAAUAUGAUGAAUUUGAAAAGCGUAUCGUCGUUCCAUGGGUUGUAAAAUAUUAGCAAUAACUUAGAAAAUACUAAUUGCGAAAAUAGUAGCAACCCUAACAUACCCAUGACAAUCACACAUCACAACACCUAAACCCAUGACAUCAUCCGCACAAUCAACAGUGGUGAUGCCAGCCUCACAGUGAAACUUUGAGACCGACGUUCAGUUUAAAGUUUCAAUUUCCCAACAUAGUGUUUUUCCUUUUUUAAAAGAGGAUCAUUGGAUUUCACCCCAUUCCACAUAUUAAAUAUACUUGCUAUAUUCCUACCCAUAGACAUAGUAAUCUCUAAGUACCUAUGACUAGACAAAUCCCUAAUGCAAGGAACAAAUAAAUAACAAUAUUAUUGACGCACUGAUGUAAUGAUAAAAGUCCUAACAUUUUGUCAGUUGCAAUAAAAAUGCUUAGACAAAAAAGAAAAAAAUCCUCAGUUUCACGUUAUUUGUUUCAGCAAUCUGAGAAAGCAAAAAUCACUUGUUGAAAAAGCUUAAUUGCUCACUUUUAGUAAUUUUAAUCUUUUGCAUUUGCUAAUUGGUCAAUCUCCAUAAUGUUAUUUCUCUUGUUAAAAGCUAUCAAGGGAAUGAUUUUAGCAAUCCAAGCGAUGGAUAGACCUUUCUAAACUUGCUCAUUUAUUUGGUUUUGGAUAUGGAAUUGAUGUUGUUUGCUGCCAAUGAAGAGAUUUGAUCAAAUUGUUUCUAAAAGAAUAAAAUUGUUAUUUUUUUCUUUUGAAAUAGUUUAGUUGUUUGGUCAUGAAAUUUAUAAUAUAUAUAAGUUUGCGAAAUGAUAGAGUCUAAAGAGAAAAAUUUAUGUACUUUUUAGUAUUUUUGUACAAGAUAAAAUUGGAAUCAUUAAUAGGGUUUGGUGAGAUAAAAUGAGAUAAUCAAAUAUCAAUACUCUAAACGAGAUAAUUAGAUUCUUAGGCCUUCAUAGUUUUUUCUUUUUUAAUACACUAGGCUUUUAUAGUUGGAACAUCUAAAUCAAAAGCAGAUGCAAAACUUGGCCAUAGAAAUUAGAACGUCCUUAAUUCAAAAGCCAAUACAAAGAUGUAUUCCUAGUAAGUCAAAAACUUUUAAAGUGAUGAAAUUAGGGAAGCAUUGUGAUAUCCAAUUUUAGUAGGCGUACCAAGUUUAAUUAAAUUUUAAUUAAACAAAUAAUGAGUAAAAAUAAAAUGCGUAAAAGUAAAGUACACAAGAAGAUUUUUACGUUAUUCACUGCAUCCAUGGAGCCACGCUCAAAUAUUGAGUAAUUUGCUAGGCUCAAGAGAUUACAACAUGUUGAAACCUUACACAAUAUGAGACUCCAUCUUAGUGAUUGCCACCAACUUAUUAUAAACUCACCAAGUGUUGAUAGGUGGUUUUUUAUCUAAAUUAAACCAUUAUUUUGCCAUGCCCUCAAUUGUUGGCCUUAGAAUACUAGUCCCGUAACUCUGCAUCUUAUUCCUGUUCAAGAAAAGAAUUAGAGCAAUAAUCAAUUUAACUAUGAACGAACAUGCAUACCUUAAUAAUAGUUUAUAGUCUAAUAAUUGUGCAUAGCUAUUUUUUUUAUAAGUUGAACUAUCCAAUGAAAAUAUCUAUCGUAGCCCCAAAGAAAAAAAGAACAUAGAAGGUAAAAGAAAGCAAAAUUGACAAUUUAAUUGCCUAAUUUAAUAAAAGGAGAAAAAAGUUCAUCACAUGUUACUUUUAUUGCCAAUAAAUGUAAUCAACACNNNNNNNNNNNNNNNNNNNNNNNNNNNNNNNNNNNNNNNNNNNNNNNNNNNNNNNNNNNNNNNNNNNNNNNNNNNNNNNNNNNNNNNNNNNNNNNNNNNNNNNNNNNNNNNNNNNNNNNNNNNNNNNNNNNNNNNNNNNNNNNNNNNNNNNNNNNNNNNNNNNNNNNNNNNNNNNNNNNNNNNNNNNNNNNNNNNNNNNNNNNNNNNNNNNNNNNNNNNNNNNNNNNNNNNNNNNNNNNNNNNNNNNNNNNNNNNNNNNNNNNNNNNNNNNNNNNNNNNNNNNNNNNNNNNNNNNNNNNNNNNNNNNNNNNNNNNNNNNNNNNNNNNNNNNNNNNNNNNNNNNNNNNNNNNNNNNNNNNNNNNNNNNNNNNNNNNNNNNNNNNNNNNNNNNNNNNNNNNNNNNNNNNNNNNNNNNNNNNNNNNNNNNNNNNNNNNNNNNNNNNNNNNNNNNNNNNNNNNNNNNNNNNNNNNNNNNNNNNNNNNNNNNNNNNNNNNNNNNNNNNNNNNNNNNNNNNNNNNNNNNNNNNNNNNNNNNNNNNNNNNNNNNNNNNNNNNNNNNNNNNNNNNNNNNNNNNNNNNNNNNNNNNNNNNNNNNNNNNNNNNNNNNNNNNNNNNNNNNNNNNNNNNNNNNNNNNNNNNUCUCUUCUACAGUUACUAUUCUAAAUUUACAGCAGCCGCUCUUGAAGAGUGAAGAAACGCAAAGUGGGAGUGAAGAGAGAGAAAAUGGUGAAGUAAAUCUCAAUCAAGAACCGCGAAGAACAAGUCAAAAAUUGAAGAUUUGGAAGUUUGGGUUCACAUCUUCCAGAAAAGGAAUAAAGCAUUUGACACUUUUGUUUUUAAAAAGCUUGGAUCUUGACAAUGAGGUGUUUUCUAUUUCUUUAAUUUGUUUAAAUCAUUGAAAAAUAAUGAUGAUUCGGUUAUUUAGGGAUAGUCAUGUGAAUGAGAUCUUUGUUUUUCCUUUUUUCACAAGUCAUGUUUGAAUGUUAGAUCUGGAAUCAAUACAGUGAAAAAGAAAUAGUAGAUUUUGAAAAUUUGAGUAAAUGUCGGGUAUUUCAAGGAUGGGGUUUUUCAUUUAUUAUUAUUGUUAUUGUUGUUGCUAUAAUUAUUAUUAUUUAGAUUGAUUGAAAUUUGGAUAUAUAUUUAAAGGGAAAGGAGAAAAUUGGAUAUUUAGAUAUUUAUUAUACUGUAGUAAAAAUUGAUUAAUUGUUUAUUAAUUAUAACAAUCAAUAUGUUUGAUUCUUUAGUGUAAGUAGUCAUAGUUUCAUAAAAAUGAAAUCUACUUUGAUUUAGUACAUGAUUUGUGACUCUUGAGAUGAUGAAAUCCUUGCUAAGAAUAGUUUUAUCAUGCCAUUGUUAUCACUUAAGUUGAAAAGAGAAACAAAAAUUAUGAGACUAGUUGAAUAACUAACUUCACAAUACUAGAAAAAAUUAAAUUCAGGUUACUAAUGAUUAUCGGAUUUGGUAAGUCUAGUCUCUAAGAGGUAAAAGCAAGAAAUCGCAUUAUAACAAUAUCAAGUUUAUUAUUUGAUUAAUUAUGCUUAGCAUUUAAAUUUUUGUUAUAAAGAAAUGCUAUUAUGUUUUGACAUAUAUAGUGCACAUCUCUUUAUGAACUUAACCAAUGUUUGAAGAACUUUGUAUUACUGUAAGUUCUAAUCAUCCCUUCUUCUUUUUUUAAUAAUUCUAUUGUUAAUCGUAAUGCACUUUUAUGUAUAUUGUACAUGGUUGGAUAAGGUAUUUAUUAAAAAUGUUUUGAAAGCUUUAAUAGUGUUGUGUCCAUUGAUAUUGGCUAUUUUGCAUAUGGUAGUUGGUUGGAUAAGAUGCUUGCACCUCAAGAUAAUGUUAAUAAAGUCAACAGCAACUUAACGAGCAAAGUAGAUAUAGAAGAAUAGUUUUGCCUAAAUUCAACAGAUAGUUCAAUGAGUUUGGCAAGAUAUGUAUAUAAAUUAUAAGUAAUUUUUAUUUAUUUGUAUCUUUCAUAUUGGUUAUGUGCACAUAUAAUUGUUGCAUUAUUUUUAACUAUUUUAAUUUAUUAUUGCAGUAUUGUUGCUGGAUUAAGAAGGUUGAUAGUUGCCUUGGAGAUGGAGUUUUGAUACUUGUGAAGAAUGUAAUUUUCUUUGUAAAUAAUUUUUUUUAAUGUACAAUGUAAUGGAUACCCAAUUUGGGAUGUGUCAAAAUGAUAGACUUUUUAUUGUGAUACAGGAAUUAUUAGUAAUUUGAAUUGUAAAUACUAUUUGUUGUACAAUAAAUUUAUGUACUUCUCCAGAGAAUAAAUUUAUGUACUUCUCCAGAGGCUUGAUAAUGCAGUUUUUGCUAAUCCAUAUUAGCUUAAUACGAAAAUUAGGCAGUAGAUUCAGAUAUUUCAAAAUAUUUUCUAAUUUAAAAUGACAUUAAUUAAUUUAAAAAUAUUACCUUUAUUAUUCAAAGAUGAUUCCCAAUACAAAAGCUAGUCAUUUGUUCAAAUAAAGUUGACAGCUGCUAAAAAAAAGAGUCAUCUCUUUUUGAUGACUGCUAUUUUAUAAUAUGAGUCAUCUAUAAAGCAAUAUAGAUAACUCGUAAAAGACGUCAUCUAUUAUUACCCACUUUAGAUGAUUAAUACAAAGAUGACUUUUUUUAUCACGUCAUUUAAUACUUAUUUUAAGAGUCAUCUUUAUCGUUUAUUGUAGUAGUGUUCAUAGAGUUCAAGCAAAAGACAGAUAUCUAAAUAUUUAUUCAAAUACUUGAUUAAGAAUUUCUAAAGUAAUCCAAUUCGUUCGCCUUGAACAAAAUCAUUAAUGGCACUACCUUAUCUAAAGUUAAGCACUUUUUAACUGGUGGACCAAAUGUGUAGCAUAAAAGACCAGACAACAUCACAAAAAGCCCCGAUUUGAUAAAACAUCAUGAAAAACAACACAACAAAGGAUUCUAAAUUCUCAACAAUAUUUACUAAUAAACCUUUCAACAUUUCAGUUUAAGAAUUAAUGAGCUACCUACUAGAAAACUAGCAUAAACAACACUCAAACAUACACAAAACAAUCUAGUUCUUUCUAGUUCAAGCAAAUUAAAAAAAACAAAACUAUGGAAGAUAUAAGAUUCCCAAGCUUUGUGGAUUUAAUUCUAUAUGUCAACUAGACUAAGGUCAUUAAAGUGGGAUGGCUUCUUUAAUAACAUACAUUAAAGUCAAGAAGUACCACACAUAGUACAAAGUGUGAUGUCCAGGCUUUUAUAUGUAUGAAAGAUUAAUUUAAAUGCUUUGGCUCAUUGUCUGCAGCUAAAUGCUUUGGCUCAUUGUCUGCAGCUAUUUUCUGUAGCUAUUAUAAUCUUGAUUGUAUUUUACGAUAUAUAUAUAUAUAUAUAUAUAUAUAUAUAUAUAUAGAUGUUUAGAACCACCACUGGAUUUUUAUUUUGAUUGUGCACACAAUAUUCUGGUUCUGAUUAUGUUCUUAGUAGGGUCAUUGGAAGUAUAGGUGACACUAUGUGACAUGAGCUAACUUUUUUUUUUAUUGUGUAUAUAUGAUAUACAAUUUGUUUUCGUGAUUAAUUAAGCUUUUGAAAUUCUAAAUAAAUUAUGAAUUUAUAUUCUGCUAUAAAAUGCAUUCUAUAAAAUUUACGAUUUUUAAUACAUGUUUUGAUAAGAAAAGGGCUUGCAAUAUUUUUUGAACUUGAUAACUGUAGUGAGUGGCAAUGGUUUUACUUACCAAGUUGACAGCGCACUCCUCGUCAUUACUUUUUGGAGAUUGAGUAACUUGUUGAGAGGUGCGCUUAUCUUUGGACCUAUAAAUUUAUUUAUUUUUGUUAGUAGAAUAAGAGGAGAAUGAACGUUUGUUUUCUUUAAGUUUGUUUAUCUUCUGAACUUGCAAUUGGAGAGUUUUGAGACUUUGUUAUAUUUAUGGCUUUGGAAAAAGGAAAAUCCUUAGUAUUAGGCUAGUUGUUGUGAAAAUUUUAUUGAACUUGCAAGCGCACGAAUCUAUUGUAGAAUAUAUUAAUAGUGACGAGUGUCGAUCCUACGAAGAGGUGGAUUUUAAUUAUAUGUAGAAUUAACUUUCUAUGAGGGUGAUUGGAUUUGUGGUGAAAAUGAUUUGGAAUAUUCUAAAAUUAAAAUUAAAAUGACGAGAAUAAAUUAAAGAGGAAACUAUUAUAAUUGAAGCGCUUGGGUAUCUGGAUCCGCAACAACAUGCACCAUGGGUUAAAUAUUUCUUAUUAAUGCCAAUUAAAUCAUGAGGGAGAUUUCCACUCCUCAUAAACCACACUCUAAUUAAUAUGGUGGUAAGGGCUUAUCGUGCCAAAUAAUAAUAACCUUGUACUAGGGAGCCGGUGAAACCAGAGCGAUAUCUAGACAAGAUUAUUACUAUUUGUCGAUGAAAAGUCAAAACAUCCACAAAAAUUAAAGGCGAAGAGAAAAUAAAUUCACCAAAUAAAGCCCAUGGCACAUGUUGGGACUUCACCUUCAACCCAAGCUUGAAAGAAAAUUAACUACUCAUAAUUAAACUAGGGAUAAAAUAGAAAUUUAUUAAAAUACAUAGAAAAUACAAGAUGGAGAAGGAAUUACAGAAAAUGGAGCUCAACAAUGAAUUCAGAGAUGCCAAAUUAGGGGGAGAGAGCCCCAUUUUCUCUCCUUUUUUUAUAGAUACACUGAGUAAAUCAUGACCAUCGAAUUAAAAACAUUUUAGACGCUCAGGAUUGCGCCACGUCAUCAGUCAACAGUACGCAGUUUGACCAUGUGGUUUGAAUUGUGACAAGGUUUGACCACGCGGUUUGAAUAUUGAUGAAGUUUGAACAAUGACGCAGUUUGGUUGAAAAUAAUCCUUUGUAUAUCCAUAUACCGUACGCACGAUUUUUGGUCCACUAACAUGUUGCCACGUCAUCGAUCAACAGUGCAUAAGAAUUUUGUUCAAUAGAAUCGUGACAGCUCAUCAGUCAAUGCCACAUCAUUGGUCAAUGCCACGUCAUCAUUCCGUAUAUGUGAACAGUGUCGUGAACAGUAACAUGGACAAUACCGUACAUGUGAAUAGUACCGUACAUGUGAACAAUGAUAUUUUUCCUUUUAUGCUCCUCCUAAGGUGUUCGACUAUCCUGAGUUCAAAAGUGAUGUCCGUUUUGUUGUCUGAUCUCUCGUUCAUUGUGAAAUGAUCAUGAUGCCCCUAACAUACAUAAAAUACUUAAUUAAAAUAAAACACACAUAAUUAAAUUACAAGAGGUUUAAAUACAUAAAAGUAAGAGUGUUAGUAAGACUUGAAAUGUAAAAUGACGAUUUUCUCCUUUAUAAAUAUACAUUUUCUAACACUCAACACACCCCUCAACCAGCUUAUUGCUAGUCCCUAGCAAAUAAAGCGAAAACAAAAUUCAAACCCAAAAUGAUUCUUUUUUUAAACACUCGUGUUUAUUUUAUCAGACUAAUGAUAGUAAUCAAAUAAAAGUAUAAGCAUUAUCUCCGGUCUACAGAAACUUCACACCCACAUCAACCAUCCACAUGAAUCAGCCCAGUAGACUUUGUCACAACUACUUUCAAAAAUGACAUGUCAAAUCCCAAAAUCUCACCAGAAGUAGUGACACUCUUACAAGGAAAUUAAACCCAAUAAAAAUAGUCACUUCAAUGAAUGCUAAAUUUGAGAGAAAAUAAUAAAGAAAUGAUAUCACACACUUUCACCAAGAUGAAAGAAAUAUGCCCACAGCUUAGAAAUAAUACGAUCUUAAGUCAAACAAAAAUGCUAGUCAACCCAAUUUAUUUAUUUUUUCUUCUUUGUUUUAUACACCACUACAUCAUUUUAGCUCAUAAAACUAACUUCUACUUCAGACUAUAGCUCCCUAAAAUUAGGAAAGACUUUUAUUAGGAUGUAACGUAGGCUAAGGACAUGGCUAACAAAUGAAGGAAAAUAGGAAAAAACAAAAUAUAUGUUUAAGGAAAAGUAGAAAUCUUUUGGAAAUUACAAGGUGGAUUUCACCUAUUAUUUUUUUUCUUUUUUUUUAAACAACAAAUUUUUUUUUAUUUUUUUUCUUUUGUUUGGCACAAUUUCACUAAAGAAAAUAAUUAUUUAUAUUUUUCUCAAACAUAAAUAGGUGAUGGAACUUGUAAGAUAUUGGGUAAUACUCCAAAUUGGAGUGGGUCAAGAUGAUAAGUUUGACAAAGAAUUUUUUUUUUAAAAGGCUCAAAAGGGUUAGCUAUAGUCUUUUCCUGAUCCUUUGGAGUUAUAACAAUUUGGUUGUAGCCUGAAUACCCAUUUAGGAAACAAUGGUAUUGCUUUUCAGCUAGUUUGUCUAACAUUUGAUCUAUGAAUUGAAGAUGUAAGUGAUCCUUUCGAGUGGCUUUGUUGAGUUUCCUGUAAUCCAUACAUACCCUCCAUCCAAUCACUGUUCUUGUAGGAAUAAGGUCAUUCUUCUCAUUUGCUAUCACUGUUAUUCCUCUCUUUUUUGGAACACAUUGAAUGGGGCUCACCCAUGAACUGUCUAAUAUCAGGUAUAUGAUCACAAUAUCUAACCAUUUAAUGAUUUCUUUAUUCACAACUUCCUUCAUAAUGGGGUUUAACCUUAUCUGUUGGUCUACCGAGUUGCUGUAAUAGUAUUCUAAUAAAAUUUUAUGCAUGCGUAUGGAUGGGCUGAUCCCUUUAAUGUCUGCCAUGGUCCAUCCAAUUGCUUUUCUGUAUUUCCCAAGCACAUCUACCAGGCUCCAUUCUUGACCUGCAUCUAAAGUAGAUGAAAUGAUUACAGGGAGUGUAUUGUUUUGACCAAGAUAAGCAUAUUUCAAAUGUGAGGGUAACAAUUUUAAUUCAAGAGUAUGAGGUGAUUCAAUAGAUGGUAAAGUUAUCUUUACUUCCCUAUUUGAAAGAUUUAGAUGUUCAACAAAUCUGCUAUGUCUGUUAGAUUGCCUUCCUUCCAUCUAAUCUAUCUGGUUUGUUACAACAUCUUUUUCUUCAAAGCUCUCAAAGGUGGCAACCUUGAUGACCUCAUUACUGCAGCAUCUGUCGAUUCUGUUUGCUACAACAAAAUCCACAACACUCAGGAGAUUGCAAUCUUCUGCCUCAUUAGGAUUCUUUAUAGCCUCUAAUACAUUGAGUGUGACUUGUUGGUCAUUCAUCCUCAUUGUUAGCUCUCUUUUUUGCACAUCUAUCAGAGUCUUCCCGGGUGCUAGGAAAGGUCCUCCAAGUAUAAUGGGUACCUCUUUAUCAGCCUCAAAGUCUAAUACAAUGAAGUUUACUGGAAAGAUGAAUUUGUCAACCUUUACAGUACAUCCUCAAUUUUUCCUUCAGAAUAUGCAUGAGAUCUGUCAGCUAAUUACAGAGUGACUGUUGUUGGCCUGCAUUCUCCUACUCCCAACUGCUUAAAUACAGAUAAUGGCAUCAUAUUAAUACUGGCUCCCAAAUCACAGAGUGCUUUGCCAUUGUACCUAGUUCCAAUGGAACAUGGUAUUGUGAAGCUUCCUGCAUCCUUCAAUUUUUGAGAAAUCUUACUUUGGAGCAUAUGACUGCUUUACUGUGUUAAGCAACAGUUUCAAAUUCUCCCAACCUUUUUUUUCUUGCCAAGAUGUCUUUUAAAACUUUCACAUAAUUAGGCAUUUGCUCUAAUGCUUCCACAAAAGGUAUGUUGAUGUGUAAUUGCUUCAGCACUUCAAAGAAUUUACUAAAUUAUUUGUCUUGUUUUUGUUUCUAGAAUCUCUGUGGGAAAAGAGGUAGAUGCCUAAAUUGCUGGGUAGCCUCAGGAGGUACCGAUCUCUGUUCAUUUAAUUUAUUUUAAGUUAUUACCACUGGUGUUGCAACUUCUUCUUCAACAUUUAUUGGUUGAUUCCCUUCCAUAGUUACUGUAGCUUGACCACUAACACCGGUAUCUUCAUGGCUGGAUUGUUGUAACAUGCUCUCAUCUUGAAGUGGUUCUUGUGAGGAAUUAAGUUCUAACCUUUUUUUAGUCACAUCAACAUGGAUAUUAAUAUUCUUUCCAGAUCUUAAGUUGAUUACUUUGCAGUGUUCAUUUCCCUCUCUUCUUAGAUCUUCUGUGUUGCUGGGCAAGCUUCCCUGAGAUCUGCUACUCAUUGCUGUGGCAAGCUCAGGUUUCUUAGAGAUACAACUUGACUUUGCACAAUUGCUUCAUUCUUCGCAAUGUAUUCCUUAAUCAGUGUUUCCAAUGAAAUAAGAGGAUCAUGGCUGGUGUGUUUUUGCCCUUGAUUCUGCUGAUGAGAACUACGUGGUUGAGUAUUUCUGUUCUAUUCACUCAAUAUUGGAGCAUUUCAAUUUUGAUUGCUCCAUGAAAAAUUUGGGUGUUGCUUCCAUCCAGGGUUGUAAGUAUUUGAGUACGGGUUGUUUUAAGGUUGUCGGUUGAAAUUAACUGUUGUGCAAAUUUUAAUGUACUCACAAGCGCACGAAUCUAUUGUAGUAUAGACUAAUGGUGACGAAUGUCGAUCCCACGAGGAGGUGGAUUUUAAUUGUGUAGAAUUAAUUUAGUAAAUGGGUGAUUGGAUUUGUGGUGUAAAUGAUUUGGGAUAUGCUAAAACUUAAAUUAAAAUGGCGAGAAUAAAUUCUAAAAUUGGAAUUGAAAUAGCGAGAAUAAAUUCUAAAAUUGGUAUUGAAAUGGCGAGAAUAAAUUGACGAGAAUUAUAUUGAAAUGACGUACUUGGGUAUCUGGAUCCGUAUCAACAUGCAUCAUGGGCUAAAUAAUCCGUAUUAAUACCAAUUAAAUCAUGGGGGGGAAUCCACACCUCAUGAACCACGCUCUAAUCAAUAUGGUGCUAAGGGCUUAUCGUGCCAAAUAAUAAUAACCUUAUACUAGAGAGCCGGUGAAACCAAGGCGGUACUAGACAAGAUUAGUAUUAUUUGUCGACGAGAAGUCAAAACAUCCACAAAAACUAGAGGGGAAGAGAAAAUAAAUUUACCAAAUAAAGCCCAUGACACAUGUUGAGACUUCACCUUCAACCCAAGCUUGAAAGAAAAUUAGCCACUUAUAAUUGAACUAGGGGCAAAAUGGGAAUUUAUUAAAAUACGAAGAAAAUACAAGAUGAAGAGGGAAUUACAGAAAACAGAGUCCAAAAAUGGAUUCAGAGAUCUCAAAUUAGGGGGGAGAGGCCCCAUUUUUAUAGAUACAUGGAGUAAAUCAUGGUCAUCGGAUUAAAAACAGUUUGGACGUUCAGGAUUGCGCCACGUCAUCAGUCAACAGUUCACGGUUUGACCACGCGGAUGAACAGUAACACGGUUUGACCCGGGAUGAACAGUAACGCGGUUUGGUUGAAAAUAAUCCUGUGUGAUGCAUGCACCGUACACGAGAUUUUUCGUCCACUGAUAUGCUGCCACGUCACCAUCAACAGUACAUAAGAAUUUUAGUCCAACAGGAUCGUGACACCUCAUCAGUCAAUGCCACAUCAUCGGUCAAUGCCACGUCAUCAUCCAUCUAUGUGAACAGUGUCGUGAACAGUAACGUAUACAGUACCGUACACGUGAAUAGUACCGUACAUGUGAAUAGUGCCAUUUUUCUUUUUAUGCUCCUCCUAAGGUUUUUGACCGUCCUGAGUUCAAAAGUGAUAUCCGUUUUGCCGUCUGAUUUCUCCUUUAUUGUGAAAUGACUAUAAUGCCCCUAAAAUACAUAAAAUACUUAAUUAAAAUAAAACACAUGUAAUUAAAUCACAAGAAGGUUAAAUACAUAAAAGUAAGGGUUGUUAGUAAGACUUGAAAUGUAAAAUGACGGUUUUCUCCUUUAUAAAUAUGCAUUUUCUAACACUCAACAUUACCCACAUAGUUUACUAAUGCUAGAUUUCCAUGACAGUUAUCAAAUACAUGUUCUUUACCACAAUACACGUAAGACAGUUCAGCAACUUGCUUUACUGCUGAUGGAGCAGAAGUCAUGUUUUCACCAUGUUACUCAAUGAGGUUACUUGCGCUGAUAAUGCCAUAAUUGCAUCUAUAUUAUAUACCCCUGCUGCUCCUCUUACUGCCGUCUGUCUAGUUGAUGGCCAUUGAUAAUUAUUGUUGGUAAUUCUCUCCAAAAUUUCAUAAGUUUCAGUGUAAGAUUUAGAUAACAAAGCUCCAUUUGCUAAAGCAUCAACUAUCAAUCUCGUACUUGGAUUCAAUCCAUUGUAGAAGGUUUCCAACUAUAUGCAGCAAAGAAUGCCAUGAUGAGGACACCUUCUGAGCAGUUCUUUAAAUCUCUCACAAGCUUCAUACAAACUCUCAUAUUCAAGUUGACGAAAAGAAGUUAUCUCAUUCCGUAAUUUUCAAUUCUUGGUCAGUGGAAAAUAUUUCAUUAAGAAUUUAUCAGCCAAUUCAUUCCAUGUAGUGAUAGAAUCAGAUGGUAAUGAGUUCAACCAUGCUCUAGCUCGAUCUCUUAAGGAGUAAGGAAAAAGCCUUAGUCUUAAAGCAUCUUGUGUUGCUCCAGCAAUUUUAAAAGUAUCACUCACUUCCAAAAACAACUUAAAAUAGAGGUGAGGAUCUUCAGUUGGUAGUCCACUGAAUUGACCCACUGUUUGAAACAUUUGAAACAUCAUUGGCUUAAGUUCAAAGUUUGCGGCUUCCACUUCAGGUCUGACUAUUCCAGGAUGUACAACUUGAGGGGUUAACACAACAUAAUCUAUGAUAGCCCUGUCUCUGUCAUUUGCCAUGUAAAUAAUAUUAUUGUUGCCUGGCUGUCUCUGAUUAACAUGCUCAUUCUGCCCCUCUUGAAUGUUGACAGGUUGAAAUGGCCUGUGAGGGUCCAAGUUUCCCAUAUCCUGCAGAUUAUCCAUGUCUGAAACAGAUUUUGAAUUUCUUUGUUCUCUCCGCAGUCUUCUUACAGUCCUUUCAAUCUCAGGAUCAAAUUGGAAUACAACAGAUCUGUCUUUGCGCAUGCAAGUGUUGAUCUGUCAAUAAAUAGAAGAAAUUAGAUCAAGUUGGCACUAUCAAGAUUUACUUCACACUUCGAAAAUAACUAAUCAAUCCCUGGCAACGGUGCCAAAAACUUGUUGGUUAAUUUUCACUCAAUUGCUAUUGAUGCUAAUGUGCAAGUGUACACAACAAGUAAUAAAGUGAUGAAUAUUCUAGAUUGUCUCCACAGGGACUGAUGUUACUAGAAAUGCUACAGCAAUCAUAAUAAUGCAGUCUACCUUUAUUUCAAGAUGAACCUAGUUAAAGUUGAUUAUUUCUGAAAUUAACAAUUGUAAGAAAAUAAAAUAAAUAAUUGCAGUAAUGAAAUAGAUUAGAUAAAUUGCGUAAAAAACUCAAAUGAUAAUGAAGUACCUGAAUGAUCAAACUCUCUUAAAGGGUUGACUAUUUUUCAUCAAAUUAACACCAGUUGCUACAGUAAUUCCUACAGCACUGGGCAGAAUCAUUUUGCAUCCUCAGCUGUCGCGUGUUGGACUUCUCAUACCCUUAAAUAUCCUAAAUUCAGGAAACUUAAAUUAAGAUCAAGUAUUGCUCCAAUAAUACCCACUAAGACAUGCCUUUUUGCGGCUCUAUCUUAACUUGAACCAUUAAAUAGGUGGUCAACCGAAAUAACAGUUAUAAUAAUAGUUAUUAGAGUAACAUGCUACAACAAUCGUACAACAACUCAUAAGAACAGUCAAACACCCAUUUAGAUUAUUUGUCACUCAACUACAAGCAAAUUUACUUCAUACUUUGAAAAAGAAAAACAAACAGCAAAAUAUUGAUCAUUAAAUACAUCAGUUUAAUCGAAGAGUAAAGAAAAGAACAAGUAGAGAGCGAUGAAGAUUGAAUCCAAAUAACUCAGCUGAAUUCUUCACUGAUGCAGACUUGGUUCCCUUGAAUUCUGAUUGUUUUCUUCUUUUUCUUUCGAUUUUUCCAAUGUUAAUUACUUGCCGCCGUUUUAUGUGAUGAGCGCCCCUUUUUAUAACUGAAAACUAGGGUAAAUAAAAGCCUAGGGCAUGCAUGAGUCAGAUUAGGAAACUGCAGAUCGCAAUUCUGCAGAUAUCCCGUGCUAAGUUUUCUCUGUUAUUGUUCCAGGAUUGCUACAGCAAUGGUUGAUCCAGCAACAGCUAUAACACUGCACUGCUCCAGAUUUUGUUUCACUUGUUUUGUGGCCAUAUUCUUUCUCCUUUUUGCCAUCCUAUUGCAUUAGCAUCCCUUCUAUUAAUUAUAAACUUCUGGAAACAUACAAUUAUGCACAUGAUUUGAGCACGAAUUACUUUAAAUCAACCAAAACUUAUUAAGACUAAAGUAAAAUGAAUGUUUAUGCAAAACAUAACAAAAAUGCAAUAAAAACACAUCAUUUACUCUCUAAGUGAUCUUGAUUUAAGUUUAGAAUUGCCAUAAUAACUCUCAUUUCAUAGAGUUAUCACACUCCCUUAGUAAACUCCUUAAUUUAAUUUCAUUUUUUUAUCAGUAGUAUACUCCUAAUUUGGUGUAUUAAAGUUCAUCAUUUUUUCUAAUAUUAUCUUUUAGCAGUUUUUGAAUUUUAAAUUCAUAAAAACAUCCACACCUUAAAUUUUUUUUACACAAGUAGAGCUACUCACAUAUAUGGAUUGGCAAGUGUGGUCCACUACAACAAAAUUAAAAUCCAAAUGUCUCUAGAGAAGAAAAAACAAAUUUUGCUAAAUUGUGAGCCACCACAUUAGAUCUAGGUGCAUGUUUAGCUAUAGUAGGAGCCCUAGUAAUCAUAAGACACUUGAUCUCUGAUACUAGCCAAUCAAUCUCUUUCCUACUAGACAAGCUUCCAUCAAUGAGACUAACAACAUUUAUAGAAUCAAAUUCUUCAAUCAAAGGAAUUAGACCCAAGUCAAUUGAUAGCUUAAUCCCCUGUAAAAGUGCAUCAGCUUCUGCAAGUUCCACAUCAUUAGGAAAAAUGCCUUAUAUUGACUGAUGCUACCCAUAACUUCUCCUUUUGAAUAUUUGAUAAUAGCCCCAAGGCUACAAAUAUCGUCUGGAGAUUUAAUAGUUGCAUUAGUAUUAAGUUUGUACCAAUUAUCUGCUGCAUCAUCCCAUUUUUCUUCCUUAUGAUUAUGAUUGAUAGAAGCCACUAUUGCAAGAGAUUGUUGUGCUAGUUUGUAGUUGUCAAUGACAUAUUCAGCUUUGAUUACUAAGUCUCCCCACAUGAUUAUGAAGAUUCAAGUUUUUAUUGUUAGAGAAAGAAAUUCUUUGGUGAAAACCAUAACUUAUAACGCAGGAACAUUCAUGUUGAAUCACCAAGAAUCGAUAACGAAUUAGCUAGAAAUUUCUUGGUAUCAUGCAAUAAGCCUAUAUCGCUACUGGCAAGCAAAAUGUCAUCAACAUAUAAAAUUAGAAAGAUAUACUUGCUUCCAAAAAACUUAUAGUAUAUACAAUCAUCGACUAAAUUCAUCUCAAAACUAAAUGAGAUGAUCACUUGAUGAAAUUUGAAAUAACAUUGUCGAAAUGCUUACUUGAGAGCUCAUUGAUGAAAUUUUUAAGUUUGUAAACUAUAUUCCUUGGGUUUCUUGAUACAAAUUUUUUUGGUUGCACCAUAUAGAUCGUCUCAUCAAUGUCACUAUUGAGAAAUAACGUCUUUAUAUCCAUAUAAUGUAACUUAAGAUUAAAAUGCGCCACUAAUGCCAUUAUGAACAUGAAAUAGUCUUUCGAAAAAAACAUGAGAGAAAGUCUCUUUAUAAUCGAUGCCUUCUUUUUGUAUAAAACCUUUUGCAAUAAGACGUGCUUUGUACUUCUCCACAUUGCCUUUCGAAUUCCUCUUGAUUUUAAAUACCUAUUUAAAACCAAUAAGUUUUGUACCUUCUAGCAAUGGGACAAAAUCCCAUAUGUCAUUGUCCUUCAUGGACUUUAUCUCUUUAUUCAUGGCAUCAAUUCAUUUAUGAGAGUUAAAAAUUUUCAUGACUUGAUGGAAAUUGAUUGGAUCAUCUUUUAUCACUCUAAUGUCUAUCUCAUGUUCUUAGAUAAAUACAAUAUAGUUAUCUGGCACUGCACUUUUCUUUUCUCUAAUGGAUCUUCUUAAUGACAUAUGUUCUUGAGGUGUUAAUGUUUGUUCUUCUAGAGCAACUCCUUGUAUAGGGGGUUCUCCAAUAUUAUCUUGAUAUGUUGUAUCUUGAACAAAGUCAGGAAUGAAACUCUGAUUAAUGCCAAUCACACCUAUGAAAAUAUUAACGUAUUUCUCUUCAAAGACAAAGUUCCUAACUAUAUCUCCCCUUACAAACUCGAUAUCCUCAAAGAACUGAGGAUUUCCUUAUUCGAAAAUCGACUUAGUCAUGGGAUCAUAAAAAUUGUACAGCUUGGAUCGCUUUAAGUAUCUAGUAAAAUAGCAACUCACCAUCCUUGACUCCAGUUUCUUCUUAUUAGACCUAUAAAGACUUGCCUCAUUUGGACAUUACCAAACAUACAAGUAUUUUAGAUUAAGUUUCUUACCUAUCUAAAGCCCAUAAGUGCUUCUCCCCAGAGUGAUUUUGGUAAACGUCCUAUUUCAACUUUUAGUAGCACCAUUCACAGUGAGCAAACCCGGCAUAGUGUACUAUAGGAUCAUAUUGCAUUUCUUUAGGAUUUAACAAUUGAUCUUAGACGUUGUUCACUUGAAUUGUCAUAUCUUCGACAAUAUUCACUACCACAGUUAGAUCUGAUGCUUUUGAUUCUUUUGUUGAGUUGGUUAUCAAUUUUAACCUUAAAAUUUUUAAACAUAUCUAAAGAUUGUGAUUUUUCAUAGAGGAGAUAUAUAGAGUUAUAUCUAGAAAAAUCGUCUAUAAACGUCAUAAAAUAUUGAUGAUCAUUCCAAGCAGCGUAGGAAAUGACCCACGAAUGUCCGUAUUUAUGAGUUCUAAGACAUUCAAAGUUCUAUUGGCUUUAAAUCUCCUUUAUUGGUGUGUUUCUCCUUGAUACAGUUAACAAAAAUAUCAAAAUUGUGAAAUCUAAAAUGUCAAAAAUUUCAUCUAACACAAGUCUCUUUAUUCUCUUUAAACCUAGUCUACUAAAUUGUAGGGAUUCAUUAAAUAAAACAAUUGUAUCAAGCAGAUAAAGAUUAUUAUUGCCUGAUAAAGAACUGAACCAUCAUCGACAUAGAAGUAUCUUUCACUAUUAUUAGGCUUUUAGUAAUUCAAGUAAUCCUGAAUAGACACAUUGAUGUGAGUCGUUACAUCAGAAUUUGUCUACCACGUGUGUUUAGGUACCGAAGUUAAGUUAAGUUAACCUUAGAACAAGCCAAACCAUGCCCUUUAGCUUUGUAAAAGAAACAACCAAUACUUUUCGAAUCAUCUAUUUUGUUUUGUUAUUUCUUUUGAGGCAUUGUAUUUACAACUUCCUUAUGCUUGUUCUUCGUCUUGCCUUUGUCCUUAUUCUUAUACCUUAUUGAAAUUAGGCUUGUUAAGAGUGUACCAAUUUCAAUAUUUUUGUUCUUAACAAACCUCUGUUUAAUUUUUAGAAAUAACUACUUAACUAUUAUUACCUUUUCAGACAUUAAGCCCCUGAAUGCUUCUGGAAUGGCCUUCUUCUUGAUCAUGAUACACAUGGGAUUUGAUCUCUCCCAUCUUUCUAUUUCUCUUUUAUCCAUAAAAGGUAAGGGAGAAUCAACUUUUAGCGCAAGGUCAAGAUCUAUGACUACGAGAACUAUCAAAAGGUUCUCUUACCAUGACUUGAAGUCCGAGCUAUUUAGCAUAAGAAUAGAAUUGUUGUUGGUAAUAAUAUUAGCAGCAGAGAUAACUAAACAAAGAACAAUAAACAAACAAAACAAGCUCCUAUAAGUCUUAAAACAAAAAUAAGUUUAAAUAAAGGUAAACCCCAUCUCAAGAUAUCGAACACUCCAUAAUAUUUCCUUAUUGAACAAAAUAUUUACUUGUAAGUGAUAUCUUGGUGUAGUAAUCAAACACUAAUAAUAAGAACAUGUAUGUUAAACAAUAAAUCUUCCUUUGAGUGAAUAAUCAUUAGGUGUUUAUUAGCACAUGGGCACAUGUAAUUCUAUUAAAUAUGAAUCUUCCUUUGGGCUGAUCGAUAUUUACAGAAGUUACAUAUGCAUAACAAUUUAAAUUCCAAAAUAAAUUAAUUUUCACAUGAGAGGACAAUUUGGCGACAUGUUGCAUCAAUUAAUUCAUCUAAAAAAUAUAUAAACAUAAAAACAUUUGGAUUUAAAAUUGCACAAAAAAGUGUCCGUAAAAAAUAAAAAUAUUCAGGUCAAACGGUCAACAUUGACAGUUGAUCAGUCACUAUUGACUAGUUAAAGGCUGGAUCGAUUUGAGUUGACUCGAUUCGGAUCCUGACUAGCCCAAAUCAAAACCCUAACCCUUUUUUCUAUUAAUUCCUUUAUCUUUAUGGGCUAAACCUUAAUAUAUACAUUUUAAUCCAUCAAGCUCAAUCUUUAUUGGACCCAAAAUUAAGUUUCAUUAAGCCUAAAUAAAUUUAGAACUUAAAUGAGAAUCUUUUUAAUCAUUUUGCCUAAAAAGAAUUUUAUAAUACCUUAGAGACAUCCAAAAUAUAAAUCAUUAAGCCUUAAUCAUCUUUUUCUUUUCUUCUUCUUUGAUAUGGCAGCCAUGCUGCUACUCUUUCUUCCUUAUACAGCGGCCAUGGUUACAGCUCUUAAGUUGUAUGCCGCGCUUGGUGGUCAUGGCUUGGCUGCUACGUGGCCAAACGGCCGCGCCUUAGCCAUUCCUUUUUUUCUUCUUCAUUUAUUUAUUCCAUUUUUUGUUUUACUUGAUGGCUGCCAAUUUUCCAUAGGCUACAGCGACAUGGUGGCUGCUUCUAUAUCACUAUCAACCUCGGCAUCGGCGGUUGCCAUUGCCAUUAACCACAAAAUCUUGAAUCUGGAUUUUUUUAAAAUUUUAAACUAUAAAUCCAAAUUUUGCAAAAAAAAAAUCUUAAAUUCCAAAAAAAGCAACCACAAAUUUGUUCUUAAAUUCAAUCAUUUUAAUAAUUCUGUAUUAUUAAAUUCAAGAACACCAGAGAUUUAAUCAUCAAUUAAAAAUAAAUUUGAUUCUUAAUGAUUCAAUAUGAAGACGCUCUAAUGUCACUUGUAAGAACAAGAGAUCAUUUGGUGAAAACCAUCACUUAUAACCUAGGAACAUUCAUGUUGUAUUACCAAAAAUUAAUAACGAAUCAUGCAGAAGCAUACUUGAAUCCAUAAUGUUGAAAUGCUCUAUCGGGUUGUUUGGUUGGCCUUUCAUAUCAACAUGUUCUCCUAGAGAAUCCUUUAAUUUUCUUUGUGCUCUCUUUCUAAUGAUGAGAUGUCGAAAGAAUAGAAAGAUAUGUGUGACCUAAGGAGUAUGACCACUUAUGUAGAUAACUUUUCCUAUUGUCUUUAGAUAUUCCUAUUUCAGCCCAUCGUAGAAAUAAAAAUUACCCUUUUAAGUCUCCACACAUUAAAGGCCCACAUCCUAUUAGAUACAUUAAAGUCCAUAUUAUCGAAAAUAGUAAUAGAUCGCUUUUAAUUAGGUUUAACCAUAUAUGAUAGUUCAUAGUACAUAAUUAUUCACAUAUAAGCUCAACAUUAGAUUAAAGAUCCGACAACGCUAGAUUAGAAAAUCCAACAUCUAUCCCUCCAAAUUGACCAAGCCUAGACCACAAAAGACAUGAAAUUCUCUUAGGACAUAGAACCAACCAAUGUUUGGGCAAAGAAUGAUAAGUUGGUGCUUUGGUAAUUAUUCAUAGAAUUUGCAAAGAUUAAUGACCGCCAUACCUUUUUAACAAUUGUACAUCCCACCAAAGUAGAGAAGUUAUCUUCCACACUAUGUUGUAUCUUUUGACAAAUAGGGGAUUGUAUGAUCUUCCUUUUGAAUAAAUUAUAAGAAGUUGGAUGGAUAUCCGAUCUAAUAAAGCUUUCUACAUAAAAAAUUCUUAUCUUGGGCGAGAUUGACGGAAACCAAAUGAUAUUCCAUCAUGCUUGAGAUGACGAUGAACUUGAGGGACUUUGUUGAAGAUUGAAGUGCAGUGCCAUCUGGUACCCACUUUUGACAGAGUACACUCCCCUUUUGUCAUAAAACGUACUUGGCUAGGGCAUGAAUGAUGAGGGAGAGGAAUAUUGGAAAUCGUUUCAGCAUCUAUUAGCAAAAUAUGAAUCCAAACGAGAGUUAUAUUCAAGCUCCCAUUACUAUUUAUAAGCUCUGCUACCUUUGUGUCACUUGUUGAGGUUUUUGGAGAGACAAGCUUGAAAGAAACUAAUUUAGGAAUCUAGUUAUCUUCGUACACGUAAACAUCCUUGUCAUCUCCUAUACGCCAACAUAAUCUAGCUUUCACAAUUUCCCUUCCUCAUAAAAGACUCUUACAUAAGAAAGAUGAAUUCCUCCCACUUUUACUACUAAGAAAAUCAGAGUUAGUGAAGUAUCUGGCUUUUAAAGUUUUGGCCAUUAAAUAUUCAGUAUCUUGUAAAAUGCGCCAACUCAGUUUGCCCAGCAGAGCAUGGUUGAAAGACAUUAAAUCCUAAAAACCUAGGCCACCUUCCUUUUUUGUCCUACAUAAAUUCCUCCACAAGAGCCAAUACAUGGCUUUCGAUUUAUUGUUGGUACCCCACUAGAAUCUCGCAAUACGCUUCUGAAUAUCUUUGCACAACCCUUAGGGAAAUCCAAAGACACUCAUCGCAUAAGUGGGGAGAUCACUGCCUUAAUUAAAAUUUCCUUGCGUCCACAAGAAAAUAAUUUUGACUUCCAACUGUUAAAGUAGUUUUGUUUUGGCCAACCAUAGAGGGGAACCCCAAAUACCUUUUGUUGGGAUUAUGUGCUCUUUAAAGCAAUUAAUUAAUUUAUUUUCUAAUUAAUAAAAUAUUUGAGAUAUUUUCAAUUGCAUAAAUAUUUUGAAUAAGGUCCGUUUAAUCAUAUUAUAUGUAUUUAUGUGAUCAUCAUAUGGAUUCACAGAAGACAUAAAUACAAGUUGUCUUAUAAUUAAAUAAAUUAAGUUCACAGUUGAUAAAUAGAGUUGGACUCUCUAUUUAUGUUUGGACUGUAGUAAAUUCAUUGAAUAAUUUGUCUUAAUCAUGUAUGAAUUUACUAGUGUAGUUUGACUACAUUGAACUGGAUUACAUAUGAGAUUUAAUUAACCUUAAAAUGACUGUCAGACUUAUUAAAUCUCAAAGGUAUUGAUUUUAUUGCAAUUUUAAUCUUGAGUUAAUUAUAGUUUUAUGUUUGUGAUUGUCAUUUUAUUUGAGCUACCAAUGGGCGCGACAUAUAUUUGUAGUCAAGAUUAUCCUGUAUGUUGGUCGAAGCAAUUAUGAGCAGUGAUAUUAUAGAUUAACAAUAUAGAAUUUGUACAAUACAUCUAUUGAUGAGUUUUCAGCACUUGAUCAUAGAAUUCUCUGACCAGCAUGUGUCAGCAUAAUUAGUAUGUUGAAAAUGAUCAUUAGAGAAAACCAGUACAUGUCAAAGAACAAGAUGUAAUUAAAUUGAUUAGACAAUCGAGAUAUCAAUUUAUUUAACGAUGUGGUAUAAAUGAUUGUUCAGUAAAGAAAUCAAUGUGGCAUGGGUUGAAUUAUUAUUCGAGAACACUAUCCUAGAUAUCAUACAAUUAUCGAGGUCAAUUCCAAUCUUUUAGUGGAGUAGAUUUGGAAUUAAAUAAUUGGGCUAGUUUAAUUAUUGGACUAAUUAUUGUAGCCACUAUUGUAUGUACCCAUAUGAUCCCCGGGUUAGCUCAUUUAUUUGAUUGUGCCGCUAUUGGAUUAAUAAGCAAGAUAACUAGCUAUUUUGGUUAAAAGUCUAAAUAUAUUAUUUAGUGGGAGGCUCUAUUUAAUAUGCUUAUGUGUAAGGGGCCUUCUAUUAUUUUAGAAGGUAGGCCCUUAUAAUAAGAAUAAGUAAGGCCACUUUUGGUUUUAUUAUUUUUUAAUUUAAAUCAAAUUUGAUUUAAUAGAAUUAAAAAAUAUAUAACUACAGUUAGGAAAAGACAUAAGAGAGAUAAAUAUGAGGAGAGAGAGUGAGAGCAAAAAAAUAAGGGGAGAGUGAUUGAGUGAGGUACGUGUAUGGAGAGGGAAAACUUAAAUUAUUUUAAAAAUUUUAAUCUGUUGAUUCAUUUUCAAUCCAACAAUUUUUGGAGGGCUGCUUAAAACAUUUUACCAACAGUUGAGAAUUUAUGGAGAAAAAAUGCGAAUAACAUUGAUUUUAUGCACUGGGAAAUAUUUAUUCAAAAAUUUCAUUACCAUUUGUUCCCAUGAUGUAAUGCUAUUAGCAGGCAAUGUACUGAGUCAUGAAUGAGCUCUAUCCUUUAAAGAAAAUGAGAAUAGUCUAAGUUUAAUAUCAUUGUCUGAAAAAUUCUCAUAUUUAAAAGUUUGACAAACAACAUGAAAAUCAUUCAAAUGAUUAUAUGGGUCCUCAUUUUCUAGGCCAUCAAAUGUUGGGAGACAAUUAAGCACACUAAGUUUCAGUUCAAAACUCCUAGCUGCUACAUUUGGGUAUCUAUGCAUGAUGUGCUCAAAUUAGCUAAAGGACUAAAGUAGUCCUUAAAUGGCCUCUCCUGUGGUGCUUGUUGUUGUUGCAAAUCCAUUUCACUUUUAUCUUUAAUUACAACGUGUUUGAGUGUGCAAAGUAUUUUUUCAUUUUCAAGUUCAAGGUCUAUAGGUUCAAGAUUAGGUAAUAAUGACCUUCGACCAUGCAUGCACAGAACACAAAAAUAAAUAGGAACAAAAUAAAUAAAAAUAAAAAGAAGGAGAAAUUUCGAUACUAACCUUAUUACGCUGUUACAACCUUUCUAUAAAAACACACUAAAACAAAUAUGUGAAAUAAAUUAACUAAAAAUAAAUUAAUAAGAUAAACAAAACAAAUAAGAAAAAAUAAUUAACCUUUCUUACCUCUAAGUGCAGAUUCGCUUUUUUAAAAAAAAAUAAGAAAAAAAUUACAAGAAAAGAACUAAAAGAAAUUAUUUACAAAAAUUAAUUCUACAAAUUAAAAUAACUUACCUCCCCGGCAACGGCGCCAAAAACUUGUUGUGCAAAUUUUAUUGAACUCGCAAGCACACGAAUCUAUUGUAAAAUAGAUUAAUGGUGACGAGUGUCGAUCCCACGAGGAGGUGGAUUUUAAUUAUAUGUAGAAUUAAUUUUCUACGAGGGUGAUUGGAUUUGUGGUGAAAAUGAUUUGAAAUAUUCUAAAAUUAAAAUUAAAAUGACGAGAAUAAAUUGAAGAGGAAACUAUUAUAAUUGAAGUGCUUAGGUAUUUGGAUCUGCAUCAACAUGCACCAUGGGCUAAAUAUUUCUUAUUAAUGCCAAUUAAAUCAUGAGGGGGAUUUUCACUCCUCAUGAACCGCACUCUAAUCAAUAUGGUGCUAAGGGAUUAUCGUGCCAAAUAAUAAUAACCUUGUACUAGGGAGUCGGUGAAACCAGGGCAGUAUCUAGACAAGAUUAUUACUAUUUAUCAACGAAAAGUCAAAACAUCCACAAAAAUUAAAGGGGAAGAGAAAAUAAAUUUACCAAAUAAAGCCCAUGGGCACAUGUUGAGACUUCACCUUCAACUCAAGCUUGAAAGAAAAUUAGCUACUCAUAAUUGAACUAGGGGUAAAAUGGGAAUUUAUUAAAAUUCAUAGAAAAUACAAGAUAGAGAAGGAAUUACAGAAAAUGGAGCUCCAAAAUGAAUUCAAAGAUGCCAAAUUAGGGGGAGAGAGCCCCCUUUUUAUAGAUACACUGAGUUAAUCAUGGCCAUCAGAUUAAAAACAUUUUGGACGCUCAGGAUUGCUCCACGUCAUCAGUCAACAGUACGCGGUUUGAGUAGUGACACACCGUUUGACCAUGCGGUUUGAAUAGUGACGUGGUUUUGUUGAAAAUAAUCCUGUGUAUAUUCAUGUACCGUACGCACAAUUUUUGGUCCACUAACAUGCUGCCACGUCAUCGAUCAACAGUGCAUAAGCAUUUUGUCUAAUAGAAUCGUGACAUCAGUCAAUGCCACAUCAUCGGUCAAUGCCACAUUAUCGUUCUGUAUAUGUGAACAGUGUCGGGAACAGUAAUAUGGACAAUACCGUACAUAUGAAUAGUACCAUACAUGUGAACAAUGGCAUUUUUCCUUUGAUACUCCUCCUAAGGUUUUCGACUGUCCUGAGUUCAAAAGUGAUGUCCGUUUUGUUGUCUGAUCUCUCGUUCAUUGUGAAAUGACCAUCAUGCACCUAAAAUACAUAAAAUACUUAAUUAAAAUAAAACACACAUAAUUAAAUCACAAGAGGUUUAAAUACAUAAAAGUAAGGGUGUUAGUAAGACUUGAAAUGUAAAAUGACGAUUUUUUCUUUUAUAAAUAUACAUUUUCUAACACUCAACACUAGUGGAUUUGUUUGAAUAAACUUUGGCUCAUUUCUAAUUGAGGCUUUUGUGAAGGAUUAUUAUUUAUAAGUAACCUCCUUUACCACAUGCUCCACACGUGUUGGAUUUAGGGUAUUACAAUUUGCUUCAAGUGAGGAUGUUGUUUGUGUAGUUUUCUUUGGUAACUUAUUAAUACUAGACUUAAAUAAAUCAAAGAUGAACUUAGAAAACGGUAAAAGAGGCUAUAAAUAAGGUUAAAAUUCUCAAAUUUGAAAUUAAUUCGUAUGACUUGAAGAUUGAACAAAUUAGCCUUAAAUUUGUAUCAACCAUCCAAGAUAGUUUUAAACAAAUUUUAAGUUCAACAAAACCUUGACCCAAUGUUUAAGAAACUUAAUGGUAAUUUCCAAACUGUAUAUUUUAUCAAGCUAAUGUAUUUUCCUUUCAUACACGAGCAAAGUGCAUGAUUGUUCAUGGAAUACAUAACCUAUUCAUAAUUUAUAUAGAGGUGGAAAAAUGGGUUAAUGGAUUGUGUUUAUGUCGUAUGAAAAUUUAAGCCAACUCAAACACAGUCUAUUUAAUAAUUGCAUCAAACAAUCAAAAUCCUAGUUAACCUAAGAUGACUAUUAACUGGAUUUACAUUUGCACGAUCAAUUUAAUAAUUAAAUCAAAUUUUAAUUGUGUUGAGUAAAUGAGUAAGAAAAUAAACAAGAUAAAAUUACUGAGGAAAAAACUUUGAAUGAAGUAGCCGCGGUAAAGUUGUCAAGGUGUUUAUUAGAAAGAGAGAGAAGUAAAUAGUAAUUAAUCCAAAAAUAUAGGCCCAAUCAACAUUUUUCUUUGUUCUAAUAGAAAUAUUCAGUCAAUAAUGAUUUAUUGAUAUAGUUUAUGAUUGCCCAAUCCUUACCCUUUAAAUGAAAAAAAAUUAACAUAUUUUACUAAAUGUUAAAAUGAUUAGCCAGCUGUAAGGUAAUAAGAAUAGAGUUAUCGAAUUUUUUAUUAUUAUUUCUUUUUUAAUGGGAAUAGUUGGACAUUUGAAGGCAUAUAAUUACGAAAAAUAGUCUAAUAAAACAAAUCGGAGUUUCUGACAAAUAAAACAAAUUUAUAAGUUUAAGAAUUGAAAUUAAGGGAAAAGGUUUUGUGGAGCAAAUGAUUUUAAGAACGUUCUCCAUUUUUUCAAAAAAAAUAUUUUUAGAAAGCAAUGAUGGUUCUAACUUCUAACUACCUUUUGUUAUCAACUAUUUUUAGUGCCACUUGUAUGAAAGUUGGUUUUCUUCAUUUCCAAAAAAAAUGUCUUUUGAUUAAGGAAGUUAUAAACUUUUCCUUAAUUUAGUUUGUUUUUCCAUUAUACCUAAGACAUAAUUGAAGGAAUAUGUAUAUUAAACAUUAUUUUAGCAAGAGAAAAGAGAAAAAGAGUAAUUAAAAUCAUGAAGAAGUUCAUUGUUCUCAUUCUUUUCUUCACUUUUUUUUCUAUGUCUUAUGAAUCUUUCUCAAGGUAAAUAUAGUAUCCCAAAGAGUUAUUUUUAAUUUUUUUUAAUAUGAGAAUACUCACAUUUUAACGAUUUUUAUGUUUCUUUGCAAGAAAAUGACAACUAAAAUUCUGUACUAAACACAUGACAAUUCCUAGCGUUUGUCCCAAGGAUCCUAAGGAAGCAGAAUUCGUGUGCCUUAAAGCCUUCUUCGAUAAAUAUGGAGCAACAAAGAGCCCAGAUAAUUGUCUAUGCAAACCAUCAACUGGCAACCAGCACAUCUGCCAAUGUGACAUUAUUUGUGAUCCACCACCACCUAAACGAACUUAAUUAUGGUGUCCAAUAGUAUGAAGAAUGAAGAUCACUAAAUCCACGAUAUCGAUAUUAACCUAUUGUUAAAUCAUAGAUAGAAACUGAUACGGUGGUUUGUAAUAAUAAAUCAUAAUAUUUACUUAAGUAAUUAAUCGCUAUGGUUGAGAAACAUUUGUAUAUGAAACAACGUGUAAUUUCAUUACAAUGACAGAUUAGUAAAAAGAAAAUUGCUUUUAUACUAUUGAAUAUAAAUAAAUCUAGUCGAAUAAGUUUUCUUUUAAUCCUAAUAACCAUGUUAAAAACAAAACUUCUAAUUAAGAUAUAAAACUUUUUGUGUGUGCCUUUUUCUUCCCCCUUAAACAACUAAUAACUUAAGGCUAAAGUUUCAGUGUCAGGCCUCAAUGCCUAGCAUUGUGCCAAUUUUUAUUUGUAGCCGUUGGAUUCAAGUAAAAUGAGUCCAACGGUUGAGAUUAAAUUAAAAAUAAAAAGUAACUCGUUACUCGUUAAACGGUUGCUGAAAUCCAUUACGUUUUCCCUCCUUCAAAUCUCAAACAUCUCUUUCACCUCUCUUACUAUCACUCUCUGAAAUACUGAUUUGUCUCUUGGAUUGUUUACUAAUCACAUAAAAUCGAAGCUACCAUGUAACACAGCGAACAACAAGUCGAAUCCAUCAAUCAGUUGGUGUCAUCUUGAGCUAUUCUCUUUCAUUUUUUAGUUAAAGACAAGGUAAUGAUGAUUCUUGUGUUUUUGUGGUGACUAUUGAAAAUGUUAUGUGAAAGAAUUACGGGUUUAUGUGUUAUAUUAAAUUGUUGAUGAUAUGUGAAAUAAUUAGGGAUUUAUAGGCUGAUAGGUAGUGAGAAUUAUGAUGAUGACUUUAAGUUCCUCUUUUCUUUGCCUCUUCUAAGAACUGUAUUAUUUCCCAAAAGUGCCACUUACAUCAAUACGAUGUACCUCCAUGUCCUGAAAGGUAGUAUGAAGAAUGAAGAUCACUAAAUCCACGAUAUCUAUAUUAACCUACUGUUAAAUCAUAGAUAGAUACUAAUACGGUGGUUUGUAAUAAUAAAUCAUAAUAUUUACUUACUAUGGUUGAGAAAUAUUUAACUAAUUAGUUACUGGGAUUGAGAAAUAUUUGUAUAUGAAACAUGGGUAAGUUCAUUACUAUGUCAGAUUACUAAAAAAGAAAAAUUACUUAUACACUAUUGAAUAAAUCUGGUCGAAUAGUUUUUCUUUUAACCCUAAUAAUGAUGUUAAAAAAGAAAAAAAGAAAAAGAAAUACUUCUAAUUAAGAUUUAGAACUUGUGUGUGCACAUUUUUUUUAACAAUCAAUAACUUCAUUAUAAUUAAAGUGCGCACAAACGUUCUAAAAAGUCAUCCAGCCAAAUAACAGAAUUUAAAAGAGCUAACUUGGCUAGUACAUGGCUUGAGCUAUUUAAAAUUACACGAAAUAUGAUGAAUUUGAAAAGCAUAUCGUCGUUCCAUGGGUUGUAAAAUAUUAGCAAUAACUUAGAAAAUACUAACUGGGAAAAUAGUAGCAACCCUAACAUACCCAUGACAUUCACACAUCACAGCACCUAAACUCAUGACAUUAUGCGCACAAUCAACAGUGAUGAUGCCAGCCUCACAGUGAAACUUUGAGACCCAUGUUCAGUUUAAAGUUUCAAUUUCCCAACAUAGUUUUUUUUUUCUUUUUUAAAAGAGGAUCAUUGGAUUUCACCCCAUUCCACAUGUUAAAUAUACUUGCUAUAUUCCUACCAAUAUACGUAGUAAUCUCUAAGUACCUAUGACUAGACAAAUCCCUAAUGCAAGGAAUAAAUAAAUAACAAUAUUAUCGACACACUGAUGUAAUAAUAAAAGCCCUAACAUUUGUCAGUUGCAAUAAAAUUGGCUAGACAAAAAAGAAAAAAAUCCUCAGUUUCAUGUUAGUUGUUUUAGUGAUCUGAGAAAGCAAAAAUCACUUGUUGAAAAAGCACAAUUGCUCACUUUUAGUAAUUUUAUUCUUUUGUAUUUGCUAAUUGCUCAAUCUCCAUAAUGUUCUUUCUCUUGUUAAAAGCCUGGAAAAGCUAUCAAGAGAACUAUUUUAGCAAUCCAAGCAAUGAAUAUAUCAUUUUAAACUUGCUCAUUUAUUUUGUUUUGGAUAUGGAAUUGAUGUUCUUUGCUACCAAUGAAGAGAUUUGAUCAAAUUGUUUAUAAAAGAAUAAAAUUGUGAUUCUUUUCUUUUGAAAUAGUUUUGUUCUUUGGUCACAUGAAAUUUAUAAAGGUAUAACGUUGCAAAAUGAUAGAGUCUAAAGAGAAAAUCAUUGUACUUUUUAGUAAUUUUGUACAGGAUAAAAUUAGAAUCAUUAAUAGGGUUUUUUUAGAUAAAAUGAGAUAAUCAAAUAUCAAUACUCUAAAGGAGAUAAUUAGAUUCUUAGGCUUUCAUAGUUUUUUCUUUUUUAAUACACUAGGCUUUUAUAGUUGAAACAUCCAAAAUCAGAUGCAGAUGCAAAACUUGGCCAUAGAAAUUAGAACAUCCUUAAUUCAAAAGCCAAUACAAAGAUGUAUUCCUAGUAGGACAAAAACUUUUAAAGUGAUGAAAUUAGGGAAGCAUCGUGAUAUCCAAUUUUAGUAGGCAUACCAGGUUUAAUUAAAAUUUAAUUAUACAAAUAAUAAGUAAAAAUAAAAUGCAUAAAAUUAAAGCACACAAGAGGAUUUUUACGUUAUUCACUACAUCCAUGGAGCCACGCUCAAAUAUCAAGUAAUUUGCUAGGCUCAAGAGAUUACAACCUGUUGAAACCUUACACAAUAUGAGACUCCAUCUUAGUGAUUGCCACCAACUUAUUAUAAACUCACCAAGUGUUGAUAGGUGGCUUUUUAUCUAAAUUAAACCAUUAUUGGUGGUCUGUUGAUCUUGGAAUUAAGGAGUUGAUGACUCCACACUACAAGAAAAUAGGCAACAGAUGACGGUAAAUAACUGUCAUAAAAAGGGAUGUAUGACAGACAACUUAUCUGUCCUCUAUGUCACUAUCAUUAAUUCAUGACCGAAUAUUUUCAGUCAUGAAUUUAUGAUGGUUUUUCACAGUCACAUAUCUGUCACAUAAUAUUUUAAUGAGAAAUUAAAAUUAUUUAAAGUUUUGGCAUUUUUAAACUUUUUGGCUGGUUUUUGGUAUUAUCUCAAUAUUAAAAUUACUUAAAAGCAUUAUGUUUUUAAUUGUAUAGUUAUUAUUAUUUGUGUUGAAUUAUUAUUAUUAUUAGAAUUCUCAAAUUCUACAAAUUUUUUUUUAGAAUAAAUUAUGAUAAAAAAAUUAAAAAAAAUCCAAUUAAUAAAACCCGGAUAUCCAUUUAACCAUACAAUCCAUAUCAUUGAGGUAUUCAAGCUACAACAACCCAAAACUUCACAAAAUAUCCUAAACAUCCUCUCCAUUCUUUUGCCAUGCCCUCAAUUGUUGGCCUUAGAAUACUAGUCCCGUAACUCCGCAUCUUAUUCCUAUUCAAGAAAAGAAUUAGAGCAAUAAUCAGUUUAACUAUGAACAAACAUGCAUACCUUAAUAAUAGUUUACAAUCUAAUAAUUGCGCAUAGCUAUUUUUUUAUAAGUUGAACUAUCUAAUGAAAAUAUCUAUUGUAGCCCCAAAGAAAAAAAAACACAGAAGCUAAAAGAAAGCAAGAUUGACAAUUUCAUUGCCUAAUUUAAGAAAAGGAGAAAAAAGUCCAUCAAAUGUUACUAUAUUGCCAAUAAAUGUAAUCAACACAUUUUCUUAAGAACUCUAUCUCUGCUAUAUUUUAACAUUAGCAAUUUUACCGCAAGCCAACACAUAAAAAUUACAAAACCAUUUUCACAAAUAAAGUAUUUGUAACAACACUCACAUUUUGUCAAAUGCAAUAGGGCUAUCCAUCUCAAAACUAGUUCUAAAAUAUAAGAAAACAUGGCAUUAGAAAGAUUAUAACUCAAUGAAACACAUAAAAACAUCAAAUAAAAAUUCAUAGAGUUCAAGCAAAAGACAGAUAUCUAAACAUUUAUUCAAAUACCCAGUUAAGAAUUUCUAAAGUAAUCCAAUUCGGUUGCCUUGAACAAAAUCAUUAAUGGCACUACCGUAUCUAAAGUGAAGCACUUCAUAACUGGUGGACCAAAUGUGUAGCAUAAAAGACCAUACAACAUCACAGAAAAACAUCAUGAAAAAACAAACAACAAAGGAUUCUAAAUUCUCAACAAUAUUUACUAAUAACCCUUUCAACAUCUUAGUUUCAGAAUUAAUGAGCUACCUACAAGAAAACUAGCAUCAACAAAACUCAAACAUACACAAAACAAUCUAGUUCUUUCUAGGUCAAGAAAAUUAAAAAAAACAAACUAUGAAAGAUAUAAGAUUCACAAGCUUUGUGGAUUUAAUUCUAUAUGUCAACUAGACCAAGGCCAUUGACAACAAACAAGUUUUCUAAAACAAAAGUUAAAGCAAUAAAGAAAAUGAUUAACCAAAGAACUUGGGGAUUAAAAAAUCUUGCUAGGAGAAACUCUUGUCUUCGAAUAAGUUUAACUUAGGAAUGAAAUUUCACAAAUGUUAAGAAUUGUACACACUUUCAAUGGCAUCUUACCAUUUUCUAAUUUUCUCACCAAACUAUACAUACUACAAUAAACUAUUAAUAAUAACUGAGAAUGGAAAAAAAAAUAAAUGAAUCAUAUAAACCUUCAGUCUUUCAAUAACAUGUUUAACUCCUGUUCUCACCUUAAUUAAAAAAUCUACUUCUUGAUCUUUAUCUCUAAAAAUUAUCUAUAUUGAACCAAAAUGAUUCUUAGAUAGAGCUAAUAAAUAUUAGAUUAAAAAAAAAAGAUAACUUCUUUAGGCUACACAGUAAAGAGAAAACAAAAUAAAUAAAUCCAUGAGAUCAAGAAAAAAAUGACAAGUAAAUCAAACAACCACUGAGUUAGAUGAACUAACCUUCCCAUAAUUGCGCCUCGCCAAUAAUCAUCUCUAUUAUUAUGCCUUGCCGGCUCUUGAAAAUUAUGAACUUUGGCCAUUCAUUUUUUAGCUAUGGAUCUACUGCUCACACAAAACAAAUUUAUUAAAAAACUAGUUAGCAAACAAAUUUGCUUUAAAAUAAAGUAAUUACUAAAGUACAAAAUCAUUGCAAAAUAUUUGUCAUUCCUAACCCAUACUUCACUAGAUUUCUAAUUAAAAGAAACUCAAAAUUCUGAUUAACAAUCCAUAUUUGACCAUAGAUUAACUUCCGAGUCCAACAUGGAAUACAAACUUCCCAUUAACAAUAUUUAAAAAAGAUCAUAUAUUUGGUUUUAUUAAUUAAUCAACAGAAAAUUUAAAAAAGAAAACCCUAGCAAAAAAUUAAACAAGAAAAUCCUAGAAAAAAAUAAGAUCCCUAAACACAAAUUAAAAUGAAACAAUUGAUAAUUGGAAAAAGAAAAAGAAGUCGACUAACAAUAAUGAAAAAGAGGCCAACUAACAAGGAUGAGACUAAAGCAAGUGGCCUAAUCAACUUUGACGAAAUCGACAUCCCAACCUUUGAGAUCAUCAUCUAUACCAGAGUGGCAAGAUCGUCGAACUUAGAUGCCUUCCCAUGUUUAUUAUAGUACUCGAUGGCCUUAGAGAGGAUCUUACUGGUGAAGUUGGGCAAAAGGAUUCCGUCAUCGGGCAAUCGUCAUGAAUCAUGUGCUUGACAAUGGUUAGUUACGGUUUAAUGGGAAAAUUUGAAAGGAAGUGAAAGAGACAGACGGUAUUGGGGGACAAAAUAAAACUGACGCGGUUGAUGGCUUAAUAAGAAGGAGGGUGAUAGUUGAACAAGAAGAAUAAAUCAAGCAUGACGGUGACGAUAAUGUGUGGAUGGUAAGUCGACGACAAGAACGAGCCAGAGAAGCAGCAUUUAGGGAUUUUGAUUUCUAAGGUGUGAGUGUUUAACACUUAGAAAAAGAAAAAGAAUGUUAAAAGUACCAAAAACGGUAGCGUUUUCUUUUUCUUAUCUAUUAUUAAAAUGAACCUUUUGUUUUAAAAAUAAAAUAAUACAUCAAAUUUGGGUCAAACAUUGUCAAAAUCAUUUUUCUAUCAUAAUUUCUUGAUAUAUCAAAUUACUAUCACAAUUCUAUCAUAAAUUCGUGAUAAACAACAACUCUAUCACAACAUCAUCAUAAAUUUAUGAUAGAAAAUAUUUAUAUAACAAGACCAUCACUAAUCUUUGAUAGAUUGAAAUUUCUAUCAUGAGUCUGUCAUAGUGUUAAGAUAUAAGUUAUUUUGCCUAGAAUCUGUCAUAAAUUAUUUGUCAUCUAUUGCUUAUUUACUUGUAGUGCCACUACCAUAUGAAAAUGACCAUAUGGCCAACUAUAUGGGAGGGCCAAUAUAAGGUAAAAAACUAGAGAAAAACAGAGGACAAGUUCUUAACCUUUUCUAUGAUGACUAGAUAGCAAGAGGCAUAACAUUUUGAGGGGUGAUUUCUUUGUAAAUAAAAGUACCCCUUUAUAUUAAAGAUCAGACUUUAGCAUCGGAGAGUUCCGGCGAGACCUGACCACUUUCUAUGAAUGACGGGUUAAGAAUUUCAUGUUCAAAUCAACUCGCUCUCUAAGUUUAGCUUGUGCUAUUUUCCCCCAAAAACAAAUUUGGCUGUUGAGGUCAUUCUUCAACAUCAAUGCUAAGUGAAAUCUCUGCAUGCACUACAUGUCUUUUGCUUUCUCUACUGAACAAGACUUUUAAGCAAUGGUAUGUUGCCUCUUUAUAGAAUCCAUUGACUGAAAACAAAUGAUCCCUUCUCCUAAAAAGGCCAGAGACAACAACUCCCCAAUCAAAGAAUAAUUCUAAAAUUGUUGCCUGUAAUGUAGAAUCCAUCAACUACUCGAACAACUUUCACUGCUGUAAAGAUUAGGUCAACAAAACCACCAAAGAAACAUAAAGCCUGAAUGUUGACAACAGACUCUUCUCACAUAAAAAAACUAAUGGAUAGACAAACAAACAAAAGACCAGACACCACAUACAAAUUGCGACAUCUUCCUAAAAGCGUUAAAAAGGAUGCCUUUAUUCUCAGUGUGCGACUUGAACCAAAAUAUGUGAAUGAAUUUCUCUUAUGUAGUGUUAGGUGAAUCAUGGGUAUUGGAGAGCCUAAUCUUGUCAAAUAUUUGUGCCUUAAGCAUUUGGCUGCAUAAAGAACUCUUUAUGAUAUCUCUAUAUUAUCUUUCAUAUCAUAAGUCAUAACAAUUCAAUCUCAAUAUUUAAUCAUCACGCUAAUCUUAACUACCAUCUUUAGAUAUUGUUUGCUUGAUCUUGAUAGAUGUCUUCUAUACAUAGAUUGAUUUAUCUUCAAUUAAUUUGAUCUUGUGGUCUCCACAUGAAGUAAUGCCUAAGUCCUCGAUUUUCUCUAUGGUUCACAUUAACUUCAUAAUAUAAACUUGUCUUGUGCAUUUCCCUUAUUCUAAAAUAUCUCCCUACGCACUUAUGUGAACCCUACUUAUAUAUAAUAUGUAAAACCCUAAUUUGCAUGUAUCUACUAUUGUUCUCAGGCACUAUUUGUAACACUUGACAUAAUCUACGUUACAUGGAUAUUACAAUAUUAAUGAAGACUCAAUGAUGUGUCUAGUGAAGAUGCUAACAUACAAAUAUAAAUAUUGACGUUGUUAUAGAAAUACCAACAUCUGUAUAGUGAAAUUUCGAACACAUUGUGACAAAUGAAUCCUUCCAAGGCUCCUCCUAGCCUAAAGGACUUUUAGCUGCAUUAUUUCAGAGGCAUUGGGAUGCAAUGGGAAGAUCUGUAACUGAGAUUAGCCUUACAGCUAUCAAUAAGGAAGGAGAUAAUCCCCCUCUUAACCAUAAGUCCAUACUCAAUCACAUAACUUAAAUCCCCAAGAUUAAAGAGCCCGAAAGUUAUAUAGUUGAACUCAUGCCUAUAACUUGUAUGAAAUUAUUUAUAAAAUUGUUAUUGCAAGUUAUUAGUUAUAAAAUUGUUACUAAAUGUAUUGCUAAUUGAUAAUGAAGAGUAUGUUGGAGAAUGUUUCGCAUAAUCAGUAGCAUUAAUUUACUCCUCAUCGCUUAAUUACAAUCAAUAUUAUUAGUGUACGAGUGUUUAUACAAAAUCAGGUGUGAACUUGACAUCAACAAAGCCUAUGGUCGACUAGGAUGGUGUUUUUGGGAGGUGUCAUGUGAAAGCACAAAGAGGCUUACUUAAGAUAGGGAUACUGCGAGAAAAACUUCUUAAUUAAUUUAACUAAUAUUAUCGGCGCAACAAAUUACACAUUAAUUAUCAUAUAAUGAUCUUAAGUUGAAAUAUUUAAUAAAGUUGAACUAAUAUUUUUAAUGCUAUGUUAACUAAUAAAGUGUUUCUUUAAACGUUUGUUUUAUCAUUGUUUAAGUUUUUUACUUCAUCUAAUAAUUUCCUAUAUUUCGCAACGAACUGAUAGAUAGAUUAAUGUCGCAAUUGAAAUUGUGUAGCCAGAACCAAACAAUAUUUGACAGAAUGCAAACUGAUCAUUUCAUAUGUGCAAACAAAUAAAUAAACAUAUAUAGUGCCUGCAUGCAUCUCUUAGCAAUUAAAGAGUGUGUGAAAAUAUGUAAGGCGAAUAUAUAUAGGCUUGCCUAGUUGAAAAUUAUAUCUUUUUCUUUUUUUUCUAUUUUCUACUUUGAUAGUAUUAAUUCCUUAAUUAAUCGUAUUUAGCAGAGAUGAAGUUGUAAUUAUGGACAUACUUCUGGAAAUAGAAUGUUGUAAUAAUGGCAUUAUCAUGAUGAUACAUGCCAUUUAUGAAACAUAAACAUUCUUAAUUAAUUUGAAAGAUCUUGGUUCUCCUGCUGCGAAUUGUAACAAUUAGCUAACUAAUACAUAAAGUGUUGUUGGAAAAAAUAUGCAAAAGGAAAGAGAGCGUUAUUAAUUAAACUGACAUAUAGACAAUACCACAUGAUUUAAUGUUUAUUAACAGAACUUAAUUAAAACAUAACACACAAUAGAUUUAUUUAUUAAAGAAGACAAAAUAAGUAAACAUAUAUAGUACAAACAGAUAAAUAAACAUUUAUAGUGCUUCCACGCAUCUCUUAGUAAUUAAGGAGUCUAUGCAAAUAUUUUGAAGAGAAUAUAUACGAUGAUGAAAAUUAUAACUGAUUUAUUUUUAUUUUGUUACUUUGAUAGUAUUAAUUCCUAAAUGAACUGUAUGUAGCAGAGAGAAUGUAAAUUAAGGACAUAUUUCUAUAAAUAGAGAGUUAUAAUGGCAUUAUCAUGAUGAUACACCUCACUUAAGAAAUAUAUAAAUGUUCUUAAUUAAUUAGAUCUUGGUUCUCCUGCUGCGGCUGUAACAAUUUGCUAACCAACAUAUUAGUGUUUUUGUUCAAAAAACUACUCAAAAUGAAAGAGAGCAUAAGUAAUUGAACUGAUAUAUGGAAAAUAUAUCAUUCCCCGUAGCAGUUUUUUAUUUUUAGCUUAUGCACUUCUAUUUCGCACAAACAUUAAUAUUACAUUUUAUUUUGUUACAUUUUCUUUAAUAUUGCAUCUAGUUGAUUUUCUCUUGAUGAUUAUAUGCUUGUAUUAUUAAUGGUUUGAUGCUUAAUAUGAGCUCAUGGCUUUGUGAUGAUGAUAUGAAAAUAUUGGUUUGAUGAUUGAAGUGUUCUUAAAUAAUAAGUGUAUGGAGAUGGUUUCAAUGCUGAUUUGGGAGUGUUUUUCCUAAACUUGUAUUUGAGAUAAUACUUGUUGUAGGGGAGGUUCUGCCAAAAUUUUUGAAAAACAUAGAUAAGUUAUUUCUUUCAUUUCUUUCUUUAUUCAUAACACUUAUUUUUUAUAAUGAAGUGGGAGAAUAUUACAUGUAUUUGAAAUCAGAUUUCUAGAAUCUUAAGAAAAGUUGUGUUGUUAUACACACUUACACAUAUACACACAAAAUGUUUUAAAAAUUUUUAAAUUAUUUUUAAAUUGGCUUAACUUGAAAUAAUGGCUCUUUUCAAACUUGUAAAAUAUUUAAGGGGAACUUAUAUUCAGGAGGAGCUAGCAUUGUUUUUAUUUCUCCAUACCUUGAAUACAUGUAAGGUUUGUCAUCAUUAAAAAUGGGGAGAUUGUUGACAUAAAUGGUCUUUUCAUAUUGAUUUUGAUGAUAAUAAGCAAUAUAAGUUUUGACUAAGAAUGUUGGAGUCUUGAAACUUGUUAAGCUCUUAGGCCGAAUGUUGUUUUUGGGAUUGUAUAAGAAUAUGGAAACAAAUGGAUAGCCGUUAAUGAUUAAAUAGAAAAACUAUCAUACAAAGGAUAAAACGAAAAACUGAUUCUGAAGGAAAACAACAAACCAUUUAUUGGAAAAUGGUUAACCGACGAACUCCAGAGAAUAUCCAGGUUGCAAAUAGCAUACCGUUUAGCACAAACGGCUAUCCAAAAAAUUCCAGAGAGAAUCUAGGUUGCAAACCAUAGACCGUUCUGUCCAAACAGUUAGCUGAUAAUUUUGUACAGGUUUCUGGAAUGUUAACGGCGAUCCGACUUCUCAAAAUAGUGAUCCGACUAUUCAAAAUUGCGGUAUAACGGUCACUUGCUCAAGUCAAAAUAGUUACCCAACAUCAAUUAAUGGUGAUCCGAUAAUUUUUAAAAAGUCAACAAUAGCUAAUUUUCUUCUCCAACUAUAAAAUGCUCAAUCAUAUUCAAAUUCAACGUGAUUAAAAAAUUAUCAAUGAGGGAGACACUUGGGAUAAGAGGUUUGGUAUUACCUCAAGUUUUAAAGAUUGAUUGACAACUUGGAAGUCAAUUGUAAAUCUUAAAACUUUGGGUUGUAAAGGCUUGGAUAGUGGAAUCCUCAAGCUUGGUGAGCUUGGAAGCGUGAACGUAGGUGGAGUUUGCUGAGCCAUGUAAUGAUAUCAUUUUUGUCCUCUAUCUUUCUUAUCUCUUUAAUUUUUUUUAUUGUUAUUAUUAUUAUCAUUGCUUUGAAUUAUUUUGUGAUGUUCAUUUGCCUAAGAUUUUAAAACUCAAUUCACCCCCUCUUGGGUUGCAUAACUAGUAUUUCACUAAAUACUGGAAGCAUAUAAUUAUACAAUACUUGUAAACUUCUUUCGAAUAUGUCAUAAAAUAUCAAUAGCACUUCAAAAUACGCCAAGACACUUCAAACACUUCAAAAUACAGGUUACCUAUCUUCUCCCCUUAAUCGUCAAAAUUACUUCCCACUAUGCCAAUCCAUCAAAAAUACUUUCACAAUUACUAACAAAGAAACCAACAAUGUAUAACAAAUAAUUAAGGCACUCAAAACAAGCAUAAGUAUAAAACAUGAAUCCAUAAAUAUUAUCCAAUCAAAGCCAGAACAACUGUAUCAAAUGCAUAUGAUAAUGUUGGUGCAUAAAAAUAGGAGACAAGUAAAAAUAAAACGAAAGAUGAAAGUCACUAAUUAAAAGGCUGGGAUGAUAAGGAUGGUGGCAGAAUCCCGAGAGUAGCAAAACGUCGAUGCUAACCGUCAAGAAGCUAUUGUUGUUGAUCGAAGAGGCACUACUGCUCAGUAAUAAUAUGAUCUUGAAAUAUUGCAAAUUGUGACCGAAGUUGGUUCUGCUACUUGAAUUCGAACUUCACUCAACAGUUGCUAUAUCGUAUCCCCAUGAGCUUCUGAAGAGGGGUAAGGAAGAGCUUCUAAAUUGGGAUGAAGAGGAUGUGGUUGUUGUGAGACACUGAUGAAGAGGAUUGUGAGCUUCUUUAAUAGCAUACAUUAGAGUCACGAAGUACCACACAUAGUACAAAGUGUGAUGUUCGAGUUUUUAUAUAUAUGAAAGAUGAAUUUAAAUGUUUUAGCUCAUUGUUUGCAGCUAUUUUCUGUAGCUUUUCUAAUCUUGAUCGUAUUUUACGAUAUAUAUAUAUAAGCACCACCACUGGAUUUCUAUUUUCAUUGUGCACACAAUAUUCUGGUUCUGAUUCUGUUUCUAGCAGGGUCAUCGGAAGUAUAAGUGACACUAUGUGACAUGAGCUAACCUUUUUUUUUAUUGUGUAUAUAUGAUAUACAAUUUUUUUUCAUGAUUAAUUAUGCUUUUGAUAUUCUAAAAUCAAUUAUGAAUUUAUAUCUUUCUGUUAUAAAAUGCAUUUUGUAAAAUUUAUGAUUUUUAAUAUAUGUUUUGAUAAGAAAAGGGCUUGCAAUAUUUUUUGAACCUGAUAACUGUAGUGAGUGGUCAUGGUUUUACUUACCGAGUUGACAAUGCACUCCUCGUCAUUACGUUUUGGAGAUUGAGUAAUUUGUUGAGAGGUGCGCUUAUCUUUGGACCUAGAAAUUUAUUUAUUUUUGUUAUUAGAAUAAGAGGAGAAUGAACUUUUGUUUCCUUUAAGUUUGUUUAUCUUCCAAACUUGCAAUUGGAGAGUUUUGAGACUUUGUUAUAUUUAUGGCUUUGGAAAAGGAAAAUGCUUAGUAUUAGGCUAGUGGAUUUAUUUGAAUAAACUUUGGCGCAUUUCUAUUUGAGACUUUUGUAAAGGAUUAUGAUUUAUAAGUAACCUCAUUUACCACAUGCUCCACAUGUGUUGGAUUCAGGGUAUUAUAAUUUACUUGAAGUGAGGAUGUUGUUUGUGUAGUUUUCAUUGGUAACUUAUCAAUACUAGACUUAAAUAAAUCAUUGAUGAACUUAGAAAAUGGUAAAAGAGGCUAUAAAUAAGGUUGAAAUUCUCAAACUUGAAAUUAGUUCCUAUUACUUGAAAAUUGAACAAAUUAGCCAUAAAUUUGUUUCAAUUACCCAAGAUAGUUUUAACCAAAUUUUAAGUUCAACAAAACCUUGACCCAAUGUUUAAGAAACUUAAUGAUAAUUUCCUAACUGUACAUUUUAUCAAGCUAAUGUAUUUUCCUUUUAUACAUGAGCAAUAGUGCAUGAUUGUUCAUGGAAUACAUAGCCUAUUAAUAGUUUAUAUAGAGGUGGCAAAAUGGGUUAAUGGGUUGUGUUUAUGUCGUAUCAAAAUUUAAGCCUACUCAAACACGGUCCAUUUAAUAAUUGCAUCAAACAAUUGAAAUCCUAGUUAACCUGAGAUUACUAUUAACUGGAUUUAUAUUAGCAUGAUCAAUUUAAUAAUUAAAUCAAAUUUGAUCGGCCAAACUGUUUUAAUUGUGUAGAGUAAAUGAGUGGCUCAAGGUUACAACCAAGAAGAGGGAAUUGAUUUUGAAGAAACAUUUGCACCUGUAACUAGACUAGAAUCCAUUAGGAUGCUCUUAGCAUUUGCAUGUCACAAAGAUUUUAUUUUAUUUCAAAUGGAUGUCAAGGGUGCUUCUUAAAUGGUUAUAUUAUGGAGGAAGUUUAUGUAAAACAACCCCUUGGUUUUGAAAAUGAAAAAUUUUUAAAUCAUGUUUAUAAGUUGUCAAAAGAAUUGUAUGGAUUAAAGCAAGCACCUAGAGGAUGGUAUGAUAGGCUUAAGGAUUUCUCAUUGGAUAAUGGUUUUUUAAUGGGAAAAGCGGAUACUACUUUCUUUGUUAAACAUAAGAACCAAAAUAUACUUGUAGUUCAGAUUUAUAGUGAUGACAUUAUCUUCUGUUCUACUAAUGAAUUGUUGUGUAAAGAAUUUUCAUCUUGUAUGAGUAAAUAAUUUGAGAUGAGUAUGAUGGGAGAGUUGAUGUACUUCCUUGGACUGCAAAUAAAAUAAGAUGAGGAUAAAAUUUUCAUAAAUCAAGCCAAAUAUGUGAAAGACCUAAUCAAAAGAUUUGGUUAUGAUAAUGGAACUGCAAAAAACACUCCAAUGAGUAUUACCAUCAAGCUGGACAAAGAUGAAAAGGGUAAUGAGGUUGACAUCAAGACAUAUCGAGGUAUGAUCGAAUCCUUACUGUACUUGACUGCUACUAGGCUUGAUAUUAUGUUUAGUGUAUGCUUGUGAGCAAGAUUUCAAUCUUGUCCUAAAGAGUCACACUUGCUUGCUGUUAAAUGAAUCUUUCGAUAUAUGAUCCGCACCAUCAAUCUUUCGAUGCCGAUUUUGCCGGGUAUAAGGUUGAUAAAAAAAGUACUAAUGGAACAUGUCACUUCCUAGGUUAUUCACUUUUCUCUUGGUUUAGUAAGAAAUAAAAUUCGGUUGCACUUUCAACCACCAAGGCAGAAUAUAUUAUCGCAUGUAGUUAUUGUGCACAAGCCAUUUGGAUUAAACAAACCCUUAAAAACUAUGGUAUUAAUCUUGAUCAACUACCUAUCUUGUGUGACAAUACUAGUGCUAUCAAUCUAUCAAAGAAUCCAAUUCAGCAUUCUAGGACUAAACAUAUAGAGAUUAGACAUCAUUUUCUAAGAGAUCAUAUUAAAAAAGGAGAUGUUGUGAUUAAAUUUAUUUGUACUAAAAAUCAACUUACAGAUAUCUUUACAAAACCCCUUAGUAAAGAGCAGUUUAUAAAGAUUAAACAUGAGCUUCGAAUGAUGAAUGUUGCAUCUUAAUUUAUAAUAUUUUUUUUUGGCAUCAUUGUUUGAUAUGAGUAAUUUCAUAUGUUUGAUCAUAUAUACACUUAUGUUUCAUGCAUUAAAAGGCUUAUUGAAAGGUUUCAAUCACAAAAUGGUUUAAAAUCAAUUAAGUUUUAAGCCAAAAAAUAAAUUGAUGUAUACAAUACAAUUCUAAGGGUUAACCAAUAUUCAAUAAGAGGUAAAAUGAUAUCUAAGGAUAAACCAGCAUACCGCUUCUAAUCAAUCAGAUAGUUGUUUUCUUCUUAUUGUUACUCACUGGACCAGAUCCAGAUGACCGGAUAUAGAAAAUCGGUAGGCCGUUUUCUUAAAGGUUACUCUCGGGCCACAAUCUGGAUAGCUGGUUAGGAAAAUCGGUAAAUUGUUUCUUAAUUUUUCCUCUCGAGACCAUAACCAGUCAGCCGGUUCCUUUGAAGCGGUAAGCUGGAUCUGCGUCGGCAUUCACUGGAUUAUAAUCAGUUAGUCGGAUAUUGCAAACCGGUAAGCCGAAUUUACUUUUGGCACUCACUGGAAAUAAUCGAUCAGCUGGUAAACCAUUUUCAACUUCUCACUUUUUGGACACAAGUCGGUUAGUGCAAUCCGGUAAGCCGAAUUCGGGCUUUUUAAGAAUUGUUCAUCUUCUUCUCUCCAUUCGGUAAACCGAUUCUCUCUCUCUCUCUGUAAAAUUGUUUCCUUCCCCUCUCAUUCUCACUCUAACACUCAUCAUCUUCAUCCAUUUUUAUGCCAAAUUGAUUCAUAAAAAUUAUUUCCCAUCACUUUUUGUGUUCAAAAUCAUCUUUGAAAUUCAUUUCCAUCACUUAAAUCACUAGAUCCCAAAUCUAACCUAGGUUUUCAACCGAAUUUUCUCUCUCUAAAUUACUUCUUCUUAAACUAAUUUUGUAACGCCACAAAUUCCCAUACAUAUUAAAUUAUGGAAAUUGGGCUUUCAUUGAGAAUUAUGGGUGGCCUAUAACCCUUAUUAAGGAAGGGGUACUAAUUAAAUAGAGGUUAUUUAUGAGAUAAUUUUGGAAAAGGGUUAUUUUUCCUUAUUAAAUAGGGUUUCUUAAGAUCCCCUAUAAAUGCAUACUUUUUCCCCUUCCAUAACCCUAAGUUCACAACGUUUAUUCUUCUUCUCUGCUGCUCUUUAUGCUCCUACCCAAAUCUUAGGAUUCAAACCUUUGUUUAUGAGAGAAUCAAAGCGACGGGUAAGUUAUUCUUCCUGUUCUCAACAGAUUUCUAAUCACUCUAUCUAGCUAGGGUUUAUAUUGGCACGAUUCUAGAAGGUUAUAGAUCUUAUUGCAUGAUUUAGAAUAUAUUUAGGCUUUGCUUAGGGUUUUGAUUUAUUAUGAGUUUAGUUAAUCAAUCCUUGACGUAUUAAGCACAUGAUAAUUCUGGACAGCAUGAGUAUCUCGAAUUUAAAGCUAUAUUUUCUGAACGAAUUUUCUUAUAAAAUUUAUAUUUCUGGAAACUAGACAUGUAGGGCUUCUUGAUUAAAUUUUAUUUCAUUAAAUUCGACUUCGUUUUCAAUUUUAUACGUAUUUUGGAGAUAGAAACCACUACACUGGAAAACUGCGAUUCCAGUAUUGUGAUCAAAUUCACAAGACUAUUUGUACCACCAAAUGAACUCGAAAAAUUUUGAAAGUUUAUAUGUAUGUUAAUAUAUGUGUCUAAGAUUCCCAGUUUUAAUUUCAUAAUUUUCUAAUUAGUAUUAGACAUUUGAAUUUGUAAUUUUUUUGUUUGAAUAAGAUUGGAGGUAUUUCAGUUUGAAACUUAUGAGUAUAGAUUAUGAUUUGUGAGUAACCUCCUUCUUCACAUGCUUCACACGUGUUAGAUUUGGGGUGUUACAAUUGUGGUAUCAGAGCACUAGGUUAGGAUUCUGUAGACUUUCUUUUACGGUUUAAUUAGAUUAUCUAAUAAAAUCGAUUACAUUUGUUUUGUAGACAUGAAGAAGGACAAUAUGGGUAUGAAAAGUGUUAAGAAUAAGGGAUGGACAGAAAUUGACAGGACCAAACAAUUUAUCUUAGGAGGAGUUUUUGUCAAAGAUCUUAGUUAUACUACUUAUUCAGUACUCUGCGCGCUUGCACGACCUUUAGCUAUGAAUUAUUUACCCUUUUUAAUUAUUUAUUUAUUCUCCGUGUAUAGUCAAAAGAUGUCACGUAGGGGAGGUGCUAGGCAUGCCUCUAACUCGAGAGAUGUUUUAGGUAUCGCUGACGACGCUAACCCAACCUUGCACGAGAUGGCUAACGAAGGAAAUCCUAUGAUGCGCGCAAUGCUUAGAUUGAUGGAACAACAAAGUAAGUUAAUUCAAGAUAUGGCUAGAGGCAGAGUUGGGGCACAAGAGAAUGUGCCAGUUGAAAGGCAAGGUGGCGCAAGAGAUCAUGGGGUAAUGGUGAACUUAGAACGAUUUAAGAAAUUGGGACCACCUACCUUUCAGGGGACUGCCGAUCCCAUGGUUGCAGAGGCAUAGCUAAAAUAGAUGCAGAAGAUAAUUGUGGCUAUGGGUUGUAAUGAUGAUCAAAGAGUAAUAUUAGCCUCAUUUGUCCUUCAGGGUGAGGCAGACCAUUGGUGGGAUGCCAAAUCUUGUCUCGUAAGGGUUGGCUUGCAAGAUGCACCCAUUACUUGGGAGUUAUUUCUGGAGGCUUUUCAUGAAAAGUAUUUUCCCAAACCAGUUCAACAUCAGAUGGAGGUUGAUUUCCUAAGGUUGACUCAAGGAACAAAGUCUGUUGCGGAGUAUGAGGAAUAAUUUACUGCCCUCUCUCGUUUUGCUCCUACCUUGGUUGCUAAUGAGGGUAGUAAGUGUAGAAAGUUCCUGGAAGGGUUACGUCCUAACAUUAAAGGCGAUUGACCAUCCUUAAGAUUAACAAUUAUGCCGAUUUGGUGGAUCGAGCAAUUCUUACGGAGAAGGAUAUUCUUGAAGCUCAAGUUACAAGGGAUCAGAGAAAUAAGAAGAAUCGACAAGGUGGACCGCAAAAUGGAAGCUCUUAUAGGCAGGGCCCUCACUCCCAGAAGUAUAAUGGUGGAGGUAACAAAUGGGAUAACAAGGGUGUUCCUGAUGACACUGCUCGGAGGAACUACCCCAUUUGUCGACAUUGUGAAAGGAGGCACCCUGGUGAAUGCCAUUGGAAAACUGGAGCUUGUUUUGCUUGUGGAGAAUCUGGGCAUGGGAUUAUGGAUUGCCCAAAGAGACGUAGCGAGACUACAAAUACUCCGACUAACGAAGGGUAGAGGAAGAAACCGAGGGUGCAAGGGCGUGUUUUUGCACUAACAGAAAAAGAUGCUGAGGUGUCCAAUGAUGUAGUAUCAGGUACAUUGUCCUUAUUCUCUAGAGAAACCAAAGUUCUUUUUGAUCCUGGUGCUUCACAUUCAUUUAUAUCUUGUGUGUUUGCCCGUUAUGCUAAUGUGCCUAUCACACCACUGGAUGUUCACGUGACAAUUAGUACCUCUAUGGGGGAUUGCCAGUUAAUAGAUCAUGUCUAUAAGUCAUGUGUGAUCAGAUUGUGUGAUAGAGAAUUCCUUGUAGAUCUCCUACCUUUAGAGAUGCACGAUUUUGAUUUGAUUUUGAGGAUGGAUUGGUUAGGACCUUACCAUGUUUCAAUAGAUUGUUUUGCUAAGGAAAUUAUUUUUCGCCUACCUGGCAAGGAAGAAUUUCAUUUUCAAGGAAAUCAUAAGAGUCAUAAAGCUUUGAUUUCUAUGGUUAAGGUAAUGAAAAUGCUGAAAAAGGGGCGUGAAGGAUUUUUAGCGUAUAUAGUUGCUGACCAUCCCGAUGGGGCGUGCCUUGAAGACAUACCUAUUGUAAGGGAGCUUAUUGAUGUAUUUCCUAAAGAUCUUUCUGGACUACCCCCAGAUCGAGAGGUUGAGUUUACUAUAGAAUUAGUCCUCGGCACUACACCUACAUCCAGGGCGCCAUAUCGGAUGGCACCCAUUCAGUUAAAAGAACUAAAGGUCCAGCUACAAGAGUUACUAGAUAAGGGUUUCAUCCGUCCUAGUGUGUCGCCUUGGGGUGCUCCCGUUUUGUUCGUAAAGAAGAAAGAUGGUUCAAUGAGGUUGUGUAUUGACUACCGGCAGUUGAAUAUAGUUACUGUCAAGAAUAAAUACCCUCUUCCUCGAAUUGAUGACCUCUUUGAUCAAUUAUGAGGUGCAGCGAUAUUCUCUAAAAUUGAUUUACGAUCUGGCUACCAUCAAUUGAAAAUAAGAAGUAAAGAUUGAACAUCAAAGGCCAGCAGGAACUUUACAAACGCUUCCUAUUCCUCAGUGGAAAUGGGAACACAUAACAAUGGAUUUCGUUUCUGGAUUACCUCGUUCUAGGAGGGGAUGUGAUUGCAUUUGGGUAAUUGUUGAUCGAUUGACGAAAUCAGCUCAUUUCUUGGCAUGGAAGAGUACAGACAAUGUAGGGCAACUAGCUAAGUUGUUCAUUAAGGAGAUAGUGAGGCUUCAUGGAGUUCCAGUGUCAAUAGUGUCUGAUAGAGAUCCACUGUUCACUUCAAGAUUUUGGGCUAGCUUACAUAAAGAGUUAGGGACGAAAUUGAGAUUUAGCACUGGUUUCCAUCCACAGACAGAUGGACAAUCCGAAAGGACUAUUCAAACCCUUGAGGAUAUGCUUCGAGCUUGUGUACUAGACUUGAGUGAUGGUUGGGAAGAGCACCUAAUGUUGAUUGAAUUUGCUUAUAACAAUAGCUUCCAUUCGAGUAUUGGCAUGGCACCAUUUGAGGCAUUAUAUGGAAGAAAGUGUAGGUUCCCAAUCUGCUGGGAUGAAGUUGGUGAAAGAAAACUUUUGGGUCCAGAAUUAAUACAGAUUACUAUUGAUAAAAUCAAGUUGAUUAGAGGAGAAAUAGACUUGUGUUUCUAUUUAGUUACUUCUAUUAUGAAUGUGUAAUUUGGAGUUUGAGACUUUUGUUAUUAUUUUUAUGUCCUCGGGAGAGAUUAUUUAGUAUUAGACAUUUGAAUUUGUAAAUUUUUUUUGUUUGAAUAAGAUUGGAGGUAUUUCAGUUUGAAACUUAUGAGUAUAGAUUAUGAUUUGUGAGUAACCUCCUUCUUCACGUGCUCCACACGUGUUAGAUUUGGGGUGUUACAAAUUUCCAACCGAUUUAAACGUCAAUAUCCCUUUUAAACCUCAUUAUCUUCCUUUUUAUUUCUUCAUUUAUCUUUAAAUCACUCAACAUUAUCAUGUCUAGUUCAAGGUCGGUUAGAGGAAAAUGGAAAGAACAUGUUCAACAAGCCAAACGGCCACGGCAAGCAGGGGACACUUCCAAUUAGUCCAACUUUGAAUUUUAGCACUUUCCGAACAAGGGUUUAGUCAAGCGAUUUCACCAAAAUUUCAUGACCCGUGAGGUACUCUCUACAUUUUUCAUUUUUCAGUAUUAGUAAUAGAAAUUUGUUUCAAUUAUUAGAAAAGUUGGUUGGAUUAAUGCUCUUGUGAUUGAGGAGAAUGUGUAUCCCGACUUAGUGAAAGUAUUUUACUCGAAUAUGGAUAUUUCUGAGAAGAAAAAAAAUCUGAGUAAUCACCAAUGUUGGAGGAGUUUUGAUUGAUUUUGAUGUUUCGGAAUUAAAUUCUAUCCUAGGAACCUCCGAUUUUAGCCUAGAAAUAUUUUCUACUAGAAAAUCUCCCGAUAUUGGUCAUUAUGUUCAUGUUAACGCCGUUAGAAAUAUAUACCGGCAUAUUAAUUUUUCUGAUGAAAUUUGUAACAUUCAUUUCCUCACUCAAUGUCUAUGUCUCCAAACUUGGAUCUUACUUCGUUUUAUUCAUACCAUUGUGCUUCCUAGGUCAGGGCAUUUGGACGAGAUUUCCCACAUGGAUGUUGCUUUGAUUGAUUACAUCCUUAGACAUCGUCCCGUUAACUUGGGGUACACAAUUAUCCAAGCUAUGCUUUCUAUACCUAAAUUGAUUACCUGUUCUCUUCCAUAUGAUCAUUUUAUCACCCGGAUCCUUAAACAUUUUAGAGUACCUACUAAUGAACCAUCUUGUAAACCUUCUAAGAGUAUCGGGGAUGAAGCUGUAUGUGCCUUAGGAUUUGAGUGGCGUAAUGGAGCUUGGGUAAAAUUCAUUGACAAUAAGUACACUUUUCUUGCUUUGAGUGAUGAUCGACCACUUAAUGAUGUAGUCCUUACUGAUCAACUUCCUGAUUUUUUGCUUCCAUUUCGAGGCUAGCGUAGACGUCGAGUUCCUCAAGUGUCUGCCUCUACAUCUGCUUUACCACCUUUAAAGCCUCUUGCCUCUGACGAAAUUUCUCUUCAGCAACUUAUGGAUGAGGUGAGGACACUUUCUGUGCAGCAGACUGACUUUCAGCAGCACAUUCAUGAGGAGCACCAGUGCCUCUCACAACAGCAUCAAUAACUCAUUUAUGGACAACACCUCCUCUUUGAGCACUUUGGCAUUCUAAAUCCAUUUUCACAUCCAUCACCACCAUCCUGACCACCUCAGUAGUCUCUUAUACUUUUAUUUGGACAUACCAACAUUUACUGCUUUAUGUUCUUUGAUUUUCCAUUUAGAUUAUAUAGAUGUCUUAAAAAGAAUUGAUAAAAAGAAUGCAUGUCUUAAAAAGAAAUGUUAGCAUAUACGUAUCUAUAAUGUUGAUUUUGAUGAUAGCGAACAAGAUUAAGAAUGAUUAAGUUUUUAAAAGCUCAAAUUAUUGAUACCUUGGAAGUCAAUUGCAAGCAUUUGAAGCCUUAGAAGUCAAUUGUAUGCAUUUGAAGCUUUAGGAGUCAAUUGUAAGCAUUUGAAGCCUUGGGAGGCUUGGAUAGUGACACCUUGGAAGUCAAUUGUAAGCAUUUGAAGCCUUGAGAGGCUUGGAUAGUGAAAUCCUCAAGUUUGGUUUGCUUGAGGCAUAGACAUAGGAGGGGAGUGUUGAACCACGUAAAAAUCAUUGUGUUUGCUCUUUCUUCCUUUACUCUUUUAUUAUUGUACUUUAUUAAAUUUAUUAUUAUUAUUUUAUUCAAUUAAGACAAUAGAUUAAAUUGUUGUGUGGUUUGUUUAGCUUAAGUUGUAAAAACCCAAUUCACCCCCCUCUUGGGUUGCCUAGUUAGUAUUUCAAGAAAUUUGUAAACCUCACAAAUGAAAAUGAAUUUCUAAGUGCAAAGAUUGCAUACGUAGAAUUAGAAAAUAAAACUUUGCAUAAUAGAGUUGCAUUAUCAAAUGAGAAACCAAGUACUUCACAUGAGCAUCUAGAACCACAUAUAGAUGAUUUGAAAAAGGAAAAUGAAAUGCUCAAGAAAAAAAAUAUUGAACUUAGUGAUAUUGUCUUAAAAUUUACAAAUUGGCAAAAGAUGUUGGAUAACUUAUUGUUGGUUGGUUUUUAUAAUCAAUUACUAUCAAUGCCAAUGUGCAAGUAUACACAACAAGUAAUAAAGUGAUGAGUAUUCAAGAUCGUCUCCACAGGGAUUGAUGUUGCUCAAAAUGCUAAAGCAAUCACAAUAGCGCAAAUCAACUAAAACCGAAACAAACAAUUGUCAAAUAACUCUAUCGUAAUUAAUAAUUGAAAGAAAAACUAAGUAAGAUAAUUUUUUACUGAAAUAAACUAAGUUAAAUGUGUUUAAGAUUCAAUUGAGAAUAUAGUAGUUGAAUGAUCAAACUCUCCUAAUGGGGUGACUGUUGUUUACCAAAUUAACAUUAGUAGUUACAAUAAGUGCUGCAGCACUGGGCAGAAUAAAUUUGCAUCCUCAGCUAUCGCAUGUUGGAAAUCUCAUACCUUUAAAUCUACUAACAAUGACCAGUUGCUCAUAUAUUUAUGGUACGACAUAAUAACCUUUAAUCUUUCUACCCUACAAGGUAAACACUUAUGUCUAGAGUGUCACAAAUCUUAACUUCAAGUAUUGCCCUUAUGGGAUUCAAGAUAACCUAAUCCAAGAAACUCGACUUAAGAACAAGUAAUACUCUAAUAAUGUCCGCUAAGACAUACCCUUUUGCUGCUCUAUCUUAACUGAAACUAUUAAAUGGGUGGUCAACCGAAAUAACAGUUGUAUUCAUAAAAACUGCUAGAGUAUAAUGCUACAGCAAUACCAUAACAACAUAUAAGAACAGUCAAGAACCCAUUGGAUUAUUUGUCACUCAACUACAAGUAAAUUUAGUUUAUAUUCUGAAUGGGAAAAGUAAACAUAAAUAUACUGAUCAUAGAAUACAUCCAAACAAUUAAAGGAAGAAAGAUAAUAUAAGUUGAGCACGGUAAAAGACUAAUGAUCCUGCCCAGUUCUUUAAUGAUGCCGAACAACACUCCUAAAUCUUGAUCUUCUUCUUCUUCUUCUUGCCUUUGUAAUUAUUUUUUAUGAUAAUUCCUUGUCGCCCUUCUAUGUGAUGCACGCCUCCUUUUAUAUUGCAAAUUAGGGUAAACACCAAAGCCCAUGAGCUCGCAUGUGUUUAAAUUAGGAAACAUGCAGAUCGUUAUUUUAUGGCUGACCCGCGCUUUAAGCUUUCUCCCGCAUUAUUCCCAGAUUGCUGCAGCACCGGUUGCUCUAACACUCGCAACAGCACUGCAUUAUUCCCGAUUGUGCUAUUAUUCUUUUGUGGCCAUCUUCUUUCCUCCUCUUGCUCAUCUAAUGUCUCUGCAUCCCCUCAUGACUUUAAAGCCUACAAUUAUGCACCUGUUUUUAGCACAAAUUACUUGAUUUAAGCAAAACUUAUUAAUAUCCAACUAAAAUGAAUGUUUAUGCAAAAGGUAACCAAAAUAUAAUAAAAACAUCUUAUUUGCUCUCUAAAUGAUCUUGAUUCAAGUCUAAAAUUGAUGUAAUAACUCUCAUUUCCUAGACGUAUCACACCCCGAAACUUAAACUAUUACUUAUCCUCAAGUAAUGACAAAUACUAACACUUCACACAAAUAAUCAUUCACACAAAUUUAGGUCUUUUAUCAAUCUUUGCAAGGAUUCUUCCACCUUCAGAUCAUAGUCUCAAUCAUGUAAGAUGACCAUAGUAAAUUAGUCCUAAACUUAAGCUUCUUUCUGUCCAUAACGUGUGUGUGCUUCUUUCGGUUGAAUUCUAGAUAUGCUAUAGCAUCACUAAGGGAUUGCAUGAAUGUCAGCAGUGAGAACACUUCAUUCAUAAAUGGGGUAAUCAUAACUUUCACAUACUCAACUGUGAUUAUUUUAGGAUUGACAAACUAGGGAAUAUUUAACCUCUUCACUGUAACAUUUAUCUUUCAUGUGAAUGUAAAUCAAUUGUAAUGAUGACACCCAAUUACUCAAACCAUGCCCAUAUUAGAGUUGCUACAGCAGUAACCGUAAUGUAAUCUUAUCUAGAAGUAUCUUUUACUCAAGGCUGAACAUGGGGUUCAUGAACAGACCUGGCUACUUAAUGCCUUAGACAGAGAAUUUCUUCUUCAUUUUUUUAUUUUUAUUAUAUAUAUAUAUAUAUAUACUACAACAUUGCUCAUAACUCUCGCUACCUUUAGACACAAGUCUGCAUAUGGGGUACAUACUCAGAUCUAGUUACUCAACAACUUGAAUCAUUGGAACAACUUGUAUUCCAUAGAUAUCACAGUUAUUCAAACUUGCUUCUUCCCCCCCCCCCCCCCCCCCCAAACUUGAGAUCUUUUCUCUUCUUUUAGCUUUGCUCUAACAGUCUCAUACAACUCAACCAAAGUCUAAGUGUCGGGACAAAAUUUCACUUUCAUCUAUAACUAUCUCUACUUGGCAUAUAUAUAUUGAAUAGCACUUAAUUUCUCUUCAUUAGGUUUUCAAAUCCAUACACAAAUAUUAGAUAAUAGAGCUUCACACCACACAAACAUAAACACAUGCAUACAAACAUAAACAUAUGCAUUCGGGAACACAACCCCCCCAAACUGAAGAGUUGAUGUGUCCUCACAAGCAAACAUAACAAAAGCACACAAAUGGACAAACAAUUUUUUUUUAAUGAACUAGUAAAGAAAGAGUACUCCUCUGUGGUGGGGACUGCAGCACAUGACAGGUUGCUAUCAGCGCUUCUUAGAUGCACUGCGCAGCUUAUCCUUUGGUGAAGCUUUUGGGGAGAUGGCUGGCAAUGUCUUUGUCUUUUUCGUUGUGGGGAUGGUGAGAGGAGUUGUGGCUGGGGUUGCUGUAGUAGUACUUGUAGACAUACUGCCUUUUUGUUUGCUGGAUUGUCUUGGACUGGUGUGGAUAGGCUGGCUAGGAGUUUGUUGUGGAGGCUUUUGAGUCAAUGCAUCAGCUGCCUGGCCCUCAGCUGUGAUGGCAGCAAUAACCGCAAGUAGUUGCUUGGCUUGCUCAGGUGUAGGCAUAGCUCUGGCUGCUGCAGCAGCCAGCUCAGCAUCGACUUUCUUCAUCUCGUCUUUAGAGGCUGGAGGUGUUGCCAUUUUUGCUUUACCCUUGUCCUUUCUCUUGCCCGCAAGGACUGGAAUAGACGGCUCAUCUUCAAGGUCUUCCUCAUCCUCUUCUUGAAUAAUGUGCUUUUUUCUGGUUUUGGGCUGGGUUGGGAUGGUUGGUUCCUCACGGUCUUUCUCUGAGUUAUCCUAUUUUUCUGUAGGUGAGCUAUCAGUCUCAGACUUGUCACCUUCUUCCUCAGGUUGGUCAGAUGGUUCAGCGUCUUCUGAUUCUUCCUCUGCUUGUGGUUCGGCUGCAGCAUCUUUUGCUGGUUCCUCUUUGGCAGUGGCUUCUGCACUAGCCUCUGUUGGAGCAUCUAUGGUGUGGGUGUCAAAAGUAAACUGCUGAAGCAGUGCAUCAAGGAAGUUUUGAUGAAUGCGUUUCAUGUACGGAGCAAAUUGGUGUAGUUGGUUGUCCAGGUGCUACAGAUAACUCCAAAACCAACCAUUUUCCCUCUGCUGAGCUUCCACACAUUGAGUUAUACUGGAGCUGAGUGCCUGGAUAGUCUGUUCUAAGCCAAUAGCUCGUCUUGCUCCUGUUACAAUAGUUGGUUCAGUGGUUGUUCCAGCACUCUCACCAGCAACUCGCUCAAUGGUCCAUGCCGUAAAGGCACCAUCAUUUUUUACAUGUUCAUCUUUGGCGUCAAGACGAACACUGAAAACUAUACAAAUACUGGUGAUGAGUGAAGGAAAUAGCUAGGCAGUAGUUCGGUGAGUCUUUACAACAUAAUCCCAGAUUUAUUUAGCAAUGAUGCUACCCACAUCUAUGGGAAGCCCUCGAACGAUGACAUACAACAAAACCAACCUUUCUUGCGAAACCAUAGUAGUGUGAGUGGUUGGCAUAAGCCUAGAUUUAACAAAUUUUACCCACACCUUAGCAAUACGUUUCAAAUCUAUCAUAUUAACUACACGCCCUUCCUCGUUAGCCCAUGAUGCCCCUUCGAUGGUAAGAGUUGUGAAAAUAGUGGUCCACUUUUUCGGGGUUAACUUAUCACGCAACUUAGCAUACUCACAAGUAAUUUCAGCAGGUAAAUUAUAAAAAAGCAUUGAUAACAUGAGAGUCUAAUGGAACAAGUGUGUUUCUUACCCCAAAUGUUGUACUGAUCAGGGCUUACCAAAUUGGCGUAAAAUUCUUUGACUAGAGGCAGCACAAGAUCGCGAGGGUGGUUGCAAAACUCCAGCCAUCCUCGCUUUGCUACAACAUUAUGAAUUAUUUGCACAAUUCCAGUAAGUUGGUCUGGAAAUUGAAACCAUUUUUCUUCCAGAAUCUUACGCGGCUCUGUGAAUUCUUCAUAUUUUUCUUCGGCGUGGUAGCUCUGGAAUCGUGACGGAUCUUUGAGGCGGCUUGUUGUUUUCUUAUAUCUCGGCAUUGCUGUAGCAGUAACAAAUUGAAGCUACUGUUCGUGAGAGUAAAAAGAGAAGAAGAGGUUAAGAAUUAUGAGAGUUGGAUUUGCGAAGGAGAUGGGGAAUAGUGGCGUAGAGCACCAAGCACAGUGACUCCUUUUUAUAGUGGACUUUUAAUUGGAGAUAAAUACGGUGACUGGAGAUAAUUGAGGGAAUAAAAUAUUUUGAAUUAAAUGUGCAUAUCCCAAAAUGAUCGGCCAAUGAAAUUAAAGUUUUAAUUUCGGAGAUUUGUUUCCGCAAUUUCUAUCCAUAUCCAUGUGUCCAUCUAUCACGAUUUCAUCUCCAACGGUAAGUGAAAGGCUCCAGCUUUUAAUUUACUGUAACGGUAAAAUUAGUUGCUGCAGCAUCCAUUCGCUUAUUCUAACAACGGAUACAUACUCCACACUAAAGCUUCUGACACGUGGUUUGCCUCUGAACUCUGCCACCAUACACUCUCACUUGUCAAUAUGGAAUUCAAUUGUCACACUUACUUCAAACUAAAAUUAAGUCUAAAAUUAUUAAAAGAAAUAAAUAGAUCGAAUUAAAGCGAAAAUAAAGAAUGCAAUAAUGUAAAAGGAUAAAAAUAAAUGGUUAAUCAUGAUAAAAAAAGAUUAAAUAAAAUGGUAAAGAGGAAGAGUUGUCUACAAAACCAAAGGAUAUCAAAAUUGGUUUGAAGUGGCUAUCUCCUCAAUGGGCUACCUCCCAUGAAGCGCUUGAUUUAAGGUCCUUCAGCCUGACCCUCUUUCAUUGCUCAAUAGCUGGGUUCUUUAAGGAGUAAUACCUCAUUUGAACAAUCUGCCGCUGGAUGUAUGUAGUGCUUAACCCUGUGUCCAUUAACCUUGAAUUCUUGACCUGUUUAUUCAUCUAAAAGAUCAACAGCUCCAUGAGGAUAAACUUUGAGCAGCUUAAACGGGCCAGACCAUCGUGACUUGAGCUUUCCCAGAAAUAAUCUUAGUCUUGUAUUGUGGAGCAACACUAAUUGACCAGGGUUGAAUUUCCUGUGCUGAAUAUGCUUUUUGUGCCAUUGUUUUGUCCUCUCUUUAUAGAUUCUUGUAUUUUCAUUUGCAAACAACCUUAAUUCAUCAAGCUCACAAAGUUGAAGUUUCCUUUGCUCUGCUGCAGCAUGCAUAUCCCAAUUUAAUUUCUUAAGUGCACAAUGUGCUUUAUGCUCUAGCUCUAGUGGCAAAUGACAAGCCUUUCCAUAAACAAUUCGGUAAGGGGACAUGCCGAGUGGAGUUUUGUAUGCUGUUCUGUAAGCCCAUAGAGAAUUAUGUAAGUGUAAAGAUCAAUCCUUCCUUGUUGGGUUCACCACUUUUUCUAAGAUCUUUUUAAUCUCUCUAUUGGACACUUUAGCCUGACCAUUAGAUUGUGGGUGAUAUGAAGUAGCUACCUUGUGUUUAACUCCAUAUUUUACCAUUGUUGCAGCAAAUACUUUGUUGCAAAAAUGUGUUCCCUCGUCACUAAUAAUUGCUCUAGAAGUGCCAAAUCUGGAAAAAAUAUUUUUCUGCAGAAAAGCUACCACUAUUUUAGCAUCAUUGGUAGGUAAUGUUGCAGCUUCUACCCAUUUGGAGACAUAAUCCAUAGCAACAAGGAUAUAUAAGUUUCCAAAUGAUGGGGGAAAAGGUCCCAUGAAAUAUAUUCUCCAGACAUAAAAAACUUCCACUUCCAGUAUAUUAGUCAAUGGCAUCUCAUCUCUGCUAGUUAUGUUCCUUGUCCUUUGACACAUGUCACAACAUUUAACAAAUUCAUAAGCAUCUUUAAAAAUAGUUAGCCACUAAUAAUCUGAUUUCAGUACUUUAGCAGCUGUUCUGUGACCACCAAAAUGUCCUCCAUAUGCUGCAGCAUGACAUAACUUCAGUAUAUGGGGAAUUUCUCCUUCUGUAGUACAUCUUCGUAUUACUUGGUCUGAGCAUAACUUAUAUAAAUGUGGGUCAUCCCAUUGGUAAUUUCUAACAUUAUAAAGAAAUUUCUUUUUCUCUUGAAACUUCAGCUCAAGUGGUAGCAACCCACUUACUAAAUAGUUAGCAAAGUCUGCAUACCAUGGAGAUUCUGACUGCUGCAGUAUCUGUGCUUGCUGUACUACCAACAGCUGUUCAUCAGGAAAAGUUUCAGUGAUACCUUUCCUUGUCAAUGUACUAGUGUCUGCUUCCAACCAUGACAAGUGGUCUGCCACUUGAUUUUCAAUCCCCUUUCUAUCUUUAAUUUCCAGAUCAAAUUCUUGAAGCAAUAAGAUCUAUAUGAUUAAUCUUGGUUUGGCAUCCUUCUUUGAAAUUAAAUAUUUGAUGGCUUCAUGGUCUGUGUAAAUAGUUACUUUAGUACCCACCAGGUAAGUUCUGAAUUUGUCAAAAGCAAAAACUACUGCCAGCAACUCUUUCUCUGUAGUGGUGUAAUUGAUUUGAGUUGGAGUGAAAGUUUUGCUUGCAUAGUAUAUGGAAUGGAAAACCUUAUCCUUUCUUUGCCCUAAUACUGCUCCCACAGAAUGAUCACUAGCAUCACACAUCAAUUCAAAUGGUAAAUUCUAAUUUGGAGAUAUAACUACUAGAGCAGUGAUAAGAGCUUUCUUUAAUUCUCCAAAUGCUUGAAGGCACUCUUUGUCAAAGUGAAAUGGUUUGUCAUGCUCCAGUAAUGAACACAGAGGCUUAACUACUUUGGAAAAGUUCUUAAUGAAUCUUCUGUAGAAUCUAUCAUAACCCAAAAAACUCCUAAUACCCUUUACUGAAGUUGGAGGUGGCAAUUUAUCUAUUACCUCUAUCUUGGCUUUGUUUACCUCAAUAUCAUCCUUGUAUAUCUUGUGACCCAGCACUAUUCCUUCUUGCACCAUGAAAUGACACUUCUCCCAAUUGAGUACUAAGUUGGUCAUCUCACAUCUUUUAAGAACUUCUUCCAAGUUGUGUAAACAAUCACUGUAUGUUUCUCCAAAACCUGAGAAAUUAUCCAUGAAAACUUCCAAAGUCUGCUCUACCAUAUCAGAAAAUAUAGACAUCAUGCAUCUCUGAAAAGUUACUGGAGCAUUGCAUAGUCCAAAUGGAAUUCUUCUGAAAGUAAAUGUUCUAUAAUGACAAGUACAUGUAGUCUUCUCUUGAUCCUCUAGAGCUAUAGCAAUCUGGUUGUAGCCUGAAUACCCAUCUAAGAAACAAUAGUAUUGUUUUCCAGCAAGUUUGUCCAGAAUAUGAUCUAUGAAUAGAAGUGGGAAAUGGUCUUUCCUUGUGGCUUUGUUGAGCUUCCUGUAAUCCAUACACACUCUCCAUCUAGUCACUGUCCUUGUAAGAAUAAGUUCAUUAUUCUCAUUUGCCAUUACUGUUAUCCAUCCUUUCUUUGGAACACAUUGAACUGGGCUUAUCCAUUAACUGUCUGAUAUUGGGUAUAUGAUUCCAGCAUCUAACCAUUUGAUGAUUUCCUUCUUCACCACUUCUUUCAUAAUAGGAUUCAGCCUUCUCUGGUGCUCCACCAAAUUACUGGAACAAUCUUCUAACAGGAUUUUAUGCAUACAUAUGGAUGAGUUUAUCCCCUUUAUAUUUGCCAUGGUCCAUCCAAUUGCUCUUCUGUAUUUUCCCAGCAAAUCUACUAGGAUUUAUUCUUGACCUGCAUCCAAAGUAGAAGAAAUGAUUAUAGGGAAUGUGUUGUUUGACCAAGAUAAGUAUACUUCAAAUGUGAAGGUAACAGUUUUAAUUCAAAACUAGGAGGUGAUUCAAUAUAUGGUAAAGUUGUUUUUACUUCCUUGUCUGAAAGAUUCAAGUGUUCAAUAAACAUGUUGUGCCUAUCAAAUUGUUGUUUGCCCAUCCAAUUUGUUUGGAUUGCUACAACAUCUUCCUCUUCAAUAUCCUCAAAGGUGGUGACUUUGUUAAGUACAUUACUGAAACAUCUGUCCAUUCUGUCUGCUACAACAAGAUCCACUACACUUAGGAAAUUACAAUCUUCUGUUUCAUCAGGGUUCAUCAUAGCCUCUAGUACAUUAAAUGUGACUUGCUGAUCAUUCACUCUCAUGGUGAGCUCUUAUUUCUGCACAUCUAUCAGAGUUUUUCUAGUUACUAGAAAAGGUCUUCCAAGUAUAAUGGGUACCGCUUUGUCAGUUUCAAAGUCUAGCACAAUGAAAUCCACUGGAAAAAUGAAUUUGUCAACCUUCACCAAUACAUCCUCUAUCUUUCCUUCAAGGUAUGCAUGAGAUCUAUCAGCUAAUUGCAGAGUGACUGUUGUUGGUCUACACUCCCCUACUCCCAGCUGCUUAAAUACAGAUAAUGGCAUCAAAUUAAAACUAGCUCCCAAGUCACAAAGUGCUCUGUCAGCAUACCUAGUCACUAUAGAGCAAAGUAUUGUAAAACUCCCUGGAUCUUUUAAUUUUGUGGGAAUUUUACUUUGGAGGAUAUGACUGCUUUCCUGUGUUAAAGCAACAGUUUCAAACUCUCCCAGCCUUUUUUUUCGUGCCAAUAUAUCUUUUAGAAAUUUCACAUAAUUUGGCAUUUGCUCCAAAGCUUCCACAAAAGGUAUAUUUAUGUGAGUUACUUCAACACUUCCAGGAAUUUACUGAAUUGCUUGUCUUAUUUUUGCUUCUGGAACCUUUGAGGGAAUGGUGGUGGAUGUCUAAACUGCUGGUUAGAUUCAGGAGAUUCAGGAGGUACCAAACUAUGUUUGUUUAGGCUGGUGUAGGUUGUGGCUACUGGUGUUACAAUUUCCUUUUCAGCAUGAUCUGGUUGAAUUUCUUCUGCAGUUGCUGUAGUUUGGCCCCUUAAAUCAGUGUCUUGAUGGGGAGUUUGUUGUAACAUGCUUCUCUUUUGAGUUGGUUUUUGAGCUGAAUUGCAUUUCAUCCCAUUUUUUGUCACCUCAACUGGGAUAUCAACAUUCUUUCCAAAUCUCAAACUAAUUACUUUGCAGUGUUCUUUGCUCUCUCUCCUAGGGUCUUCUGUCUUGCUAGGUAGGCUUCCUUGAGUUCUGCUGCUCAUUGCUGUAGCUCCCAUUUGGUUCUCAAGCUUUCUCAAGGACACAACUUGACUUUGCACAAUUGCUUCAUUCUUUGCAAUAUACUCCUUGAUCAGUGCUUCCAGUGAAGUGAUUGGAUCCUGACUGAUAUGCUUUUGCCCUUGACUUUGCUGAUGAAAACCAGGUGGUUAUGUAUUUCUACUUAGUCCAUUCAAUGCUGGAGCAUUUCGAUUUUGACUGCUCCAUGAUAAAUUUGGGUGUUGUUUCCAGCCUGGGUUGUAAGCAUUUGAAUAUGGGUUGUUUUGAGGUUGUCGAUUGAAGUUACCCACAUAGUUUACUGAGGCUGGAUUUCCAGGACAAUUAUCAAAAUCAUGUUCUUCACCACAGUAGACACAAGAAAAUUUAGUAACUUGCUUUACUGUUGCUGGAGCAGCUGUCAUGGCUUUUACCAUGUUAGUCAAUGAGGUUACUUGAGCUAAUAAGGCUGUAAUUGCAUCAAUGCUAUGUACCCCUGCUGAUCCUCUUGCUGCUGGUUGCCUGGCUGAAGGCCACUGGUAGUUAUUAUUGGCAAUUCUUUCCAAAAUUUCAUAAGCUUCAGUGUAUGAUUUAGAUAACAGAGCUCCAUUUACUGAAGCAUCCACCAUUAACCUUGUUCUCGGAUUCAAUCCAUUGUAGAAAGUUUCCAAUUGAAUGCAAUAAGGAAUACCAUGAUGAGGACACCUUCUGAACAAUUUCUUGAACCUUUCCCAAGCCUUGUACAAACUCUCAUCUUCAAGUUAAUGGAAGGAAGUAAUUUCAUUUCGUAAUUUUGCAUUCUUUGUCGGUGGAAAAUAUUUCAUUAGGAAUUUAUUAGCCAAUUCAGUCCAUGUAGUGAUGGAAUCAGAUGGUAAUGAAUUUAACCAUGCCCUUGCUCGAUCUCUUAAGGAGUAAGGAAAUAGCCUCAGCCUUAAGGCAUCUUGUGUUGCUCCAGCAAUCUUAAAAGAAUCACUUACUUCCAAGAACAAUUUAAGAUGGAGACGAGGAUCUUCAUUAGGCAAUCCAUUGAAUUGUCCCACUGUUUGUAACAUUUGAAACAUCACUGGUUGUAACUCAAAAUUUACAGCGUCUACUUCAUGUCUAAUGAUGCCAGGAGGCACAACUUGUGGAGUUAGCACAGCAUAAUCUCAUAUAGCUCUGUCUCUGUCAUCAGCCAUGUAAAUAAUAUUGUUAUUGCCUGGCUGUCUCCCGUUAGCAUGUUCAUUCUGCUCUUCUUGAAUGUUGGCUAGUUGUAAAGGCCCGUGAGGGUUCAAAUUUCCCUCAUCCUGCAAAUUAUUCAUGCCUGAAACAGUCUUUGAAUUUCUUUGUUCUCUUCGCAAUCUCCUGAUAGUUCUUUCAAUCUCAGGAUCGAAUUGGAAUACCACAGAUCUGUCCUUGCGCAUACACGUACUGAUCGGCCAAUCAAUAGAAUGAAUCAAGCUAAAUUUGGUGCUAUCACGAUUUACUUCACACUUCAAAAAUAAACAAUCAAUCCCCGGCAACGGUGCCAAAACCUUGUUAGUUGAUUUUUAUAAUCAAUUACUAUCAAUGCCAAUGUGCAAGUAUACACAACAAGUAAUAAAGUGAUGAGUAUUCAAGAUCGUCUCCACAGGGAUUGAUGUUGCUCAAAAUGCUAAAGCAAUCACAAUAGCGUAAAUCAACUAAGACCGAAACAAACAAUUGUCAAAUAACUCUAUCGUAAUUAAUAAUUGAAAGAAAAACUAAGCAAGAGAGUUUUUUACUGAAAUCAACUAAGUUAAAUGUGUUUAAGAUUCAAUUGAGAAUAUAGUAGUUGAAUGAUCAAACUCUCCUAAUGGGGUGACUGUUGUUUACCAAAUUAACAUUAGUAGUUACAAUAAGUGCUGCAGCACUGGGCAGAAUAAAUUUGCAUCCUCAGCUAUCGCAUGUUGGAAAUCUCAUACCUUUAAAUCUACUAACAAUGACCAGUUGCUCAUAUAUUUAUGGUACGACAUAAUAACCUUUAAUCUCUUUACCCUACAAGGUAAACACUUAUGUCUAAAGUGUCACAAAUCCUAACUUCAAGUAUUGCCCUUAUGGGAUUCAAGAUAACAUAAUCCAAGAAACUCGACUUAAGAACAAGUAAUACUCUAAUAAUGUCCGCUAAGACAUGCCCUUUUGCUGCUCUAUCUUAACUGAAACUAUUAAAUGGGUGGUCAACCGAAAUAACAGUUGUAUUCAUAAAAACUACUAGAGUAUAAUGCUACAGCAAUACCAUAACAAUAUAUAAGAACAGUCAAGAACCCAUUGGAUUAUUUGUCACUCAACUACAAGUAAAUUUAGUUCAUAUUCUGAAUGGGAAAAGUAAACAUAAAUAUACUGAUCAUAGAAUAUAUCCAAACAAUUAAAGGAAGAAAGAUAAUAUAAGUUGAGCACGGUAAAAGACUAAUGAUCCUGCCCAGUUCUUUAAUGAUGCCGAACAACACUCCUAAAUCUUGAUCUUCUUCUUCUUCUUCUUGCCUUUGUAAUUAUUUUUUAUGAUAAUUCCUUGUCGCCCUUCUAUGUGAUGCACGCCUCCUUUUAUAUUGCAAAUUAGGGUAAACACCAAAGCCCAUGAGCUUGCAUGCGUUUAAAUUAGGAAACAUGCAGAUCGCUAUUUUAUGGCUGACCCGCGCUUUAAGCUUUCUCCCGCAUUGCUCCCAGAUUGCUGCAGCACUGGUUGCUCUAACACUCGCAACAACACUGCAUUAUUCCCGAUUGUGCUAUUCUUCUUUUGUGGCCAUCUUCUUUCCUCCUCUUGCUCAUCUAAUGUCUCUGCAUCUCCUCAUGAAUUUAAAACCUACAAUUAUACACCUGUUUUUAGCACAAAUUACUUGAUUUAAAUGAUCCAACUAAAAUGAAUGUUUAUGCAAAGGGUAACCAAAAUGUAAUAAAAACACCUUAUUUGCUCUCUAAAUGAUCUUGAUUCAAGUUUAGAAUUGAUGUAAUAACUCUCAUUUCCUAGAGUUAUCACUUACUUAAUUCACAAAAAUGUGUGUUUGAUAUAGGAGGACUUGGCUAUAAGCCUAAUUUGAAACAAAAGUAUUAUAAGAACUACUUUGUGAAGAAUACAUCUAUUAACAAUCAAGUUGUAUGUCAUUAUUGUAAUCAAGAUGGUCGUAUGAAAAAUAGAUGUUCAGUGAAAAAAAUGCAUAUUAUGGUGUGAAAUGUAUUUGGAUUCCAAAAGGAACCAUUGCUAACACUCAAGGACCCAAAACAUUUUGGGUACCUAAGACUUGAGAAUUUCUCUGUAGGGCUGGAAGAAGAAGAAAAAUAUAUGGUACCUGGACAGUGGUUGUUCAAGGCAUUUGACCGAAAAACUAUGCAUGGUUUUCAAGUUUCACUAAAAUAAAAAAUGGUGGAGAUGCUUCCUUUGGAGACAAUUCAAAGGGAAAUAUUCUCGGAAUUGGUAAUGUCGGUAAAGUUUCGUCAACCCUAAUUGAAAAUGUAUGUGUGGUUGGAAAUUUGAAACACAAUUUGAUUAGUAUUAGUCAAUUGUGUGACAAAGGUUAUAAAGUUGUUUUUGAUAAAUUUAGAUGUGUUAUCACUACUAGAAAAAUAGCUUUUACUGAUACUUGUCUUAUGAAACUUUUCUAAAAAGUAUUAGUAAUUACAUAUAUUUGGGUUAUUUUCCGUGUUUAACAAACAAGUGUCACUAAUUACUAAUUCUAUGGUGUUUGUAGAUUAAACAUCAGAGAUCGUCGACACUAAGGUAUCAGAAACAAAAAAAAAAAUCUAUUUUUGUUUUAGUUGCGACUUGAACCUAAGACCCAAAACUAAAGUGCUUUAUGUUCAACCAACAAACCACCGGGCCAAAUUCAUAAAUUAGUUUGUGUUGAACAUGUUGAAACUAUCAAAUUAAAUUAAUAUAGAAAACAACAAUAUAAAAGGAAAAGCAAAAAACCCUAAAUCAACAUAAACAUAAAAUUGCCUAACUCCUAAAUCCAUGGCCAGCCGCCUCAUCUCUCUGGCGAUAUCCUUCUUCUUCUUCAUACCUCUAAAAAUUCUCUUCUUGGAGCCCUAAAAUUCAAGGGUCCAUGCCAUAAGAAAUUCUAACACCACUGCUCAAAUUCUAAGACCCAUACCAUAUGAAACCCUAACAAUCUACAUUAUGCAAAACAUCUACCAUGCCGCUAUGCCACACAAGACCCGAUUUACAUCUCCAUAUUUUGCUCUUCCGUAUAUGCCAUUUGCUUAGGCUUUGAACUUUUAUCAAUGAUCAUUAGCGAGGUAAUUUUUCACCUUUCACCCGUUUUGAUUUUCUGGUUGGUUAGCGUAGCUUUCCAAUUUUGUUGUGUGUCGCCUUGAAAGAAAAUGGGAGAAGAAGAUGCUUGGUGUUGUUUCUACUAAAAGAAAAUAGGAUAAGAAGCUUGGUGUUUCCACUAAUGAUGGUGAUCUAUCUUGUCAAAAUUUGACUUCUAAAAGAAGUCAUAUUGCAGAAGAUACUACUAUAAAUCAUGUUGCAGAAAAAGAAGAUUUGGUUUCUAAUAGGACUCAGGUUGCAGAAAAUACUGUUUUGGCCUCUGAAGUUCAAGCAACAGACCAUUCGAUUUCUGAUUCUGGAGAUCAUGUUGCAGAAAAUAUUGUCGACAAUUCUGUUGAGGCAGAAACUCGACAACUUGCAGAAUUCAAUCCACAGGGUGAUGGCUAUAAUGGGCUGAAUGAAGCCUCUGUCUUGGCACUGCAGUUACCAGUUUAUCCAGAAUAGGAAUCGUCAUAUUCUAAUGGUUCUAGUUGCGGUAAUGGUUUGUUGAAUUCUGAAUUUGACAGUGAGCAGGUAAAUGACCAGUUCAAUUCACAGAGGGAUUUUCAGAAUAAAGACUCUCCUAAUGAAUUUGGGCAGACCACUUCUGACUUCCUCUCAUCAAAGUCAGAUGAAGGAGUUUACUUAGAGGAUGGCAGUGACAUGGACUCUGAAACCUUCAUUGCAAAGGUGACGAUAUUCUUUCAGUAUUAAUAGUACUUCAAUAGCAUCCAAUUUUGUGUCUGAUUAACUUGUGCUUAUUUUAUAGGCUUGAAACAUGUUUUGUUCAUCUCUUGAUUAAUAUCCUGCUAUUCAAUUUCAAUUUGGAAUUUGUAUGCAUAUUACGUGUGUGCUUCUUAUGGCUUUACUGUAUGCUUUUAGUUUGUCUCUUGUGUAAGAAAAAUGUCUUUUACUGCUUACAACGAUUAUAAUAUGAUGGUACUCUUUCUGGCAUUACUGAUUGCUUUUGUUGUUCAUUAUUUUUAUUUUUACUUUUUUCUCUUCCUCAACAAUAGGACAGAAACAUUUGAUGGAGCAAAUCAGGCAUCUACCCUCCAAUUCGUCAAAAACAUUAAUAUUGAAGGAACAUUGUUCCAAAGGUACAUAGUUUUCAUUGCUCUUUAAUUGAUUUUUAUGUUGUUACAAUUAAUGAUGCUAGGAGCCUCUUCACAUCUAACUUUCUCAGCAUGCUUACCAUUUUUUGAUUUUCAAACACUUUGACUCAAUAUUGAUAAUGAAGCUGUACACAAGAUCCAAAUGUUUCUGGACAGUCUUGUCAUGAGUAAGAAAAAGAUUCCAUGCCGUCUUUAACAUUUUUUGCAGCUUAAUCCAGAUUGUUUUAUUUUCUUCUUGGUAUUAAGCUUCCAGAAUGACAUGAUUUCGCAACGUGAUACUCGUGCGCAUUUUACAGAUUUCCCCGGAGCUCCUUAAGAAGUUAAGUACGGAUUGACUGGUUAUGCAAAACCACCAUGUAAGAAAAUUGUGCUUCACGUACGGUUAACUUGCUUUGCAUUUGUGUACCAAGAUUCAAUUUCUUAAAAAUGUGUUAAGCUUUAUGUUCUAAAACAACCAUCUUUUUAUUGUUAGAUUCAAUUCUCUGUUUUAAUUUCUUUCAUCUUCUGUAAUAAUGCUAGUCACUCAUGAAUAUCUAGCUCAAUGAAAGUGUUGGGUCUAAUAAGCGAGCUUUUUUGGAAAUCUUGCUUUGUCGUGAGCCUCUUUGAUUCAUGGAAGAAUUCCAUUUAUAUGGACUUCUUGUACAAUUGAUUCCUUAGAUCAGUGCACUUCAAUUUUGGGAGACAAUGGACUCUAAAAAUGUUUAGAUUUAUUAAAUUAUUAUGGAUGAUUGAGUAAAUAAUUUGGUUGAUCUGAAAUUUUAUGUGUUGUACCAUUACAACAGUAUGGCAUUUCACCUGAAAGAAUACAAGCAAACCAGGAGCUAGCUAAGUUUUUUAAGAUCUUGACAACAAGCGUAGAUGAAUAUAAUAAGGUGCAAAAGUAAAUAUUUCUUUGUUGAAUUUAUUUUAUAUAUAAACACAGACUCAGGAUAUAUGCCUGAAUGCUUGAUAUUUUAAUGGCAAUUUAUCCAGUGUUAUCAAUUCUAACUUCUGUUAUUAAUCAUUAUCAGGUCUAUGUCUCGACAGUGCAAGCUUAUAACUAUCCUGUGACCGCCUUCCGAUGGCAUCCAGAGGUAUUAACUUCAAUGCUCUUAACAGUGAUUUUAGUUGCAUCCCAUUUACAAAAUUGAUAAGCUUAAUAUGGCAGACUGAUCUGAUUAAUCAAACCUUUUGAGCGACAUUUGUGUGCUAAACUCUAGAUGUGUGUGACCAAAUAUGCUGCAGAAAAAUGCUUUUGAAUGGGGACCAAAAGCAAUUCCACACACAGAGGACGCCAUUCGGGUGACUCAACAAGCUGCAAAUUUUUUAUAAGGUCAGUUCUUAUUACCUGCAUGAUUGUUUAUGUUACGAGUUUCGUUGUUAAGCAAGUGCUGGAAUUUUAUUGAUAGUUUAUUUUCUUUUCUUAAUGACAUAUUUUAUUAAUAUAUAUGAAGGAAAAAUAGAAAUAAAUAAUAAUAUAUUGUCAUUCGCUUUGGUUAUUUAAUAAUCUUGUCUUGUUAACAAAUAUCAUUAACAUACUUACAUAUAUGGACAAUUGAAUAUGCAAACGAAUUUAUAGUAAAUUACAUUAAUAGUUGUGUUCAUAAACUGAUUAGGAACAUCAUGUGAUUAAUUAUGGGGUUAUCUGUUCAGUAAAAGAAAUUCAAAUUAGGCCUCUACUUUUGAAUUUACUUAAACAGUAAAAUAAUUAAAGAGAUUGAGGCUAAUAAUAUCAAACUCUACAUUUUUUUUUUGGUGAUUAUGGACUAUGGUGUUUGCUGGAUCAAAAGCUUUUUUUUUUUUCAAAGAUCAGAGAAGUACUUGCUCGUUUGAUCAAAUUCAACCAGCCAUUUAUCAACAUCAAUACUUAAAAAGAAGGGAAAAAAAAUUAUCGUGCCCUCUACUUUUGUUUGUAAAGUCUUGGUUUGUGAAUUCAAAGGGGGUGGAACUAUAUGAAUUAAAGAUUGCCUUAGAAAGAUAGAGAAUAUGCAUAGCUUUAAGAGGUACAUCUCUUAAUUGCCUUAAACUCUAUAUUUAUUGUGAAUAUUCUAGAUUAGUAGUUCCAUCAAUACAAUGGCUGAAAUGUUUUAUUAUUCUAGUCGAGUAAUUUGGAAUGAGUUGACACUAAUUGCAUUAUGUUGUAUUAGAUAUUAAAUUUUAUUAUGAAUUUUUUUUAGCUGGAAAAUCAUUGUUUUUUAUAUAAUGAGAAAUAAACACACUUUCUUGAAACUAGAUGUUAUACUGAAAACUUGAAUGCUAUAAUUUGCUAUCUCACUCUCUCUUAUUUAUAUAUAUAUAAGAGAAUGAAUUCAUCAUCACCUUUUUUUUUAAUUUAUAUCUAUAGUUAAAUAUAUUAUACCUUAUUUCUAAUCAAAUGAGUUAGAACAUUCUUAUUCUCUAAUUUUCCUUUAAGAUAAUUGAGUUGAUCUACUAAUAGCUUAUGAAUUUUUUUUGUUUUCGAGCAAAAUAUGUUUAUUUUUAUUAAAUUUUGUCUCUGUAUUGCUUGUUAAUUUAUUUUGCAACUGUUGGAAUUUGGCAACCAAUUUCUUUUCCUUUUUCUUUUAUUUGUUUGCAGAUAUGAUUAAUAUGUUUAAAGUGUUUCUUCUUCAACUUAUAUCCCUAACCCAUCAAAUUCAUCGAAUGAAGAAGCUGUCCGUGAAUGAAGAAGCUGUUUGUGAUAAUGCAUGAUUGCAUUACUUAUGUUCAUGGAGUGACAAAUAAUAAUCCUUCUAAAUUUAGCUUUUAGAUUAGGUAAAUUUAGCCCUUAAAUUCAGCUACGAGUAGAAGGAAUUCGAUUGGAUAAUAGCAGUUAAGAUUAUUCAAUUAUAAGAAUAAGAUGUCUUGUAAUCAGACGUCUUUGUGUAUUGAAGUAUUUGGAUUGUGUAAUAUAUAUUGAUAAUAUUUAAAUGUUAUGAAAGGUUUUGAUAUAUAAAUUGAUUUUUGUUCUUAUUUGUCACAUCCUUUUAAUUCUAUCAACAAAUCAAUGGGCAACAUGUCAUUUUAUAUAAUUAUUUUUUUAAAUAAUAAAUAAAGUAGUGAUACUAUAGUAACAGUAAUCACAAAUACUAAUAUAGUAUUGUAAUAUUUUGAUACCAUGGUGUUAUUAUUUUAGUGAUACUAUAGUAAUAGUAAUCACUAACACCACUUACAAGUGUCACUAUUUUUCUGACUCCCAGAUUACUGACACAAUUAAUAAGUGUCAGUAAAAGUAAUUUCUGACACUAUUCUAAAGUCAGUAAAGACCAUUUUUCUAGUAGUGUAUUGAGAAUGCAUGUGAUGGCAAGAUUUUAUUUGUUGGAAAUACAUGUGGUAAUGUUUAUACCAUUGACAUAAAAUGUGCAUCUACUCAUGAUAAAUGUUUUUCAGCAUUGCAUGAUGAUGGUUGGCUAUGGCAUAGAAGACUAGGACAUGCAAACAUGGAUUUAAUUUCGAAGAUUUCAAAAAAAUGAUUCAGUUAAAGGUCUUCCAAAAAUCAAUUUUCAAAAAGAUAUAAUUUGUGAAGCAUGCCAAUUUGGUAAACAAAUCAAAACCUCAUUUAAAAGUAAAAAUCAUAUUUCUACUUCAAAACCUCUUCAACUACUUCAUAUAGACUUAUUUGGACCUUCAAGAUAUGCUACCCUAAGUGCCAAGUACUAUGCUUUUGUAAUUGUUGAUAUUUUUUAAGAUACACGUGGGUAUUAUUCUUAGCUAAUAAAAAUGAAGCUCUUGAUGUUUUAAAAGUAUUUUGUAAGAAAAUUCAAAAUGAAAAAGGGUAUAGUAUUACAUGCAUUAGGAGUGAUCAUGGUGGAGAAUUUAAAAAUAAUGCAUUUGAGAAUUUUUGUAAUGAUUUUGGCAUUGAGCAUCAAUAUUCAUCACCCAGGACUCCACAACAAAUGGAGUUGUUAAGAGAAAGAAUAUGUCUAUUCAAGAAAUGGAUAGCACCAUGUUGAUAGAGAAUGCUUUACCAAAAUAUUUUUUGGCUGAAGCCGUCAACACCGCUUGUUAUGUUUUAAAUCGGGUGUUGAUUAGACCACAUCUCAAUAAAACUCCCUAUGAGCUUUGGAAAGAUAGAAAACCUAACAUUGGUUAUUUUAAAUUUUUUGGAUGCAAAUGUUUUAUUUUGAACCCAAAAGAUAAUCUUAGCAAAUUUGAUCCAAAAUCUGAUGAUGGCAUAUUUCUUGGAUAUUCAAACUCAAGUAAAGCUUAUAUAGUUUAUAACAAAAAAACUCUAGUUGUGGAAAAAUCUAUGCAUGUUACGUUUGAUGAAUCUAACCCCUCCUCUGCGAUAAAAGUUAUUAUUAAUAAUGAUGUAAAUGAAGAACUACAAGAAGAGUCAUCAAAGGAUAACUAAAAGAAUGCAACAUCAGGAAAUAAAGAGCAAAAUGAAAAUACUUCUCAAUCACUCUCCAAGGAGUAGAGAUAUGUUUCUUCUUAUACUAAAGAUUUAAUUUCAGGCGAUCCUUCAAGAGGUGUUACCACUAGAUCAUCAUUUAGAAAUACUUGUGAGCAUGCUGCAUUUAUUUCUCAACUUGAACCAAAAUCCUUUGAGGAUGCAGAAAAUGAUGAAUCUUGGAUUAUGACAAUGCAAGAUGAGUUAAAUCAAUUUAAGAGAAACAAUGUGUAGGAAUUAGUUCCUAAAUUGGAACAUCAAUCCAUUAUAGGCACUAAAUGAGUAUUUAGAAAUAAAAUGGAUGAAUCCAAUGUGGUUGUAAGAAAUAAAGCUAGAUUAGUGGCUCAAGAUUACAAAUAAGAAGAGGGAAAUGAUUUUGAUGAAACAUUUGCACCUGUAGCUAGACUAGAAUCUAUUAGGAUGCUCUUAGCAUUUGCAUGUCACAAAUAUUUUAUUUUAUUUCAAGUGGAUGUCAAGAGUGUUUUCUUAAAUUGUUAUAUUAUAGAGGAAGUUUAUGUAAAACAACCCAUUGGUUUUGAAAAUGAACAAUUUCCAAAUUAUGUUCAUAAGUUGUCAAAAGCAUUGUAUGGAUUAAAGCAAGCACCUUGAGCAUGGUAUGAUAGGCUUAAGAAUUUCUUAUUGGAUAAUGGUUUCUCAAUGGGAAAACCAGAUACUACGUUCUUUGUUAAGCAUAAGAACCAAGUUAUACUUAUAGUUCAGAUUUAUGUUGAUGACAUUAUCUUUGGUUCUACUAAUGAAUUGUUGUGUAAAGAGUUUUCAUCUUAUAUGAGUAAAAAAUUUGAGAUGAGUAUGAUGGGAGAGUUGAAGUACUUCCUUGGACUGCAAAUGAAACAAGACGAGGAUGGAAUUUUCAUAACUCAAGCCAAGUAUGUGAAAGAUCUACUCAAAAGAUUUGGCUACGGUAAUGGAACUGCAAAAAGCACUCCAAUGAGUACUACCAUCAAGCUGGACAAAGAUGAGAAGGGUAAGGAGGUUGACGUCAAGACAUAUCGAGGUAUGAUUGGAUCCUUACUGUACUUGACUGCUAGUAGGCCUAAUAUUAUGUUUAGCAUAUGCUUGUGUGCUAGAUUUCAAUCUUAUCCUAAAGAGUCACACUUGCUUGCCUUUAAAUGAAUCUUUCGAUAUUUGAUCGGCACCAUCAAUCUUGGCCUUUAGUAUCUUAGGGGAACUCAUAUUGACUUAACUUGUUAUUCAUAUGCCAAUUUUGCCGGAUAUAAGGUUGAUAGAAAAAGUACUAGUGGAACAUGUCACUUCCUAGGUCAUUCACUUGUCUCUUGGUUUAGUAAGAAACAAAAUUUAGUUGCACUUUCAACCACCGAGGUAGAAUAUAUUACCACAUGUAGUUGUUGUGCACAAGCCGUUUGGAUGAAACAAACCCUUAGAGACUAUGGUAUUAAUCUUGAUCAAAUACCCAUCUUGUGUGACAAUAUUAGUGCUAUUAAUCUAACAAAGAAUCUCAUUCAGCAUUCUAGGACUAAGCAUAUAGAGAUUAAACAUCAUUUUCUAAGAGAUCAUGUUAAAAAAAGGAGAUAUUGUGAUUAAAUUUGUUUCUACUGAAAAUCAACUUGCAGAUAUCUUUACAAAACCCCUUAGUGAAGAGAAAUUUAUAAAGAUUAAACAUGAGCUUGGAAUGAUGAAUGUUGCAUCUUAAUUUAUAAUUUUUUUUUGGCAUCAUUGUUUGAUAUGAGUAAUUUCAUAUGUUGGAUCAUAUAUGCAUUUAUGUUUCAUGCAUUAAAAGGCUUAUUGAAAGGUUUUAAGUCACAAAAUGGUUUAAAAUCAAUCAAGUUUUAAGGCAAAAAUAAAUUGGUGUGUACAAUACAAGUCUAAGGGUUAACCAAUAUUCAAUAAGAGGAAAAAUGAUUUUUAAGGAUAAACCAGCAUACCACUUGUAAUCAACCGGAUAGUCGUUUUUUUCUUAUUGUUACUCACUGGACCAAAUUCGGAUAACCGGAUAUAGAAAACUGGUAGGUCAUUUUCUUAAAGGUUACUCUCGGCCCACAAUCCGGAUAGCCAAUUAGGAAAAUCGGUAAACCGUUUCUUAAUCUUUCCUCUCUGGACCAUAACCGGUCAGUCAGUUCCUUUGAAAUGGUAAGCCGGAUGUGUGUUGGCAUUCACUGGAUCAUAAUCGGUCAGUUGGAUAUUGCAAACUGGUAAGCCGAAUUUUCUUUUGGCACUCACUGGAAAUAAUCGAUCAGCCGGUUAAGGAAACUAGUAAACCGUUUUCAACUUCUCACUUUCUGGACACAAACCGGUUAGCUAGUUAGUGCAAUCUGGUAAACCAAAUUCAGGGUUUUUAAGAUCUGUUCAUCUUUUUCUCUCCAUUCGGUUAACCGAUUCUCUCUCUCUCUAAAACUGUUUCCUUCCCCUCUCAUUCUCACUCUAAAACUCAUCCAUUUCAUCCAUGUUUACACCAAAUUGUUUCACAAAAAUCAUUUCCCAUCACUCCUUGUGUUCAAAAUCAUCUUUCAAAUUUGUUUUCAUCACUCAAAUCUCUCUAAAUUACUUCUUCUUAAACUAAUUUCCAACCAAUUUGAACUUCAAUAUCCAUUUUAAACCUCAUUAUCUUCCUUUUUAUUGUUUCAUUUAUCUUCAAACCACUCAACAUUAUCAUGUCUAGUUCAAAGCCAGUUAAAGGAAAAGGGAAAGAACAUGUUCAACAAGCCAAACAGCCACAGCAGGCAGGGGACACUUCCAAUCAGUCCAACUUUGAAUCCAAGCACUUUCUGAACAAGCAUUUAGUCAAGCGAUUUCACCAACAUUUCAUGACCCGUGAAGUACUCUCUAUAUUUUUUAUUUUACUAGAUUGGCUUCAUAGUCUCAAUAUUAAUAAUAGAAAUUUGUUUUAAUUGUUGGAAGAAGUUGGUUGAAUUUAUGCUAUUGUGAUUGAGGAGAAUGUGUAUCCUGACUUGGUGAAAGUAUUUUACUCGAAUAUGGAUAUUUCUGAGAAGAAAAAUAAUCGAGUAAUCACCAAUGUUGGAGGAGUUUUGAUUGAUUUUGAUGUUUCAGAAUUAAAUUCUAUCCUAGGAACCUCCGAUUUUGGCCCAGAAAUAUUUUCUACUAGAAAAUCUGCUGAUAUUGGUCAUUAUGUUCAUGUUGACGCCGUUAGAAAUAUAUGUCGGCGUAUUGAUUUUUCUGAUGAAAUUCAUAACAUCCAUUUCCGCACUCAAUGUCUAUGUCUCCAAACUCGUAUCUUACUUUGUUUUAUUCAGAUCAUUGUGCUUCCUAGGUCAGGGCAUUUGGAUGAGGUUUUCCACAUGGAUGUUGCUUUGAUUGAUUCAAUCCUUAGACAUCGUCCCAUUAACUUGAGGUACACCAUUAUCCGAACCAUGCUUUCUAUACCUAAAUUGAUUACCCGUUCUCUUCCAUAUGGUCAUUUUAUCACCCGGAUUCUUACGCGUUUUAGGGUGCCUACUAAUGAACCAUCUUGUAAACCUUCUAAGAGUAGCGGGGAUAAAGCUGUAUGUGCCUUAGGAUUUGAGUGGCGUAAUGGAGCUUGGGUAAAAUUCACUGACAAUAAGUACACCUUUCUUGCUCUGAGUGAUGAUCGGUUACUCAAUGAUAUGAUCCAUGCUGAUCAACUUCCUAAUUUUUUGCUUCCAUUUUGGGGCUAGCGUAGACGUUGAGUUCCUCUAUUGUCUGCCUUUGCCCUUGAUGCUUCUGCAUCUGCUUUACCACCUCUAGAGCCUUCUGCCUCUGGCGAGAUUUCUUUUUAGCAACUUAUGGAUGAGGUGAGGAAACUUUCUGUGCAGGAGACCGAUUUUCAGCAGCACAUUCUUGAGGAGCACCAACGCCUCUCACAGCAGCAUCAGCAACUCAUUCAUGGACAACGCCUCCUCUUUAAGCACUUUGGCAUUCCAUAUUUGUUUCCACCUCCAUCACCACCAUCCUCACCACCUCAGUAGUCUCUAAUGCUUGUAUUUGGAUGCACCAACAUUUACUGCUUUAUUUUCUUUGAUUUUCCAUUUAGAUUAUAUGGAUGUUUGUUAUGAUUUAGGAUUAAGUGGAUUUGCUAUGGUUGUUUGUUAUGUAUUUCACUUACGUUUUGGAUAAUGUGGAACUAAUGUACUUGUCUUGAGAUGUUGAUGAUUGAUAGGGGGAGCAAUUUAUUCUUUUUGAUGAUGAAGGGGGAGAUAUAAUAUAUAAGGGGGAGAAAUGUUUGUUAUGAAAAAUAUUCAUAUGCAUUUAUGCAGUGGGAGUUGUUUAACUGUAGCACAACGGCUAAUCAGAUUCAGAAAGCGGCAAACCAGAUGUGUAAAAAUUCAAAUUUUUUAACAUAACAGUAACAUAAAGUGGGAAACCAGAUUUACAAAGCGGCAAGCCGGUUAUCACCAGAAAGUCAAUAACGGCUAGUUUUAUUCUUUAACUAUAAAUUGGCUCAAGUCAAAUUCAUUUAAAAUGAUGCGACCAUUGUUAUUAUUUAGCAUUUCUCUACAAGUCUAAAGCAUAAACUUUGUUUAUUCAUUUCAUUUAUUCACACAUAUUGGGCUUUCAUUUGUAUUCAAAUACAUUGUGUAAGAGAAAUUUUUGUAAUCCUUUUUAUAAAAUCAAAUUGAGAGGUUGUAAGUGUUGGGAUACACUUGGGUUAAGAGAUUGUGAAUAAUAUCUCUUGUUGUAAAGGUCCAUUGACACCUUGGAAGUCAAUUGUACGCAUUUGAAGCCUUGGGAGGCUUGGAUAGUGAAAUCCUCAAGCCCAGUGCGCUUGGAGGCGUGGACGUAGGCGGGCAUUGCCGAACCAUGUAAAAAUCCUUGUGUUUGUUUUCUCUUUCCUUACUCUUUUAUUAUUGUGAUUUAUUGAAUUUAUUGUUUUUUAUUCCAUUAAAGCAUUAGAUUGAAUUGUUUUGUGGUUUGCUUAGCUUAAGUUUUAAAAUCUCAAUUCACCCCCCUCUUGGGUUGCAUAACUUGCAUUUUAAAAUCUUGCCAGGAGAAACUCCUGUCUUCAAAAAAGUUUACUUAGGAAUGAAAUUUCACAAUGUUAAUAAUUGUACACACUUUCAACGGCAUGUUACCAUUUUCUAAUUUUCUCACCAAACUAUACAUACUACAAUAAACUAUUAAAAAUAACUGGGAUGGAAAAAAAAUAAAUGAAUCAUAUAAAACUUCAGUCUUUCAAUACCAUGUUUAACUCAUGUUCUCACCUUAAUUAAAAAAUUUACUUCUAGAAAUAGAGAGAGUUAUAAUGGCAUUAUCAUGAUGAUACACCUCACUUAAGAAAUAUAUAAACGUUCUUAAUUAACUAGAUCUUGGUUCUCCCGCUGCGGCUAUAACAAUUAGCUAACCAACAUAUUAGUGUUUUUGUUCAAAAAACUACUCAAAAAGAAAAAGAGCAUAAGUAAUUGAACUGAUAUAUGGAAAAUAUAUCAUCCCCCGUAGCAGUUUUUUAUUUUAUUUUCAGUUUCUGCACUUCUAUUUCGUACAAACAUUAAUAUUACAUUUUAUUUUGUUACAUUUUCUUUAAUAUUGCAUCUAGUUGAUUUUCUCUUGAUGAUUAUAUGCUUGUAUUAUUGAUGGUUUGAUGGUUGAUAUGAGGUCAUAGCUUUGUGAUGAUGAUUUGAUAUUAUUGGUUUGAUGAUUGAAGUGUUCUAAAAUAAUAAGUGUAUGGAGAUGGUUUCAAUGCUAAUUUGGGAGUGUUUUUCCUAAACUUGUAUUUGAGGUAAUGCUUGUUGUUAAGGGAUUUUCUGCCAAAUUUUUUAAAAAACAGAGAUAAGUUAUUUCUUUCAUUUAUUUUUUUAUUCCUAACACUUUUUUUUUAUGAUGAAGGGGGGGGGGGAAUAUUACAUGUAUUUGAAAUCAGAUUUCUAGAAUCUUAAGAAAAGUUGUUUUGUUAUACACACUUACAAAUAUACACACAAAAUGUUUUAGAAUUUUUUAAAUUGUUUAUAAAUUGGCUUAACCUGAAAUAAUGGCUCUUUUCAAACUUGUAAAAUAUUUAAGGGUAGCUUAUAUUUAGGGGGAGCUAGCAUUGUUUUUAUUUCUCCAUACCUUGAAUACAUGUAAGGUUUAUCAUCAUAAAAAAUGGGGAGAUUGUUGACAUAAAUGGUCUUUUAAUAUUGAUUUUGAUGAUAACAAGCCAUAUAAGUUUUGACUAAGAAUGUUGGAGUCUUGAAACUUGUUAAGCUCUUAGGCUGAAUGUUGUUUUUGGGAUUGUAUAAGAAUAUGGAAACAAAUGGAUAACCGUUAAUGAUUAAAUUGAAAACCUAUCAUACAAAGGAUAAAACGAAAAAAUUGAUUCUGAAAGAAAACAACAAACCAUUUAUUAUCCAAUCAAAGUCAGAACAAAAGUAUCAAAUGCAUAUGAUAAUGUUGGUGCAUAAAAACAGGAGACCAAGUAAAAAUAAAACGAAAGAUAAAAGUCACUAAUUAAGAGGCUGGAAUGAUAAGGAUGGUGGUAGAAUUCCGAGAGCAGCAAAAUGUUGAUGCUGGCGGUCAAGAAGCUAUUGUUCUUGAUCGAAGAGGCGCUACUACUUAGUAAUGAUAUGACCUUGAAAUACUGCAAGCUAUGACCGAAGUUGGUUCUACUGCUUGAAUUCGAACUUCACUCAAUAGCUUCUAUAUCAUAUCCCCAUGAGCUUCUGUAGUGGGGUAAGGAGGAGCUUAUAAAGUGGGAUGAGGAGGAUGUGGUUGUUGUGAGACAAUGAUGAGGAGGAUUGUGAGCUUCUUUAAUAACAUACAUUAAAGUCACGAAGUAUCACACAUAGUACAAAGUGUGACGUCUGGGUUUUUAUAUAUAUGAAAGAUGAAUUUAAAUGCUUUAGCUCAUUCUCUACAGCUAUUUUCUAUAGCUAUUCUAAUAUUGAUCGUAUUUUACGAUAUACAUAUAUAUAGAUGUUUAGCACAACCAUUGGAUUUCUAUUUUGAUUGUGCACACAAUAUUCUGGUUCUAAUUCUGAUUCUGUUUCUAGCAGGGUCAUUGAAAGUAUAGGUGACACUAUGUGACAUGAGCUAACCUUUUUUUUUAUUGUGUAUAUAUGAUAUACAAUUUGUUUUCAUGAUUAAUUAUGCUUUUGAUAUUCUAAAUCAAUUAUGAAUUUAUAUCUUUCUAUUAUAAAAUGCAUUUUUUUUAAAUUUAUGAUUUUUAAUAUAUGUUUUAAUAAGAAAAGGGCUUGUAAUAUUUUUUGAACCUGAUAACUGUAGUGAGUGGCAAUGUUUUUACUUACCGAAUUGACAGUGCACUCCUCGUCAUUACUUUUUGGAGAUUGGUAAUUUUGUUGAGAGGUGCGCUUAUCUUUGGACCUAGAAAUUUAUUUAUUUUUGUUAGCAGAAUAAGAGGAGAAUGAACUUCUGUUUCCUUUAAGUUUGUUUAUCUUCCAAACUUGCAAUUGGAGAGUUUUGAGACUUUGUUAUAUUUAUGGCUUUGGAAAAAGGAAAAUGCUUAGUAUUAGGCUAGUGGAUUAUGAUUUAUAAGUAACCUCCUUUACCACAUGUUCCACACGUGUUGGAUUUAGGGUAUUUGUGAGGUACAAUUUUCACACUUAAAUAUAAUAGAAUUUAUUUUAAGCUAACAAACUCCCUUAAGCAUUAAAAUAAUAAUAAAUAAAAUAUUUAAUUCUAAGUAAUGAUGACAUAAGCAAUGACAUAAGUGAUGAUGUAAGAGAAAUAUGUAGAGAAAGUUAAGAAUUCUAGAAUUUAGUAAGUUAUUUAUGAAGGCUAACCUCAACCAUUGAUCAAACCUAGAAAUCCUAUAAAUACGCCCUAAGAAAUCCUAUAAAUACGCCCUACCCCCUUUCAUUUUCAAUCCAACCUAUAAAUUUCAUUAUCUUUUAUUCUAAGUCAUAAUAUCAAGAGUAGAGAAAUCCUUAAUUUAGAAAGGUCUAGAGAAGUCAAGGUGAAGAGAUAAGUAACACUUCAACUGUAAUGUAGGGACAAAAUUUUUUUUAUACUUAACUUCAGUUUUGACCAUUCCUUUAUGUUGUGAUGACUAUUAUGAUGUGAUUAGUUAUAAUCUAAAUUGUUAUAUGGUCGGCUAUGCCGCCUAAUCUAUUAUACUUAAUCGUUAUGGUCGCCUCUACCGCCUAAUCUAUGAUACUUAGUUACGUUAUGGUCGGCUCUGCCACCUAAACUAUGAUACUUGAUUAUGUUAUGGUCGGCUUUGCCGCCUAAUCUCUGAUACUUAGUUAUGUUAUGGUUGGCUCAGUUGCCUAAUCUGUGAUAUGUAAACUUAAUUAUGCUAUAGUCGGCUAUGCCGCCUGUAUUAAAGAAUAUUGAAUUGUGUUGUGUGUUGAUUCUGUUAUGCAUCUAGGAAAUUCAAAUGUUAUGAUAUAAGUUGCAUUGGAUACAUGCAUAUCAUAGAUUACAUUAUGAAGAAUAUGUUUUCAGAAAAUGAAUUUAUGAAAAAUAAGUGGUUGUACUACCAGGUGACAAGUUUUUAAGGAAUGCAAGCCCUCAAAGCUAAGUAAAAAGAAAUCUUUUGGGAAUGGUGAUACGUAACGCCCAAAAGAUCAACUAAUGAGACCCAAGGGCAUAUUGUUUAAAGAGUAAAAGUUCCAACCUUGUAGUGCAACAUACCUAGGGCCCUAACGAAGUUGUUAUUUAUUUUCUAAGUUUUUUAAAAAAAAGCUUAAUAUGAUCAUUCAUAUGCAUAAUAAGUUAUACAUGCAUCCAAGUGUUAUCUUACUGAGCAUUAGCUCACAAAGUCCUUACAUUGCAGGUAACGAUAAGUAGGACAAGCGGGCGCCAAGUCCUACCUAAGACGAAGUGCAUAUGGGCAUAACAGACUUCGGGAUUUUAUGAUGGGCUCAGCUUUGUUUUAAUCAAAAAUAAAUAUCUUAGCUUUAUGUAAUAAUCAAGUUUUGAAAUAAACUAUGAAAUCUCUAUAUGACUUUUACUUUAUGAAAGAAAGUUUUGUUUGUUAUGUUAAACUUUUAAAAUUCGUAUUAAAAGUAACCAUGUUUUAAACAUUUUUAAAUAAAUAUUAUAGUGGAGUGUUACAGUAUUACAAUUUACUUCAAGUGAGGAUGUUGUUUGUGUAGUUUUCAUUGGUAACUUAUCAAUACUAGACUUAAAUAAAUCAUUGAUGAACUUAAAAAACGGUAAAAGAGGCUAUAAAUAAGGUUAAAAUUCUCAAAUUUGAAAUUAGUUCCUAUGACUUGAAAAUUGAACAAAUUAGCCAUAAAGUUUUUCCAAUUAUCCAAGAUAGUUUUAAACAAAUUUUAAGUUCAACAAAACCUUGACCCAAUGUUUAAGAAACUUAAUGGUAAUUUCCUAACUGAACAUUUCAUCAAGCUAAUGUAUUUUCCUUUUAUACACGGGCAAUAGUGCAUAUUGUUCAUGGAAUACAUAGCCUAUUAAUAGUUUAUAUAGAGGUGGCAAAAUGGGUUAAUGGAUUGUGUUUAUGCCGUAUAAAAUUUAGGCCUACUCAAACACGGUCUAUUUAAUAAUUGCAUCAAACAAUCAAAAUCCUAGUUAACCUGAGAUGACUAUUAAUUCUAAUUAAAAUCAGCACGAUCAAUUUAAUAAUUAAAUAAAAUUUUAAUUGUGUAGAGUAAAUGAGUAGGAAAAUAAACAAGAUAAAAUUACAGGGGGAAAAAACUUUGAAUGAAGUAGCCGCGGUAAAGUUGUCAAGGCGUUUAUUAGAAAGAGAGAGAAGGAAAUAGUAAUUAAGCCAAAAAUAUAGGCCCAAUCAACAUUUUUCCUUAUUCCAAUAGAAAUAUUCAAUCAAUAAUGAUUAAUUAAUAAAGUUUAUGAUUGCCCAACCCUUACCUUUUAAAUGUAAAAAAAUUAAUAUAUUUUAUAAAAUGUUAAAAUGAUUAGCCGGCUGUAAGGUAAUAAGAAUAAAGUUAGCGAAGUUUUUAUUAUUAUUUCUUUUUGAAUAGGAAUAGUUGGACAAUUAAAGGCAUAUAAUUACGAAAAAUAGUCUAAUAAAACAAAUCGGAGUUUCUGACAAAUAAAACAAAUUUAUAAGUUUAAGAAUUGAAAUUAAGGGAAAAGGUAUUGUGGAGCAAAUGAUUUUAAGAUCGUUCUCCAUUUUUUCAAAAAAAAAAAAUACUUUUACAGAGCAAUGAUGGUUCUAACUUCUAACUAUCUAUUGUUACCAACUAUUUUUAGCGGCACUUGUAUGAAAGUUGGUUUUCUUCUUUUCCCAAACAAUGUCUUUUAAUUAGGGAAGUUAUAAAAUUUGUCCUUAACUUAGUUUGUUUUUCCAUUAUAUACAAGACAUAAUCGAAGGAAUAUAUACAUUAAACAUUUUUUCAACAAGAGAGAAGAGAAAAAGAGUAAUUAAAAUCAUGAAGAAUUUCAUUGUUCUCAAUCUUUUCUUCACUCUUUUUCUAUGUUUUAAUAUGAGAAUACUCACAUUUUAACGAUUUUUAUGUUUCUUUGCAAGAAAAGGACAACUAAAAUUUUGUACUAAACACAUGACAAUUCCUGGCGUUUGUCCCAAGGAUCCUAAGGAAGCAGAAUUCGUAUGCCUUAAAGCCUUCUUCAAUAAAUAUGAAGAAACAGAGAGCCUAGAUAAUUGUCUAUGCAAACCAACAACUGGCAACCAGCACAUCUGCCAAUGUGACAUUAUUUGCAAUCCACCACCACCAAAACGAACUUAAUUGUGGUGUCCAAUAGUAUGAAGAAUGGAGAUCACUAAAUCCACAAUAUCGAUAUUAACCUAUUGUUAAAUCAUAGAUAGAUAAUGAUACGGUGGUUUGCAAUAAUAUAUCAUAAUAUUUACUUAAGUAAUUAAUUGCUAUGGUUGAGAACCAUUUGUAUAUGAAACAAUGGGUAAUUUCAUUACAAUGUUGGAUUACUAAAAAGAAAAAUUACUUUUAUACUAUUGAAUAUAAAUAAAUCCAGUAGAAUAAUUUUUCUUUUAAUCCUAGUAACCAUGUUAAAAAUAAAUAAAUACCUCUAAUUAAGAUAUAAAACUUUAUGUGUGUGCCUUUUUCCCCCCCUUAAACAACUAAUAACUUUAGGCUAAAGUUUUAGUGUCGGGCCUUAAUGCCUAGCAUUGUGCCAAUUUUUAUUUGUAGCUGUUGGAUUCAAGUGAAAUGAGUCCAAUGGUUGAGAUUAAAUUAAAAAUAUAAAGUAACGAAUUACUUGUUAAACAGUUGCUGAAAUCCAUUACAUUUUCCCUGCUUCAAAUCCCAAACAUCUCUUUCACAUCUCUUGCUAUCUCUCUCUGAGAUACUGAUUUGUCUCUUGGAUUGUUACUAAUCACAUAAAAUCGAAGCUAUCGUGUCCCACACAGCGAACAACAAGUCGAAUCCAUCAACCGGUUGGUGUCAUCUUGAGCUGUUCUCUUUCAUUUUUGAGUUAAAGACAAGGUAAGGAUGAUUCUUGUGUUUUUGUGGUGACUAUUGAAAAUGAUAUGUGAAAGAAUUAGGGGUUUAUGUGUUAUAUUAAAUUGAUGAUGGUAUGUCAAAUAAUUAGGGAUUUAUAGGCUGAUAGGUAGUGAGACUUAUGAUGAUGACUUUAAGUUCCGUUUUUCUCUGCCUCUUCUAAGAACUUUAUUAUAUCCCACAAGUUCCACUUACAUCAAUACGAUGUACCUCCAUGUCCUGAAAGGCAGUAUGAAGAAUGAAGAUCACUAAAUUCACGAUAUCUAUAUUAACCUACUGUUAAAUCAUAGAUAGAUACUAAUACUCUGGUUUGUAAUAAUAAACCGUAAUAUUUACUUACUAUGGUCAAGAAAUAUUUAACUAAUUAAUUACUAGGGUUGAGAAAUAUUUGUAUAUGAAACAUGGGUAAUUUCAUUACUAUGUCGGAUUACUAAAAAAGAAAAAUUACUUAUACACUAUUGAAUAAAUCCGGUCGAAUAAUUUUUCUUUUAACCCUAAUAAUGAUGUUAAAAAAGAAAAAAAGAAAAACAAAUACUUCAAAUUAAGAUUUAGAACUUGUGUGUGCGCUUUUUUUUUAACAGUCAAUAACUUCAUUAUAAUUAAAGUGCGCAUAAUCGUUGUAAAAAGUCAUCCAGCCAAAUAACAGAAUUUAAAAGAGCUAACUUGGAUAGUACAUGGCUUGAGCUAUUUAAAAUUACAUGAAAUACGAUGAAUUUGAAAAGCAUAUCGUCGUUUCAUGAGUUGUAAAAUAUUGGCAAUAACAUAGAAAAUACUAACUACGAAAAAUAGUAGCAACCCUAACAUACCCAUGACAAUCACACAUCACAGCAUCUAAACCCAUGACAUUAUGCGAACAAUCAAUAGUGAUGAUGCCAACCCCACAGUGAAACUUUGAGACCCACGUUCAGUUUAAAGUUUCAAUUUCCCAACAUAGUUUUUUUUCCUUAUUAAAUAUACUUUAUAUAUACCUAACAAUAUACGUAGUAAUCUAGUAAGUACCUAAGACUAGACCAAUCCCUAAUGCAAGGAGUAAAUAAAUUACAAUAUUAUUGAUGCACUGAUGUAAUAAUAAAAGCCCUAACAUUAUGUCAGUUGCAAUAAAAAUGCCUAGACAAAAAAGAAAAAAAUCCUUUGUUUCAUGUUAGUUGUUUCAGCAAUCUGAGAAAGCAAAAAUCACUUGUUGAAAAAGCAUAAUUGCUCACUUUUAGUAAUUUUAUUCUUUUGUAUUUGCUAAUUGCUCAAUCUCCAUGUUGAGUGCUAGAAAGCGUAUAUUUAUAAAGGAGAAAAUCGUUAUUUUACACUCCAAGUCUCACUAACAUCCCUACUUUUAUGUAUUUAAGUCCCUUGUGAUUUAACUAUGUGUGUUUUUAUUAUAAUUAAGCAUUUUAUUUAUUUUAGGGGGUAUCAUGGUCAUUUCACAAUGAACGAGAGAUCAAAUGAAAAAACGAACCAUAAUUCUAAACUCAGGACAAUUGAAAACCUUAGGAGUAGCAUAAAAGGAUAAACGACACUAUUCAUAUGUACGGCACUAUUCACAUGUACAUCACUGUUCACAUGUACACUAUUCACAUGUACGCUGACGUGGUAGUAUGUUAGUGGACUGAAAAAAUGUGUGUACGGUACAUGUAUAUACACGGAAUGACAACCAUGAUAAUGUGUUCUAUCCAAUUAGAACUUGCCACAUGGCGCAAUCUUGAACGUCUAAAUUGUUUUAAUCCGAUGGCCAUGAUUUACUCAUUGUAUCUAUAAAUAGGGGCUCCCCCCUAAUUUGACACCCCUAAAUUCAUUUUUGAGCUCCAUUUUCUGUAAUUCUGUCUCCAUCUUGUAUUUUCUACGUAUUUAAUAAAUUUCCAUUUUACCCCUAGUUCAAUUAUGAGUAGCUAAUUUUCUUUCAAGCUUAGGUUGAAGGUGAAGUCUCAACAUGUUCCAUGGGCUUAAUUUGGUAAUUUUACUUUCUCUUCCCCUCUGAUUUAUGUUGAUGUUUUGACUUUUCGUUGACAGAUAGUAAUUAAUCUUGCCUAGAUAUCGCACUGGGUAACCGUCUCCCUAGUGCAAGGUUAUUGCUAUUUGGCACAAUAAGCCCUUAGCACCAUAUUGAUUAAAAUGUGGUUCAUGACGAGUGGAAACCCCCCUCAUGAUUUAAUUGGCAUUAAUAAGGAAUAUUAACCCAUGGUGCAUGUUGAGUGCGGAUCCAGAGACUCAAACACUUCAUUUUAAUAGUUUCACUUUAAUUAAUUCCUACCAUUUUCAUUUAAAUUUUAGGAUAAUCUAAAUCACUUUCAUCACAAAUCCAACCACCCACUUAGAAAAUUAACUCUACACGCAAUUAAAAUCCACCUCCUCGUGGGAUCGACACUCGUCACCAUUGAUCUAUUCUACAAUAGAUUCGUGCACUUGCGAGUCCAAUAAAAUUUACACAACACUCCAAAAAAUUUUUGUUGUUUGGUCACAUGAAAUUUAUAAAAGAUAUAAGUUUGCAAAAUGACAAAGUCUAAAGAGAAAAAUCAUCUGUACUUUUUAGUAUUUUUGUACAGGAUAAAAUUAGAAUCAUUAAUAGAGUUUGUUGAGAUAAAAUGAUAUAAUCAAAUAUCAAUACUCUAAAUGACAUAAUUAGAUUCUUAGGCUUUCAUAGUUUUUUCUUUUUUAAUACACUAGGCUUUUACAGUUGGAACAUCUAAAUCAAAAACAGAUGCAAAACUUGGCCAUAGAAAUUAGAACAUCCUUAAUUCAAAAGCCAAUGCAAAGAUAUAUUCCUAGUAGGACAAAAACUUUUAAAGUGAUGAAAUUAGGGAAGCAUUGUGAUAUCCAAUUUUAGUAGGCGUACCAAGUUUAACUAAUAUUUAAUUAAAAAAAUAAUGAGUAAAAAUAAAAUGUGUAAAAGUAAAGCACACAAAAGGAUUUUUACAUUAUUCACUACAUCCAUAGAGCCACGCUCAAAUAUCAAGUAAUUUUGCUAGGCUCAAGAGAUUACAACUUGUUGAAACCUUACACAAUAUGAGACUCCAUCUUAGUGAUUGCCACCAACUUAUUAUGAACUCACCAAGUGUUGAUAGGUGGCUUUUUAUCUAAAUUAAACCAUUAUUGGUGGUCUAUUGAUCUUGGAAUUAAGGAGUUGAUGGCUCCACACUACAAGAAAAUAGGCAAUAGAUUACAGUAAAUAACUAUCAUAAAAGGGGAUGUAUGACAAACAACUUGUCUGUCAUUUAUGUCACUGUAAUUAAUUCAUGACAGAAUAUUUUCCGUCAAGAAUUCAUUAUGAUUUUUCACAGUCACAUAUAUGUCACACGAUAUGUUGAUGAGAAAUUAAUAUUAUUUAAAUUUUUGGCAUUUUUAAACUUUUUAGCUGGAAAUUGGUAUUAUCUCACUUUUAAAAUUACUUAAAAGCAUUAUUUUUUUAAUUGUAUUGUUAUUAUUAUUUGUGUUGAAUUAUUAUUAUUAUUAGAAUUCUCAAAUUCUACAAUUUUGUUUUUAGAAUAAAUUUAUAAAUCUAAAAUAAAUACAAAAUAUGGUACAAAAAAUUAAAAAAUCCAACUAAUAAAACCCGGAUAUCCAUUUAACCAUACAAUCCAUAUCAUUGAGGUAUUCAAGCUACAACAACCCAAAAUUUCACAAAAUAUCCUAAACAGCCUCUCCAUUCUUUUGACAUGCCCUCAAUUGUUGGCCUCAGAAUACUAGUCUCGUAACUCCGCAUCUUAUUCCCGUUCAAGAAAAGAAUUAAAGCAAUAAUCAGUUUAACUAUGAACAAACAUGCAUACCUUAAUAAUAGUUUAUAGUCUAAUAAUUGCGCAUAGCAAACAAGUUGAACUAUCCAAUGAAAAUAUCUAUCGUAGCCCCAAAGAAAAAGAAGACAGAAGCUAAAAGAAAGCAAAAUAGACAAUUUAAUUGCCUAAUUUAAGAAAAGGAGAAAAAAGUUCAUCACAUGUUACUAUAUUGUCAAUAAAUGUACUCAACACAUUUUCUUAAGAACUCCAUCUCCGCUAUAUUUUAACAUUAGCAAUUUUACCGCAAGCCAACACAUAAAAGUACAUAUCAUGAAAAACCACACAACACAGGAUUCUAAAUUCUCAACAAUAUUUACUAAUAACGCCUUCAACAUUUUAGUUUCAGAAUUAAUGAGCUACCUACUAGAAAACUAGCAUCAACAAAACUCAAACAUACACAAAACAAUCUAGUUCUUUCUAGUUCAAGCAAAUUUAAAAAAAAAUAUAUAUGAAAGAUAUAAGAUUCACAAGCUUUGUGGAUUUAAUUCUAUAUGUCAACUAGACCAAGGCCAUUCACAGCAAACAAGUUUUCUAAAACAAAAGUUAAAGCAAUAAAGAAAAUGAUUAACCAAAGAACUUGGGGAUUAAGAAAUCUUGCUAGGAGAAACUCCUGUCUUCAAAUAAGUUUAACUUAGCAAUGAAAUUUCACAAAUGUUAAGAAUUGUACACACUUUUAAUAGCAUGUUACCAUUUUCUAUUUUUCUCACCAAACUAUACAUACUACAAUAAACUAUUAAUAAUAACUGGGAAUGGAAAAAAAAUAAAUGAAUUAUAUAACGUGUUUAACUCUUGUUCUCACCUUAAUUAAAAAAUUUACUUCUAGAUCUUUAUCUCUAAAAAUUAUCUGUAUUGAACCAAAAUGAUUCUUAGAUAGAGCUAAUAAAUAUUAGAUUAAAAAAAAAAAGAGAACUUCUUUAGGCUAUGCAGUAAAGAGAAAACAAAAUAAAUAAAUCCAUGAGAUCAAGAAAAAAUGACAAGUAAAUCAAACAACCAUUGAGUUAGAUGAACUAACCUUCCCAUAAUUAUGCCUUGCCAAUAAUCAUCUGUAUUAUUAUGCCUUGCCACCUCUUGAAAAUUAUGAACUUUGGCCAUUCUUUUUUGGCUAUGGAUCCAUUGCUCACACAAAACAAAGUUAUUAUAAAGAAUAGUUAACACACAAAUUUGCUUUAAAAUAAAGUAAUUACUAAAUUGCAAAAUCAUUGCAAAAUAUUUGUCAUUCCUAACCCAUACUUCACUAGAUUUGUAAUUAAAAGAAACUCAAAAUUCUGUUUAACAAUCCAUAUUUAACCAUAGAUUAACUUUCGAGUCCAACAUGGAAUACAAACUUCCCAUUAACAAUCUUUAAAAAAAAUCAUAUACUAAACAGUCAAUGUAAAAAAGUUCCCAAAAUUAAACAAGAAAACCCUAGAAAAAAAAACAGACCCGUAAACACAAAUUAAAAUGAAACAAUUGAUAAUUGGAAAAAGAAAAAGAAGUCGACUAACAAUAAUGAAAAAGAGGCCAACUAACAAGGAUGAGACUAAAGCAAGUGGCCUAAUCGACUUUGACGAAAUCGACAUCCCAACUCUUGAGAUCAUCAUCUAUGCCAGUCGUGGCAAGAUUGUCGAACUUAAAUGCCUUCUCAUGCUUGUUAUAGUAUUCGAUGGCCUUGCAGAAGAUCUUAUUGGUGAUGUUGGGCAAAGGGAUUCUGUCAUCGGCGCAAUCGUCAUGAAUCAUGUGCUUGCUUGACAAUGGUUAAUGAGGGUUUAAUGGGAAAUUUUGAAAGGAAGUGAAAGAGACAGACUGUAUUGGGGGACAAAACAAAAUUGACGAGGUUGAUGGCUUAAUAGGAAGGAGAGUGAUAGUUGAACAAGAAGAAUAAAUCAAGCAUGAUGGUGACGAUAAUGUGUGAAUGGUACGUCGACGACAAGAACGAGCUAGAGAAGCAGUGUUUAGGGAUUUUGAUUUCUAAGGUGUGAGUGUUUAACACUUAGAAAAAGAAAAAGAAUGUUAAAAGUACCAAAAACGGUAGCGUUUUCUUUUUCUUAUCUAUUAUUAAAAUGCACCUUUUGUUUUAAUAUAAACUUGGCUUGUGCAUAAUAUAAACUAUCUAUUAUGCACUUUUUCUUAUCUAUGGUUCAUGCCAACUUCAUAAUAUAAACUUGGCUUGUGCAUUUCCCUUAUUCUAAAAUAUCUCCCUACACACUUAUGUGAACCCUACUUAUAUAUAAUAUGUAAAACCCUAAUUUGCCUGCAUCUACUAUUGUUCUCAGGCCCUGUUUGUAACACUUGACAUAAUCUACGUUACAUGGAUAUUACAAUAUUAAUGAAGACUCAAUGAUGUGUCUAGUGAAAAUGCUAACAUACAAAUAUAAAUAUUUGACGUUGUUAUAGAAAUGCCAACAUCUGUAUAGUGAAAUUUCGAACACAUUGUGACAAAUGAAUCCUUCCAAGGCUCCUCCUAGCCUGAAGGACUAUUAGCUGCAUUAUUUUAGAGGCAUUAGGAUGCAAUGGGAAGAUCUGUAACUGAAGUUAGCCUUACAGCUAACAAUAAGGAAGGAGAUAAUUCCCCUCUUAACCAUAAGUCCAUACUCAAUCACAUAACUUAAUUCCCCAAGAUUAAAGAGCCCAAGUGGUAUAUACUAGAACUCAGGCCUAUAACUUGUAUGAAAUUAUUUAUAAAAUUGUUAUUGCAAGUUAUUAUUUAUAAAAUUGUUACUAAAUGUAUUGCUAAUUGAUAAUGAAGAGUAUGUUGGAGAAUGUUUCGCAUAAUUAGUAGCAUUAAUUCACUCCUCAUCGCUUAAUUACAAUCAAUAUUAUUAGUGUACGAGUGUUUAUACAAAAUCAGGUGUGAACUUGACAUCAACAAAGCCUAUGGUCGACUAGGAUGGUGUUUUUGGGAGGUGUCAUGUGAAAGCACAAAGAGGCUUACUUAAGACCGGGAUGUCCUUUCUCCCGGAAAUAAACUACGAGCAGAACUUCUUAAUUAAUUUAACUAAUAGUAUUGGCACAACAACUUACACAUUCAUUAUCAUAUAAUGAUCUUAAGUUGAAAUAUUUAAUAAAGUUUAACUAAUAUUUUAAAUGCUAUGUCAAUUGAUAAAGUGUUUAUUUAAACGUCUGUUUUAUCAUUGUUUAAGUUUUUACUUCAUCUAAUAAUUUCCUAUAUUUCGCAACGAAUUGAUAGAUAGAUUAAUGUCGCAAUUGAAAUUGUGCAGCCAGAAUGAAACAAUAUUUGACAGAAUACAAACUGAUCAUUUCAUAUGUGCAAACAAAUAAAUAAACAUAUAUAGUGCCUCCAUGCAUCUCUUAGCAAUUAAAGAGUGUGUGCAAAUAUGUAAGGCGAAUAUAUAUAGGCUUGCCUAGUUGAAAAUUAUAUCUUUUCCUUUUUUUUCAAUUUUCUACUUUGAUAGUAUUAAUUCCUUAAUUAAUCGUAUUUAGCAGAGACAAAGUUGUAAAUAUGGACAUACUUCUGGAAAUAAAGUGUUGUAAUAAUGGCUUUAUCAUGAUGAUACAUGCCAUUUAAGAAACAUAAACAUUCUUAAUUAAUUUGAAAGAUAUUGGUUCUCCUGCUGCGAGUUGUAACAAUUAGCUAACUAAUACAUAAAGUGUUGUUUGAAAAAAUAUGCAAAAGGAAAGACAACGUUAUUAAUUAAACUGACAUAUGGACAAUACCACAUGAUUUAAUGUUUAUUAACAUAACUUAAUCAAAACGUAACACACGGUAGAUUUAUUUAUUAAAGAAGACAAAAUAAGUAAACAUAUAUAGUGCAAACAGAUAAAUAAACAUUUAUAGUGCUUCCACGCAUCUCUUAGCAAUUAAGGAGUCUAUGCAAAUAUUUUGAGGAGAAUAUAUACGAUGAUGAAAAUUAUAACUAAUUUAUUUUUAUUUUGCUACUUUGAUAGUAUUAAUUCCUAAAUGAACUGUAUGUAGCAGAGAGAAUGUAGAUUAAGGACAUAUUUCUAGAAAUAGAGAGAGUUAUAAUGGCAUUAUCAUGAUGAUACACCUCACUUAAGAAAUAUAUAAACGUUCUUAAUUAAUUAGAUCUUGGUUCUCCUGCUGUGGCUGUAACAAUUAGAUAACCAACAUAUUAGUUUUCUUGUUCAAAAAACUACUAAAAAAGAAAGAGAGCAUAAGUAAUUAAACUGAUAUAUGGAAAAUAUAUCAUCCCCCGUAGCAGUGUUUUAUUUUUAGUUUCUGCACUUCUAUUUCGCACAAACAUUAAUAUUACAUUUUAUUUUGAAAUACAUAGAAUUCAUUUCUUUCUUUAUUCCUAACACUUCUUUUUUAGGAUGAAGGGGGAGAAUAUUACAUGUAUUUGAAAUCAGAUUUCUAUAAUCUUAAGAAAAAUUGUUUUGUUAUACACACACACAUAUACACACAAAAUGUUUUCAAAUUUUUUAAAUUGCUUUUAAAUUGGCUUAACCUGAAAUAAUGGCUCUUUUCAAACUUGUAAAAUAUUUAAAGGAGCUUAUAUUCAGGGGGACCUAGCAUUGUUUUAUUUCUCCAUACCUUGAAUACAUGUAAGGUUUGUCAUCAUAAAAAAUGGCAAGAUUAUUGACAUAAAAGGUCUUUAAUAUUGAUUUUGAUAAUAACAAGCUGUAUAAGUUUUGACUAAGAAUGUUGGAGUCUUGAAACUUGCUAAGCUCUUAAGCCGAAUGUAGUUUUUGGGAUUGUAUAAGAAUAUGGAAACAAAUGGAUAACUGUUAAUGAUUAAAUGGAAAACCUAUCAUACAAAAGAUAAAACGAAAAACUGAUUCUAAAAGAAAACAACAAACCAUUUAUUGGAAAAUGGUUAAUCGAUGAAUUUCAGAGAAUAUCCAGGUUGCAAACGACAUACUGUUUAGCCCAAAUGGCUAUCCAAAAAAUUUCAGAGAGCAUCCAGGUUGCAAACGACAAACCGUUUAGUCCAAACAUCUAGCUAAUAAUUUUGUGCACGUUUCUGGAAUGUUAACGGCGAUCCGAAUUCUAAAAAUAGUGAUCGAACUAUUCAAAAUUGCGGCAUAACAGUCACUUGCUCAAGUCAAAUUGGUGACCCAACCGCAAAUAACGGUGAUCUUAUUAUUUUUAGAAAGUCAACAAUAGCUAAUUUUCUUCUCGAACUAUAAAAUGCUCAAUCAUAUUCAAAUUCAGUGUGAUUCAACAAUUAUCAUUGAGCUUACUAUUGAUUAUUCAAUCUCUCUUGUGCUUAAAACUUGUAUUCUUUUAUCAAAUCACACUUUGGGCUUUCAUUUGUAAACACAUACAUUGUGUGAGGAAAAUUUCUUUCAAUAUCAUAAUUGAGUGAUUGUAAUUAUGGGAGACACUUAGGAUAAGAGGUUUGCUAUUACCUCAAGUUUUAAAGGUUGAUUGACAACUUGGAAGUCAACUGCAAAUUUUGAAGCCUUAGGUUGUAAAGGCUUGGAUAGUGGAAUCCUCAAAUUUGUGAGCUUAGAGGCGUGAACGUAGGUGGAAUUUGCCGAGCCAUGUAAUAAUACCAUUUUUGUCCUCUACCUUCCCUUAUCUCUUUUAAUUUUGUUUAUCAUUGUUAUUAUUGUCAUUUCUUUUAAUUAUUUUGUGAUUUUCAUUUGCUUUAGAUUUUAAAACCCAAUUCACCCCCUCUUGGGUUUCGGAGCUAGUAUUUCACUAAGUACAGAAAGCAUAUAAUUAUACAAUACGUGUAAACUUCUUUCGAAUAUGUCAUAAAAUAUCAAUUGCACUUCAAAAUAGGCGAAGACACUUCAAAAUACAUGUUACUUAUCUUCUCCCCUUUAUCGUCAAAAUUACUUCCCACUAUGCCAAUCCAUCAAAAACACUUUCACAAUUACUAACAAAGAAACCAACAAUGUAUAACAAAUAAUUAAGGCGCCCAAAACAAGCAUAAGUAUAAAACAUGAAUCCAUAAAUAUUAUCCAAUCAAAGUCAGAACAAAAGUAUCAAAUGCAUAUGAUAAUGUUGGUGCAUAAAAGCAGGAGUCGGUAAAAAUAAACGAAAGAUAAAAGUCACUAAUUAAGAGGCUGGGAUGAUAAGGAUGGUGGCAGAAUCCCGAGAGCAGCAAAAAGUCGAUGCUAACCGUCGAGAAGCUGUUGUUUUUUAUCGAAGAGGUGCUACUGCUCAGUAACAAUAUGAUCUUGAAAUACUACAAACUGGACCGAAGUUGGUUCUGUUGCUUGAAUUCGAACUUCACUCAACAGCUGCUAUAUAAUAUCCCCAUGAGCUUCUGAAGAGGGUUAAGGAGGAGGUUCUAAAGUGGGAUGAGGAGGAUGUGGUUGUUGUGAGACACUAAUGAGGAGGAUUGUGAGAAUCUUUAAUAACAUACAUUAAAGUCACAAAGUACGACACAUAGUACAAAGUGUGAUGUCUAGGUUUUUAGAUAUAUGAAAAAUGAAUUUAAAUGCUUUGACUCAUUGUCUGCAGCUAUUUUCUGUAGCUAUUCUAAUCUUGAUCGUAUUUUACGAUAUAUAUAUGUUUAGCACCACCACUGGAUCUCUAUUUUGAUUGUACACACAGUAUUUUGGUUAUGAUUCUGUUCCUAGCAGGGUCAUCGGAAGUAUAGGUGACACUAUGUGACAUGAGCUAACCUUUUUUUAUUGUGUAUAUAUGAUAGAAAAAGUUCAUGAUUAAUUAUGCUUCUGAUAUUCUAAAUCAAUUAUAAAUUUAUAUCUUUCUGUUAUAAAAUGCAUUUUUUUAAAUUUAUGAUUUUUAAUAUAUGUUUUGAUAAGAAAAGGGCUUGCAAUAGUUUUUGAACCUGAUAACUGUAGUGAGUGGCAAUGGUUUUACUUACCGAGUUGACAACGCACUCCUCGUCAUUACUUUUGGAGAUUGAGCAACUUUUUGAGAGGUUUAUUUAUUUUUGUUAGCAGAACAAGAGGAGAAUAAACUUUUGUUUCCUUUAAGUUUGUUUAUCUUCCAAACUUGCAAUUGGAGAGUUUUGAGACUUUUUUAUAUUUAUGGCUUUGAAAAAAGGAAAAUGCAUAGUAUUAGGCUAGUGGAUUUGUUUGAAUAAACUUUGACACAUUUCUAUUUGAGGCUUUUGUGAAGGAUUAUGAUUUAUAAGUAACCUCUUUUAUCAGAUGCUCCACACGUGUUGGAUUUACUGUAUUACAAUUUGCUUCAAUUGAGGAUGUUGUCUAUGUAGUUUUCAUUAGUAACUUAUCAAUACUAGACUUAAAUAAAUCAUUGGUAAACUUAGAAAACAGUAAAAGAGGCUACAAAUAAGGUUAAAAUUCUCAAAUUUGAAAUUAGUUACUACGACAU